AAUAAUAGGCUUUUACUUUCACCACACGUUUGAUAAUUUCUUAACCUUCCCAAUUAGGUUAUAGCAAUUUAUAUAUAAAUAACACUUACACCUGUUAUAAUAAUAAUAGCAUCCGCCGAUCGACUACGAGUGAUCAAAUUGUUUGCACAUAUGUAAUUUGCAGGAGCAAUUCCGCGGGAGUUGGGAAAUCUUACAGGAUUGGGGACCUUAGAGCUGUCUGAAAAUUUUUUGACCGGUAUCAUUCCUUCAUCUAUCUACAAAUUGCUUUUCUCUAUUAAAUUUGAAAUUGUCAUUUAAUAACUUAACAAGUAACUUCCCUUACAACAUCUAUCUACAAAUUACUAAUUUAAAUUAAUAUUAAAAUAUGUUGUUUCUUUCACUAUGUUAUUUUAUUUACACAAUGAUGUGACUAUUGGAAUUAAUAAUACUUAUAAUUAUUUUGUAAAAAUAUAAAUUUAAUACUUUGUUAACAUUUUAUCUACAUAUAAUAAUUAAACUGAAACUUCUAUUUAAAAAAUUCUAGUUACGCAAAUUCAUUUCAUGACAUAAAAGUGUAUAUUUAUGCUAAUUUACCAUUAUCAACAAAAUGCUUUGAGACAAAUAAUCUAAUUUAUAUUUGUAUAUUUAAAAUACUUGCAUUUAUUAUAUUUUGAAAAAAAAUUAUUUUACUGAAAUAAUAGGCUUUUACUUUCACCACACGUUUGAUAAUUUCUUAACCUUCCGAAUUAGGUUAUUGCAAUUUAUAUAUAAAUAACUAAAGCAUACUAAAGCUAGCAUACAGUACUCAUGACUUAGGCUUGCUGCAAUAUCCAUUAAACACGGUCGAACACUUACACAUGUUAUAAUAAUAUUAGCAUCCGCCGAUCGACUAUGAGUGAUCAAAUUGUUUGCACAUGUGUAAUUUGCAGGAGCAAUUCCACUGGAGUUGGCAAAUCUUACAGGAUUGGAGAUCUUAGGCCUGUCUGAGAAUUUUUUAACCGGUAUCAUUCCUUCAUCUAUCCACAAAUUGCUUUUCUCUAUUAAAUUUGGAACUGUCAUUUAAUAACGUAACAGUUAACUUCCCUUACAACAUGUCUGUGUGACAUGUUUUGCUUCUUAAUUAAAAUAUUUCACUUCUCUCAUUAUAAAUUCUCAUAGGAGGAUGUGUUGUUAUUACUAUUUAACAUUAUCUCGUUUUUUAUUAGAAAUUAAUCUGUGUUUAUGCAAAAAAAUUUAGCAUCUAAAAAAAGUAUAAAAACACGUGGAAUAAAUCGAAAAUCUUUCUUCGUUACUGAAUUUCAAUUUCUCAAAAAUUAUCAUGACAGCUAUGUUAGUGUCUUACUAAUGAUAUGCAUGUGUGACAGCUCCAUAAAAUAUUUUACAUGGAAAAUAUGAAAAAUAGACUUAAAAAAAAAAAUUAUUUUACUGAAAUAAUAGUUAAAAAGAGAGGAGAAGUACAGUACUCAUGACUUAGGCUUGCUGUGUACUUAUUUUACUUGGGCUUCGGGCUUGAUUACACACGGUUGAACACUUACAUCCCCCGACAUAGGCUUUGAGGGAUGAGUGGCGUCAAAUGUGUAUCUGCUUUUAUGUAUUAUUAUUCUUUGAAACAAAUCUGAUUAUAAUUCUUUUAAAAUACAGAUGAAAUAGCAUGUGAAAUCGAAAAAUAUUUUACUGCGAUAAGAAUUCAUAUAUUCAUUGUACUAGCACAUAUAAAAUAGACUAUAAAUUUAGUUCCAAAAUACAUUCUUAUCUUCAUAUAAAUUUUACAUUAUUAAUUUAAAUUAAUAUUAAAAUAUGUUGUUUCUUUCACUAUGUUAUUUUAUCUACACAAUGAUGUGACUAUUGGAAUUAAUAAUACUUAUAAUUAUUUUGUAAAAAUAUAAAUUUAAUACUUUGUUAACAUUUUAUCUACAUAUAAUAAUUAAACUGAAACUUGUAUUUAAAAAAAUUCUAGUUACGCAUAUUCAUUUCAUGACAUAAAAGUGUAUAUUUAUGCUAAUUUACCAUUAUCAACAAAAUGCUUUGAGACAAAUAAUCUAAUUUAUAUUUUUAUAUUUAAAAUACUUGUAUUUAUUAUAUUUUGAAAAAAAUUUAUUUGCAAUUAUUUUAAACCGUUGGAUUCAAAUUUUCGUAGUUAUUAAAGUCAAAGGGUAUAAAUGUAUAAUAGUCAAAAAUAGAUUUCUGUGAUCAUUUUUCAAUGUAUAAAUUUUCUUAGUUAGUAGAAAAAUUAGAAAUUGUUGAUUUACUCAUAAAUAAAUUUAAUGUUUAGCAUUUCAAUUUUGGAAACUUUGAAUCGGUCGAGCCGAAUUUCGCUUCCUUGACCCACAGACCCAAUGAAAGUUCUAUUCGAAUUGAGUUUCCCAGUGCUUACAAAAAGCAUUUCUUUUCCUUGUCGCAGUAAUUUAUUCACAAAUGAGUUGAUUAGCAUCGAAGUUACCUGAGAGUCUGAGACCAUGCUAGUAGGAGAAAUUUGAAAAGAAAUUAUUUUACUGAAUUAAUUUAUUUUAUCUUGUUGUAACUGAAAUACUACUUUUUUUUUUGGGCUGUCACUUGGGCUUGAUUUACCUUAAUAGUAGCAGCCACCGACUUAGGCGUUUUUUACUUCUCACCACACAAUUUGAUCUUUUAAUUUGUUUUAACCACAUAAUCUAUCUAUUUUUCACCUAUUGCUUACUUAAAUCGCAUACAUAUUUUACCUACUAAUUUUUAUAAAUAUUAGUCAAAUAUAUUUUAUUACGUUUCUCUCGUAACUGCUCCAAAUGUGUACUAUUAAUACUUAACCCUCCCUUUUAAUUCACCAUGCAAUCUAUCUAUCACUUAAGUCACAUAUAUAUUUUACCCCAAAAAAUAUAAAAAUAAAAGAAAAAGAAUAUGUGUAGCAAUUUGCAUAUAACUAACAAAGCAUUGACGGUGUGUAGCCUUUCAAUACUUCACGAGUGGCUUUUCUUGUGUGUUAGUACUUGUAAUAAUUGUGUAGUGUAUAAAUGACAUUUUAUUAUUAAAGUGUGUCCAUUUUUAGAUAUUACUUAUUAUUUGAAAAAUAAUCUGAAUAUAAUUCUUUUAAAAUACAGGGGAGAUACCACUUGAAAUUGGUAAACUCCAAAUUCUGGAGGACUUGCACCUUGGUCAAAACAAAUUAAUUGGUACUGUCCCAGUUGCAAUCUUUAAUGUGUCAACACUCAAAUUACUUCAGCUUCAAAAUAAUUCUCUCUCGGGAUGUCUUUCGUCCAUCGCAAACAUCCGACUACCAAAUCUUGAAAAGCUUCAUUUGUGGGGUAAUAAUUUUAGUGGCAUAAUUCCUCGUUUCAUCUUUAAUGCUUCUAAGCUCUCUACACUAGAGUUGGAAGAGAACUCAUUCUCCGGUUUUAUUCCCAACACAUUUGGCAACUUAAGAAACCUUGAGCGGCUUAAUUUAGGUGAUAAUUAUUUGACAUCUUCAACUCCAGAAUUGAGCUUUCUAUCCUCGUUGUCAAAUUGCAAGUCUUUAACACUUAUUAUCUUAUCAAAUAAUCAACUAGAUGGCAUUCUUCCUAAGACGUCUAUCGGUAAUCUUUCUCGUUCUUUGGAAGAAUUUUACAUGCACAAUUGUAACAUUAGUGGCGGCAUCCCUGAAGAGAUCAGCAACUUGACCAACUUGACAACCAUUAUUUUAGGAGGCAAUAAAUUGAAUGGAUCAAUUCCGAUUACUCUCGGCAAAUUACGAAAGCUUCAACGGUUGAAUCUUGAAGAUAACAAAUUAGAAGGAUCAAUCCCAAACGACAUUUGUCAUUUGGCUGAACUGUAUAGAUUGGAGCUGGGCGGCAAUAAGCUUUAUGGAUCAAUCCCUGCAUGCUUCGGUAAUCUGGCUUCUCUGAGGAUACUGUCGUUGGGUUCCAAUAAGUUAACUUCUAUUCCUUUAACUUUUUGGAACCUUAAGGAUAUCUUGCAACUCAACUUUUCAUCAAAUUUUUUGACUGGCCCACUCCCAUUAGAGAUUGGAAAUUUGAAGGUUUUGAUUGGAAUUGAUUUUUCGAUGAAUAAUUUUUCAGGCGUUAUCCCAACAGAAAUUGGAGGCCUGAAAAAUCUAGAAUAUCUCUUCUUAGGAUAUAAUAGAUUGCGAGGAUCGAUUCCUGAUUCAUUUGGUGAUUUGAUAAGUUUGAAAUUCUUGAAUUUGUCCAAUAAUAAUCUCUCUGGGGCUAUUCCUACAUCUUUAGAGAAACUCUCAUAUCUUGAAGAUCUAAAUCUUUCUUUCAACAAGCUAGAAGGAGAAAUUCCUAGGGGAGGAUCUUUUGGAAACUUCUCAGCUGAAUCAUUUGAGGGAAAUGAAUUAUUAUGUGGUUCACCCAAUUUACAAGUCCCGCCAUGCAAAACUAGCAUCCACCAUACAUCAUGGAAAAAUUCUCUUCUCCUAGGGAUUGUCUUGCCAUUGAGUACUACAUUAUUGAUAGUAGUCAUUUGGUUGAUCCUAAGAUAUCGACAGAGAGGAAAACAACCAUCGAAUUAUGCUAAUAUGCCACUAGUAGCAACGUGGAGAACAUUUUCAUACCUAGAACUUUGUCGAGCAACAGACGGAUUCAGUGAAAACAAUCUAAUUGGCAGAGGAGGUUUUGGCUCUGUUUAUAAGGCAAGACUUGGGGACGGGAUGGAGGUUGCAGUGAAAGUUUUCAAUUUGCAAUGUGGAAGAGCGUUCAAGAGUUUCGAUGUUGAAUGUGAAAUGAUGAAAAGUAUUCGCCAUCGAAACCUUAUCAAAGUUAUUAGUAGUUGUUCAAAUGAAGAGUUUAAAGCGUUGGUAUUAGAAUACAUGCCUCAUGGAAGUUUGGAUAAGUAUCUGUAUUCAAGUAAUUGCAUUUUGGAUAUUUUUCAAAGAUUGAACAUAAUGAUAGAUGUUGCAUCAGCUUUGGAAUAUCUGCACUUUGGUUAUUCAGCUCUAGUAAUUCAUUGUGACUUAAAGCCCAGCAAUGUAUUGUUAGACGAUAAUAUGGUUGCUCAUUUGAGUGAUUUUAGCAUCGCAAAAUUGCUAACUGGAGAAGAUCAAUCUAUGACUCAAACACAAACACUUGGCACAAUCGGCUAUAUGGCACCAGGUUUGUUCAAUAUAAAAUUUUUCUAUUUCUUGUAAACUUCCUAAUAAGUUAUUUAUGUUUCAUGAUCUUCAUUAGAUAAGGAAAUUAUUAUUAAUGAUAUAUCUUACUAAGUAACUGUUACAAUUCAUAGAGUAUGGAAGAGAAGGACGAGUAUCCACAAAUGGAGAUGUUUAUAGCUUUGGGAUUAUGUUAAUGGAAACUUUUACCGGGAAGAAACCCACAGAUGAAAUUUUUAACGAAGAAAUGACAUUAAAGCAAUGGGUUAAUGAUUGGCUACCCAUUUCCACUAUGGAAGUUGUUGAUGCUAAUUUGCUUAGUCAGGAGGACGUACAUUUUGUUGCAAAGGAGCAAUGUGUGUCAUUUGUCUUCAAUUUGGCUAUGGCGUGCACUGUGGAAUCUCCUGAGCAGAGAAUCAAUGCAAAAGAAAUUGUAAAAAAGCUCUUAAAAAUUAGAGACUCAUUACUUAGAAAUGUUGGAGGCAGAUGUAUAAGACAAUCAAAUUUAAAUUGAUUCUACCCUUCCUUCAUUGCUCGUUAUCCUUUUUAGAGAAUUGAACAGUUAUCCUUCAUAUAAGUUUUGUUGAUAUGUUUUGUUAUUGCUCUUGCUCAUGUUUAUUUCUCUGUUUCUUUAAUUUGCAUGCAUGUAUUUUUCAUUAUCUUUUAUGUUUUUGUUGGUUUGUAUGUAGUUUGUUUUUAGGGGUAAGUUGAUCAUGUCCUCCCCUAAUUAGACGUAUCCUUUUUAUGUUUAUUCAAUAAAGCUUCUCUAAUAUUAUGGAGGUUCAUCAAAAGAAAAUUUUUAAUUAAUUUUCUUUUCUUUGAUAGGUAAUGAAAUUUUAAUCUUCAUCGUGAAUAACUUCAAUAACAGAGUGUAAGAGUAUUAGUAGUUAUGGUUAUUUUUUGAACCUGGAGUCAAGAGCAAUUUAACAGCAACAAACAAGUCUCUUGUAUUAUAGGCAAAAUUCUUUUCAUUAAUCUUAUUUGUCUACAUGUUCUCUUAUUUUCUCCAUUAAUCUUCGCUCAAGGUUUCAUGCUUCCUCUUUGAUAAAGGAAAAUAUUACUUGAGAAUAUUUCAAUUUGACAUAAGAGACUGUUUUGCCAACCAUUUGAUAAAAUGGAUAUGAGUGGAGCUUUCAAUCAUUACCUCCACCAAAAUCGUUACAACGCCACUUUUAAAUUUUAUUUUUUAAAAUGCAUUCAGUUUAAUUUAUAAAAAAUAAAUCCAUUUGUUAAAAUUAAUCUUUUUCUCAUAAAUUUCAACCUAAGAAAUAUAUUUCUUUUAAAUUUUUAAUUAUAAAAUACAUACAAGUUCUAAACUGUUAUAUUAUUUUCUUCUUAUUAUAUAGAUUAUAUCUCCAUAUCUCCAUAACUCUAAACUCCUAUAAUUUUUUAAAAAUAUUUUUAAUUUAAGAUAGGAAAAUUAUCAUUUGUAUACCCUAUAUUUGCUCUGUUAUCAAAAAUACUACAACACUUUGAGGGUGUAUCAAUCGUCCACCCUUAGUUGACAAAAUGUAUCAGCUGACCACCAAACCGUUAGUUGCCGUUUGAAAGUUAACGGAAUUACAGUGAAUUGACGAUUUUACCCUUGAAAAUUAUCACUUGUAUACCCUUAAUUUCUCUUUUUAUCACUUGUAUACCCUUAAAUUAUCACUUGUAUCUUAUGAAAAGACCAAAUUACCCUUCUAACGUCAUCAUAUUUAAACGGCAACUAACGGUUUGGUGGUCAGUUGAUACAUUUUGUCAACUUUGGGUGGAUGAUUGAUACACCCUCAAAGUGUUGUAGUAUUUUUGAUAAUGGAGUAAACUAAGGGUAUACAAAUGAUAAUUUCCCUUUAAAAUAUAAAUAUAAAAUAUAAAAUGGAGUGGGUAUAAAAAAACUUGUUAAAAGAAUAAUUCAUUUAAGUAUUUAACUGAAUUUAAAUUAAAAUAAGAAAUAAAUAAAUUUAUUUUUUAUUAGUUAAGUAAUUUUCAAUUGAAAAAGAGCUGUAUGAGUAAUAUUAUUGAAAUAUGAUUAAAAUUCUUAUGAAUUAAACAUUUUCGUAUAAAUACUAGUGAUAAUUAUAGAGAAAGUAUGAUGAACCAAAGAAAACUUGAAUAUAAAUACUCCAAUGUAAUUUUACACAUGCAAAUUAUGAACCAAUGAUCUUUAGAGCAUUAUAAAAUUAUUUUGACAUAAUUAUUUAUUUUGAAAAAUUGCCAACAAUGUUUUAUUAAAGUGGGAUUGAAAAGAUUAUGCUACUUAUAUAAGACAUGAUAUCAUUUAACAUGGCUUGCAGAUUAUGAGAAAUAUAUUGAUCUUACAAAUAUUUAAUAUGUUAAUUAGACAGGUCCAGCUGCCUUCCACCCGCUGGAAGGUACAACUUAUUUUGUCCUCUAGUGUUGUGGCCAUUGGAUAUUUGAGAAAUUGAUCUAUCGGUUCUUGUUCAGCAGCGUGAAAUUGAAUUUCAAUCGGCAAACGUUUCAUGAACUUUGCAAGGGACAAUUAUCUACAAAAAUAUUUUUUAAAAAAAUAAUUUUUCCCUUUCAUCAGCCGCCGCUGCCACCCACAACUCCUUAAUAUCAUCAUCACCAUCCCAAUCCUUAGCCGCCAUCCACAAGCUCUAACAACCACCAUGACCGCCAUCACAACCACCACUCCUCAUAACCCCUAGCCACCACUACAAACAUUCACAAACCCUACCAAUCAUCCACAACACCUAACCGCCGUCACCAACAAACUUUCGCCGCCGCUUCCUACAAGCAAGCCUCACCACCCACCACCGCACACACACAAAGCCACACCAACCGCCAUACUAUUGUGACAGAGCCCACAAUGUAGACAAGAUCCAGCAGAGGGGGGAUGUUUUCCUUCUUCGGCUGACUAUUCUUUUUUUUUUAUUUUUUAAUUAUUAUAUUACUUUUAGUUAUUUUUAGUUAUUCUUUUAUUUUGUCUAUAUUUUGGUUGUUAGAUUGUUUUUGUUGUUGUUAUUGGCGGCAGUGGAGUUGCAGCUCGUGAUGAUGAUGGUGAUGUUGGUGUCAUUUUAAUCGAGAUUUUGUCUUUUUUUUACCGGCUACGCCAGUCAUCUUCAUUCAUUACGUGUCCAUUUCUAACAUGUUAGAUUUUACUACUUUUUAAUCCAAGGAUUAGACCACAACGAGACAAAAGAUGGGGUACCUUCCAAUGGGUGGAAGGUAGUUUCGGCCCAAUUAGACUGAGUCUAUGCAAUAAAAAUUUCAAAUUAAAAAAUAAGCCCUUUAUUUUCUUUUAAUCAUAAGUGUGAUCUUAAUUAUUAAAGUCAUUUAAUGUCCAUUACUUAUUCAUUUUUUUUAAUUACCUAAAUGACAUUGAAAGCUCUACUCAAUAAUAAUUCAUUCAAAUGUUUUAUUUUAAAGUAAUCGGAAACUGCAAAUGAAGCAAAUGCUUGAAAUCACAAACAACCUAAAAUUAGAUUUUCAUUUUUCAAUGUUGCAAUGACUUUGAUCUUGAUAUUGAAAAUUUAUUUGUAACUUAUAUAUAGGCCUCGAUUUUAUCAUAAUUGGUUAGUAAGGCUACGUAGGGAGCAUGGAUAAAUUUUGGGAUUGGAUUAUAUUUUUGGAACUAAAAAAUUAAUUUCAUCCAAUGUUAGUUUGGCUGUUAGGACUAGCAACUUAGUCUAAAAUUAUUGAAAUUAUUGAUGUUUUAUAUUAUAAUAUUUUCAUUACCACUUUAAACAUUAUUGGUAACUUAAAUCAUUUUUUAAAUUAAAUAUAAAUUUAAUUAAUUAUAAAAAUUAAUUUAAUUAAAUAUAAAAAUCAUUUAAAUUAAAUAUUAACAUUAAUUUCAUAAUUUUUUACCUAGAAUUUUAUAUUAUAUUAAAUACUAAAAUUCUAUUCGAUAAUUUAUUAUCAUUUAUUUAAUAAAUGUUUAGUAUGUUAUAUUAUUAUUUAAAUUAAUUUUUUAUUUACAUAUAAACAUAAAUUAAUAUUUACUAAUUUCAAAUUUUUUUAGUUUGUUUAAUAAUAAAAGCUAAAUUACUAUAUUGAAAAUAUAAAUAGUAUUCUAAUGUAUUAUAGUCUAAAUCUCACCCCAAUGAGUUUAUUUUAUACACCUUUUAUUAUAUUAACCACAUUUAUAAUGCAGUGCAAUGCAACAAAAUUUUUUUAACAAAUAUGAGUUAGCAUGAAAAUAAUAUUUUAGUACAAUGUAAUACAAUGUAAUGUAAGCUGACAAAUGGAUAUUUAAUGGAAGCAAAAAUUGCAGAUGGUUUGGUUUGUGGGUCUCUCAAAAGACAACAAAGAAACCAAUAUGAUAAACUAAUUCUAUCCUCUUUAAUGGUGUCUUUACUAAAUGGAAAUCAGAAGAGUUAGAAUUGAAAUAGGCUUGAAUCGAAAUAAGGAAUUAAAAUCAGAAUAAGUUGUUUAUUUAAGUUGUAUGAAUCAGAAUCGAAAUAAUUUUUAUUCAAAUUGAUGUGUUUAUUUUCUCUUGAAAUUAGAAUGGACUAUUACAAGUUACUAAAAAAUCAUUUGGUAAUUGUUGUCUCUAGUAUUAUUUGUAUCUGUUAUAAUGUUAAAAAUAAUACUAAAAAUGAAAAUAAUAAUAAUAAUAAUAAUAAUAAUAAUAAUAAAGACAAUUAUAAUAAAAUUAAUAAAUUAUUAUUAUUAUUAUUACUACUACUACUACUAGUACUGAAGACCGCCUAGUGAAGAUUGGAUAGUGAAGAUGAAGACAACGAUCCUGGCAACCAACUGUUGCUUCAAAGAUGAUGUGCCCAAAUGGAGACAACCAGCGAUGACCAGCCAACUAGAUCCCAAUCUCGAUGUUGUGAUCUCACAUGAUCACUGAUAAAGCGAUGUGCGAUGCCAGUGUUGUGAUUUCUUUUUAUUUAUAUUUUUUAAUUUAUUGGGGGUAUUUUCAAAAUUUAGUAAUUUUAAUAUGGGCAAAUUGGAUAGUUGAGGGAACAAGAGACUGAUUUCCAACCAUCCUAAGAAUUAGUCUCUCAUUCUCUAUUUCUAAUUUGAUGUGGGUCCUAUUAUUUCGAUUUCAAUUUUUACAUUUAUUUGUAAAGUAAAUGACGUUAAUGAUUUCAAUUUCUAAUUGGAGAAGAAAACACAUCAUAAUAAUUUUUUAGAUGCUUCCAUGGCAUAAUCUCAUUGGUCCGUUUUUCUUCACGCCUUAGAUUCAACUUCAAGAUUUAAGAUCCAAUUUGAAGCAAACACAACUACAAAACAAAUAUAAUAAGCGUUACUAAGCCUGCGGCUGACUGGCUGUGGCCAAGCAAAUGGAACUCAUAGUGACCGAACCAUAUCUUAUUAUCUUACGCCAGAAGUUAAACAAUGUUCCCAUUCCACGUGUCACUCUCUGACCAACCCCCAAACUUUCUACAUAUUUCCAAAGAAACCCUUACCAAGUCAAGAUAAUUACCUUCACUCUACUUAUAUAAAUACUGUCCUCGAUUCAACUGAUGACGACAUAUCCUUACAGUCUUUAUUUAAAAGGAAAAAUUAUAAAAAAUUAUCCUCGUUCCCUAAAACUCUAGGGUUUGUCAAGAAUCGCUAAACAUAUAUCCCAAUCAUUCAAAAUCUCAAUUUAACCUCUCUAGGGUUUUGAUUGUCGAGGAUUCGCUUGAAAAUUUAGUAUUUUUUAGUGGAUUUUGCUUGUCUCGUAUGCUUCAAUUGUUGUUCGGUUCUGAAAAUAAUUUGGAAUUUUAGGGAUUUUCAAUUGUUGUUCGGUUCUGAAAAUAAUUUGGAACCAAAAAUUCCCAACAAUUGUCAGUUGUUUUAAACUCUAUUCCGAACAGAGCAUGAAGGGAUUCACUUAUCUAAUUAUGUCAUUUAUGCUUUAACUUCACUUCAUUUCAUCUUGUCCGUCACCUUGACUAAAGUUGUGUAUGUUGGAGUAUUAGGUUCAUCACAAGGAUCAUAUUAUGGCUAAGGAAGUAGCACAGUUUAUUAGCUACACUCAAGUGUAGCAGAGUAUUUGGAUUCAAGACUGUUAUAAGGUUGUUACAGAUGCAAUGCUGUUGCUGUGUAACUGUAUGCCAUGCUCGCAAGUGCGCUGUAACAGAUUGCUCAUCAGGCACCGGAUAUUUUAAGCUAAUUUUGGUAAUUAGUCUAGAGUGUUCUGAUUUAUUCUAUAAAUAGCUCAUUUGAGCGUAGAACCUUUAAGGUGUAUCGUACAUUUCUGUUACUUCUAAUAAAGAAUUUCUUUAUUCCUUUUUCUUUCACUUUCUCUUUCAUUUUCAUGAUCCCCAAACACCAUCAAACAUAGAAUUGCUGUUUUAGGCCAAUGGACAUAACGUGACAAGUUUUUGAAGUGAAUGACUCCUCUUUUCUCCAUAAAUCUUUGCUUAAUUUUUUUGUUCCCUCAACCUUUUUUGGCCUUUUCUGCUAAAAUUCAUUUUUUUGAUACAUUAUGCAAAAAUUGAUGAAAAUGAGUUACUCUAGAACAUCAAUAAAUUUUUAUUACAUGAUAAGACAAUUAUACUUAGAUUACUCUUAUUUGGUUGAAUUAUAUGUAAUAAAAUUAGUUUAACAGAAUCUAACCCGUAAAUAUUCCUUAUCACAUGAUUAACGUACUUAAAAAAUAUAACUGGUCGGCCGCUUGUUUUACAAUUCUUUUAUAUAUCUUUGAAACUUUCAGCUUCCUAACACAUCAUAUUGUUCUCAAUUCGUCUAAAUUAUUUUUUUUGGUCAAACACUAUAGCAACAACCAGUAUAAAAUAGAAUGAACUCAUUUAAUAAAAAUUUUUCUAGAUGCUUUCAUGACAGAAUCUCAUUGGUCUAUUUCUCUUCAUGGCAAAAUUUUUCUGAAAUACACUUAGUUUUUUAAAAAAGAGCUUUAUGAGAAAUUUUCAGUGUGUCAAAAGGCCUACUUAAUGGACUGGAUCCCGACUCAUUAAUUUUAUAACCCGACUUACAAUCCGAAUCAUUAUUCACAGAGAUUAAUUUGCUAUUGCUUAAGGCACAAUAUUUACUAAGCAAUUUAUCAGCAAUAAAACAUGUAUAUUAUAGUGGUUUGUAAUAAAAUUGGAAGAAGACAUCACGUACGAAUUGGAUUUAUCUGAUGAAAUUUGAUUAACGAAAGUGUAUGAAAAUAUAUAAAGAAAAUAGUAAAAAAAAUUGUUGUGUAAAUGUUGUAUAGGUGAUAUAUUACUUUUAUAAUCCAUCAAGGUACAUUUGAUUUUAAUGAUGAAACAAAUACAAAUAAAUCCAUGUAUGUCAAUGCUAGAUGGUUCCAUAUUAAACUUGUGAAGUAUAGAAAAUAAGCGAGAUUCGUAAAAAAUAUUUUAGAUAAUACCACUGAAAAGUUAUAAAAAAUAUUUUUAAAAAAAAAAAGAAAUACAUACUCGAGACACCAAGACCGAUACGCACAAACUCACACAUUUACAUAUUAAUUGAGGGAAAAAAUGAUAUUCUGAGUAAUAUUGUUGACAUAUGAUUAAAAUAAAAUUCUAUUUAAUGAAACAUUUUCGUAUAAAUACUAGUGAUAUUUGUAGAGAAAGUAGAAUGAAGUAAAAAAAAAAAAACUUGAAUAUAAAUGCUCCAAUAUAAUUUUUCCCAUGCAAAUUAUGAACUAGUGAACUUUAAAGCAUCAUAAAAUUGUUUCAACAUAAGUAAUUAGUUUGAAAAAUUGCCAAUAAUGUUUAAAGUGGGGACGAAAAGAUUAUACUAUAUGAGACAUGAUAUUAUUUAAGAUAGCUUACAAAUUAUGGGAAAUGUAUUGAUCUUACAAAUAAUAUUUAAUAAGUACAAAUUUCAAAUUAAAUAAUAAACUCUUAAUUUCCUUUUAAUCAUAAUUAUGAUCUUAAUAAUUAAAGUCAUUCAAUCUUAAUCACUUUUUCAUUUUUUUAAACUACCUAAAUGACAUUGAAAACUCUACUCAAUAUUAAUUUAUUCGAAUGUUCUGUUUCAAAAUAAUUGAAAACUGUAAAUGAAACAAAUGCUUGCAAUCACAAAUGGCAUAAAAUGGGAUUUUUAUUUUUUAAUAUUGCAAUGACUUUGAUCUUGAUAUUGGAAAUUUAUUUGUAACUUAUACUAAGUCUUCAAUUUUAUCAAAAUUAGUUUCUAAAGAUGCAUUUGCCAUACUGUGUAGUUUUAUUGUAUGAUGAUAUAUUACAUUAGGGUGCAUUGUAUUGAGCUGUAAUGCAAUACUAUUUUAUAUUAAUGUUAAAACUAAAUCAACCUUAUUUAAAUUUAUUAAUAUUUUAGGGUUUUAUUAGUAAUAUCUGAAAUUAAGUAUUAAAUAAUUAUUUUUAUAAUAUACAAAUUAUUUAAUAAUAUUCUACUAUUAAAUAAUAAAAUAUUAUAAUAUUAUGUUAUAUUAUUAACAAUUAUUCUGUUAUAAUAUAAUUUAUUUUUAUAUAUUAGUUAUUAUAAUUUAUUAUAAUCAUAUUAUAAUAAUAUUAUGUUGUAAAAAUAUAAUACUAUAUAAUUGUAUGAUAUAAUAUGAAUUAAUUUAUAAUUUAACAUUAAAUUAUAAAUUUAUUUUAUUUAUUAAUGUCAAAUAUAAUUGUCUAAUUUAAAUUUAGUAUUUUUUUAAAAAUAAACUACUAAAUAAUUAAAAUAAUUUUAUAUAAUAAAGUAAAAUAAUGUAUUAUUAUUUAUUAAUUAAAUAUUUAGGUUUAUUAAUAUACUAUAUUAUUAAUUAAAUUUAAUGAAUAUUAAUUAAUAAUUUAAAUUUAUUAAAUAAUAAAAGUUAAAUGAUUAUAUUUAAAAUAUAAAUAAUAUUUUAAUGCAAUAAAACCUAAAUCCCACAUGUAUACCACAUUUGUUAUACAGUGUAAUGCAACAUUUGUUAAGUGUGAAGGAUUAAUUGCAAUUUCGAAUUUUUGAUAAAAUUUAAAUUAAAAUUGGGCGGUUAUUAAUUAAUUGAUGGCUAGUGAUACUACAACGGCGGCCGAAGCUCCGGAAGAAGCGGAGGCGGUGGAGGGUUAUGAUAGCGAUCCAGAUGAAGUGAAACACUAUCUCGUGAUGCGCAGAAUGGAAGCAAGCGAUGAUGAGGAGGAGGUGGAGAAAGAAUUUGAGCGUCGAAUAGGAUCUACAUUUACUCUUAAGAUGAAUCUGAUGAUGAAUUAGAACAUGACAUAUAAUUAGAAGAAGAAGAUGAGGACUAUAAUAGAAAUAUUUAUGGGACCCAUUUUCGCAUCCAAUUGAAGGUUAAGACAAGACAUCUAAUAAGGGCUGCUCUCCAAAUUAUGUUACCACACCUACGGUCAAAGCUCGCUAGCACUUUUAUAACGGGAUGGCAAUGAGGCGGCUUCGGGGCAGGAUGACGAUCCUCACCCCCAUCCCGAAUUAGAAGCAGUCUCCAAACCUGCCUUCCAUAUCCCUGAUAAUUCUCAAAAUGAGACAAGGAUUAAAACAGAGGCUCAAUUCUCAAUUAUUUAGUUUUUAAGUAAAAAAAGAGCUCUCAAUCUGGAUCUGAAUAAUUGUUUAUUAAGGACUAAUUUUGAAGCUAGAACAUUUAACAAUUCAAAUGAGGUUCCUUUUGUUUCAUCUGAUAUUUUCAAAAGUUUGAAAGCUACUUGGAAGAUAUCAUCAAUCUCAGUCUAUAAAAAUCCAAAUGUUAUUUGUGCGGAAAAUACAAGAUAAUUAACAAUCUACAUGCUCUCUCUUCCACUGGAAAAAUAUAUAUAGUCCAAUAUAUAUUAAAUAUUUCUAUUAUAUGAAGAGGAAGAAGAAGUUUAUGAACAAGAGGAGAGAAGGUUGUUACAGAUGUAAGGCUGUUACUGUGUAACAGUAUGCCAUGCUGGCAAGUUUGCUAUAACAGAUUGCCAAGCUGGCACUAAUUAUUUUAAACUAAUAUUAGUAAUUAGUCUAGAGUGCUCUAAUUUAUUUUAUUCUAUAAAUAGCUCAUUUGAGCUUUGAACCUGUAACGUGUACUGUACUUUUCUAUUACUUCUAAUAAAGUUUUUCUCUGUUCUUUUUUCUUUCACUUUCUCUUCCAUUUUCCCGACCCUCAAACAGCGUCAAUCCUUGAUUUUCUACAGUAUUAGCUGUUUGGUUCUACAAACAUAGAACUGGUCGUUUAUUGACUUGUUACUUGUGAACAGGGCCAAUAAAGGACAAAUAAGAUGUUGGGCCAAUGGGCCCAACGUCACAGAUCUUGAAUUGAUUGUCUCUUCUUUUCUCCACAAAUCUUUGCUUAAUUUUUAUGCUCCCUCAACUUUUUUCCCCUUUUUGUGCUAAAUUUAUUUUUUUGAUACUUUAUGCAAAAAUUAUGAUGAAAAUUAAUUACUUUAGAACAUCAAUAAAUUUUUGUUACAUUCAAGAUACGGACAAUUACACUUAGAUCACUCUUAUUUAGUUGAAUUAUAGGUAAUAAAAUUGGUUUUAACAAAAUACGAUUCUUAACCCUCGUAAUUAAAGGCUCGUGUUAUUUGGUUUAGUUAUAACACCAUGCAACAGGUCGUCUUGGUGGGUUCAAAUUAAUAUACGAUCAUUCUCAAUUUUUAAUAGUUCGUAAUUAAAAAGUCUUAUAUCACAAUUAGAAUUUGCAAACAUGCCAAAGUGAGUUAAAUCAAAACCUAUAAAUUUGAGGUGUACUACAAACUUCUGACAAAUUAAAAUUUAAAACGAUUAAUUAAAUGCUAGACAAAAUUUAGCUUAUUAAUGUUCCUGACCACAUGAUGAAUGUACUUAAAACAUCCUAACUGGUCGCUAAUUGAUUAGUUGUUAUUUUUUCAAUUUCUUUUUAUAUAUCUUUGAAACUUCUAGUUUCCUAACAUGUUAUUCGCAAUUCGUGUAAAUUAUUAUUUUUUAAAUAUUAGAGCAACAACCAGUAUAAAAAUGAAAUGCACUCAUUUAAUGGAAAUUUUUCUAGAUGCUUCAAUGGCAGAAUCUCGUUGGUCUAUAACUCUCACGCCUUUGAUUCAAGAUUCAAUUUCAAACCAACGCCGAACAAACAGUAUAAACCUUAAUAAGUCUGUGGCUGUAGCCCAACAAACCUACUUCCGGCUCACCGAAUAAUCAUCUCUUACGUCGGAAUUUAAACUUAAACAAAGCUACAUCCCACGUGUCCCCAACUUUCUUCAUAUUUCCAAAAAACCCCUACCAGAUCCAGAUAAUUACCUUCACUCUUCUCGUAUAAAUAGAGAAGACGACGGUUCCUGCAACGUGAGUCACGUGAACGUCAAUUUCAAACCAACGUGAGUCACGUGAACGUUACGGCCAUGGGACAUUGGAAUUGGAUCAAACCACCGGAAUGCACAGCAAAAUUAACCGAAUAAACUAAAUUAGAUCCAACCAAUUGAAUCGGUUUGGGGCCAAUUGCAGUUUUGAUAGCAACUAAAAUCUGUGUGGCCCAGUUACCACAGAGCCUUGCCCCAGAUCCCUGCCAUUUUCUCCUCCACCUCCAUUUGGGGAAAUUACUACUUACUUUUUGCAAGUUUUUCUUGAAAUAUUUAUUUUGAGAAGAAAACCAACAAUACAUUUUAUGAUUUGGGCUCUUUCAAAGAUCUUCGCUUGAUGUCUAUGCUACUGGUUUUCAGCAGAGUGCCCAAAAAUAAUCAGUGCACGCACUAUAGGCUCUAUUAUUAUCAGUAAAAAGCAUUAAUGAUAUAUUGGGAUCGACUUUUUUAUGGGAGUGGUAAAGUGGUGCAUCUUGUUCAUGCACCGUAGAGCCAAUUCCAUUUUGUGAAAUAGGAGUUGAAUAAAAUUUAUUGUAAUACAUGGAAGUAUUGUUAGAAACACGAACACAGUGAGUUGACAAUUUAAAUUGCAAUUAAUUGAAACAAAAUGUAAACCAGCAAUUGGAAACAGCAAAUUAAGAACAGAAGAGAAAUGAAACGGAAUAAGAAAUAUAAACCCGAGGCCUGCACAAGGCAGUUUCCUUAAAACAGAUUUACCACCUCUUUUCUUGUGCUUAAGGUCUGCUGGUAUCUAUUUCCCAGGAUACAACGAGUACGAAUUUCUAGUCAAGCACAGGCUGGAGAUUCCGGCGAACCACAACAGGUAACUCGAUUAGAGAAAGACGAAGAAGGAUGAAGGAAAAAACAAGUGUGUUUUGUGCUGGUUUUUAUGGUGUCCAAAAACAGAAGAAGAGAUGCCUUUUUAUAAUCAUGUGAGGAUGUAACAGCUAAUGUGUAUUGAAUUUCCGAAUUCAAAAUUGAAUUAAAAAAACGUGAACAACAGCUAAAAAUAAUUGUAAAAGCUGUUACACAUUCUUUGAAUUCAAAACAUCAAAUUGUUACAAUAAAAAAUUCAAAAGGAAAUUAAAAACGUGCCAAGCUUGCAUGGAUGAUUUUGGGCUUCUUUUUCCCAUGUGGGAUAAGCCUCAUUUCCUUUCAAUCUAACUUCAAGGGUGAACUUUGAGAGACAAUUUCUCAUUCACCCAAGCACCAUUUUGAGAAAAUAAGAUUAUACUAUUGAAGUAUCAAUGGAGUAGAAUUCGAACCUCACAAUAUUUUCCACUUUUGUUAAGUGGGACCCACUCAAAAUGUGCCCUCAAAAUAGCAUGUUAUGCUAUUUUUCCAACAAUCCCCCACAUGAAUGAAAAUUGGCAGUAAAAACAAGAAAACCGCUAAAUUUUGACAUCAAAACCAUUUUUGACUCUUAAUGAUCGAGUUUAUUGGAUUGAUACCUAGCACAUGAUAGGUAGGUGUUAUCCUUUGAACCUUUCCUUGUAAUAGUAUAAAUACUUUACUAGCUGAUCAGUAGACGCGAUGUCUUUGAACUGUUCUGCCAUUAGUGUAAAGGAUCAUAUACUACACAUAGGUAUUUCCCCUAACACUGUUGAGUUCUCAUGAUUAUGUUCGUUUUGGCCUUGAACAUCUGCCUGGUUCUGCAAGAGUUUCUAAGAGCUGAACCCUUUAUAGCUCCCUUUGAAGCGGCCCCACUUCUCUCUCACAUAGGUAAUAUUUUAAUUAAGAGUAACCCGCAUUACUCCGCUAGAAUUUUCGACGCAUAAGAAUCAUUAAGAGCCUAGCUCAACCUUAUUCCCCACGGGCAACACUGUUUCAUCAUAGGAAUGGUCAAUGAGGUAAUCCUCUCAAGAGAAUGACCCCCACAGUGAUCCAUCUUUAGUCUUUAACAAAUAGGUUGUCCAAUUGAACCUAGAUCUUAGGAUCUCCAGUCUACUAGGUUAGGUUUUCCUUCGUUAUUGACUAAUCAAUCUAUAGGUUUUAAUCACAUCCCCCUCGAUAAUUUUUCUACUAGCUCUCUAUUUAAUCCUUUGGUUAGCGGAUCCUCUAUGUUAUCCUUUGACCUUACAUAGUCAAUAGAAAUAACUCCAGUAGAAAUAAGUUGUCUAAUGGUAUUAUGUCUACUACGAUGUAUGUGUCUAGACUUACCAUUAUACAUAUUGCUUUGUGCCCUACCGAUAGCUGAUUGACUAACGCAAUGUAUACAAAUCGUAUACACAGGCUUUGGCUAUUUUGGAAUACCUUCUAAAAAAUUGCGUAGCCAUUCUGUUUCUUCACCACAUUUAUCUAAUGCAAUGAAUUCAGAUUCCAUUGUAGAUCUAGCAAUUACUGUCUGUUUAGAACAUCUCCAUGAUACAGCUGCACCUGCUAGUGUAAAUACAUAGCCGCUAGUAGAUUUUGAAUCUUUUACAUCUGAUAUCCAGUUAGCAUCACUAAAUUUUUCUAAUACUUCUGGAUACCUAGUAUAGUGCAGUCUAUAAUUACGAGUGUAUCGAAGAUACCUAAGUACUCUUACAAUAGCUUUCCAGUGAUCAGUUCCUGGAUUACUCGUAUAUCUACUAAGUUUGCUUACUGUAUAGGCUAGAUCUGGUCUGGUACAAUUUGUUAAGUACAUCAGACUACCUAUUAUUCUAGCAUAUUCAACUUGAGAAAUACUCUCUCCUCUGUUUUUCGAUAGAUGAAUACUAGUAUCUAAUGGAGUUUUAGACAUAGUAUUAUCCUCUUUAUUAAAUUUCCCAAGAAUUUUAUCUACAUAAUGAGUUUGACUUAAAAUAAGUCCAUUAGAAGUCCUUGAAAUUUUAAUUCCCAAAAUGACAUCUGCAAGACCCAUGUCUUUCAUGUCAAACUUAGACUUCAACAUAUUCUUGGUAGAUUUAAUCAUGUCAUCAUUACUCCCAACAAUAAGCAUGUCAUCAACAUAUAAACAUAAAAUGACAUAGCCAUUUUCUGUUUCUUUGACAUAAACACAUUUGUCACAUUCGUUGAUCUUAAAGCCACUAUUAUCAUCGUAUGAUCAAAUUUCUCAUGCCACUGUUUCGGUGCUUGUUUCAAGCCAUAUAAUGACUUAACCAAUUUACAAACUUUCUUUUCUUGUCUUGGAGCUAUAAAACCUUCAGGUUGCUCCAUGUAGAUUUCUUCAUCUAAAUCUUCAUUUAGAAAAGCCGUCUUUACAUCCAUUAGAUGUAUCUCGAGAUUGCGCAAAGCUGCAAUUGCUAUUAUCAUCCGUAUGGAAUUUAUUCUCGUAACAGGAGAAUAAGUAUCAAAAUAAUCAAGGCCUUCUCGUUGCCUAUAACAUUUAAUUACAAGCCUAGCCUUGUACUUAUCGAUUGAUCCAUCGGCUUUCAUUUUCCUUUUGAAAAUCCACUUAUACCCCAAAGGUUUAUAUCCUGGAGGAAGAUCUACUAGCUCCCAAGUAUGAUUUUGUAAAAUGGAUUCAACUUCACUGUUAAUGGCUUCUUUCCAUAAAGUGCCUUCAGCUGAAGUUACAGCCUCUUUGAAGCUUUGAGGUUCAUUUUCUAGCAAAUACGUCAGAAAGUUUGGACCAAAAGACUUUUUUAUUCUAGCUCUUUUGCUACGUCUAACCUCAAUUUCUUGUUCUUCUUCUUCUUCUGGUGCUUGAUCAUUUUCUUCAUUUUCAAGUGUUGUUUCAUGAAAUUGUUCCAAUUCUCUCGAUUCCACUCUAGAAUUGCAAGGAAACACAUGUUUGAAAAACGAUGCAUUUCUUGAUUCUAUUAUUGUAUUUUUGUGGACAUCUGGAAUUUUAGACUCAUGCACCAAAAAUUGAUAUGCACUACUAUUUUGUGCAUAACCAAUGAAAAUGCAGUCAACAGUUUUUGGUCCUAUUUUCACUCUUUUAUUUAAAGGAACUACUACUUUAGCAAGACACCCCCACACUCAUAAGAAUUUAUAUGAAGGUGAUCUACCUUUCCAUAGCUCAUACGGGAUUUUAUCUUCUUGCUUUCGGGGUAUCUUAUUUAAUAAAUAAUUAGCUGACAAAACAACUUCUCCCCACAUAUUCUGGGGUAACCCAGAACUUAUCAACAUUGCAUUCAUCAUUUCCUUUAAAGUUCGAUUCUUUCAUUCUGCAAUCCCAUUAGAUUGAGGUGAAUAUGGAGCUGUGACUUGAUGUAUGAUUCCACUUUGUUCACAUAGUGACAUAAACGGAACAACAUACUCACCACCACGGUCACUCUUUAAUUCUUUGAUUUUUCUAUUAAGUUGAUUCUCAACUUCAUUUUUGUAGAGAAUAAACUUUUCCAAAGCUUUAUCUUUACUUUUCAAUAAAUAUACAUAGCAAUAUUUUGUGCAAUCAUCUAUAAAGGUAAUAAAAUAUUUAUUACCACCUCUUGUUUGAAGGGAUUUAAAGUCACAAAUAUCACUAUGUAUUAAAUCAAGUGGUUCGGUGUUUCUUUUAAUUAUUUGAAAAGACGACUUAGUUAGUUUUGCCUCAACACAAGUUUCACACUUAUGUUUCAAAUCAAUUUGGAAAUUGGGAAUAUGCUUCAUGUUAAUUAAUUUACGCAAAGAAUUAAAAUUAACAUGUCCUAAUCUACCAUGCCAAAGAUUAGAAGACUCAACCAAAUAAGCAAAAGAUGUAGCUUUAUUAUUAAUUGUUGGUUUCAAAGUCAUUACAUUGAGCUUAAAUAGCCCAUCAUCAACAUAACCCUUUCCCACAUACAUCCUAUUUUUAGAUAAAACUACCAUAUUUGACUCAAACACCAUUCGAAAACCAUGUUUAUUCAGCAGCGAUCCAGACACCAAGUUCUUCCGAAUUUCUGGCACAUAUAGCACAUUGUUCAGAGUCAGUUCUUUCCCAGACGUCAUCUUCAAAACCACCUUCCCUUGACCCUCAAUCUCAGACGUAGCCGAAUUCCCCAUGAGUAGCUUCUCUCCAUUGCUAUCUGCUUCAAAUGAAGUGAACAACCCUUUUUCCGAGCAAACAUGUCUGGUUGCUCCUGUAUCUAUCCACCAUUCUCUUGGAUUAGAGCCAACCAGAUUCACUUCUGAAACCACUGCAGAGAGGUUUAUGUCUUAAACAUGUUGCGUGAUGUUUUACACCACAUUCGCCUCUCGCUUCUUUUUAGGCAACCUGCAAUCCGAAGCCUUGUGACCCAUCUUAUCACAAUUAUAACAUUUUCCUUGAAACUUUGUUUGUUUCUUGGAAAUUCCUCCUUUCGGGCCCAAUUUUUUAUUUUUUAUUUUUAGGUCCAUGUUCAACAAAAUUUGCAUUUGCCAUAGAAAUAGGCCCUCUUCUUUCUGCAUUUCUGUUGUCUUUCUCAAUUCUGAGCUUAACAACCAGCCCUUCAAUAUUCAUCUCCUUUCGUUUAUGCUUCAAAUAGCUCUUGAAAUCUUUCCAAGCAGGAGGCAAUUUUUCAAUAAUUGCAGCAACUUGAAAAGUUUCACUUAGAUGCAUCCCUUCCGCAAGGAUUUCAGAUAAUAUAAUUUGAAGUUCUUGUACUUGACUUAUUACAGUUUUAGAAUCCACCAUUUUAUAAUCUAGGAAGCGACCAACAACAAAUUUUUUGGUACCCGCGUCCUCGGUUUUAUAUUUUCGGUCUAAGGAUUCCCAUAGCUCCUUGGCUGUUUUCUUUCCUAUGUAUAUGUUAUACAAGGAGUCACUAAGACCAUUCAUUACAUAAUUUUUACACAAAAAAUCCGAAUGGUGCCAUGCAUCAAUUGCACUUGCAACUUGAAUAUCUGUUUCACCCUCUUUGGGUUUAGGAGCAUCCUCGGUCAAGAACCUCGCAAGGUUCAACGUGGUCAAGUAAAAGAACAUCUUUUGAACUUUUCAGGCCUUUCCGCAUGAUUGACAAGAAUCGCCACAGAGGCUGGUUCCUUCACAACAUUUGGUGCAGAAACCGGAACAUACGGAACAUCAUCACUGGUUUCAGUUGCCAUCUCAAUGAUAAUAAAUUCUGUUUUAAGAUUGUUAGAAAAACGAACACAGUGAGUUGACAAUUUAAAUUGUAAUUAAUUGAAACAAAAUGUAAACCAGCAAUCGGAAACAGCAAAUGAAGAACAGAAGAGAAAUGAAACGGAAUAAGAAAUAUAAACCCAAGGCCUACACAAGGCAGUUUCCUUAAAACAGAUUUACUACCUCUUCUCUUGUGCUUAAGGUCUGCUAGUAUCUGUUUCCCAGGAUACAACGGGUACGAAUUUCUAGUCAAGCACAGGCUGGAGAUUCCGGCGAACCACAACAGGUAACUCGAUUAGAGAAAGACGAAGAAGGAUGAAGGAAAAACAAGUGUGCUUUGUGCUGGUUUUUCUGGUGUCCAAAAACAGAAGAUGAGAUGCCUUUUUAUAAUCAUGUGAGGAUGUAACAGCUGAUGUGUAUUGAAUUUCCGAAUUCAAAAUUGAAUUAAAAAAACGUGAACAAUAGCUAAAAAUAAUUGUAAAAGCUGUUACACAUUCUUUGAAUUCAAAACAUCAAACUGUUACAAUAAAAAAUUCAAAAGGAAAUUAAAAACGUGCCAAGCUUGCAUGGAUGAUUUUGGGCUUCUUUUUCCCAUGUGGGAUAAGCCUCAUUUCCUUUCAAAUUUCUAACUUUAAGGGUGAACUUUGAGAGACAAUUUCUCAUUCAUUCAAGCACCAUUUUGAGAAAAUAAGAUUAUACUAUUGAAGUAUCAAUGGAGUAGAAUCCGAACCUCAUAAUAUUUUCCACUUUCGUUAAGUGGAACCCACUCAAAAUGUGCCCUCAAAAUAGCAUGUUAUGCUAUUUUUCCAACAAGUAUAUAUUGCAUUGAAUAAAAUGAAAUUGUUCAAAAAUUAACAAAUUCAGCUUUAUUAUAAUCUAAAACAAAGUAAAUAGAAUAAUACCCAUCAUGUAAAAAUAAAAAAUAAAAUUUUUUAUACCACUUGGAAUUUAUUUUAAAUGUUUUGGUCAAAUCUAAGAAGCACAAACUUUGAACAAUGAUAAUAGGUAAAAACUAAUAAUCUUAUAAUAAAAAGUAAGAAAAAAAAUAAAGUUGAUUUAGCAGCUAAGAAUAAAAAAAGAAAAAUAGAAAGAGAGAGAAAUUAGUUUAGGCUUUAACCAUUGUUAUAGUAGAGAAAAAAAAUUAAUUAAGAGUAAUUUUAUGACUUUUUAGAAAUGAGUGAAUUAAAAUAAUAAAUUAUAAUUUGAUAAUUAUCUUAAUUAAAAAAUGGCUGUUGAAAUAAAAUUAGUGAAUUUAAAUAGGCCGCCCAAAAUCCAAACUCGCAUACCAAUAAUUUUCUAAUUUACAUAAAGUUUUUCUAAAUGUUUGAUAAAAUUUGAUUCUCAAUUGGCCUAAUGGAGAAACAACCAGCAAAAUGCAAAAUUGCAUUCCGUUUGUGGGAUCCUGGAAAAAAUAAAAGAAAGAAAACAGAGUAAGACGCUGAUACCGGGGGCUUUAAUAUUUUUCUAGGUGCUUCCAUGGCAGAUUCUCGUUGGUUCAUUUUUCUUUACGCCUUAGAUUCUAUGAUUCAAUUUCAAUCAAAUACGACAAACAAAAGAAGCUUUUAAGCCUGCAGCUGAAAUAGAUGGUACUUUAAUUUCGGCUGAACAUACAUAUGGCAAGAUUAUUAUUCAAUAUCGAGAUCGGAUAAGGGUCCAUAUGAUCAUGGGCCAGGCCACUACUUGCUCAUGCUUUGAAUCAAAAUUAGUGACGUUGGAAGCUGAAAGGGGCAAAUGAUGAAAUGGGGUUCAUCAUAUACUAUGCCCGACGGGAUAAGAUCAUCAUUUAAUUGCCUCCUCUUGUCGAUAGAUAUUUGCCGAAUUUUUCUAUUUAAAAAAUAUUAUAUUGGUUAAUAUAAUUAGAAGUUUUACAAAAUAUAACUAUAAUUUUAAAAAAAAUUUAUACUUAUUAAUUUAAAUUUUUCAUUGAGUUCUGCUAUUUAUCCCGGGUUAAAUUUCGGGUCAAACCCUGAAUUAAACAAAACGACGUCGUUUUCGCUUCUUUUUUUGGUCAUUUUUGCUUCUAUGGAACGAAGUCGUUUCAGCCAAACAAAAGCGAAUGUCUUCGUUUUCUGCAACAAAACCUCACUCUUCUUGAUCCCAUAUCUCUCCUACUUUCUCAGAACUCCAAUUCUCAAAACCCACCAGUCACACUGAAACUCAUUACAGAGAAUUACUUCAUGGAGAGGGGACCCAGAUUCCAUGAAUACGCUGAACUGAGAGAAUCAAGACUGAGAAGGAAGGUUAUACGAGUAGAAGAUGAAACUGAUGAAGCGUAUGAGCCAAAGCGAUCGCCUUUAAAGAAACAAGUGAAGUUUCGGGGGAUUUUGACUGGUUCAAGAAAAGGGUCCUCUGUUUCCUCUGUUUUGGCUCAGUCAGUGCCUGACUUUUCAGCAACUUUGCGGAAAGAAAAUCGGAGGCCGGCGGGUAGGGCGCUUGAGUUGACUCCUCCGGCUAAGAAUUGGUCGAAAAUGAAUGGGAAUUUGUCGAAUUCCAGAGGAAGUAAGUCGGCAAAUGCGGGGUAGAAGAAGGGAAUGAUGGCAAGAAAGAGUUAUGCGAGUAUUGAAGAAUUGAAGGGCAUGUCAAUGGGAGUGGCAAAGGACAAAAGUGAAAGAAUUAUAAAUAAUAGAAAGCAAGUUAAUUAGAAGCACAAAAGCAGAUUUUGUGGACACCAAAAUAGUCCAGAAUCAGCAGCUUUAUUGCCUUCUAUAAGCAUGAGAAAAAUGACACACACACACACACACACACACAUCACUGCUGCUGUUCAAGCUUUUGUUCGGGUGAUGAAUCGAAGAGGAAGAAGAAGAGAAAGAAAAGCAGCUGCGUUUUUUUCUGUUUUCACUGAGUUGAAACGACUACGUUUCAUGGAAGCAAAGAGAAAAAAAAAAAAAAAAAGAAACUAAAACGGCAUCGUUUUGAUUUGAUUCGGGAUUUGACCUGGGAAAAGUAGCAUUUUCCUUUUUCAUUUGGUAGUUGUGUUUGAGAAAAAGUUGAUAGGCACUACUUAAAUAGUAUUAAUAUGGCAACAAAAAACAUGCGAGCAAAGUAGACUAUUGCUUUAUUCUAUAAAUAGCUCAUUUGAGCUUAGAACCUUUAAAGUGUGUCGUACGUUUCUGUUACUUCUAAUAAAGAUAUUCCCUAUUCCCUUUUCUUCCACUUUCUCUUCCAUUUUCACGAUCCCCAAACACCAUCAAUCCAAGAUUUUCUAGAGUAUUAGCUGUCUAUUUCUACAAACAUAGAAUUGCUGUUUUAAGAAACAAAAUAGUCUGUCCUGUCACCCAUGGUCUCCUCAUUUAUCGGUUUGUGAACAGGGCUAAAUAAAGGGCAAAUAAGAUAUUGGGGCAAUGGGCCUAAUGUGACAAGAUCUUGAAUUGAUUGCCUCUUUCUUUUCUCCACAAAUCUUUGGUUAAUUUUUAUGUUCCCUCAACCUUUUUGCCCUUUAGCACCAAAAUUCAUUUUUGAUACUUUAUGCAAAAAUUAUGAUGAAAAUGAGUCACUUUAGAACAUCAAUAAAUUUUUUUGACAUCCAAGAUAACGACAAUUACACUUAGAUCACUCUUAUUUAGUUGAAUUAUAUAUGUAAUAAUGUUGGCUUAACAAAAUAUGAUUCUUAAUCGUUGUAAUUACGGGCUGGUAUUCUUUGGUUUUAGUAGUAGGGCUUAUAACGCCGUGCAACAGUUCUUGGUGGGUUCGAAUUAUUAUACGAUCAUUCUCAAAUCUUUACGGUAUGUAAUUAAAAAUUCCUAUAUAGCAAUUAGAACUUACAAACAAGUUAAAGUGAGUUAAAUCAAAUGUAUAAAUUCGAGGUCUAUUACAAACUUCUAAAAAAGAUUUUCUGUUCUUUUUUCUUUCACUUUCUCUUCCAUUUUGCCAAUCCCCAAACACCGCCAAUCCUUGAUUUUUUUAGUAUUAGCUGUCAAUUUCUACAAACCUAGAACUGCUGUUUGUUUGUCUAAUUAUUUUCAAGAAACAAAACUCUUUGUCAUGUGGUCUCUUCGUUUAUUGGCUUGUGAGCAAAUAAGAUAUUGGGCCGAUGGGCUUAACGUGACAAGUUCUUGAAUUGAAUGGCUCCUCUUUUUUUCAUAAAUCUUUGCUUAAUUUUUUUUGUUCUCUCAACCUUUUUUGGCCUUUCGCGCUAAAAUUCUUUUUUUGAUACAUUAUGCAAAAAUUAUGAUGAAAAUGAGUUACUUUAGAACAUCAAUAAAGUUUUAUGACAUGUAUAAUAAGACAACUAUAGUGAGAUUAGUUGAAUUAUAUGUAAUAAAAUUAGUUUAACAAAAUCUAACCCGUCAGUAUUCCAUAGCACAUGAUUAACGUAUUUAAAAAAUCUUAGUUGUUCCGUCGCUUGUUUUACAAUUAUUUUAUAUAUUUUUGAAACUUUCUGCUUCCUGACACAUCAUAUUGUUCUCAAUUCGUCAAAAUUAUUUGUUUCUUCAAACACUGCAGCAACAACCGGUAUAAAAUAGACUGAACUCAUUUAAUGGGAAUUUUUCUCAUUGGUCAAUUUCUCUUCGCACCUUAGGUUCCUCUAACAAACUUAAAAGAUGUUCCCCAUCCCACGUGUCCCCAAAUCUUCGUAUUUCCAAACAAACCCCUGCCAAUUAUCAUAUUAAUGAGCCACUGUUAAAUUCAUUCAGUCAGUAUUUUUCUUUUCCCAUUUUCAAUGAAUGCUUAAUAUGGAAAACAAUCUGUCUCAUUGAGCACUGUUUAAAUCAUUCCCUAGUUUGUUUAACACGCAAAGAAUAUUCUUAUUCGGCUCGGCAGCCAAUCCGUUAAAAUUUGUUAAAAUUCAUUUAAGUGAUGACUGUGAUAUGACUCGAUCAAUAGUUUAAUUUGUAUAAUUUAUAAAAAUUUGGGCUUCAAGUAAUGUAGAUAGAAUGGUUAAUUAUUUUAAUAUUCAGAUAAAUUGAUAUAUGUCAUUAUAUUAUGAGUGGAUGAAAUAUCCAAUAGAAAAAAAAAAUGUUUGUAUUCAUCAUUUUUAGUGGGAAUCUAUUUAGUGUAACUUAUCCAUAAAAAUGGUUGCCGACUUAUCUUAUUUCUCAUUUUGUUUAAUUUCAUAAAUUUGACUCCCGAUUAAUUAUGAGUGAAGAAUUUGUUGGAAAAAAUCUGGUCUUCCAUUUAUUUUGUAGGAUUUAAAAGAUUAAAAAACUUUAAUACAUAUAAUUUUAUGUUCGAAACUAAGUACUCGUAGCAUUGCUGCUUCUAUAAAUAACUCAUUUGUGCUUCCAACUUGUUAUUUGUAUUUUACGUUUUUGUUUCUCUUCAUAAAGAUUUUCUUUUUUUUUCUUUUUUCCAUUCACUUUUUCUUCCAUUUUCCCGACUCCCAAACACCACUAAGCCUUGAUUUUCUAGAGUAUUAACUGUCCGUUUCUACGAACAUAGACCUACAGUUUGUCUAAAUACUAUCAAGAAACAACGUACUCUGUCGCGGGAUCUCUUCGUUUAUUGACUUUUGACUUGUGAACGGGGCUAAUUAAAGGGCGUUCCUUUCUUCAAGAAAGAAUGCAAAGAAAGUACUAUCCAUGAGACACGUUAAAAAUUAUUUUACAUAAAAAAUGAUAAUAAUCAUAAUAAUCGGUUAAGGAUCGACAAAAAUGUUAUAACCUAUAAAGCAUGGAUAAUUAAUUAAUGGGAAUGCACCUCUCAUCUUUACCAUUCUCUUUGUCAUUUUCAUAAUUCAGCUGUUUAUUAAUAAAGUGAAUAAAUUUAUCUUUUAAUAAUAUGUUUCUUGGCUGUUUUUUUGUGUAUUUUUGUGUACAAUUUUGUGUGCAAAUAGCAUUAUUCAUUAGUAAUUAGUUUGGAGUAGCUCAUUUUGAGCUUAGGACCUGUAACUAGUAUUUUAUGUUUCUGUUAAUCUUUAAUAAAGAUUUUCUCUAUUUUUUUUUCCCUUUCACUUUCUCUUCCAUUUUCCCCGACUCCCAAACACCACCAAUCCUUGAUUUUCCAGAGUAUUAGCUCUCUAUUUCGACAAACGCAUAACUGUUGUUUGUCUAACUACUUUCAAGAAAUAACGUAGUCUGUGGUUUAUUGACUUGCGAACGGGGCUAAUUAGUCACGGUCCGAUUGUCUGACUUCUCCAUUGACUCGGUCAAUUCACGACCUUGACCUGCACAGUUGAUACAAACGGACUUCUCCAUUUGAGGUGUACAAAACUUUCUUGAGUCAUUUUGUUUGGUGAUGAUGAAUUGGAUGUCAGUUCAUGAGUUUCAUGAUGAAGAGGACCAAAAACAUUAUUUUAUUAUUUAAAGAAGACUAACAAUUAUUUCGAUGGUCAUUUUAUUUUUUAUUUUUAAAUAUCCAAGGUGCUUGACUUCUUUACACAGAAUUACAAAGCAAAAUAAUUAAGAAACUAAAUACUCGUCAUCCAAGUGAGAAGAGAUUGGGUUGUUGAUACAUUAAAUAAAAGAAAAAUCAAUUAAAAGCACAACAAUUCAAUAAUUUCAUUCUCAAUCAUAUCAAAACUAAAACAAAUUAUUAGGGAUUUGCAGUUUUUUUUAGUGUAAUCCUCGUUAAUUACAGUUUGGUCUGAAGGGUUGAGCACAUGAGAAUAGAAGGUUUGAUCAUAGGAAAAUAAUAUAUCCCUAUCCGAUGCAAAAAUGAUUGUAAAGAAAAAAUUACAUUCCAUUUUCCAGUUAUUAAAGUAAUUCUAAAAUCACUAGGAUCACAAAGGAUAGGCUUUGGUUGACUGAGGUCAGCCUUAACGCAUGCCGGUCUUUUUCUCCUCUACAUUCUUAGAAAUUUUGGUUUCACUAUAAAUACUCGGUAUAUAGCAAACUUAUAAGUGUUCUUGCAUUACCAAUCCAACUAAGCACACGCUUACAAUAUAAAUACUCUCAUCUCAUGGAAAGAGUUCAUUCUUUCAGGAUGAUGAGCAGAUUUCUCUUACUCCAUUGUUUGAUUCUUAUUUCCUUAUUUAUCGCGGCAGCAACAGCCAACACAAGUUCUACUAUCACAGACCGAGAUGCUCUGUUGGCCCUGAAAGCUCACAUAACUCAUGAUCCGACUAAUUUCUUGGCUAAGAAUUGGAACACGAGUACUCCUGUCUGUAAUUGGACAGGUGUCGCUUGUGAUGUCCAUAGCCAUAGAGUCACAGUCUUGAAUAUUUCAAGCUUAAAUCUCACAGGCACCAUCCCUUCUCAACUUGGGAAUCUUUCUUCUCUGCAAUCACUCAAUCUCAGUUGUAACCGACUUUCUGGUUCCAUUCCCUCCGCCAUCUUCACCAUAUAUACACUGAAAUAUGUUAGUUUCCGUGAAAAUCAGCUCUCCGGCGCUUUCUCUUCUUUCAUCUUCAACAAGUCUUCUUUACAACAUCUUGAUUUUAGUCACAAUACACUGUCUGGUGAAAUUCCUGCAAAUAUUUGCAGUAGUCUUCCUUUUCUGGAUUUCCUUUCUUUGCAAGAAAACAUGUUCCAUGGCGGAAUACCGUCCACUCUAUCAAAUUGCACAUAUUUGCAAAAAUUAGGUUUGGUAUACAAUAAUUUCUCGGGGGCCAUACCUAAAGAAAUCGGCAAUUUGACCAAACUUAAGAUAUUAUAUCUUGGCGGUAACAGGCUCCAAGGUGCGCAUGAUCACAAAGUUUAAUUAUGAAAAUUGUUGCAUAAGUUGUAGUAUGAAUACUGUUCCAUAAUACAGUUUACACACGUUGAUUAAUUUUCAGGAGAAAUUCCUCGAGAGUUUGGCAAUCUCGCCGACUUGGAGCGGUUGUCGUUGGCAGGCAACAAUCUCCAAGGCAUGAUUUUAAACUUUUUGCAAUUUUAUUUUAGCCAUGCUUGCUUCUGUAUUCAUUCGCUUGUUCUUUAAUUAUGCGAUGAUUUAUUGUUUUUCUUUCAGAUAGAGAUAAAGCUCCAUGUCUCCCCUCACUCAUUUCAUUCUUUAAUUUAUGCAGAUAAAAAUAAAAUAAAAAUGUUUUGUAAUUUUCUUUUGUCAUAUUGCCACUUCCGUUUUGAAGCUCCCAAUUAAGUCUAUGAAAAUGAAUGAUGUUUCAUUCUUAUUCUUGUCAGCCUAAUUCUUAUAUAAUUGGAGAGUAAAUUGUUAUUAUGAUAAUCGUCAGCCAAUAAAUUCUUUUUUUUUUUACCCCAAAUAUGAGUGAUCAAAUUGUUUGCGCAUACAUAUAUGUACUUAAUUUGCAGGAGGUAUUCCACAGGAAUUGGGGAAUCUUGCAAAAUUGGAGAUGUUACAGCUGUUCCAGAAUAACUUGAUCGGUAACUUUCUUUACGAUUUAUAUCUGAGACAUCUUCCACUUCUUAAUUAAUAGAUGUCUUAAUUAAUAGAUUUCAAGUCUCUCAUUAUAAAUUCUCAUAUGAGGAUGUGUAGUUACCACUAUCUAACGUUAUUCCUUUUUUAUUAGAAAUUAGUUUGUGUUAAUUCAAAAUUCUGUAGCAUUUAAAAAAAUUAAAAACACGUGGAAUAAAUCAUCAAUCUUUCUUCUUUACUGAAUUUGGAUUUCUCAAAAAUAAUCUUGACAAGUAUGUUUCACUAAUGAUAUGCUUGUGUGACAACUUCAUAAAAUAUUUUACAUGGAAUCACUAAUUAUCUCUAAAGAUGCCAUCAGUGAUACAUAAUUUCUUAACAACACCAUACCAAAAGAAAUCAACAAUUUUAUUAAUCGUAAAGAGUUACAUCUUCAUUGUAAUUAUGACAUAAAUUUUUAGUCAUCAAUCGCAUAAUAUUUUAUCUUAACUGAUGAUGAUGUUCAGUCUUGGAAUUUAUAAUAUCUUGAAGGUUAGUAGCUUUAAAAAUAAGAAAUUGCUCAUUUGCUAAAAAGUUAACUUAGUAUUUAAGUUUUUCAAUUGAAAAUUUUGAAAAAAGCGUUGAGAACUGGCGCUCCAUGGUAUUUCAGCGGAUAAAUAUGAAAAAUAGGCUAGAAGAAAUUAUUUUACUGAAAUAAGAGUUAAAAAGAGAGGAGAAGUACAGUACUCACGACUUAGGCUUUCUGUGUGUGCUUAUUCUACUUAGGCUUUGGGCUUGAUUACGCCCGUUAUAAUAAUAGGCUUUUACUUUCAGCACACAUGAUGAUUUCUUAACCUUCUCAAUUAGGUUAUAGCAAUUUAUAUAUAAAUAACUAAAGCAUACUAAAGCUAGCAUUGAUGUACGGAUGAGUGGCGUCAAAAGUGUAUUUGUUUUUAUGUAUUAUUUAUUCUCUAAAACAUAUCUGAAUACAAUUCUUUCACAAUACCGAGGAAAUAGCACAUGAAAUCGGAAAUAUUUUAUUGCGAUGAGAAUUCGUAUAUUCAUUGUAGUAGAACAUAUAAAAUAGACUAUAAAUUCAUUAUUCUUUCAAGCAAACCUGAUUAUAAUUCCUUCAAAAUUAAGUUUGUCAUUAAAUGAUUUCUCAGGAGCCCUACAAAAAAAAAUCGGGAAUUUGACCAAACUCAAGUAUUUAUCUAUUGGCGGUAACAGGCUCCAAGUUGCGCAUGAUCACAGAGUUCAAUUAUGAAAAUUGUUGCAUAAGUUAUAUGGAUAUCCUUGAUAACCGCAGCAAGCAUACAAAAUCAAAUAAAAGCUAACUGAGACUCGAAUAUCCUAAACCCUGAAAAGGAAUGGUAAUGGUAUAAUAUGGAUUCUGUAGGCAUAUUUCACUGGACUCAACAUUUAUGGUUAAUUUACAACUCUUUGUUGUAAAGUCUGAGAAAUUGCUUUAUAUUAGGGGUGGGGAAAAUAAUUGUUGGGCCACAAAUUUCAAGCAGAAUCCAGAUUGGGCCCAAUUAGACUUAUAGCUCAGCUCUGUGUCGAUAUCUGGGUCUUUACAAAUAAUUAAUGGGCCAAUUAAUAAUAAUAAAUAAAUUGAGAAGGGUAUGAGUGAAAUUAGAUAUGAAUGAAUCUGCUAGUGUAUGUACACAUUUUUCUAAUUAAUGCGUUAUGAGCCUGCCGCUGCCAGCAUGGAAAUUACAGAAACUAAGGAGAGAAUUGACCCAUUAAUUAAAUUAAAAAGAAUACGGAAUAUAUAAGCAGUCAAAAUAUAGGUGAAGUAGGCAUGAAUUGUCACAUAACUAAAUUUGAGAGUAAAACCGUGACUUGGGUUUGAAUGUUUGAUUAAGUUACUUCUAUUUCAAGUUGCUUAUUUUGCGUGGGCUUCAGGCUUAAUUACACACAGUCGAACACUUAUACAGUUCCCCUGACAUAGGCUUUCACCUUCACCACACAUUUGAUAAUUUCUUAGCCUUCCCAAUUAGAUUAUAGCAAUUUAUAUAUAAAUAACUAAAGCAUAGAAAAGCCACCAUUGAUGUACGGAUGAAUGGUGUCAAAAGUGUAUCUUGUUUUAUUUAUUAUUGUUCUAUGAUACAAAUUUGAAUAAUGGAAUAUAAUGCUUUGAAAAUACCGAUGAAAUAGCACAUGAAAUCGGAAAAUAUUUUACUGCAAUAAGAAUUCAUAUAUUCAUUGUAGUAGCACAUAUAAAAUAGACUAUAAAUUUAAUUUUAAAAUACAUUCUUAUCUUCAUAUAAAUUUUACAUUACUAAUUUAAAUUAACAUUAAAAUAUGUUGUUUCUUUCACUAUGUUAUUUUAUUUACACAAUGAUGUGACUAUUGGAAUUAAUAAUAAUUAUAAUUAUUUUGUAAAAAUAUAAAUUUAAUACUUUGUUAACAUUUUAUCUACAUAUAAUAAUUAAACUGAAACUUGUAUUUAAAAAAUUCUAGUUACGCAUAUUCAUUUCACGACAUAAAAGUGUAUAUUUAUGCUAAUUUACCAUUGUCAACAAAAUGCUUUGAGACAAAUAAUCUAAUUUAUAUUUUUAUAUUUAAAAUACUUGCAUUUAUUAUAUUUUGAAAAAAAAAUUAUUUGCAAUUAUUUUAAACCGUUGGAUUCAAAUUUUUGUAGUUAUUAAAGUCAAAGGGUAUAAAUGUAUAAUAGUCAAAAAUAGAUUUGUAUGAUCAUUUUUUAAUGUAUAAAUUUUCUUAGUUAGUAGGAAAAUUAGAAAUUGUUGAUUUACUCAUAAAUAAAUUUAAUGUUUAGCAUUUCAAUUUUGGAAAACUUGAAGUAAAUGUUGAUAACUUUGAAUCGGUCGAGCCGAGUUUCUCUUCCUUGACCCACAGACCCAUUGAAAGUUCUAUUCGAAUUGAGUUUCCCGGUGCUUAUAAAAAGCUUUUCUUUUCCUUGUCGCAGUAAUUUAUUCACAAAUGAGUUGAUUAGCAUCGAAGUUACCUGAGAGUCUGAGACCAUGCUAGUAGGAGAAAUUUGAAAAGAAAUUAUUUUACUGAAUUAAUUUAUUUUAUCUUGUUGUAACUGAAAUACUACUUUUUUUUGGGCUAUCACUGGGGCUUGAUUUACUUUAAUAGUAGUAGCCACCGACUUAGGCUUUUUUUAAUUGUCACCACACAAUUUGAUCUUUUAAUUUGUUUUAACCACAUAAUCUGUCUAUCUAUCUCUCACCUAUUGCUUACUUAAAUCGCAUACAUAUUUUACCUACUAAUUUUAUAAAUAUUAGUCAAAUAUAUUUUAUUACGUUUCUCUCGUAACUGCUCCAAAUGUGUACUAUUAAUACUUAACCCUCGCUUUUAAUUUAACCCAAAAAUAUAAAAAUAAAAGAAAAAGAAUAUGUGUAGCAAUUUGCAUAUAACUAACAAAGCAUUGACGGUGUGUAGCCUUUCAAAACUUCACGGGUGGCUUUUCUUGUGUGUUAGUACUUGUAAUAAUUGUGUAGUGUAUAAAUGACAUUUUAUUAUUAAAGUGCGUCCAUUUUUAGAUAUUACUUAUUAUUUGAAAAAUAAUCUGAAUAUAAUUCUUUUAAAAUACAGGGGAGAUACCACUUGAAAUUGGUAAUCUCCAAAAUCUGGAGGAGUUGGAGCUUGCUCAAAACAAAUUAAUUGGUAUUGUCCCAGUUGCAAUCUUUAAUGUGUCAACACUCAAAAUACUUCAGCUUCAAAUUAAUUGUCUCUCGGGAAGUCUUUCAUCCAUCACAGACGUCCAACUACCAAAUCUUGAAAAGCUUGAUUUGUGGGGUAAUAAUUUCAGUGGCACAAUUCCUCGUUUCAUCUUUAAUGCUUCUAAGCUCUCUAUACUAAAUUUGGGAGGGAACUCAUUCUCCGGUUUUAUUCCCAACACAUUUGGCAACCUAAGAAACCUUAAAUACCUUUAUUUAGAAAACAAUUAUUUGACAUCUUCAACUCUAGAAUUGAGCUUUCUAUCCUCGUUGUCAAAUUGCAAGUCUUUAACACAUAUUGACUUAUCAAAUAAUCCACUAGAUGGCAUUCUUCCUAAGACGUCUGUCGGUAAUCUUUCUCAUUCUUUGGAAGAUUUUCACAUGUACAAUUGUAACAUUAGUGGCGGCAUCCCUGAAGAGAUCAGCAACUUGACCAACUUGAUAACCAUUGAUUUAGGAGGCAAUAAAUUGAAUGGAUCGAUUCUGAUUACUCUUAGCAAAUUACAAAAGCUUCAAGGUUUGGUUCUUGAUGAUAACAAAUUAGAAGGAUCAAUCCCAGAUGAUAUUUGUCGUUUGGUUGAGCUGUAUAAAUUGGAGUUGGGUGGCAAUAAGCUUUCAAGAUCAAUCCCUGCAUGCUUCAAUAAUCUGAUUGCUCUGAGGAUACUGUCGUUGGGUUCCAAUGAGUUAACUUCUAUUCCCUUAACUUUUUGGAACCUUAAGGAUAUCUUGUACCUCAACUUUUCAUCAAAUUUUUUGACUGGCCCACUCCCAUUAAAGAUUGGAAAUUUGAAGGUUUUGGUUGGAAUUGAUUUUUCGAUGAAUAAUUUUUCAGGCGUUAUCCCAACAGAAAUUGGAGGCCUAAAAGAUCUAGAAUAUCUCUUCUUAGGAUAUAAUAGAUUGCAAGGAUCGAUUCCUGAUUCAUUUGGUAAUUUGAUAAGUUUGAAAUUCUUGAAUUUGUCCAAUAAUAAUCUCUCUGGGGCAAUUCCUGCACCUUUAGAGAAACUCUCAUAUCUUGAAGAUCUAAAUCUUUCUUUCAACAAGUUAGAAGGAGAAAUUCCUAGGGGAGGAUCUUUUGGAAACUUCUCAGUUGAAUCAUUUAAAGGAAAUGAAUUAUUAUGUGGUUCACCUAAUUUACAAGUCCCGCCAUGCAAAACUAGCAUCCACCACACAUCAUGGAAAAUUUCUCUUCUCCUAGGGAUUCUCUUGCCAUUGAGUACUACAUUAAUGAUAGUAGUCAUUUGGUUGAUCCUAAGAUAUCGACAGAGAGGAAAACAACCAUCGAAUGAUGCUAAUAUGCCACUAGUAGCAAUGUGGAGAACAUUUUCAUACCUAGAACUUUGUCGAGCAACAGACGGAUUCAGUGAAAACAAUCUAAUCGGCAGAGGAGGGCUUGGCUCUGUUUAUAAGGCAAGACUUGGGGACGGGAUGGAAGUUGCAGUGAAGGUCUUCAAUUUGCAAUGUAGAAGAGCAUUUAAGAGUUUCGAUGUUGAAUGUGAAAUAAUGAAAAGUAUUCGCCAUCGAAACCUUAUCAAAGUUAUUAGCAGUUGUUCGAAUGAAGAGUUUAAAGGGUUGGUAUUAGAAUACAAGCCUCAGGGAAGUUUGGAGAAGCAUCUGUAUUCAAGUAAUUGCAUUUUGGAUAUUUUUCAAAGAUUGAACAUAAUGAUAGAUGUUGCAUCAGCUUUGGAAUAUCUGCACUUUGGUUGUUCAACUCCAGUAAUUCAUUGUGACUUAAAGCCCGACAAUGUAUUGUUAGAUGAUAAUCUGGUUGCUUAUUUGAGUGAUUUUGGCAUCGCGAAGCUCUUAAUUGGAGAAGAUCAGUAUAUGACUCAAACGCAAACACUUGCCACAAUAGGUUAUAUGGCACCAGGUUUGUUCAAUAUAAAUAUUUUCUAUUUCUUGUAAAUUUCCUAAUAAGUUAUUUAUGUUUCAUGAUCUUCAUUAGAUGAGGAAAUUAUUAUUAAUGAUAUAUCUUACUAUUUAACUGUUGCAAUUCAUAGAGUAUGGAAGAGAAGGACGAAUAUCCACAAAUGGAGAUGUUUAUAGCUUUGGAAUUAUGUUAAUGGAAACUUUUACCGGGAAGAAACCCACAGAUGAAAUUUUUAAUGGAGAAAUGACAUUAAAGCAUUGGGUUAAUGAUUGGCUACCCAUUUCCACUAUGGAAGUUGUUGAUGCUAAUUUGCUAAGUCAGGAGGACGUACAUUUUGUUGCAAAAGAGCAAUGUGUGUCAUUUGUCUUCAAUUUGGCUAUGGCGUGCACUGUGGAAUCUCCUGAGCAGAGAAUCAAUGCAAAAGAAAUUGUAACAAAGCUCUUAAAAAUUAGAGGCUCAUUACUUAGAAAUGUUGGAGGCAGAUGUAUAAGACAAUCAAAUUUAAAUUGAUUCUGCCACUCCAUUGCUUGCUAUCUUUUUCAGAGACUUGAACGGUUAUCCUUCAUACCAGUUUUGUUGAUAUGUUUUGUUAUUGCUCUUGCUCAUGUUUGUUUCUCUAUUUCUUUAAUUUGCAUGCAUGUAUUUUUCGUUCUCUUUUAUGUUUUUGUUGGUUUGUAUGUAGUUUGUUUUUAGGGGUAAGGUUGAUUAUGUCCUUCCCUAAUUACACGUAUCCUUUUUAUGUUUAUUCAAUAAAGCUUCUCUAAUACUAUCGAGGUUCAUCAAAAGAAAAUUUUUAAUUAAUUUUCUUUUCUUUGACAGGUAAUGAAAUUCUAAUCUUCAUAGUGAAUAACUUCAAUAAUAGAGUAUAAGAGUAUUAGUAGUUAUGGUUGUUUUUUGAACCUAAAGUCAAGAGCAAUUUAACAGCAACAAACAAGCCUCUUGUAUUAUAGGCAAAAUUCUUUUCAUUAAUCUUAUUUAUCUACAUGUUCUCCUUUUUUCUCCAUUAAUCUUCGCUCAAGCUUUCAUGCUUCCUCUUUGAUAAAGGAAAAUAUUACUUGCGAAUAUUUCAAUUUGACAUAAGAGACUGUUUUGCCAACCAUUUGAUAAAAUGGAUAUGAGUGGAGCUUUCAAUCAUUACCUCCACCAAAAUCCUUACAACGCCACUUUUAAAUUUUAUUUUUUAAAAUACAUUCAGUUUAAUUUAUAAAAAAUAAAUCCAUUUGUUAAAAUUAAUCUUUUUCUCAUAAAUUUCAACCUAAAAAAUAUAUUUCUUUUAAAUUUUUAAUUAUAAAAUACAUACAAGUUCUAAACUAUUAUUUUAUUUUCUUCUUAUUAUAUAGUUUAUAUCUCCAUAACUCUAAACUCCUAUAAUUUUUUUUAAAAUGUUUUUAAUUUAAAAUAUAAAUAUUAAGUAUAUAAUGGAGUGGGUAUAAAAAAAUUUGUUAAAAGAAUAAUUCAUUUAAGUAUUUAACUAAAUUUAAAUUAAAAUAAGAAAUAAGUUAAUUUAUUUUUUAUUAGUUAAGUAAUUUUCAAUUGAAAAAGAGCUGUAUGAGUAAUAUUAUUGAAAUAUGAUUAAAAUUCUUAUGAAUUAAAUAUUUUCGUAUAAAUACUAGUGAUAAUUACAGAGAAAGGACAAGGAACCAAAGAAAAUGUGAAUAUAAAUACUCCAAUGUAAUUUUACACAUGCAAAUUAUGAACCAGUGAUCUUUAGAGCAUCAUAAAAUUAUUUUGACAGAAUUACUUAUUUUGAAAAAUUGCCAACAAUGUUUAAAGUGGGAUUGAAAAGAUUAUACUACUUAUAUAAGACAUGAUAUCAUUUAAGAUGGCUUACGAAUUAUAAAAAAUAUAUUGAUCUUACAAAUAUUUAAUAUGUCAAUUAGACGGGCCCAGCUACCUUCCACCUGCUAGAAGGUACAUCUUAUUUUGUCCUCUAGUGUUGUGGGCGUUGGAUAUUUUAGAAGUUGAUCUAACGGUUCUUGUUCGACAGCGUGAAAUUGAAUUUCAAUUGGCAACCGUUUCAUGAACUUUGCAAGAGACAAUUAUCUACAAAAAUAUUAAAAAAAUAAAACCAAUUUUUCCCUUUCAUCAGCCGCCGCCGCCACCCACGAACCCUUAAUAUCAUCAUCACCAUCCCAAUCCUUAGUCGCCAUCCACAAGCUCUAACAACCACCAUGACCGCCAUCACAACCACCACUCCUCACAACCCCUAGCCACCACUACAAACAUUCACAAACUCCAACCAUAAUUGUCAGUUCACCAACAUUAUCCUCCAUUGACGCGGCCUACCAAUCAUCCACAACACCUAACCGUCGUCACCAACAAACUUUCGCCACCGCUUCCUACAAGGAAGCCUCACCACCCACCACCGCACACACACAAAGCCACACCAACCGCCAUACUAUUGCGACAGAGGCCACAAUGUAGACAAAUUCCCUAAGAGGAAGGAUGUUUUCCUUCUCCAGCUGACUAUUCUUUUUUAUCCUUUUUUUUGUUUUUUAAUUAUUAUAUUACUUUUAGUUAUUUUUAGUUUUUCUUUUAUUUUGUCUAUAUUUUGGUUGUUAGAAUGUUUUUGUUGUUGUUGUUGGCGGCAGUGCAGUUGUAGCUCAUGAUGAUGAUGGUGAUGUUGGUGUCAUUUUAAUCGAGAUUUUGUUUUUUUUUUACCGGCUACGCCAGUCAUCUUCAUUCAUUACAUGUCCAUUUCUAACAUGUUAGAUUUUACUACUUUUUAAUCCAAGGGUUAGACCACAACGAGACGAAAGAUGGGGUACCUUCCAAUGGGUGGAAGGUAGUUCGGCCCAAUUUAGACAGAGUCUAUGCAAUAAAAAUUUCAAAUUAAAAAAUAAACCUUUUAUUUUCUUUUAAUCAUAAGUGUGAUCUUAAUUAUUAACGUCUUUCAAUGUCCAUUACUUAUUUAUUUUUUUAAUUACCUAAAUGACAUUGAAAACUCUACUCAAUAAUAAUUCGUUCAAAUGUUUUAUUUUAAAGUAAUCGGAAACUGCAAAUGAAACAAAUGCUUGAAAUCACAAACGGCCUAAAAUUAGAUUUUCAUUUUUCAAUGUUGCAGUGACUUUGAUCUUGAUAUUGAAAAUUUAUUUGUAACUUAUAUAAAGGCCUCAAUUUUAUCAUAAUUGGUUAGUAAGGCUACGUAGGGAGCAUGGAUAAAUUUUGGGAUUGGAUUAUAUUUUCGAAGCUAAAAAAUUAAUUUCAUCUAAUGUUAUGUUUGGUUGUCAAGACUAGCAACUUAGUCUAAAAUUAUUGAAAUUACUAAUCUUUUAUAUUAUAAUCUUUUCGUUCCCACUUUAAACAUUAUUGGUAACUUAAAUCAUUUUUUAAAUUAAACAUAAAAAUCAUUUAAAUUAAAUAUUAACAUUAAUUUCAUAAGUUUUUUACCUAGAAUUUUAUAUUAUAUUAAAUACUACAAUUCUAUUCAAUAAUGUAUUAUCAUUUAUUUAAUAAAUGUUUAGGUUUUCAGUAUGUUAUAUUAUUAUUUAAAUUAAUUUUUUAUUUACAUAUAAACAUAAAUUUAUAUUUACUAAUUUAUAUUUAUUAUAAUUUAUUAAAUAAUAAAAUCUAAAUGAUUAUAUUUAAAAUAUAAUUUGUAUGUUAAUGUAUUAUAGCCUAAAUCUUACCCCUAUGAGUUUAUUUUUUCCACCUUUUAUUCUAUUAACCACAUUUAUAAGGCAGUGCGAUGCAACUAAAAAUUAUAACCAAAUAUAAGUUAGCAUGAAAAUAAUAUUUUAGUACAAUACAAUACAAUGUAAUAUAAGCUGACAAAUAGAUAUUUAAUGGAAGCAAAAAUUGCAUAUGGUUUGUCGGCCUCUCAAAAGACAGCAAAGAAACCAAUAUGAUACACUGAUUCUGUCCUCUUUAGCAGUGCCUUUACUAAAUAGGAAUAAAAAUGAAUUAGAAUCGGAAUAGAUUAUAAUCGAAAUGAGGAAUUAGAAAAAGAAUAAGUUAUUUAAUUAAGUUGUAUGAAUUAGAAUUGAAAUAAACUUCAUUCUAAUUGAUGUGUUUAUUUUCUCUUGAAAUUAGAAUGGACUAUUACAAGUUACUAAAAAAUCAUUUGGUAAUUGAUGUCUCUAGUAUUAUUUGUAUUUGUUAUAAUGUUAACAAUAAUAAGAAUAAAACUAAUACUAAAAAUGAAAAUAAUAAUAAUAAUAAUAGAGACAAUAAUAAUAAAAUUAAUAAAUUAUUAUUAUUAUUAUUAUUAUUAUUAUUAUUAUUAUUAUUAUUAUUAUUAUUAUUAUUAUUACUACUACUACUACUACUACUACUACUACUACUACUACUACUACUACUACUACUACUACUACUACCACCACCACCACUACUAUUAGUACUGAAGACCGCCCGGUAAAGAUUGGAUAGUGAAAAUGAAGACGACGAAGAUCCCGGCAACCACCUGCUACUCCAAAGAUGAUGUGCCCAAAUGGAGACAACCAGUGAUGACUAGCCAACUAGAUCCAAAUCUCGAUAUUGUGAUCUUGCAUGACCAUUGAUAAAGCGAUGUGUGAUGUCGGUGUUGUGAUUUCUUUUUUAUUUAUAUUUUUUAAUUAAUCAGGGGUAUUUUCAAAAUUUAGUAAUUUUAAUAUGGGCAAAUUGGAUAGUCUAGUGAACAGGAGACUAAUUCCCAAUCAUCCUAGAAAUUAGUCUCUCAUUCUUUAUUUUUAAUUUAAUGUGGGUUCCACUAUUUCGAUUCCAAUUCUUACAUUUAUUUAUAAAGUAAAUAAUGUUAAUGAUUUCAAUUUCCAAUUCGAAAAAUAAACACAUCAUAAUAUUUUUUUAGGUGCUUCCAUGACAUAAUCUCAUUGGUCCAUUUUUCUUCAUGCCUUAUAUUCAACUUCAAGAUUCAAGAUUCAAUUUGAAGCAAACACAACUACAAAACAAAUAUAAUAAGCGUUAAUAAGCCUGUGGCCAAGCAAAUGUAACUUGUAGUGACCAAUCAUAUCUUAUUAUCUUCCGCCAGAAGUUAAACAAUGUUCCCAUUCCACGUGUCACUCUCUGACCAAUCCCCGAACUUUCUUCAUAUUUCCAAAGAAACCCUCACCAAGUCAACAUAAUUACCUUCACUCUACUCAUAUAAAUACUGUCCUCGAUUCGACUGAUGUCUGAUGACGACAUAUCCUUGGUCUUUAAUUAAAGAAAAAAGGACACAGAGACUCCCAACGUUUGAAUAAGGGACAUAAAAUUUUUUAAUGUUUUAAAAAAGACACUCAGACCCCCAUUUGUUAAUAAUAAAUUAUAAUUUUACCAUUAUACCCUUAUAGCAUAUUAAAAAUUAAUUGUUCAUUAUCCAAUUUAUUUCCAUAUUAUUAAUAAAAAUUACGAAUAUAACUUCAUUACCCUAUUUUUCCAUUUAUUUUUUAUCAAAUUUUAUCUUCAAACUAAAUAAAUUUAAUCCAUUGCUCAAAAAUAAAAAUAAAUUAAAUUGAUUAUUAAUAUAAUACAAAUAACAAUUCUCCAUAUGUUAUUUCUUAUAAUUUCUUAUAUAUAAAUUAAAUUGAUAAUUUCUUAAAAAUAACAAUUCUCCAUAUAUAAAUUAAAUUUAUUUUAAUUUAAUAUAUGUUAUUUUUAUAUUAAAUAUAUGUUAUUUUUAUUAUAUUAGUAAUCAAUUUAUUUUUAUUCUUGAGCAAUGGAUUAAAUUUAUUUAGUUUGAAGAUAAGAUUUGACAAAAAUUAAAUGAAAAAAUUGAAUAAUGAAGUUAUAUUCGUAAUUUUAUUAAUAAUAUAGGAAUAAAUUAGAUAAUGAAUAAUUAUUUUUUAAUAUGUUAUAAGAGUAUAAUGAUAAAAUUAUAAUUUACUAUUAAUAAAUAGGGGUCUGAGUGUCUUUUUUAAAACAUUAAAAAAUUUUAUGUCCCUUAUUCAAACAUUAGGGACCUCUAUGUCAUUUUCCCUUAUUUAAAAGUGGAAAUUAUAAAAAAUUCUCCUCGUUCCCUAAAGAUCUAGGGUUUCUCGAGAAUCGCUAAACCUAGAUCCCAAUCCUUCAAAAUCUCAAUUUAACCUCUCUAGGGUUUCGAUUAUCGAGGAUUCGCUUCAAAAUUUAGUAUUUUUUAGGGGAUUUUGCUUGUCUCGUAUCCUUCAAUUGUUGUUCGGUUCUGAAAAUAAUUUGGAAUUUUAGGGAUUUUCAGAUUAUUUGGUUUUGCUUGAGUGCAAUUUCCUCUAGUUACGGUUUCAGUUUGAAGGGUUAAGUGCGAUUUCGAAUAUUUUUAUAAAAUUAAAAUUAAAAUUCAUAAAACGACUGGGCUUUUAAUAAUUAAUUGCUGGCUAGCGAUACUACAACGGCGGCCGCAGCUGCAGAAGAAGCAGAGGCGGUGGAGGAGUAUGAUAGCGAUCCAGAUGAAGUGAAACGCUCUCUUGCGAUGCGCAGAAGGGAAGCCAGCGAUGAGGAGGUUGAGGAGGAUAAAGAUUCAGAGCUUCCAAUAGUUCAAAGUGUCCACAUUCCUGCGGGAGAAGCGGAGGCUGUGGAUGAGUAUGAGAGCGAUCCAGAUGAAGUGAAACACUCUCUCAUUAUGCGCAGAAGGGAAACAAGCGAUGAUGAUGAGGAGGAGACAUAAUUUGAGCGUCGAAUGAAUUGAAGGGUCCAGAUUCACUCUUACAUUGAAUCUGAUGGCCAAGGUGGUGCUCCAGCUGAGUAUGAUGAUGAUGAUGAUGAAGAAGAGGAACAUGACAGAGAAUUAGAAGAAGAAGAUGAAGAAGGGGAUGUUUAUGAGGCUGUAGAGGAAGAAGAAGUUUAUGAAGAAGAGGGGAGGAAUGAUGGGGCGGUUAAAGUCAAAGGAAUAGAGGGUAAUGAUGCAUAAGGAGUACGGAGGGUGCAGUGGAAGUGAGUAAAGGGAAUAAUGAUAAUGGCAAUGGUGCUAAAAGAAUGAUGCAGCAGAGGAGAGAAUGGAGAAAGAGAAGAAGGAGAGUAAUGAGCCUUUUGUACAGCAACUGGGGCUUUUUGCACAGCAACUGGGGCUUCUUAUAUGGGACAAUGUUGCAGGUCGACACAGGUAUUAUUUGAUUUGAGUGACAAUUUAUAAAUAGCUAAUAGCUGUACUUUCAUUAGUGCUUGUCAAUUAAUCCAGUCUCGUUUUUUGGUGCUGUAUAAUGAUUGUUUGCUGGAAUCUGUGUAGAAGGCUUUUGGCCUAGUAGGUUGAAAGGAGAGAAAGUUCUCAAAUAAACAUCUGUGCUUUGUGGAAUAUAAUUAAUAGGUACAAAGCAUACUAAAUUACUUGACAGAGAGAUGCCGAGCUAAUCAUGAGCUAUGAUAGCAUCAUCCGUGCUUUGUGUAUUUUUAAUAGGGCUUGUCUAUUUCAAAGUGUGUAGUAAUUUUUGGGUUUAGUUUGAGUGAUGAAGUGUUAGAUGGGUUUCUGUUUGGCAUAGUUAAGUGGUUAAUACGAGCUAUUGAAGCAAAUAUGGAGUAGGAUAUCUAGUUUUGGGUUUGGUCUUAGUUUGAAGAUGGCUACUGAUUAUGCAGCUAGGUACUAAUUAGUGUUUGUGGAUUGCUAAAUGCUUUCUGUCAAAUGUGACUAGAUUAUUACUUGAAGUGCAUGGAUCUUACACUUAAUUAAUUAUAUAUCCAUUUGUAAUGUACAAAAUGAUCAUGUACUAUUGCUUAAAAUUAUGUUUUCAAGACAUCAUUUUGAAUCCAUGGUUGUAAUGUGUCUCUAAAUUCAGUAAGACAAGUUCUGUCAAUUGCUGUCGGAUGGCAGUGACUUGAAUAGUUUAAUGUUCAUUUGCAGAAAAAAAUUGAGAAAGAAAACUAAAAAUUUCUGUGCGUUCUGCUGGAAAUUUAAUUAGCUUCAUUUGAGCAUUAAUUGCUGGCAUUAUCUCUUAGAUUUCUCUUGCAUUGAAUGAAUGGAUGAGUGCUAAUCCAUGCAAAGACUUCCAUGCAUACACAAUGAAUGCUUCAUCAAAGGUAUGGUAAAAUGUCAACACGCUUGGCCCAAAUUAUCAAGCUGGUGUGGUGGCUGCUAGAUUUGUUCAUCCGGAUUUUGGACCAUUUUCAUUGACAAUGAGAAAAGCUGCAAGAUCUGUAAAUCGGAAACUCAUUGAAGUGCCAAAAGAGAGAUGGAAGUGAAUAACUAGGGAGUUAGUGAAAAGAGGGUGCAGUGAUUGUGUGGGAAGCUUUGGGUAUAUUUGGGGUUUGGAUGUAAGAUAAAAUAAUUUGAGAGAGAGGUUGUAACAAUUUUUCGGUAAUAGAGUUUUUCAGGUAACUCUUGUGUUGUGUGAUUGGAGUAUUCUCUAUUGUAUUUUUUUAUUUGUUAUUUAUUUGACAUAUUGCUAGCGGAGAUCUUGGGUGGGAGCCAAAAAUUCCCAACAAUUGUCAAUUGUUUUAAACUCUAUUUCGAACAGAGCAUGAAGGGAUUCACUUAUCUGAUUAUGUCUUUUAUGCUUUAACUUCACUUGAUUUCAUCUUGUCUGUCACCUUUAUUAAAGUUGUAUAUGUUGGAGUAUUAGGUUCAUCACAGGGAUCAUAUUAUGGCUAAGGAAGGGGCACAAGAGUAUUUGGAUUCAAGACUGUUAGAAGGUUGUUACAAUGCAAGGCUGUUGCUGUGUAACUGUAUGCCAUUCACGCAAGUGCACUCUUAACAGAUUGCUGAGCUGGCACCGGAUGUUUUUAGCUAAUAUUAGUUAUUGGUCUAGAGUGUUCUGAUUUAUUCUAUAAAUAGCUCAUUUGAGCUUAGAACCUUUAUAGUGUAUCAUACGUUUCCGUUACUUCUAAUAAUGAGUUUCUCUAUUCCUUUUUCUUUCACUUUCUCUUCCAUUUUCAUGAUCCCCAAACACCAUCAAUCCAUGAUUUUCUAGAGUAUUAGUUGUCUAUUUCUACAAGGGGAAAUAUCCACCGUCCACCUGAUUUUGUUUACUUUUUUAAAAAUAUACAAAUCCUAAAUUUUUUAGCUGCGCUCCACCUGAACUUAUAAUUUUUUUCACAUUUCCACCUCCGUCUGCAAACCGUCAAGGCGUUGCUGAUGUCAUAAGGCUAAAAUGAUAAUUUCACUUGGGCUUAAAAAACGACGUCGUUUAAGAUCUGUAAUAAGCAAAAAAAAAAGUUAUUUCAGUUUCAAGAAUCCAAACAAAAGCUUUGAUAAACUCGAAGCUCAAAGCUUAAUUAUUCUCUGGUCUCUACUCACCACAUUCGCAUUCAUGGCUGCACAAGACACACAAAUUGAGAGCGAAAAUAAAGACUCAAAAGAACCCAAAAACCUGUUCGCACACUUUAUAAACUUAUUAUUUUCUGCUCCAAUAUUUAAUAAUAAGCAAGAGAGAAAUAAAAGUGAAGGUGAAGAAAGAGAAGCUGCAGAGGCAAGCAAGAAACGAGAGGUGGUGAAAUUUUCGCUUUUAAAAAAAUAAAAAAAAGAAAGAAAAAGCAAAGGCAAAGCCAAAAUCUUCUACUCUGAAAGUCAUCGACCAUAGUCAUGGCGGAAAACACAGAAAUUGCUUCCAGUCCCAGAAAACAAGAAAACAAAAGCAUACUCUCGCGGUUGCCGAAAUUCCAACUCAAUCUCCAUUUCUUCUUUAAUCAACAACCUAAGAAAGUAGAAGAAACUGUUGUUUCUAAAGGGACUGCCAAAACGUCAACGGUUAGUGAAGCCGAUGACGGUAAUGCUAGUAGUGUGAAGCCGAGCUUGGCUAGGUUUCCAGACGCCACACGUCCGAUUCUUCCGCUGCCGAUUGAGCUCGAGGCCCAAGAGCCCGCCGGGCGGACUUCCAAUCCUGUCGUUCUCUGGCAGGUUCGCUUUCUUCCGUCUGUUCCUGUUUGGUUCCCGAGAAAAUGUGGGGUCCUUUUGUGUUGCGAGAUUGCGAGAUUUUAUAAUAUUUGUUUAAAAAAUAAAAUUUUUGAAAGGAUUUCAAGAUUUUCAGUCUUUAUCUAGGGCUACAAUACUCACAAAGUUAAUAUUUUGGCGUUUAUUGAGGGUAAAUAUAUAAUUUUUUAUUUUCGGGGUUAAAAAGUAAUUUGGACAAAAUUCCGUUAGUUUUAUUGACGGUUUACAGACGGAGGUGGAAAUGUGAAAAAAAUUAUAAGGUCAUGUGGAGCGCAGCUAAAAAAAUUAGAAUUUGUGUAUUUUAAAAAAAGUGGACAAAAUCAGGUGGACGGUGGAUAUUUUCCCUUUCUACAAACAUAAAAUUGUUGUUUUAAGAAACAAAGUACUCUGUCCUGUCACCCGCGGUCUCCUCGUUUAUCGACUUGUGAACAGGGCUAAAUAAACGGCAAAUAAGAUAUUAGGUCAAUGGGUCUAACGUGACAAGAUAUUGAAUUAUUGCCCUUUUCUUUUCUCCACAAAUCUUUGGUUAAUUUUUAGGUUCUCUCAACUUUUUUCCCCUUUAGCACUAAAAUUCAUUUUUGAUACUUUAUGCAAAAAUUAUGAUGAAAAUGAGUCACUUUAGAACAUUAAUAAAUUUUUAUUUUUACAUCCAAAAUAACGACAGUUACACUUAGAUCACUCUCAUUUAGUUGAACUAUAUAGGUAAUAAAGUUGGCUUAACAAAAUAUGAUUCUUAACUGUUGUAAUUAAGCACUAGUAUUCUUUGGUUUUAGUUGUAGGGCUUAUAAUGCCGUGGCUCAGUUCUUGGUGGGUUCAAAUUAUUAGACGAUCAUUCUCAAUCCUUUACGAUUCGUAAUUAAAAAUUCUUAUAUCACAAUUAGAACUUACAAACAAGUCAAAGUGGGUAAAAUCAUAUGUAUAAAUUCGAGGUUUAUUACAAACUUUUAAAAAAGAUUUUCUCUGUUUUUUUUUUCUUUCACAUUCUCUUCCAUUUUCUCAAUCCCCAAACACCACCAAUCCCUGAUUUUUUGAGUAUUAGCUGUCUGUUUCUACAAACAAGUUCUUGAAUUGAAUGGCUCCUCUUUUAUCCAUAGAUCUUUGCUUAAUAUUUUUGUUCCCUCAACCUUUUUCGGCCCUUUGCUCUAAAAUUCUUUUCUGAUACAUUAGCAUUACGCAAAAAUUAUGAUGAAAAUAAGUAUGCCAUGCCGGCAAGUGUAUUGUACAGAUUUCUAGAGUAUUACCUGUCUAUUUUUUUCACCGAUGACGAAGCUAAUUAUUAGUAAUCAAUCUAAAGUCUACCUAUAAAUACAAUAGGUUGCUUAGGUGGCACCAAUAUCCUAACUUUAUGCCAUGUUUCUGGUGUGUCUUCACAAAUUCACCGAUACAAAUUAAUUUCUACCAAUAUUACCAAAUGAUUGUAUUUUACGUUUCUAUUUACUUGUAAUAAAGAUCUUCAAUUUUAUUGGUUACAAAAUUCUCUAGGAUUGCAUGUACAUUAUACUUUUAUAUACAUAUUUUCUUCUUUCUCAUUCGUUUUCUGGGUGAACAUAUUAUUUUCGUCAUCAUCUCUAUAACAAUGAAGUGAAAAUAGUCCUCAUUUAAAGUAUUGACAGCAAUGUUAUACUCAAUAUAACGUAUAAAGCACGCAUAAUUUAAUUAAUGGGGCAGCUGCUAGUACCUUCUAUAGAAGAGAAUUAUUGCAGCAAGUUAAUUGGAAGCUCAAAGAGUUUCCGUAUUAGCCGAAUCUAAGCGAUAAGUGUUUCCAUGUGAGACAUAAUUUGGGAAAAAGACCAAUUCGAGUUAAAGAUCAGAAAACAAACACUGUCAACAAGCAUUAAUGUCAUUUGAUGCAUGAAAGACAAUUAGUCCCAUUUUUUUGUCCUGUUUACUUGACUUGGGCAAUUUGCCGUCAACUUUUCUCAUCCACGUCAGGUAAUGUGGCUUUUAUUUGGUAUGAAAAAGCCAAUGCUUUACGAUAAAACUAUCACACACAUAUUAUCCAUCUGUAAUGUUCAAAUGACACUCAAGUAUUACCUAAAUUAGCCUUUUAAAAAUUCAUUUUCAAAAACCCAUGGUUGUGAUGUGUCUCUAUAAAUUAAGAUCUAUCUGUUACCAACUGUUUUAACUCUGUUCUGAACAGAGCUUGAAAGGGUACAUUCACUUAUCUAGUUAUGUUUUUUAGGCUCUCACUUUAUUUGAUUCACCUUAUCCCUCUUUUGAAACAAUUGUUCACUGGCUGCACUCAGUUAACAGAAUAUUUUGGGAUUCAAAAUAACAUCUUAUUUUCUAAAAUAACUAAAUAGAAUCUUACAGAAUUAGAGUGCCUGACUUCUUCAUACAGUGCUUGACUUCUUUUUACAGAAUUAUAAAGUGAAAAAAUAAAUUAAGAAAUUAAAUACUUUUCAUGCGAGUGGAGAAGAUUGGGUGGCGAUUACAUUAAAUAAAAGAAAAAUAAUUUAAAAGUACAACCCUUUAAUAAUCUCAUUCCCAAUAAAUCGUUGAAACGUCUUGCUUCAUAUUGUUCUUUUUUUUUUUUUUGAUUAAUUGGCCUAAAUAUUGUAUUUUUGUCAGGAGUCUUGCAAUGCUGCGUAACACCGUAGUAAGAAGAAACGUGUCUAAGGUUGCCACGUGUUGUCUCAACAUCUGUGUGAAAACCGAAUUAACCAGUUUGCGUUCGACAACAAAGGAAAAUCUUUAUAACACCCUUUUUAAUUUUAUUUUCUGAAAUACACUCAGUUUUAUUUGUAGCAUAUAAAUCUAUUUAUUAAAAUUAAUCAUCUUUCCAGAAAAUAUCAAUCUAAAAAAUAUUUUUUUAAAUUUUUUUAUAAAAUACAGAUAAAUUCUAAUUAUAAAAUUUAUAUCUCUAUAACUCUAAACUCAUUUAAUUUUUUAAAAUUAUUUUUUAAAUUUAAAAUAUAAAUGUAAAAUAUAAAAUAAAUCCAUGUAUGUCAAUACUAGAUGGUUCCAUAUUAAACCUGUGAAGUGUAGAAAAUAAGCGGGAUUCGUAAAAAAUAUUUUAGAUAAUAACAUUGAAAAGUGAUAAAAAUAUUUUUUUUAAAAAAAAGAAAUACAUACUCGAGACACCAAGACCGGCACGCACAAACUCACACAUUUAUAUAUUAAUUGAGGGGGAAAAUGAUAUUCUAAGUAAUAUUGUUGACAUGUGAUAAAAAUUCUUUUUAGUGAAACAUUUUUGUAUAAAUACUAGUGAUAUUUGUAGAGAAAGUAGAAUGAAGUGAGAAAAACUUGAAUAUAAAUGCUCCAAUAUAAUUUCUCCCAUGCAAAUUAUGAACUAGUGAACUUUAAAGCAUCAUAAAAUUGUUUCAACAUAAGUAAUUAGUUUGAAAAAUUGCCAAUAAUGUUUAAAGUGGGAACGAAAAGAUUAUACUAUAUGAGACACGAUAUUAUUUAAGACAACUUACAAAUUACGGGAAAUGUAUUGAUCUUACAAAUAAUAUUUAAUAAGUACAAAUUUCAAAUUAAAUAAUAAACCCUUAAUUUCCUUUUAAUCAUAAUUAUGAUCUUAAUAAUUAAAGUCAUUCAAUCUUAAUCACUUUUUCAUUUUUUUAAACUAUCUAAAUGACAUUGAAAACUCUACUCAAUAUUAAUUUAUUCGAAUGUUCUGUUUCAAAAUAAUUGAAAACUGUAAAUGAAACAAAUGCUUGCAAUCACAAAUGGCCUAAAAUGGGAUUUUUAUUUUUUAAUAUUGCAAUGACUUUGAUCUUGAUAUUGGAAAUUUAUUUGUAACUUAUACUAAGUCUUCAAUUUUAUCAAAAUUAGUUUCUAGAGAUGCAUUUGCCAUACUGUGUAGUUGUAUUGUAUGAUGAUAUAUUACAUUAGAGUGCAUUGUAAUGAGAUGUAAUGCAAUACUAUUUUAUAUUAAUGUUAAAACUAAAUCAACCUUAUUUAAAUUUAUUAAUAUUUUAGGGUUUUAAUAGUAAUAUCUGAAAUUAAGUAUUAAAUAAUUAUUUUUAUAAUAUACAAAUUAUUUAAUAAUAUUCUACUAUUAAAUAAUAAAAUAUUACAAUAUUAUGUUAUAUUAUUAACAAUUAUUCUGUUAUAAUAUAAUUUAUUUUUAUAUAUUAGUUAUUAUAAUUUAUUAUAAUCAUAUUAUAAUAAUAUUAUAUUGUAAAAAUACAAUACUAUAUAAUUGUAUAAUAUAAUAUGAAUUAAUUUAUAACUUAACAUUAAAUUAUAAAUUUAUUUUAUUUAUUAAUGUCAAAUAUAUUUGUCUAAUUUAAAUUUGGUAUUUUUUUAAAAAUAAACUAUUAAAUAAUUAAAAUGAUUUUAUAGAAUAAAGUAAAAUAAUGUAUUAUUAUUUAUUAAUUAAAUAUUUAGGUUUAUUAAUAUACUAUAUUAUUAAUUAAAUUAAUGAAUAUUAAUUAAUAUAAAUAGUAUUAAAUAGUAUAUUAAUACUAUAUUAUUAAUAUACUAUAUUAUUAAUUAAAUUAAUGAAUAUUAAUUAAUAAUUUAAAUUUAUUAAAUAAUAAAUUUAAAUGAUUAUAUUUAAAAUAUAAAUAGUAUUUUAAUGUAAUAAAACCUAAAUCCCACAUGUAUACCACAUUUGUUAUACAGUGUAAUGCAACUAUAAAUUAUAAUUAUAUAAAAAUAAUAUUUUAAUACAAGUAUAAUGCCACUUGAGAAAUUGAUAUUUUAAUGGAACCAAAAUUUGCAUUUGGUUUGUGGGUCUCUCAAAAAAUAAUAAUAAAAACCAAUAUAAAACACUGAUUCUGUCCUCUUUAAUAUUUUUCUAAAUGCUUCCAUGGCAUAAUCUCAUUGGUCCAUUUUGUUUCACAGCUUAGAUUCAACUUCAAGAUUUUCAAUUUGAAGCAAGCUGUGGUCGACUGGCCGUGGCCAAACAAACGUGCCUCAUGGAGUCAUGGUGACUGAAUCAUCUCUUAUCUCAGAAUUUGAACUUAAACAAUUUGAACUUAGACUGUUUUUUUAUUGUCGAAGAUUCGCUUCAAAAAUUAGUAUUUUUUAGUGGAGUUUGCUUGUCUCGUAUCCUUCAAUUGUUGUUUGGUUCUGAAAAUAAUUUGUGAUUUAGGGAAUUUCGAUUAUCUGGUUUAGUUUGAGUGCAAUUUCCUCUAGUUACGGUUUCAGUGUGACGGAUUAAUUGCAAUUUCGAAUUUUUGAUAAAAUUUAAAUAUUUAUUUAUUUAUUUUGAGAAGGCUAGUGAUAAAAUUGGGCGGUUAUUAAUUAAUUGAUGGCUAGUGAUACUACAACGGCGGCCGAAGCUCCGGAAGAAGCGGAGGCGGUGGAGGAGUAUGAUAGCGAUCCAGAUGAAGUGAAACACUCUCUCGUGAUGCGCAGAAUGGAAGCAAGCGAUGAUGAGGAGGAGGUGGAGAAAGAAUUUGAGCGUCGAAUAGUUGGCGAUGAAUCUGAUGAAUCUGAUGCGCAGAAUGGAAGCAAACGAUAGGGCAGUUAAAGUCAUUGGCUGCACUCAAUUAUUAGAAGGUUGUUACAGAGGUAAGGCUGUUGCUGAGUAACAGUAUGCCAUGCUGGCAAGUUUGCUAUAGCAGAUUGCCAAGCUGGCACUAAUUAUUUUAAACUAAUAUUAGUAAUUAGUCUAGAGUGCUCUAAUUUAUUUUAUUCUAUAAAUAGCUCAUUUGAGCUUUGAACCUGUAACGUGUACUGUACUUUUCUAUUACCUCUAAUAAAGUUUUUCUCUGUUCUUUUUUCUUUCACUUUCUCUUCUAUUUUCCCGACCCUCAAACACCCUCAAUCGUUGAUUUUCUAGAGUAUUAGCUGUCUGGUUCUACAAACAUAGAACUGGUGUUUGUUUGUUUGUCUAAUUACCUUUAAGAAACAAUAUACUCCACCCUGCGGCCUCUUCGUUUAUUGACUUAUUACUUGUGAUCAAGGCUCAAUGAAGGGCAAAUAAGAUGUUGAGCCAAUCGGCCCAACAUCACAGAUCUUGAAUUGAUUGCCUCUUCUUUUCUCCACAAAUCUUUACUUAAUUGUUAUGUUUCCUCAACUUUUUUCCCCUUUUUGUGCUAAUUUUUUUUUUUGAUACUUUAUGCAAAAAUUAUGAUGAAAAUUAAUUAGUUUAGAACAUCAAUAAAUUUUUGUUACAUUCAAGAUAAGGACAAUUACACUUAGAUCACUCUUAUUUAGUUGAAUUAUAGGUAAUAAAAUUAGUUUUAACAAAAUAUGAUUCUUAACCCUCGUAAUUAAAGGCUCGUGUUAUUUGGUUUAGUUAUAACACCAUGCAACAGGUCGUCUUGGUGGGUUCAAAUUAAUAUACGAUCAUUCUCAAUUUUUAAUAGUUUGUAAUUAAAAAGCCCUACAUCACAAUUAGAAUUUGCAAACAUGCCAAAGUGAGUUAAGUCAAAACCUAUAAAUUUGAGGUCUACUACAAACUUCUGACAAAUUAAAUUUAAAACGAUUAAUUAAAUGCUAGACAAAAUUUAGCUUAUUAAUGUUCCUGACCACAUGAUGAAUGUACUUAAAACAUCCUAAUUGGUCACUAAUUGAUUAGUUAUUAUUUUUUCAAUUUCUUUUUAUAUAUCUUUGAAACUUCUAGUUUCCUAACAUAUUAUUUGCAAUUCGUGUAAAUUAUUAUUUUUUAAAUAUUAGAGCAACAACCAGUAUAAAAAUGAAAUGCACUCAUUUAAUGGAAAUUUUUCUAGAUGCUUCAAUGGCAGAAUCUCGUUGGUCUAUAACUCUCACGCCUUUGAUUCAAGAUUCAAUUUCAAACCAACGCCGAACAAACAGUAUAAACCUUAAUAAGUCUGUGGCUGUAGCCCAACAAACCUACUUCCGGCUCACCGAAUAAUCAUCUCUUACGUCGGAAUUUAAACUUAAACAAAGCUACAUCCCACGUGUCCCCAACUUUCUUCAUAUUUCCAUAAAACCCCUACCAGAUCCAGAUAAUUACCUUCACUCUUCUCGUAUAAAUAGAGAAGAUGAUGAUUCCUACAAAGCCACGUAAGUCAAGCGAACGUUACGGCCAUGGCACAUUGGAAUUGGAUCAAACCACCGGAAUGCAAAGCAAAAUUAACCAAAUAAACUAAAUUAGAUCCAACCAAUUGAAUCGGUUAAUGAAUCAGUUUAGUGUCACUCAAAAAACAAAUAAAUAUAUAAAACCACACAAUUAUCAUAUUAAUGGGGCACUUUUAUCAAACACUAUAGGAUCAACUAGUACAAAAUGAAUUCAUUUGGGAUACGUUUAACGUACUGUGCUAUGGUGUAUUGCAUUAACAUACAUUAUAUUAAGUUAUAAUGUUAUACUUUGAUAUAGUAUAAAUUGUAUUAUAUAAGGUAAUGUUUUAUAUUAAUGUUAAAACUAAAUUAAUAUUAUUUAAAUUUAUUAAUAUUUUAGGUUUUUAUUAUUAAUUUUUUAAAAUUAAGUAUUAAAAAUUAUUUUAUAGUAUAUAAAUGAGUUCAUAAUAUAUUAUUAUUAAAUGAUAAAAUAUUAAAGUACUAUGUUAUAUUAUUAAAAAUUGUUAUAUUAUAAUAUAAUUUAUUUCUAGAUAUUAAUUAUUAUAAUAUAGUAUAAUCAUAUAAUAAUAUAAUAUAAGUUAAUAUUAUAUUGUAAAAAUAUAAUACUGCACAAUUAUUUAAUAUAAUGUAAAUUAAUUUAUAAUAUAAUAUUAAAUUAUAAAUUUAUUAAAUAAAAUUAAAAUACUUUUUACGUAUUUAAAGUAAAAUAAUUAAAAUAAUUUAUGUAAUAGAAGUAUGAUAAUGUAUUAUCAUUUUCUCAUUAAAUAUUUUAGGUUUAUUAAUUUGUUAAAUUAUUAUUUAAAUUAAAAUUAAUUGUUUAAGUGUAAAUAUAAAUAUAAAUGAAUGUUUAAUAAAAUCUACUCCUAUGGAUCUAUUUUAUACACUUUUUAUUCUAUAAAUCACGCAUAUAAUGUAGUUGUAUAAUAGAAACUGGAUAUGUAAUGGAAGCCAAAUUGCGCACGGUUUGUGGGUCUGUCAAAAAAUGAUAAAAAGACCAAUAUGAUAGACUGACUCUGUCCUCUUUAAUAUUUUUCUAGAUGCUUCCGUGGCAUAGUCUCAUUGGUCCAUUUUUCUUCACGGCUUAGAUUCAACUUCAAAAAUCAAUUUGAAGCAAACACAACAAUUCAACAAAUAUAAUAAGCGUCGAUAAGCUUGUAGCUGACUGGCUGUGGCCAAGCAAAAUGUACCUCAUGGUUACCGAAUCAUAUCUUACGUCAGAAUUUUGAACUUAAACAAUGUUCUCAUUCCACGUGUCACUCUCUAACCAAUACCCAAACUUUUAUCAUAUUUCCAAAGAAACCCCUACCAAAUCAAGGUAAUUACCGUCACUCGGCUCAAAUAAAUGGUCUCCUCAAUUCAACUGAUGACGACAUAUCCUCAUAGUCUUUAUUUAGAAGGGGAAAUUAUAAAAAAAAGGGUUAUUUUUAGGAACUUUCCCUGAAGUUUAGUGUAUUAACAGUCUGAUAAAAAGUAUUUAUGUAAUUAUAAGUAUUUCCCUUAACAUUAGUAUAAAAAUACGUAAACGUCAGUAUAAAAAGGUAAACAAGUAAAAGUAAACUUGAAAUUUAAACAAAAUCAAAAUUCAAGCAAAAUAUGUUUCGAUGUCUGUGAAAUAGAGACUUAAACACACCAUUACCCAGUCCAAAGUCAUUAUCCAGUAGAUGAAAGAAAAUGAUUUUUUCACAAAGGGUACUUCUCCUCGUAAACACAGCUUACACUUGAACAAAACCCACCAUCAUUUUCAUCCAUGGAGAAGAAGCGUCUGCAACUCACAAAUAAUUUCUGAAAUCAUUGAUUUAUUUUCAUCUACUGCACAAGAUGACGUCGUGCGGUGGUCCAGAGCUUCCAAGAAGCGAGUAUUGCCAGCAUCUAGCAUCUACCGUGACUGGAAUUAGAUCGCAAGAAGAGGUCAGUCUUCGAAAACACAGCUUGCAUGCUUGAAUCAGUGGCUUACAAGAUAUUGUUGUUAUUUUAUUGAUUAAAAAUAACAAUGGGUCUGUUUUAAUGAAUGAAAAUGGUGUUGGAUGUUGUUUCUCUCUAGGGUUGUUAGUGUUGAGUUGAAAAAAACUAUUGGGUAAUGACUGAUAAGAGCAAUUUCCUAAUGAUUUAAGAGCUGUGUAAGUACUAGAUGUAGUUCAUCAAAGAUGGGUUUCGAUUUGCUUAUAAUCUGAUAAUCUUUUAGAGAACCCACAGUGGUUUAUGUGAUUGUUCAGUUUGGGGUCAUGACACUAAUUGAGUUGUGUGCUAGUUUCGGUUUGUGCAUGCCUUUGGUGUUCUUUUGCCUUAUUGUUGUAAUUCCUUCAAUAAUUUGGCGGUGUUGUUUUUUUUUUUUUUUUUGAGAAGGUAAUUUUGUAUUUGCUAAAUAAUGUGAUUGUAAUCAGAGGUAACUUAAGUAUAUUGUUCUACACACAAUUUUUGCUCCCACGUGAGAUGUUCUCUGUGUUUUUGUCUAAGGCUUUUGUUUGUUAUUCAAACUAGAAAAUAGUGGAUGCAAGACUAUGAAUUUGGCAUGUGAUAAACUUUGAAAUUGCCCUUUUUCUAGAUUAAAAAAUAUUGACUUGCCAUUUUCCUUGUUUGAUUCUAAUUUUCAAACAAGUGUGCCGAAAUCUUAAGUUCGAUUACAUGUUGUUUAUUGUAUUUCUUAUUUCAAAGUCUGUAAUCUAUCUGCGUGCAUCAUUUCAGAAGAAGAAUAAGCAGCUGCAGCAAGUCCAUUAGUUUAGGUGUUCCGAGUAUGACAGAGAUGAUGCUCUAGAUCCAGGUUUGAGGCACCAACAAAACUCGAAGAUAUCAAUUAUAGAGUGGGAUUUUCAGGACCUGAAAUCCAAUUUAAUAUUUACUUGAUCUGGGUUUAAAUAUGGAUGGAGCAAAGAUUGGUAUCAGAAGGGUUUUAUUGUCGGUGCCAACGCCUGUACUAUCAAGUUUACAAUAUGAAAAUCAUUUCUUUUAAUAGCUCUGCUCUUGUGGCAUGUAUUAGUUAUGAAGUAGUUUGUAAUAAAAAAAAAAUCACAAUAAUAAUAUGCAUGCAGGAUGCAGCUAUGCCGCCACACAUUAUUUCAAUUUUUUUAUUAUUUUGCAAUGUCAAUUUUUUUAUUAUUUUGCAAUGUCAAUUUUUUUAUUAAGCAAUUUCAUUUUUUUAUCCAAUGGAUAUUUUCAUCUUCUUAAGUAAUUUGUGAUUUUGGCACGAAUUACCCAUCAGUUCAUCAGCGAAUAAAGAAAUAUUUUGACAGGAAGGGUAUUUUUGGAUUUUCAAUAGUCAACUAACAGUCCACUUAACAGAAUACAAAUGUCAGGGGAGGUCUUUGUAAUUACGUGAAUACUUUCUAUCAGAAUGUUAAUACACCAAACUUCAGAGGAGGUCCUUAAAAAUAACCCUAUAAAAAAAUCCCCUCGUUCUCUAAAAAUAUGAGGUUUUCUCAAGAAUAGCUAAACCUCCAUCACAAUCCUGAAAAAUCUCAAUUUAACCUCUCUAGGGUUUCGAUUGUCGGGGAUUCGCUUCAAAAUUUUGUAUUAUUUUAGUGGAUUUUGCUUAUCUCGUAUCCUUCAAUUGUUAGUUCAGUUCUGAUAAUAAUUUGGAAUUCAGUUUGAAGGGUUAAGCGCAAUUUCGAAAUUUUUUAUACAAUUUAAAUUAAAAUUGAUAGAACAAUUGGGCGGUUAAUAAUUAAUUGAUGGCUAGUGACACUACAACGGCGCCCGCGCCCGCAGCUCCGGAAAAAGCGGAGGCGGUGGAGGAGUAUGAUAGCAAUCCAGAUGAAGUGAAACGCUGUCUUGUGACGCACAGAAGGGAAGCCAGCGAUGACGAGGACGUGGUGGAGGAGUACGAGAGCGAUCCAGAUGAAGUGAAACACUCUCUCGUGAUGCGCAGAAUGGAAGCAAGCGAUGAUAAGGAGAAGGAGGAUAAAGAAUUCGAGCGUUGAAUGAACCGUAGGGUCCACAUUCAUUCUUACGAUGAAUCUGAUGGCCAAGGUGGUGUCCAGCUGAGUAUGAUGAUGAUCACCUCUCUCGACCAGUUCAGGUUCAAGGGAAGGGUGCUCGAGGGGUACUUGUCUUGUUUAUCAUUUUUGUUUAAUUUUCAUAAAUUCGACGACCCACAAUUCAAUUAUGAGUGAAGAGUUUGUUAAAAAACUGUGGUCUUCCAUUUACUAUAACUAAGUCCGUGUGAUGUAAUUAUUUUUCUGUCACUUAAAUGUCUUGAAAAUUAUGAAUACAUUGUAGGAUUUAGAAGGAUUCUAAAGUUUUAAUGCAUAUGGGUUUUUUAUGUCCAUCCACUUAUGCGUAUGCUGCAUUUUAUGAUUAUCGUAGUUGGUAGAUUGACAAAUGGACCUUAAUUACAAGUCAAAUAACCUAAAUACUUAUCGGCCAAAGGAAGCCAUUUAUAGUAAUUUCUAGUGAAGCAAAGUAAAAUGAUUCAUACUGGCAAAGAAAAUUGGAAAAGAAAAGGAGGAUUACUGAUCCACACAGUGUCGUUUACUAAAGGUACGUUGAUCUUACACUUAAUUUAUUAUAUAUCCAUUUAUAAUGUUCAAAAUGAUAAUGUACUAUUUCUUAAAUUAGGCUUUCAAAACAUCAUUUUGAUAAUGCAUAGUUGUGAUGUGUCUCUAAAUUCAGUAAUACAAGUUCUUUCCUGUUACUAAUGGAUGAAGUGACUUGAAAUAGUUUAAUAUUUAUUUGCAGUAAAAAAGUUGAAAAAGGAACUAACAAUUUACAUGCGUUUUGCUGAAAAUUUAGUUAGUUUCAUUUGAAACUUGCAUGGGCAUUAAAUGCUGGCAUAAUCUCUUUGACUUCUCUUGCAUUUGAAUGAAUGGAUCAGUGUUAAUGCAGGCAAAGAUUUUCUGGACUUUCAUGGAUGCACAAUAAAUGCUACGUCAAAGGCCUGGUAAGAUGUCAGCAAGCUGGUCGAAGAUAUCAACCUGAUUUGGUGGCUGCAAGAUUUGUUCAUCCAGGAUCGUUUUCUUUGACAAUGAGAAAGCCCCAAUGUCUAUAAAUUGAGAACUCACUGAAUUGUAGAGAGAGAGAGGAAAGUGAAUAACGGGAGAGCCAGUGAAAAGAGAGUGUGGGAAGAUUUGGGUGUAAUUGGGGUUUGGGUGUGAGAUAAAAUAAUCAGAGAGUGGUUGUAAUAAUUUUUUAUAUAGUGAAAUUUUUUUGUCUCGUUAUUUUUUGCAGUGGUGGUUUUUUACUCUAAUAAAAGAGUCUUCCAAGUAAAUUUUGUGUGUUAUGAUUGGGAUAUUCACCAUUUUAGUUUUCUAUUUAUUAUUUGUUUUACAUAUUGCUAGUAAAAAUCUGGGGCGGGAACCGAAAAUUCCCAACAAUUAUUAAUUAUUUUAAACUCUGUUCUGAACAGUGCAUGAAGGAUCAUAUUCACUUCACUUCACUUCACUUGAUUUCAUCUUGUCCCUCUCCUUUAUAAAAGUUGCAUAUAUUGGAGUAUCAAGUUCAUCACAAGGAUCAUAUUCUGGCUAACGAAGGAGCACAGUUCAUUGGCUGCACUCAUGUGUAGCAAAGUAUUUGGAUUCAAGACUGUUAGAAGGUCGUUACAGACGCAAGACUGCUGCUGUGUAACGGUAUGCCAUGCUGGCAAGUGGGGCAGUGCGCUAUAACAGAUUGCGGAGGUAGCACCAAAUAUUGUGAACUAGUAUUCGUAAUUAGUGUAGAGUGUUCUGAUUUAUUCAUUUGUGCUUAAAACCUACAUGUAUUGUACGUUUCUAUCGGUAAUUUGUUCUGAUUUUUUUUUGGGGCCAAUUGCAGUUUUGAUAACAACUAAAAUCUGUGUGGUCCGGUUACCACAAAGCCUAUAAUGAUUGCAAUUACUGUAUGAUCAUUUCCCCAACUAUUAUUUGAAUAAUUGGUCCAGUUACCACAAAGCCUUGCCCCAGAUCCCUGCCAUUUUCUCCUCCACCUCCAUUUGGGGAAAUUACUACUUACUUUUUGCAAGUUUUUUGUGAAAUAUUUAUUUUGAGAAGAAAACCAACAAUACAUUUUAUGAUUUGGGCUGUUUCAAAGAUCUUCGCUUGAUGUCUCUGCUACUGGUUUUCAGCAGAGUGCCCAAAAAUAGUUUUCAGCAGUACAAAAAGUAUAUAUUUUGUACCUUCCAUACAUUUUGCUUUGUUAAUGUUAUUAUUUGAUAACAUGUUUGUCGAGUUGCACAGUGUAUAAAUGCUAUACAAAUACACUCCUUUCAUUUUAUACAACUUUGAUUGAUCAAGUUGUAUCUCUUUGAUAAUAUGUUCUAUCUCCUUUCAUUUUAAACUUCAAUUGAGUUGCUAUCUAUUUAACUUUGGCAAGUCAGAGAGAGGGAUGGGACUGUCCAAUUAAAAUUAAGUUCCAAGUGCCAAUCCCACCAUUGUCGUCUCUUGUUUGCCAAAUUCAAAUUUGAAAAUCUCACCAAGUCAGUAUGGUGAUGUUGUGGGAUUGUCUGGCCUAGGUUUUUAGCCUCAUGAACUCCUUUAUUAGAAAAAGUCUUAAGUGUUCUUACUCAAUGGUAGAAUCAUAAUUUUACUUCAAUGGAAGCCAUAAUGAUUAAAAUAUACUCUUUUGAUUAAUUACUUAUUUGAUGUUGCUCUCUCUACCUUCAUCUCCUUCUUUAUGAAAAAUUUAUUGUAAUACAUGGAAGUAUAUAUUGCAUUGAAUAAAAUGAAAUUGUUCAAAAAUUAACAAAUUCAGCUUUAUUAUAAUCUAAAACAAAGUAAAUAAAAUAAUACCCAUCAUGUAAAAAUAAAAAAAUAAAAAUUUUUGUACCACUUUGAAUCUAUUUUAAAUUUUUUUGGUCAAAUCUCAGAAGCACAAACUUUGAACAAUAAUAAUAGGUAAAAACUAAUAAUCUUAUAAUAAAAAGUAAGAAAAAAAUAAAGUUGAUUUAGCAUGUAAGAAUAAAAAAAGAAAAAUAGAAAGAGAGAGAAAUUAGCUUAGGCUUUAACUAUUGUUAUAGUAGAGAAGUAAUUUUAUGACCUUUUAGAAAUGAGUGAAUUAAAAUAGUAAGUUAUAAUUUGAUAACUAUCUUAAUUAAAAAAGUGGGUGUUGAAAUAAAAUUAAUGGAUUCAAAUAGCCCACCCAAAAUCCAAAAUUGCAUACCAAUUAUUUUCUAAUUUACAUAAAGUUCUUCUAUUUUUUUUUUAUAACAUUUGAUUCUCAAUUGGUCUAAUGGAGAAACAACCAGCAAAAAAAUAAAAAAUAAAAAAUAAAAAAUAAAAUGAAUGCAAUUAAACCGAAAUUCGUAAAAGAGCCGUAUGACAUUUAUGUGCAAGCAAAAUUGCAUUCUGUUUAUGGGAUCCUGGAAAAAAUAAAAGAAAGAAAACAGAGUAAGACGCUUUCGCUGUGGGCUUUAAUAUUUUUCUAGAUGCUUCCAUGGCAGAUUCUCGUUGGUUGAUUUUUCUUUACGCCUUAGAUUCUAUGAUUCAAUUUCAAUCAAAUACGACAAACAAAAGAAGCUUUUAAGCCUGCAGCUGAAAUAGAUGGUACUUUAAUUUUCAGCUGAACAUAUAUAUGGUAAGAUUAUUAUUAUUGAGCUUGAUGAGGCUAUAGAAAAUUCAAUAUCGAGAUCGGAUAAGGGUCCAAUAAAUUAUAAAAAUAAAGCAGCUCAAAGCCCAUAUGAUCAUGGGCCAGGCCACUACUUGCUCAUGCUUUGAAUCAAAAUUAGUGACGUUGGAAGCUGAAAGGGGCAAAUGAUGAAAUGGGGUUCAUCAUAUAGUAUGCCCAACGGGGUAAGAUCAUCAUUUAAUUGCCUCCUCCUCUUGUCGAUAGAUAUUUGCCUAAAUUUUUCUAUUUAAAAAAUAUUAUAUUGGUUAGUAUAAUUAGAAGUUUUACAAAAUAUAAGUAUAAUUUUUAAAAAAAAUUAUAUUUGUUAAUCUAAAUUUACAUCCAAGAUCACGACAAUUACACUUAGAUCACUCUUAUUUAGUUGAAUUAUAUAUGUAAUAAUGUUGGCUUAACAAAAUAUGAUUCUUGAUCGUUGUAAUUACGAGCUGGUAUUCUUUGGUUUUAGUAGUAGGGCUUAUAACGUUGUGCAACAGUUCUUGGUGGGUUCGAAUUAUUAUACGAUCAUUCUUAGUUCUUUACGAUACGUAAUUAAAAAUUCUUAUAUCACAAUUAGAACUUACAAACAAGUCAAAGUGAGUUAAAUCAAACGUAUAAAUUCGAGGUCUAUUACAAACUUCUAAAAAAGAUUUUCUUUGUUCUUUUUUCUUUCACUUUCUCUUCCAUUUUGCCAAUCCCCAAACACCGCCAAUCCUUGAUUUUUUAAGUAUUAGCUGUCAAUUUCUACAAACAUAGAACUGCUGUUUGUUUGUCUAAUUACUUUCAAGAAACAAAACUGUUUGUCAUGUGGUCUCUUCGUUUAUUGGCUUGUGAGCAAAUAAGAUAUUGGGCCGAUGGGCUUAACGUGACAAGUUCUUGAAUUGAAUGGCUUCUCUUUUUUUCAUAAAUCUUUGCUUAAUUUUUUUUGUUCUCUCAACCUUUUUUGGCCUUUCGCGCUAAAAUUCUUUUUUUGAUACAUUAUGCAAAAAUUAUGAUGAAAAUGAGUUACUUUAGAACAUCAAUAAAUUUUUAUUACAUCUAUAAUAAGACAACUAUAGUGAGAUUAUUCUUAUUUAGUUGAAUUAUAUGUAAUAAAAUUAGUUUAACAAAAUCUAACUCGUUAGUAUUCCAUAUCACAUGAUUAACGUAUUUAAAAAAUCUUAGUUGUUCCGUCGCUUGUUUUACAAUUCUUUUAUAUAUCUUUGAAACUUUCUGCUUUCUGACACAUCAUAUUGUUCUCAAUUCGUCAAAAUUAUUUGUUUCUUCAAACACUGCAGCAACAAUCGGUAUAAAAAAGAAUGAACUCAUUUAAUGGGAAUUUUUCUCAUUGGUCUAUUUCUCUUCGCACCUUAGGUUCCUCUAACAAACUUAAAAGAUGUUCCCCAUCCCACGUGUCUCCAAAUCUUCGUAUUUCCAAACAAACCUCUGCCAAAUAGAGAAGAGGAUGGCUUUUAUUGCAAACUGUAUGAGCGUUAUGGCCAUGCAUGGGACAUUGGAUCCAAAUGAAACCAAUGGAUUGUAAAGCAAAAUUACCGAUUAAAAAUUCAAACAAUUGAAUCGGUUUGGUGUCACUUAAAAAAAUAAAUAAUAUAUAAAACAACACAAUUAUCAUAUUAAUGAGCCACUGUUAAAUUCAUUCAGUCAGUAUUUUUCUUUUCCCAUUUUCAAUGAAUGCUUAAUAUGGAAAACAAUAUGUCCCAUUGAGCACUGUUUAAAUCAUUCCCUAGUUUGUUUAACACGCAAAGAAUAUUCUUAUUCAGCUCGGCAGCCAAUCCGUUAAAAUUUAUUAAAAUUCAUUUAAGUGAUGACUGUGAUAUGACUCGAUCAAUCGUUUAAUUUGUAUAAUUUAUAAAAAUUUGAGCUUCAAGUAAUGUAGAUAGAAUGGUUAAUUAUUUUAAUAUUAAGAUAAAUUGAUAUAUGUCAUUAUAUUAUGAGUGGAUGAAAUAUCCAAUAGAAAAAAAAAUGUUUAUAUUCGUCAUUUUUAGUGGGAAUCUAUUUAGUGUAACUUAUCCAUAAAAAUGGUUGACGACUUAUCUUGGUUCUCAUUUUGUUUAAUUUUCAUAAAUUUGACUAAUGAUUAAUUGUGAGUGAGUGGGGCUAAUUAUCCGUGGGGCGGCAUCAGUUGCUGCUUGAGUGGAGCUGCGCUUUAUCCAUAAAUCUGGUCUUCCAUUUAUUUUGUAGGAUUUAAAAGAUUAAAAAACUUUAAUACAUAUAAUUUUAUGUUCGAAACUAAAUACUGGUAGCAUUGCUGCUUCUAUAAAUAACUCAUUUGUGCUUCCAACAAUAAUUCACGUUUUUGUUUCUCUUCAUAAAGAUUUUCUUUUUUUUUCUUUUUUCCAUUCACUUUUUCUUCCAUUUUCCCGACUCCCAAACACCACUAAUCCUUGAUUUUCUAGAGUAUUAACUGUCCGUUUCUACGAACAUAGACCUACAGUUUGUCUAAAUACUAUCAAGAAACAACGUACUCUGUCGCGGGAUCUCUUCGUUUAUUGACUUUUGACUUGUGAACGGGGCUAAUUAAAGGGCGUUCCUUUCUUCAAGAAAGAAUGCAAAGAAAGUACUAUCCAUGAGACACGUUAAAAAUUAUUUUACAUAAAAAAUGAUAAUAAUCAUAAUAAUCGGUUAAGGAUCGACAAAAAUGUUAUAACCUAUAAAGCAUGGAUAAUUAAUUAAUGGGAAUGCACCUCUCAUCUUUACCAUUCUCUUUGUCAUUUUCAUAAUUCAGCUGUUUAUUAAUAAAGUGAAUAAAUUUAUCUUUUAAUAAUAUGUUUCUUGGCUGUUUUUUUGUGUAUUUUUGUGUACAAUUUUGUGUGCAAAUAGCAUUAUUCAUUAGUAAUUAGUUUGGAGUAGCUCAUUUUGAGCUUAGGACCUGUAACUAGUAUUUUAUGUUUCUGUUAAUCUUUAAUAAAGAUUUUCUCUAUUUUUUUUCCCUUUCACUUUCUCUUCCAUUUUCCCCGACUCCCAAACACCACCAAUCCUUGAUUUUCCAGAGUAUUAGCUCUCUAUUUCGACAAACGCAUAACUGUUGUUUGUCUAACUACUUUCAAGAAAUAACGUAGUCUGUGGUUUAUUGACUUGCGAACGGGGCUAAUUAGUCACGGUCCGAUUGUCUGACUUCUCCAUUGACUCGGUCAAUUCACGACCUUGACCUGUACAGUUGAUACAAACGGACUUCUCCAUUUGAGGUGUACAAAACUUUCUUGAGUCAUUUUGUUUGGUGAUGAUGAAUUGGAUGUCAGUUCAUGAGUUUCAUGAUGAAGAGGACCAAAAACAUUAUUUUAUUAUUUAAAGAAGACUAACAAUUAUUUCGAUGGUCAUUUUAUUUUUUAUUUUUAAAUAUCCAAGGUGCUUGACUUCUUUACACAGAAUUACAAAGCAAAAUAAUUAAGAAACUAAAUACUCGUCAUCCAAGUGAGAAGAGAUUGGGUUGUUGAUACAUUAAAUAAAAGAAAAAUCAAUUAAAAGCACAACAAUUCAAUAAUUUCAUUCUCAAUCAUAUAAAAAAUAAAAUUUACUGUACAUUGUUGUUCGGUUCUGUAAAAAAAAAAAAUUAUUAGGGAUUUGCAGUUUUUUUUAGUGUAAUUUUCGUUAAUUACAGUUUGGUCUGAAGGGUUAAGCACAUGGAUCAUAAUCAUAUUAUGGCCUAAGGAAGGAGCACAGUUCAUUGGCUGAACUCAGUUUACAGAAUAUUUUGGGAUUCAAGACUUCAGGUUGUUAAAAAUGCAACUUGCAAGGCUGUUGCUGCGUAACUGUAUGCAAUGCUGGCAAGUGUGCUAUAACAGAUUGUUGAGAUAGCACCAAAGAUUGUAAACUAAUUAGUACUGGAAAAUCCUAUUUGCACAAACAAUUGCACAAAAUAAAUAGAAUGAGAAUACUUAUGCAAAAAAAAUAAGAUUAAUAAAGUGAAUAAAUUUAUCUUUUAAUAAAAUAUUUCUAGUCUUUUAGUGUUUUCGUGUAUUUUUGUGUACGUGCAAAUAACAUUACUCAUGAGUAAUUAUGUUUUACGUUUCUAUUAUUUUCUAAUAAAGAUUUUAUCUGUUUUUGUUUUUUUCCCCCCUUUGAACGGGGCUAAUGUUGGUCUAACUGCUUUCAUGAAACAACGUACUCUGCGGUUAAAAUUAAUUGAUCAUUUUAUUUGGUGAUAAUGAAUUGGUUGUCAAGUCAUGAGUUUGAUGAUGCACAGGACGAAAAACGUUAUUUUAUUAUUUAAAAUAUGACUACCAAUUAUGUUGAUGGUCAUUUUAUUAUUUAAAAUAUGCAAAUGGAAUCUUACCGAACUAUAGUGCUUGACUUCUUCAUACAGUGCUUGACUUCUUUGUACAGAAUUAUAAAGUGAAAGAAAUUACGAAAUUAAAUACUUUUCAUGCGAGUGGGGGAGAAAUUCUGUAUAUUUAUGAAAUAACUAUUGAUUUCACUUCGGUAAUUACUUUUUAAAAGUAACGUAAACAUUUUUAUUUUAUUUGCAUUCGAGCUUUCUUUCUUUUUCGCUGGCCUUUACUCUUGACCGUAUUUUCAUGGGGCAUAUUCAAUCUGAAUCCUCUGCAAGUUUGUGGCAGUUUGGUUAGUUACGAACUUUUGUAGAAUUGCAUGAAGAUGACGCUUUUAUAGACAUUUUUUCUUUUUUCUUUUUUUCUUCAGUGAACAUAUUAAAAAUUUAGUUUUUUGUCAUCAUGACUAGAACAGUAAAAUGAAAAUAGUCCUCAUUUCGACGAUUGACAAAAAUGUUGUACUCAUACCGAUUAAUGGGACACUGAUUUCGUCUUCUUAAAAAAUUAUUAUUGCAGUGAGGUAAUUGGAUCGAAGAUGGACGAUUUCCAUAUUUGCCUAACCUAAGUGAUAAGAAUUUUCAUAUGGGACAUAAUCUGAUUUGUUUUGCUUGACUGUAUUCCAAGAGACAGUCAUAUCUACUAAAUGAAACAAAUCUUGCUUUUCUAGAGAAAUAAUGCAAUAUGCAAUUAUGCAUGAAGGUGCGCAUCCAUGUGAGAAAGUUGACGAAAGCUUCUUUUUCAGUAUUGUUGGAAUAAUGGUAUCGAUUGGAAUUGUAAGGAAAGAGGUCUUCGAGUCGUGGACAGCUGAACCGAAGAGAGCAGAUGAAUGCCCUUUGCAGAAGCAGGAAAUAAGCUGCCUAAAAGUAAGCAUUAGAUGAAUGCCCGAUCGAACACCACUAAUUCCAACAAUAUAUCAAAAAAAAUCUUUGAGUUUAAGGAAUUAAUUUUUUAAAUAUUUGAUAUAUGUCAUGUUCUGACUUAGUACAAGAAGAAAAUUAUAGAAUUUUUUUUUAAAUUAAUGGAAUUAUUUUACGAUAAAACAAUCACAAUCACAAUUAAAAAUAUUCUUUAAAAUUUCACUAUUUCUACUGUUAUUCUUUAAACUCUUUCUGAACAGAGCAUGAAGAGUCACUUAUCUAAAUAUGUUUUUUUUGUGCUUUCACUUCACUUGAUUCAUCUUAUCCCUCUUUUAUAGAACCUGCAACUCGUAUUUUACGUUUCUGUUACUUUCUCUUCCAUUUUCCCAACUCCCAAACACCAUCAAUCCUUGAUGUUACAGAGUAUAUUAAUUAAUUAAUGGGCCACUAAUUCUUCUUCUUAAAAGAAAAUUUUUGUAGGGAAAUUGGAAAAAAGGCUAAUUCAAUUUAAUUUUGAUAGGUGCGACAGAAGGAUAGGACCGUCCAAUUAAAUUGCAAGUGGGCAUUCCCACCAUUCGUGUCUCAUGCUUGUCAUAUUUAAAUUUAAAAAUCACACCAUGUCAGUAUGGUGAUGAUGUGGAAUUGUUUCACCGAAAUUUUUAUUUCGAUGGUGGCCAUAAUAAUUAGACUACUGAUUAAGUUGGUUGUGACAUAAAAUCAACGUUGUAUAAUUUUUUGGAUAUUAUCUCAAUUUUACUUCUGUAGGUUUGUUUUUUUGUAUAUUAUCUCAAUUUUUAAAAAAAUGUAAUUGCAAUUAUCAAACACGACUAAUCCCAACAAUUUAUCCAAAAAAAUUUUAUGAUAGAAUUGGCUAAUUUUUUUAAUCGACUUUCUGGAUAAAUGAUAAUUUUUUUGAUAGAAAUGUUACUUAAGUAUUACAGGAAGAAAAUUAUAGAAUAAUUUUUUGAAUUAAUAGUAUUACUUUACGAUAACACUAUCACAAUCUAAUUUUAAAAAAAUAAAGUUAUUCUUUAAAUUUCGCAUUACUAUUCCUACUUUUCUUGUUAUACUACUUAAUGGCACUGGUGAAGCCUCGAAUUAUCAAACAAAAAAGCAAAAAUAGUUCAAUAUCUGCUGUCCCACUGAGCAUUGUUAAAUUCAUACCAUAACAUGAGUACUUAUAUUAAAAAAAACAAUCGGUCUCAUUGCGUGCUCUUUCAUUGACAUAGGCAAUUUGCUGUCAACUUGUGGCACUUUUAUGAAUUUUCAAGACGGGUGAAUUUUUCAAAUUUAAAAGAAAAAAAUACAGAAAUGUAAUUUCAAUUUAUCCAAAAAUUUGAGUUUCAAGGAAUACAACAUUUAUUAUAUGUCAUGUUAAUAUAGAGAAGAAAAUUUUAAAAACUUCUUUUUGGAUGAAUAAAAGUAUUUUCUGAUAAAUAUUUCACAAUCAAAUUUAAAAAAUUUCACUCCUCUUGGUACAUAAUUUAAGAAUUUAAGAUUAUAAAUUAAUCUUUUUAAUCAAAGUAAUAAUCUCUCCUCGGUCUGCAAAUGCUAAAAUUUAAUAUUAUAUCCAUUGACAAUAUUUGCUCCAAAUUCACGAAAAUAAAAUUUCUAACAAAAUUAUGGAAUUCGUUACUAGAAAUUUGUAUAAAAGUUGUGAGAAUAGAAGGUUUGAUCAUAGGAAAUUAAUAUAUCCCUAUCCGAUGCAAAAAUGAUUGUAAAGAAAAACAAAAGUCAUGGGCUUAUUUAGAAAAAAAGAAAAAAUUACAUUCCAUUUUCCAGUUAUUAAAGUAAUUCUAAAAUCGCUAGGAUCACAAAGGAUAAGUUUUGGUUGACUGAGGUCAGCCUUAACGCAUGCCGGUCUUUUUCUCCUCUACAUUCUUAGAAAUUUUGGUUUCACUAUAAAUACUCGGUAUAUAGCAAACUUAUAAGUGUUCUUGCAUUACCAAUCCAACUAAGCACACGCUUACAAUAUAAAUACUCUCAUCUCAUGGAAAGAGCUCAUUCUCUCAUGAUGAUGAGCAGAUUUCUCUUACUCCAUUGUUUGAUUCUUAUUUCCUUAUUUAUCGCGGCAGCAACAGCCAACACAAGUUCUACUAUCACGGACCAAGAUGCUCUGUUGGCCCUGAAAGCUCACAUAACUCAUGAUCCGACCAAUUUCUUGGCCAAGAAUUGGAACACAAGUACUCCUGUCUGUAAUUGGACAGGCGUCGCUUGUGAAGUCCAUAGCCAGAGAGUCACAGUCUUGAAUAUUUCAAGCUUAAAUCUCACAGGCACCAUCCCUUCUCAACUUGGGAAUCUUUCUUCUCUGCAAUCACUCAAUCUCAGUUUUAACCGACUUUUUGGUUCCAUUCCCUCCGCCAUCUUCACCACAUAUACACUGAAAUAUGUUUGUCUCCGUGGAAAUCAGCUCUCCGGCACUUUCCCUUCUUUCAUCUCCAACAAGUCUUCUUUACAACAUCUUGAUCUUAGUAGCAAUGCACUGUCUGGUGAAAUUCGUGCAAAUAUUUGCAGUAAUCUUCCUUUUCUGGAGUACCUUGCUUUCUUCAAAAACAUGUUGCAUGGCGGCAUACCGUCCACGCUAUCAAAUUGCACAUAUCUGCGAACGUUAGAUUUUUCAUACAAUGAUUUCUCGGAGGCCAUACCUAAAGACAUCGGCAAUUUGACCAACCUUAAGGAAUUAUAUCUUGGCCGUAACAGACUCCAAGGUGCGAGUAAUCACGGAGUUUAAUUAUGAAAAUUGUUCCAUAAGUUGUAUUAUGAAUAAUGUUCCAUAAGAUAAUUUGCACGCGUUGAUUAAUUUGCAGGAGAAAUUCCUCGAGAAUUUGGCAAUCUUCCCGAAUUGGAGCUGAUGUCGUUAGCAGCAAACAAUCUCCAAGGUAUGAUUAGAAACUUUUUGCAAUUUUUUUCUAGCCUCUGCUUGCUUCUGUAUUCAUUCGUUUGUUCAUUAAUUAUGCUAUGAUUUAUUGUUUUUCUUUCAGAUGGAGAUAAAGCUCCAUGUCUCUCCUCACUCAUUUCAUUUCUUAAUUUAUGCAGAUAAAAAAAAAAUUGUUUUGUAAUUUUCUUUUGUCAUAUUGCCACUUCCGUUUUGAAGCUCCCAAUUAAGUCGAUGAAAAUGAAUGAUGUUUCAUUCUUAUUCUUGUCAGCCUAAUUCUUAUAUAAUUGAAGAGUAAAUUGUUAUUAUGAUAUUCGUCAGCCAAUAAAUUCUUUUUUUUUUCCCCCCAAAUAUGAGUGAUCAAAUUGUUUGCGCAUAUAUAUAUGUACUUAAUUUGCAGGAGGUAUUCCACACGAAUUGGGGAAUCUUGCAAAAUUGGAGAUCUUAGAGCUGUUCGAGAAUAACUUGACCGGUAACUUUCUUUACGAUAUAUAUAUGAGACAUCUUCCGCUUCUUAAUUAAAAGAUUUCAAGUCUCUCAUUAUAAAAUAUAAAUUCUCAUAUGAGGAUGUGUAGUUAUCACUAUCUAACAUUAUUCCGUUUUUUAUUAGAAAUUAGUUUGUGUUAACUCAAAAUUCCAUAGCAUUUAAAAAAAAAUUAAAAACACGUAGAAUAAAUCGUCAAUCUUUCUUCUUUACUGAAUUUGGAUUUCUCAAAAAUUAUCUGCACAAGUAUGGUUCACUAAUGAUAUACAUGUGUGACAACUUCAUAAAAUAUUUCACUAAUUAUCUUUAAAUAAUUGGAGAUACCAUCAGUGAUACAUAAUUUCCUAACAAGCACCAUACCAAAAGAAAUCAACAAUUUUUUUAAUAUUAAAGAGUUACAUCUUCACUGCAAUUAUGGCAUAAUUUUUCAUCUAAAAAAAUUUUUAGUCAUCAAUCGCAUAAUAUUUUAUCUUAACGGUUGAUGUUCAAUCUUGGAAUUUAUAAUAUCUUGAAGGUUAGUAGCUAUUAAAAUUAGAAAUUGUUUAUUUGCUAAAAAGUUAACUUAGUGUUUAAGCUUUUCAAUUGAAAAUUUUGAAACAAAUGUUGAGAACUGGUCCUCCUUAGAAUUUCAGCGGAUAAAUAUGAAAAUAGACUUGAAAAAAAAUUAUUUUACUGAAAUAAUAGUUAAAAAGAGAGGAGAAGUACAGUACUCAUGACUUGGGCUUGCUGUGUCCUUAUUUUAUCUGACUAUUGGUACUAAUAAUAUUUAUAAUUACUUAGUAAAAAUAUAAAUUUAAUACUUUGUUAACAUUUUAUCUACGUAUAAUAAUUAAACUGAAACUUGUAUUUAAAACAUUUGAGUUACGUAUACUCAUUUCAUGACAUAAAAGUGUAUAUUUAUACUAAUUUACCAUUAUCAAUAAAAUGCUUUGAGACAAAUAAUCUAAUUUAUAUUAUUAUAUUUAAAAUACUUGCUUUUAUUAUAUUUUGAAAAAAAAUUAUUUGCAAUUAUUUUAAACCUUUGGAUUCAAUUUUUCUUAGUUAUAAAUGUAAAAUAGUCAAAAACAUAUUUGUAUGAUCAUUUUUCAAUGUAUAAAUUUUCUUGGUUAGUAGGAAAAUUAGAAAUUGUUGAUUUACUCAUAAAUAAAUUUAGUCUUUAGCAUUUCAAUUUUGGAAAACUUGAACUAAUUGUUGAUAACUUCGAAUCGGUCGAGCUUCGCUUCGCUUCCUUGUCCCACGGGCCUAUUGAAAGUUCUAUUUGAAUUGAGCUUCUUUUCAGCGUCACCACAAUUUAUUCACAAAUGAGUUGAUUAGAGUCGAAGUUGCCUGAGAGUCUAAGACCAUGUUAGUAGGAUAAAUUUGAAAAGAAAUUAUUUUACUGAAUUAAUUUAUUUUAUCUUGCUGUAAUUGAAAUACUACUCUUUUUUUUUGGGCUAUCACUGGGGCUUGAUUUACUUUAAGAGUCGCAGCCACCGACUUAGGCUUUUUUACUUCUCACCACACAAUUUGAUCUUUUAAUUCGUUUUAACCACAUAAUCUAUCUAUCUCUUACUUAAAUCGAAUACAUGUUUUACCUACUAAUUUUUACAAAUAUUAAUCAAAUAUAUUUUAUUACAUUUCUCUCGUAACUGCUCUAAAUGUGCACUAUUAAUACUUAACCCUCCCUUUUAAUUUACCGUGCAAUCUAUCUACACUUAAAUCACAUAUAUAUUUUACCUAUAGUUUACCCAAAAAAAAAAUAUAAAAAUAAAAAUAAAAGAAUAUGUGCAGCAAUUUGUAUAUAACUAACAAAGCAUUGAUGGUGUGUAGCCUUUCAAUACUUCAUGAGUGGCUUUUCUUGUGUGUUAGUACUUGUAAUAAUUGUGUAGUGUAUAAAUGACCUUUUAUUACGAAAUUGCGUCUGUUUUUUGAAUUAUUUAUUAUUUGAAAAAUAAUCUAAAUAUAAUUCUAUUAAAAUACAGGGAAGAUACCACUUAAAAUCGGCAAUCUCCGAAAUCUGGAGAAGUUGGACAUUGGUGAUAAUAAAUUAGUUGGUAUUGCCCCAAUCGCAAUCUUCAAUGUGUCAACACUCAAAAUUCUUGGCCUUCAGGACAAUUCUCUCUCGGGAUGUCUUUCGUCCAUUGGAUACGCCCGACUUCCAAAUCUUGAAAUCCUUUCUUUAUGGGGUAAUAAUUUCAGUGGCACAAUUCCUCGUUUCAUCUUUAAUGCUUCUAAGCUCUCUAUACUAGAUUUGGAAGGUAACUCAUUCUCCGGUUUUAUUCCCAACACAUUUGGCAACUUAAGAAACCUUAGUUGGCUGGUUUUAUCUGAUAAUUAUUUGACAUCUUCAACUCAAGAAUUGAGCUUUCUAUCCUCGUUGUCAAAUUGCAAGUUUUUAAAAUAUUUUGACUUAUCAUAUAAUCCAUUAUAUAGAAUUCUUCCAAGGACGACUGUCGGUAAUCUUUCUCAUUCUUUGGAAGAAUUUAAAAUGUCCAAUUGUAACAUUAGUGGUGGCAUCCCUGAAGAGAUAAGCAACUUGACCAACUUGAGAACCAUUUAUUUAGGGGGCAAUAAAUUGAAUGGAUCAAUUCUGAUUACUCUCAGCAAAUUACAAAAGCUUCAAGAUUUGGGUCUUAAAGAUAACAAAUUAGAAGGAUCAAUCCCAUAUGAUAUUUGUAAUUUGGCUGAACUGUAUAGAUUGGAUUUAGAUGGGAAUAAGCUUUCUGGAUCAAUCCCUGCAUGCUUCAGUAAUCUGACUUCUCUGAGGAUAGUGUCGUUGGGUUCCAAUGAGUUAACUUCUAUUCCCUUAACUUUUUGGAACCUUAAGGAUAUCUUGAACCUCAACUUUUCAUCAAAUUUUUUGACUGGCUCACUCCCAUUAGAGAUUGGAAGUUUGAAGGUUUUGGUUGGAAUUGAUUUAUCGAGGAAUAAUUUUUCAGGCGUUAUCCCAACAGAAAUUGGAGGCCUAAAAAAUCUAGAAUAUCUCUUUUUAGGAUAUAAUAGAUUGCAAGGCUCGAUUCCUAAUUCUUUUGGUGAUUUGAUAAGUUUGAAAUUCUUGAAUUUGUCCAAUAAUAAUCUCUCUGGGGUUAUUCCUGCAUCUUUAGAGAAACUCUCAUAUCUUGAAGAUCUAAAUCUUUCUUUCAACCAGCUAGAAGGAAAAAUUCCUAGAGGAGGAUCUUUUGGAAAUUUCUCAGCUCAAUCAUUUGAGGGAAAUGAAUUAUUAUGUGGUUCACCCAAUUUACAAAUCCCGCCAUGCAAAACUAGCAUCCACCACAAAUCAUGGAAAAAAUCUAUUCUCUUAGGGAUUGUCUUGCCAUUGAGUACUACAUUUAUGAUAGUAGUCAUUUUGUUAAUCCUAAGAUAUCGACAAAGGGGAAAACGACCAUCGAAUGAUGCUAAUGGGCCACUAGUAGCAUCAAGGAGAAUGUUUUCAUACCUAGAACUAUGUCGAGCAACAGAUGGAUUCAGUGAAAACAAUCUAAUCGGCAGAGGAGGGUUUGGCUCUGUUUAUAAGGCAAGCCUUGGGGACGGGAUGGAGGUUGCAGUGAAGGUCUUCACUUCGCAAUGUGGAAGAGCAUUUAAGAGUUUCGAUGUUGAAUGUGAAAUCAUGAAAAGUAUUCGCCAUCGAAACCUUAUCAAAGUUAUUAGCAGUUGUUCAAAUGAAGAGUUUAAAGCAUUGGUAUUAGAAUACAUGCCUCAUGGAAGUUUGGAGAAGUACUUGUAUUCAAGUAACUGCAUUUUGGAUAUUUUUCAAAGAUUGAACAUAAUGAUAGAUGUUGCAUCAGCUUUAGAAUAUCUGCACUUUGGUUACUCAGCUCCAGUAAUUCAUUGUGACUUAAAGCCCAGCAAUGUGUUGUUAGACGAUAAUAUGGUUGCUCAUUUGAGUGAUUUUAGCAUCGCAAAAAUGUUAACUGGAGAAGAUCAAUCUAUGAUUCAAACACAAACACUUGCCACAAUAGGCUAUAUGGCACCAGGUUUGUUCAAUAUGAAUAUUUUAUAUUUCUUGUUAACUUCCUAACAAGUUAUUUAUGUUUCAUGAUCUUUAUUAGAUGAGGAAAUUCUUAUUAAUGAUAUAUCUUACUAUGUAAAUGUUGCAAUUCAUAGAGUAUGGAAGAGAAGGACGAGUAUCCGCAAAUGGAGAUGUUUAUAGCUUUGGGAUUAUGUUAAUGGAAACUUUUACUGGGAAGAAACCCACAGAUGAAAUUUUUAAUGGAGAAAUGACAUUAAAGCAUUGGGUUAAUGAUUGGCUACCCAUUUCCACUAUGGAAGUUGUUGAUGCUAAUUUGCUAAGUCAGGAGGACAUACAUUUUGUUGCAAAAGAGCAAUGUGUGUCAUUUGUCUUCAAUUUGGCUAUGGAGUGCACUAUGGAAUUUCCUAAGCAGAGAAUCAAUGCAAAAGAAAUUGUAACAAAACUCUUAAAAAUUAGAGACUCAUUACUUAGAAAUGUUGGAGGCAGAUGUGUAAGACAAUCAAAUUUAAAUUGAUUCUGGCCCUCCUUCAUUGCUUGCUAUCCUUUUCAGAGACUUGAACGGUUAUCCUUCAUACAACUUUUGUUGAUAUGUUUUGUUACUGCUCUUGCUUUCUUUAAUUUGCAUGCAUGUAUUUUUCGUUCUCCUUUAUGUUUUUGUUGGUUUGAAUGUAGUUUGUUUUUAGGGGUAAGGUUGAUUAUGCCCUCUCCUAAUUACACGUAUCCUUUUUAUGUUUAUUCAAUAAAGCUUCUCUAAUACUAUUGAGGUUCAUCAAAAGAAAAUUUUAAAUUAAUUUUCUUUUCUUUGACAGGUAAUGAAAUUCUAAUCUUCAUAGAGAAUAACUUCAAUAAUAGAGUGUAAGAGUAUUAGUAGUUAUGGUUGUUUUCUGAACCUGGAGUCAAGAGCAAUUUGACAGCAACAAACAAGUCUCUUGUAUUAUAGGCAAAAUUCUUUUCAUUAAUCUUAUUUGUCCACAUGUUCUCCUAUUUUCUCCAUUAAUCUUCGCUCAAGGUUUCAUGCUUCCUCUUUGAUAAAGGAAAAUAUUACUCGCGGAUAUUUCAAAUUUUCAAUUUGACACGAGAGACUGUUUUGCCAGCCAUUUGAUAAAAUGGAUAUGAGUAGAGUUUUCAAUCAUUACCUCCACCAAAAUACUUACAACGCCACUUUUAAUUUUUUUUUAAAAUACAUUCAGUUUAAUUUAUAAAAAAAUAAAUCCAUUUGUUAAAUUUAAUCUUUUUCUCAUAAAUUUCAACCUAAAAAUAUAUUCCUUAUCUAUUUUUAUUAUAAAAUUCAUGCAAGUCCUAAACUAUUAAAUUAUUUUCUUCUUAUUAUAUAGUUUAUAUCUCCAUAACUCUAAACUCCCAUAAUUUUUUAAAAAUAUAUUUUUUAAUUUAAAAUAUAAAUAUAAAAUAGAGAAUGGAGUGGGUUAAAAAAUUGUUAAAAGAAUAAUUCAUUUAAGUAUUUAACUGAGUUUUAAAUUAAAAAUAAGAAAUAAAUUAAUUUAUUUUUUAUUAGUUAAGUAAUUUUCAAUUGAAAAAGAGCAUGAGUAAUAUUAUUGAAAUAUGAUUAAGUUCGUAUGAAUUAAACAUUUUUGUAUAAAUACUAGAGAUAAUUAUAGAGAAAGUACAAUGAAGUGAAAAAACUUAAACAUAAAUACUCUAGUAUAAUUUUACACACGCAAAUUAUGAACCAAUAAUCUUUGGAGCAUCAUAAAAUUGUUUUAACACAAUUAAUUAGUUUGAAAAAUUGCCAAUAAUGUCUAAAGUGGGAUUUAAAGGAUUAUACUACAUAUAUAAGACAUGAUAUCAUUUAAGACGACUUACAGAUUAUGAGAAAUAUAUUUAUCUUACAAACAUUUAAUAUGUUAAUUAGAUUGAGUCUAUGCAAUAAAAUUUUCAAAUUAAAAAAUAAACCCUUUAUUUUCUUUUAAUCAUAAGCGUGAUCUUAAUUAUUAAAGUCAUUCAAUGUCCAUUACUUAUUAUUUUUUUAAUUACCUAAAUGACAUUGAAAACUCUACUCAAUAGUAAUUCAUUCAAAUGUUUUGUUUUAAAGUAAUCGGAAACUGCAAAUGAAACAAAUGCUUGAAAUCACAAACGGCCUAAAAUUAGAUUUUUAUUUUUUCAAUGUUGCAGUGACUUUGAUCUUGAUAUUGAAAAUUUAUUUGUAAUUUAUAUAAAGGCCUCAAUUUCAUUAUAAUUGGUUAGUAAGGCUACGUAGUGAGCAUGGAUAAAUUUUGGGAUUGGAUUAUAUUUUUGGAACUAAAAAAUUAAUUUAAUCAAAUGUUAUAUUUGGCUGUCAGGACUAGCAACUUAGUCUAAAAUUAUUGAAAUUGUUAAUCUUUUAUAUUAUAAUCUUUUCGUUCCCACUUUAAACAUCAUUGGUAACUUAAAUAAUUUUUUUAAAAUUAAAUAUAAAAAUUAAUUUAAUUAAAUAUAAAAAUCAUUUAAAUUAAAUAUUAACAUUAAUUUCAUAAUUUUUUACCUAGAAUUUUAUAUUAUAUUAAAUACUAAAAUUCUAUUCGAUAAUGUAUAAACAUUUAUUUAAUAAAUGUUUAGGUUUUUAGUAUGUUAUAUUAUUAUUUAAAUUAUUUUUUAUUUACAUAUGAACAUAAAUUAAUAUUUACUAAUUUAAAUUUAUUAUAAUUUGUUAAAUAAUAAAAGCUAAAUGAUUAUAUUGAAAAUCUAAAUAGUAUUAUAAUGUAUUAUAGUAUAAAUCUUACCCCCAAUGAGUUUAUUUUAUACACCUUUUAUUAUAUUAACACAUUUAUAAUGCAGUGCAAUGCAUCAAAAAAUUAUAACCAAAUAUGAGUUAGAAUGAAAAUAAUAUUUUAGUACAAUAUAAUACAAUGUAAUGUAAGUUGACAAAUAAAUAUUUAAUGGAAGCAAAAAUUGCAUAUGGUUUGUGGGUCUCUCAAAAGACAACAAAGAAACCAAUACGAUACAUUGAUUAUGUCCUCUUUAAUGGUGUCUUUACUAAAUGAGAAUUAGAAUGAGUUAGAAUUGGAAUGGACUUGAUUUGAAAUAAGGAAUUAUAAUCAAAAUAAGUUGUUUAUUUAAGUUGUAUGAAUCGGAAUCGGAAUAAAUUUUACUCAAAUUGAUGUGUUUAGUUUCUCUUAAAAUUAUAAUAGACUAUUACAUGUUACUAAAAAAUCAUUUGGUAAUUGUUGUCUCUAGUAUUAUUUGUAUAUGUUAUAUUGUUAAUAAUAAUAAGAAUAAAAAUAAUACUAAAAAUGAAAAUAAUAAUAAUAAUAAUAGAGACAAUAAUAAUAAAUUUAAUAAAUCAUUAUUAUUAUUAUUACUAGUAGUGAAGACCGCCCAAUGAAGAUUGGAUAGUGAAGCUGAAGACGAUGAAGAUCCCGGCAACCAAUUUCUGCUUCAAAGAUGAUGUGCCCAAAUGGAGACAACCAGUUAUGAUCAGCCAACUAGAUCCCAAUCUCGAUGUUGUGAUCUCACAUGACCACUGAUAAAGCAAUGUGUGAUGCUGGUGUUAUGAUUUCUUUUUUAUUUAUAUUUUUUAAUUUAUUGGGGUGUAUUUUCAAAAUUUAGUAAUUUUAAUAUGAGCAAAUUGUAUAGUUCAGUGAACAAGAGACUGAUUUCCAACCAUCCUAAAAAUUAAUCUCCCAUUCUCUCUCUCUAAUUUGAUGUGGAUUCCAGUAUUUCGAUUCCAAUUCUUACAUUUAUUUGUCAAGUAAAUGAUGUUAAUGAUUUCAAUUUUUAGUUCGAGAAGUAAACACAUCACAAUAUUUUUUUAGAUGCUUCCAUGGCAUAAUCUCAUUGAUCCAUUUUUCUUCACGCCUUAGAUUCAACUUCAAGAUUCAAGAUUCAAUUUGAAGCAAACACAACUACAAAACAAAUAUAAUUAGCGUUAAUAAGCCUGUGGCUAACUGGCUGUGGCCAUGCAAUUGUAACUCAUAGUGACCGAAUCAUAUCUUAUUAUCUUACGCCAGAAGUUAAACAAUGUUCUCAUUCCACGUGUCACUCUCUGACCAAUCCCCAAACUUUCUUUGUAUUUCCAAAGAAACCCUUACAAAGUCAAGAUAAUUACCUUCACUCUACUCGUAUAAAUACUAUCCUCGAUUCGACUGAUGACGACGUAUCCUUACAGUCUUUAUUUAAAGGGAAAAUUAUAAAAAUUUCUCCUCGUUACCUAAAAAUCUAGGUUUCUCAAGAAUCGCUAAACCUAGAUCCCAAUCCUUGAAAAUCUCAAUUUAACCUCCCUAGCGUUUCGAUUGUCGAGGAUUCGCUUCAAAAUUUAGUAUUUUUUAGUGGAUUUUGCUUGUCUCGUAUCCUUAAAUUGUUGUUCGGUUCUGAAAAUAAUUUGGAUUUUUAGGGAUUUUCAGAUUAUUGGGUUUUGUUGAGUACAAUUUCGUCUAGUUACGGUUUCAGUUUGAAGGGUUAAAUGCAAUUUCGAUUUUUUUUUAUAAAAUUAAAAUUAAAAUUCAUAAAACGAUUGGGCGUUUAAUAAUUAAUUGAUGGCUAGCGAUACUACAACGGCGGCCGUAGCUCCGGAAGAAGCAGAGGCGGUGGAGUAUGGUAGGGUUCCAGAUGACGGGAAACGCUCUCUUGUGAUGCUCAGAAGGGAAGCCACUGAUGAGGAGGAGGCGGGGGAUGAGAGAUAUUCAGAGCUUCCAAUCGCUCAAAGUGUGCAUAUUCCUGCGGGAGAAGCGGAGGCUGUGGAUGAGUAUGAGAGCGAUCCAGAUGAAGUGGCACACUCUCUCGUUCUGCGCAGAAGGGAAACAAGCGAUGAGGAGGAGGAGACAGAAUUUGAGCGUCGAAUUAAUUGAAGGGUCCAAAUUCAUUCUUACGAUGAAUCUGAUGGCCAAGGUGGUGCUUCAGCUGAGUAUGAUGAUGAUGAAGAAGGCGAAGAGGAACAUGACAGAAUUAGAAGAAGAUGAUGAAGAAGGGGAUGUUUAUGAGGAUGAAGAGGGGGCGGUUAAAGUCAAAGGAAUAGAGGGUAAUGAUGCAAGAGGAGUACGGAGGGGGCAGUGGAAGUGAGUAAAGGGAAUAAUGAUAAUGGCAAUGUUGCUAAAAAAAUGAUGCAGUGGAGGGAAUGGAGGAAGAGAAGAAGGAGAGUAGUGAGCCUUUUGCACAGCAGCUGGGCUUUUUAUAUGGGACAAUGUUGCAGGUCGACACAGGUAUUAUUUGGUUUGAGCGACAAUUAAUAAAUAACUGAUAGUGUACUUUCAUUAGGGCUUGUCAGUUAGUCUAGUCUCGUUUUUUGGUGCUGUAUAAUGAUUGUUUGCUGGAAUCUGUCUAGAAUGCUUUUGGCCUAGUAGGUUGAAAGGAGAGAAAGUUCUCAAAUAAACGUCCGUGCUUUGUGGAAUGUAAUUAAUAGGUACAAAGCAUACUAAAUUACUUGACAGAUAGAUGCCGAGCUAAUCAUGAGCUAUUAUAGCAUUAUCCGUGCUUUGUGUAUUUUUAUUAGGGCUUGUCUAUUUCAAAGUGUGCAGUGUAGAAUUUUUGGGUUAAGUUUGAGUGAUGAAGUGUUAGGUAGGUUUCUGUUUGGCGUAGUUAAGUGGUUAAUAUGAGCUAUCGAAGCAAAUACAGAGUAGGAUAUCUAGUUUUGGGUUUGGUCUUAGUUUGAAGAUGGUACUGAUUAUGCAGCUAGGUACGUAUUAGUGUUUGUGGAUUUCUAAAUGCUUUCUGUCAAAUGUGACUAGAUUAUUACUAGAAGUAUAUGGAUCUUACACUUAAUUGAUUACAUAUCCAUUUAUAAUGUUCAAAAUGAUAAUAUACUAUUACUUAAAAUUAUGCUUUCAAGACAUCAUUUUGAAAAUCCAUGGUUGUAAUGUGUCUCUAAAUUCAGUAAUACAAGUUCUGUCAAUUACUGUUGGAUGCAGUGACCUGAAUAGUUUAAUAUUCAUUUGCAGAAAAAAGUUGAGAAAGAAAACUAAAAAUUUCCGUGCGUUCUGCUGGAAAUUUAAUUAGCUUCAUUUGAGCAUUAAUUGCCGGCAUGAUCUCUUAGACUUCUCUUGCAUUGAAUGAAUGGAUGAGUGCUAAUCCAUGCAAAGACUUCCAUGCAUGCACAACGAAUGCUAAAUCUAAGGUAUGGUAAAAUGUCUAGCAAGCUUGGCCCAAAUUAUCAAGCUGGUUUGGUGGCUGCUAGAUUUGUUCACCCGGAUUUUGGACCAUUUUCCUUGACAAUGAGAAAAGCUCCAAGAUCUGUAAAUUGAAGACUCACUGAAAGAUCCAAGUUUCAGGUAACUCUUGUGUUGUGUGCUCGGAGUAUUCUCUAUUGUAUUUUUUUUGUUUGUUAUUUAUUUGACAUAUUACUAGCAGAGAUCUUGGGUGGGAACCAAAAAUUCCCAACAAUUGUCAAUUGUUUUAAACUCUAUUCUGAACAGAGCAUGAAGGGAUUCACUUAUCUAAUUAUUGCUUUUAUGCUUUAACUUCGCUUGAUUUCAUCUUUUCCGUCACCUUUAUUAAAGUUGUAUAUGUUGGAGUGUUAGGUUCAUCAUAAGGAUCAUAUUAUGGCUAAGGAAGGAGCACAGUUUAUCAGCUGCACUGAAGUGUAGCAGAGAAUUUGGAUUCAAGACUGAUGCAAGGCUGUUGCUGUGUAAUUGUAUGCCAUGCUUGCUAGUGCACUCUAAUAGAUUGCUGAGCUGGCACCGGAUGUUUUUAGCUAAUAUUAGUAAUUAGUCUAGAGUGUUCGAUUUAUUCUAUAAAUUGCUCAUUUGAGCUUAGAACCUUUAAAGUGUAUCACACGAUUCUGUUACUUCUAAUACAGAUUUUCUCUAUUCCUUUUUCUAUCACUUUCUCUUCCAUUUUCAUGAUCCCCAAACACCAUCAAUCCAUGAUUUCUAGAGUAUUAGCCGUCAAUCCAUGAUUUUCUUGUUAUUUUUUCUUUCACUUUCUCUUCCAUUUUCCCACUCCCCAAACACCACCAAUCCCUGAUUUUUUGAGUAUUAGCUGUCUAUUUCUACAAACAUAGAAGUGCUGUUUGUUUGUCCAAUUACUUUCGAGAAACAAAACUCUCUGUCCUGUGGUCUUUUCGUUUAUUGACUUGUGAGUAAAUAAGAUAUUGGGCCAAUGGACUCAACGUGACAAGUUCUUGAAUUGAAUGGCUCCUCUUUUCUCCAUAAAUCUUUGCUUAAUUUUUUUGCUCCCUCAACUUUUUGGGCCUUUUGCGUUAAAAUUCUUUUUUUGAUACAUUAUGCAAAAAUUAUGAUGAAAAUGAGUUACCUUAGAAGAUCAACAAAUUUUUAUUACAUGACAAGACAAUUAUACUUAGAUUACUCUUAUUUAGUUGAAUUAUAUGUAAUAAAAUUAGUUUAACAAAAUCUAAUCCGUAAAUAUUCCUUAUCACAUGAUUAACGUACUUAAAAAUCUUAACGGAUUGGUCGCUUGUUUUACAAUUCUUUUAUAUAUCUUUGAAACUUUCAGCUUCCUAACACAUCAUUUGUUAGAGUGCAAUUUAUGCACUAGUUUUGCAUUGUUUACUUCCCUUAAUAUCGAUGUUUUGCACUUAAUAAUAUUGAUUUACUUGUGUUUUACUUUUGUAUAAUGAUGGCAAUGGGGUGGGGUGGGGGUGGGGAGGCCUACCCCAUUCCCCACCCCGUUAGAAAUUUUUACCUCUAUUCCCCACCCCAUUCCCCAAUAAAUUUAGUGGGGUGGGGAUGGGGAAUCCCCAUGUGGGGAAUGCUUUCCCCAUUCCCACCCCAUUCCCCAUUUAUCUAUUUUAUAUUAUGUAUAAAUAUAUGAUUUCAGUAAGUUAAAAAUUAGAGACUUAAAAUAAAAUCAUCACCAUAUUAUAAAGUAUUUAAAUUCUUUUUAAAAAAAUAUCUAAAAGUUUGAACCAAUAUCUUAAAAUAAUAUUAAAAGUAAAAAAAUAUUUAAAGAGCGUAGCACUUUAAAAGAGAAAAGAAAAUAUAACAAUGUUUCAUAGUUGAAAAAUAUUAUAGGGUUUUUUUUCAUUCAUAUCCUGUUUAUAUUGCAUAAAAAUUAAAAAAAUAUUAAUUGACAUUAUAAUUCAUAAAAUAAAAAUUAUUAAAUAAGAAUUAAAAAUAUAUUUAUAUAUAAUGGGGAUUGGGGUGGGGGUGGGGGUGGGGUGGGGAGUGCAAAACCAAACCCCACCCCAUUAAGAAUUUGGGGAUUAUUUUUCCCCCACUCACCACCCCAUUCCCCAUAAAUUAUUCAAAAUUUUAUCCAUUUGGGGUGGGGCUCCAUGGGGCCCCAAACCCGUGGAGGAUUUUGCCAUCCCUACUUUUGUAGGUGCAAUUCUAUUGAUUGGUGAUAAAAUUGAGCUAUAAGAUUAUGUUUAAGGAUGAUUGUUCUCUUAGAGAAAUUAUGAGCGUCAGAAGAACUCUGUUGAUAAGGCGUGGGCGCGUACUGUCAACUGCGGACCUGCAGUUUUUAGUUUAACGUGUUUUGUAUUUUUGGUUAUUUUUGUAAUUACGAAUUUAAUAUUUCAGAUAUUAGGAUUUUAUUUUAAAUAGAAUUAUAAAAGAGAAGAGAGAGAGAGUAUUUAAGGGAGGAAUCUAUUGUGAAAAAGGGGGAUUUUUGGAUUGGAGAAAAAGAAAGAAACCCUAGAUCUAAUUUUUCUCUUCUCUCUAUGAGGAACUAAACCCAUUUUUCUGGUUGAAGGUUAAUGAAGCUUUGAUUCAUCACUACUGUGAGACCUUUCUUGUGCUUUAAUUGUUUUAUUGCUUUUUAGAUAUUUGUUUAUUCUCUGAAUUAUUUUCAUGAUUAUGUUUGUUAAUUAGGUAAUUGGCCACUAUUUAAUUAUCAACUUAAUCUAUUGUCAAUUAAAGGAUUCAUCGUAUGAAGAAUUUAAUGUUUGUGACAAAUAACAUAGCAGAGAGUUGUGUUGUGAGAAUAAAAAAUCUAAUUUAAAUGAAUCAUCAUAUGUGUUGAUUAGGAUUUGGGUCUCUCUGAUUUUUCAGGCUGUCAAUUGAUUAAAUCCUAUGAUCGUAUCUAGGGUUGUCUAUUGAUUAGGGAAAUAACCAACGGUCGUACCUUGGUUAUCGACUAGUUAAGGAGAGAUUGGCUAUUAGAGGGUCUCAGUAGCUAUAAUCGGUCUAUUCAUGAGUAAUAAUAAUCUAUAUUUGAAUCAAUGAUCAGUAGUCGAAUCAAGCUGAGUUAAUUCCUUCAACCAGAGCUUUCUCCAAUUUGAAUUACAACUUUAAUUUGCAUUCUUGUUAUUUUUAAUUUGAUUUUUAUUAUUGUCAACAAUUCCCCCAUUUUACGUUUUACGUUUCAAAAGGAUUUAAAUAAUUACCGAUCUCUGUGGACACGACCCUGCUCAAUCACUAUACACAAUUUAUUUAGAGUAGGAAUUUAUUUUUGUUGGCUUCGACACCCAUCAAAUUUUGGCGCCGUUGCCGGGGAUUGGUGUCAUUUAUUUAAUCAUUUUUACGUUUUACUUGGUGUAUGGUUCGUUCUUCUCGUACAGGUACACUUUCAUUUGAUCCUGAAAUUGAGAAGACAGCUCGCCAGCUGAGACAAUAGACUAAGCGAGCUAAGCAAGGAUCCUCGUCGCCUUUGCUUUUUGAAACAGAUACGGUGCCUAAUUUAGUUGAAUCAUCUAGCGAUUCGGAAGAACAAGUGAUGGAUAGACCUGCACCUGUAGAAAGAACUCUUAGAGAGUUAGUUGAACCAGACUUGAAUCAGCAACCACUCUGCAUUCAAUAUGUAGAUUUGGAGGUAAAUUUUGAAUUAAAGUCUGGUCUUAUUCAUUUAUUACCCAAGUUUCAUGGUUUUGCAGGUGAAGAUCCUCAUAAACAUCUUAAGGAGUUUCAUGUUGUGUGUUCAAGUAUGAGACCACAAGGCAUGACUGAAGAGCAGAUUAAGCUGCGUGCUUUUCCGUUCUCUGUAGAUGGGCUAGCUAAAGACUGGUUGUAUUACUUGCCUCCUGGAUCGAUUACAACAUGGAAUGAUUUGAAGAAGCAGUUCCUCGAGAAGUACUUUCCUGCUUCAAGAGCUGCUAACAUCAGAAAAGACAUUUGUGGGAUCAGACAACUUCCUGGGGAGACUUUGUAUGAGUAUUGGGAGCGAUUCAAAUAAUUGUGUGCCAACUGUCCUCAACAUCAGAUUUCUGAUCAACUUCUUAUUCAAUAUUUUUACGAAGGACUGUCAUUGAUGGAUAGGAGUAUGAUAGAUGCUGCUAGUGGAGGCGUGUUGGUGAACAAGACCCCUACUCAAGCAAGGGAGUUGAUAUCAAAUAUGGCUGCCAAUACACAACAAUUUGGCAACAAGCAAGAUUUCACUUCAAGAACGGUGAAUGAGGUAAAUAUUUCUUCUGUUGAACAACGUUUAGAUAAACUUACUUCUCUUGUGGAAAAGUUUGUUGUAGGUAAUGUGCAACAGGUGAAGACUUGUGGCAUUUGUUACAAUAUGGGUCAUUCAACCGAUAUGUGUCCUACACUUCAAGAAGAACCCGUUGAACAAGCCAAUGCAGUUGGAGGAUUUCCAGGUAUGCCUCAGAGGAGGUAUGAUCCUUAUGCACAAACAUACAAUCCGGGAUGGAAGGAUCAUCCUAACUUCAGCUAUGGAGUUAGGCCGUCAAGAUUCCCACAACAGUAUCCACCAAGACAACCAACACCUCCACAGUCAAACUCCAAGUCAGGUGUAUCUCUUGAAGAAAUUGUUAAAUCACUUGCGACUAACACUCAACAAUUUCAGCAGGCAACUACAGCAAGCAUUCAGAACUUGGAGAACCAAAUGAGUCAAUUGGCGACUACAGUGAGCCGUCUGGAGUCUCAAGUAUUAGAAAGAUUGCCUUCACAAUCUGAGGUGAAUCCAAAGCAAAACGUUAGUGCUGUCAUCCUUAGAAGUGGGAAGGAGUUGCAAGAGCCUAGUAAGAAAGUGACAAAGCAUGUAGAAGAUGAGCUUGAGAAGAAUGAAUUGAUGCCUAAAUCUCAAGAUGCGCAACCCACCAAAGCGAAACCCGUACCUAUUGUGAUACCUCCUCCUUUUCCAAGCCGGUUUACAAAAUCCAAGAAGGAGGAACAAGAGAAAGACAUCCUUGAGACAUUUCGCAAGGUUGAGGUAAAUAUUCCUUUAUUAGAUGCUAUAAAACAAAUACCUCGAUAUGCUAAAGUCCUUAAGGAACUGUGCACCUCCAAAAGAAAAUUAAGAGGAGAUGAAAAAGUUCAUAUGGGGGAGAAUGUUUCAGCAGUUCUCCAAAAGAAACUACCUCCUAAGUGCAAGGAUCCAGGUAUGUUUACUAUCCCUUGUAAAAUUGGUAGUGUUAGAGUUGAAAAGGCUAUGUUAGAUCCAGGAGCUUCUAUUAAUGUCAUGCCUCGUUCCAUUUAUUCAUCUUUGAAUUUUGGUCCAUUAAAAGAAACUGGCGUGAUAAUUCAACUAGCUGAUAGGUCUAAUGCAUAUCCUGAUGGGGUAUUAGAAGAUGUCUUAGUACAAGUUAAUGAGUUGGUUUUUCCUGCUGAUUUUUAUGUACUUGAUAUGGAAGAUGAUAACUCCUCUAAUUCUGUCCCAAUUUUGCUAGGAAGACCUUUUCUUAAGACUGUUAGGACUAAAAUGGAUGUACAUAAAGAGACUCUCACUAUGGAGUUUGAUGGAGAGGUUAUAGAAUUCAAUAUGAAUGAUACCAUGAAAUAUCCUAGUGAGGAACAUUCGGUAUUUUCUAUGGAUGUUAUUAACCCUAUAGCGCAGGAAAUUUUCUACAAGGAAAAGACGAAGACAUUUCAUGAUAGAAUGAUUUUGAGAAAGGAGUUCUCUGUUGGUCAAAAAGUUCUUCUUUUUCAUUCUAAGCUUAAACUUUUUCCGGGUAAAUUACGUUCUUGCUGGGUUGGACCUUUUAUUGUUACUAAUGUUUUUCCUCAUGGUGCAGUUGAGAUUCGGAGUCCGACCUCUGACAAAGUUUUUAAGGUUAAUGGUCAUCGCUUAAAACCUUUUUAUGAAGGUUUUUCGGUGAAUAUUGUGGAGGAUGUGGCUCUCGAGAGUCCCAAUUAUGGAGAUUGAUGCAUAAAUGUGUCUAGCCAAAGACAUAAAACAAAGGCGCUUUUUGGGAGGCAACCCAAUUGAUUUAUUUAUUUUGGUUUUUGUCAUAUCUUCUUUUAAUUUUGAUUCAGAUUUUUUUUUUUAAAUAAUGUGUUUGCUUAUUUUGGUCAGAAGAAAAUUUUUGAUAAGGCGUGCCCACAUCUUAACUAAUAAGUACUUCUAUGAUUUUUAAAAUAAAAUGGUUUUAAGGCAUGCCCACGUGCUUAUUAGAAAAGUACUUCUGAAAUUUUUAGUGCCUCAAGUGAUUCAUCACUAAAAAAAAGAAAAAAUUAAAUUAAAAAAAUUAUUUUAUUUUAUUUUUUUUUCUAUUUAUUUAUUUUAAAAAAACAAAAAAAGAGAUUUUCUUUUGUUCUUUCUUUUAUAUAUUUAUUUAUUAAAAAAAAUUUCAAAAAUCACUGUUCAAAAAAAAAAAAAAUUUUUUUUCACUGUUCACAAAAUCCCUAAUUUUCCAGAACUUGUUUUCUUCUCCAACCGCUUGCAGCACACCAGCAGCACCUGCGCGCGCAGCACCAGCAUCCCGUGUCUCGCAGCCCAGCAGCGCGCAACGCAGCGCAGCACCCGCAAAGCAAGCCUCAACAGCGUGCAGCGCGAACCAGCCCCAGCCCGAGCACGCAACGCAACAAGCGUCACCAGCGCGCGCACCAGCAAUCCCCCAGCGCGCAGCAACAGCCGCAGCACGCUGAUCCAGCGUCACCAGUUCGCAGCAUCAGUCCCAUCCACGCGCAACUGAACCAGCAGCUGUGUACUCGCAAGCUCCAGUCGAGCAGCAAUAGUCCGCAACCAGCCUACGACCUGCAUUCCAGCCACAUGAAUCGAAAUCCGUGACAAGAUGAAGCAGAAUUUGGCCGCAUACUUCAAGAGUGUGGGAUUUAUCCCACCAUUCCCGCCAAGCCCAUAGACGUUAUGUGGAUCAAAGCUCACAAUUCAGGGAAGUUUUUGCCUUUAAUCUUUUAUCCUUACGCUUUAAUUUUUAUGUGAGCUUUGAUUAUCUUACAUUGGGGACAAUGUAAGUUAUUGGUGUGGGGGAGGGAUUUUUGCAUUAUUGAUGUCUGGAAUUAUUAUUUUCACUCUACUUAUUUUUUUUUCACUCUACUCAUCCUUAAAUGAUUUUGGAGUUAGUAUGCUUCAUAUAUUAUUAAUUUUCUUUUCAUUUCUCUCUCACUACUCUUUUCCCAUCUAUCUCAAAUUAUUUACAUCUAUUUUUUUUUUCUUUCUAUCAUACUCUUUCAUCACUCACAUUUUUUUUUACCUUUCCUUUUAUAUCUCACUCAUACCUUCUUCUCAUUGUACACCACUAUUUAUGGUUAAUUCAUUUAAAGAGUGUACAUGAUUUGAUGGCAAAUUUACCAACUUUGUGAGGAUUUGAGCCUAUGAGCAACCACUUUGCUCUAAUUAUUUUUUGUUAUGUGAAUAUCAAUCCUAGUUUGUUUAUUCUAGAACUUGCUUUGAUAUGCAUGUUGAAGCCACAUUACGGGAUUUUAUGCAUUAAAAUGAUAAGGGCAAACCAUUUACCAUUUUUCUAUUCUCGCAUUUUCCUUUUUCUCUACUCGAAGACCUUUAUUUGCUACCUUUGUUUGAGCCUUAACAAUUACCCAUCCAUUUUUCUUCUUUUUUGAGCCUCAAUUUAAGGAUAUUUUUGGACUCAUUGUGUGGAUAUAUUUUGUUGCUUUUUCUACCUUGUAGUAAAGCUUCUCAAUUAGAUCAACAAGCAUUAUGCUUGAAUUAAAUUGUGCAAGGUUCGUUUCUUUUGUUUGAUUCAAAAACAAAAACAAAAACAAAAACAAAAACAAAAAAGAAAAAAAAAAGAAAAAUCACAAAAAAAAAGAGAAAAAAAAAGGAAAAAAAAUGUUUACAUUCUUGGUGACUUGAGUAGAAAUAAGCAUUUUGAUAUCAUAAGUUCAUUCAAUGAGUUCAUUCUUCUCGUUUUGAUCUCUUUUUCUUUCAUAAACCUUUCUUUUUCAUUUAACCCAUUUAACCCCAUUACAACCCUUUUAAGACCCUUAGAUUUUUGCAUUUUAUUCAUGUUUUGUGGAUUGAGAUGUGAUAUAUGAGCAAGCUUAUGGUAAUAGCAUUCUUUGAUUUGAUUUGAGUGGAUAAAUGACAUCCUAAACACUUUCAGUGCAUGGAGUGAAGUUAUUGAGAGGGCUAUUACAUCUUGUUGCACUUGAAUUUUGAAUGGAUCUUCUUGGUGGUUGAAUGUUCUUAUUCUAUCUUAUGAAAUUCUAUGCUUUAAAAUCCUUGUCUCUCGAACGUUGAACGACUUAAUUUCUUGAGGUAUGCUUGCUUAAAAUUGUUUUUGGAUGAGUUGAGAUGAGAAUUGAGUGGAGAUUUGGGAUUAAUCUUGAGUUAUAUGCUUGAGGACAAGCAUCAUCUUAACGUGACAAGUUCUUGAAUUGAAUGGCUCCUCUUUUCUCCAUAAAUCUUUGCUUAAUUUUUUUGCUCCCUCAACUUUUUGGGCCUUUUGCGUUAAAAUUCUUUUUUUGAUACAUUAUGCAAAAAUUAUGAUGAAAAUGAGUUACCUUAGAAGAUCAACAAAUUUUUAUUACAUGACAAGACAAUUAUACUUAGAUUACUCUUAUUUAGUUGAAUUAUAUGUAAUAAAAUUAGUUUAACAAAAUCUAAUCCGUAAAUAUUCCUUAUCACAUGAUUAACGUACUUAAAAAUCUUAACGGAUUGGUCGCUUGUUUUACAAUUCUUUUAUAUAUCUUUGAAACUUUCAGCUUCCUAACACAUCAUUUGUUAGAGUGCAAUUUAUGCACUAGUUUUGCAUUGUUUACUUCCCUUAAUAUCGAUGUUUUGCACUUAAUAAUAUUGAUUUACUUGUGUUUUACUUUUGUAUAAUGAUGGCAAUGGGGUGGGGUGGGGGUGGGGAGGCCUACCCCAUUCCCCACCCCGUUAGAAAUUUUUACCUCUAUUCCCCACCCCAUUCCCCAAUAAAUUUAGUGGGGUGGGGAUGGGGAAUCCCCAUGUGGGGAAUGCUUUCCCCAUUCCCACCCCAUUCCCCAUUUAUCUAUUUUAUAUUAUGUAUAAAUAUAUGAUUUCAGUAAGUUAAAAAUUAGAGACUUAAAAUAAAAUCAUCACCAUAUUAUAAAGUAUUUAAAUUCUUUUUAAAAAAAUAUCUAAAAGUUUGAACCAAUAUCUUAAAAUAAUAUUAAAAGUAAAAAAAUAUUUAAAGAGCGUAGCACUUUAAAAGAGAAAAGAAAAUAUAACAAUGUUUCAUAGUUGAAAAAUAUUAUAGGGUUUUUUUUCAUUCAUAUCCUGUUUAUAUUGCAUAAAAAUUAAAAAAAUAUUAAUUGACAUUAUAAUUCAUAAAAUAAAAAUUAUUAAAUAAGAAUUAAAAAUAUAUUUAUAUAUAAUGGGGAUUGGGGUGGGGGUGGGGGUGGGGUGGGGAGUGCAAAACCAAACCCCACCCCAUUAAGAAUUUGGGGAUUAUUUUUCCCCCACUCACCACCCCAUUCCCCAUAAAUUAUUCAAAAUUUUAUCCAUUUGGGGUGGGGCUCCAUGGGGCCCCAAACCCGUGGAGGAUUUUGCCAUCCCUACUUUUGUAGGUGCAAUUCUAUUGAUUGGUGAUAAAAUUGAGCUAUAAGAUUAUGUUUAAGGAUGAUUGUUCUCUUAGAGAAAUUAUGAGCGUCAGAAGAACUCUGUUGAUAAGGCGUGGGCGCGUACUGUCAACUGCGGACCUGCAGUUUUUAGUUUAACGUGUUUUGUAUUUUUGGUUAUUUUUGUAAUUACGAAUUUAAUAUUUCAGAUAUUAGGAUUUUAUUUUAAAUAGAAUUAUAAAAGAGAAGAGAGAGAGAGUAUUUAAGGGAGGAAUCUAUUGUGAAAAAGGGGGAUUUUUGGAUUGGAGAAAAAGAAAGAAACCCUAGAUCUAAUUUUUCUCUUCUCUCUAUGAGGAACUAAACCCAUUUUUCUGGUUGAAGGUUAAUGAAGCUUUGAUUCAUCACUACUGUGAGACCUUUCUUGUGCUUUAAUUGUUUUAUUGCUUUUUAGAUAUUUGUUUAUUCUCUGAAUUAUUUUCAUGAUUAUGUUUGUUAAUUAGGUAAUUGGCCACUAUUUAAUUAUCAACUUAAUCUAUUGUCAAUUAAAGGAUUCAUCGUAUGAAGAAUUUAAUGUUUGUGACAAAUAACAUAGCAGAGAGUUGUGUUGUGAGAAUAAAAAAUCUAAUUUAAAUGAAUCAUAGCAGAGAGUUGUGUUCAAGUAGUUCUUCUGCGAAAGCCAAAUUUUCCUGUUAUUUAUGUCUCGGUGAAUUUGCAUCCCUAAAAUCUUGUUUGCUGGUCCCAAGUCCUUCAUUUCAAACUCCCUAGCCAACUGUGCCUUUAAUUCUUGGAUUCGAUCUUUAUUGGGACCUGCUACCAACAUGUCAUCUGUUGAGUGUUAGAAAAUGCAUAUUUAUAAAGGAGAAAACCGUCAUUUUACAUUUCAAGUCUUAUUAACAACCCUUACUUUUAUGUAUUUAACCUUCUUGUGAUUUAAUUACAUGUGUUUUAUUUUAAUUAAGUAUUUUAUGUAUUUUAGGGGCAUUAUAGUCAUUUCACAAUAAAGGAGAGAUCAGACGGAAAAACGGACAUCACUUUUGAACUCAGGACGGUCGAAAAUCUUAGGAGGAGCAUAAAAGGAAAAAUGGCCCUAUUCAUAUGUACGGUACUAUUCACGUGUACGGUACUAACUACGUUACUGUUCACAACACUGUUCACAUAGACGAAUCGAUGACGUGGCAUUGACCGAUGAUGUGGCAUUGACUGAUGAGAUGUCACGAUCUUGUUGGGCUAAAAUUCUUAUGUACUGUUGAUGGUGACGUGGCAGCAUAUCAGUGGAUGAAAAAUCUCGCGUACGGUACAUGCAUCACACAGGAUUAUUUUCAACCAAACCGCGUUACUGUUCAUCCGAGUCAAACCGCGUUACUGUUCAUCCGAGUCAAACCGUGUUACUGUUCAUCCACGUGGUCAAACCGUGGACUGUUGACUGAUGACGUGGCGCAAUCCUGAGCGUCCAAACUGUUUUUAAUCCGAUGGCCAUGAUUUACUCCAUGUAUCUAUAAAAAGGGGGCCUCCCCCCCCUAAUUUGAUAGCUCUGAAUCUAUUUUUUGGAUCCAUUUUCUGUAAUUCCCUCUCCAUCUUGUAUUUUCUUUGUAUUUUAAUAAAUUUUCAUUUUGCCCCUAGUUCAAUUAUGAGGAGCUAAUUUCCUUUCAAGCUUGGGUUGAAGGUGAAGUCUCAACAUGUGUCAUGGGCUUUAUUUGGUAAAUUUAUUUCCUUUUCCCCUCUAGUUUUUGUGGAUGAUUUGACUUAUCGUCGACAAAUAAUACUGAUCUUGUCUAGAUACCGCCUUGGUUACACCGGCUCUCUAGUAUAAGGUUAUUAUUAUUUGGCACGAUAAGCCCUUAGCACCAUAUUGAUUAGAGCGUGGUUCAUGAGGUGUGGAUUCCCCCCUCAUGAUUUAAUUGGCAUUAAUAAGGAAUAUUUAGCCCAUGAUGCAUGUUGAUACGGAUCCAGAUACCCAAGUACGUCAUUUCAAUAGAAUUCUCUUCAAUUUAUUCUCGCUAUUUCAAUUCCAAUUUUAGAAUUUAUUCUCGCCAUUUUAAUUUAAGUUUUAGUAUAUUCCAAAUCAUUUCCACCACAAAUCCAAUCACCCAUUUACAGAAUUAAUUCUACACAUAAUUAAAAUCCACCUCCUCGUGGGAUCGACACUCGUCACCAUUGAUCUACACUACAAUAGAUUCGUGCGCUUGCGAGUACAUUAAAAUUUGCACAACAUCAUCCACAUACAACAGUAAAAUAAUGAAAUCAUUAUCUUCAAACCUCUUGUAAUAUGCACAAUGGUCUGAACUGAGUCUGUUGUAUCCAAGGCUCAUGAUGAAGGAAUCAAAUCUCUUAUACCAACACCUCGGCGCCUGUUUAAGACCAUAUAGAGAUUUGUUCAACCUGCAAACCAAGUUCUCCUUUCCUGUUUCUGCAAAACCUUCUGGUUGGAGCAUAUAUAUUUCUUCUUCAAGUUCUCCAUGAAGAAAUGCAGUUUUCACAUCUAACUGCUCUAGAUGUAAGUCAAAUGUAGCACACAUCGCCAAGACUACUCUGACUGUUGUGAGUCGAACCACCGGAGAAAAUAUCUCGUUGAAGUCAAUACCUUCUUUCUGAGUAUAUCCUUUCACCACCAAUCUCGCACGAUACCGCUUCACUUGGUCAUUGCCAUCACGCUUGAUCUUGUAGACCCAUUUGUUUCCAAUGGCUUUUCUUCCACGUGGUAGUGGUACAAGUUCCCAUGUCUUAUUCUUAUGUAGAGCUUCAAUUUCUUCCUGCAUUGUUGUUAUCCACAAAGCAAUAUUUGAGCUUUCUAAAGCUUUAUGGAAAGUUGAUGGCUCUCCAUCCUCCGUUAGAAGACAAUAUGCAACAUUAAUUUCUGUGACAUACUCCGAGUGCCACACCGGCGGUCGUCUCUCACGAGUUGACCGUCGAACUUCUGGAGCCUCAGACCCGACUGGUUCUUGUUCCUCGUGCUCUGGUGCUGCUUGAGAAGAAUCUGAAUCUUCUAGAUUAUUUUCCACAUAUACUGGCACGGUCUCUGACUUUUCUUUUGUAGUGCCAUCAUCCUCAUCUCUCAUUUGCAGUUGAUCUUCUACAAAGAUAACAUCUCUGCUGAUGACGAUCUUGUGGGCAGUGGGGUCCCACAGACGAUACCCCUUUACUCGAUCAGCAUACCCCAAGAAAAUACAUAUUCUAGAUUUUGGAUCCAGCUUUGUUCUUUCUUGGGCAUUGUACAUCACGUACACAGGACAUCCAAAUGCAUGUAGGUAGGAAUAAUCAGCUGGCUUUCCAGUCCAUAUCUCCAUCGCUGUCUUCAGCCCAAUAGCUGUAGAUGGCGAUCGAUUUACUAUAUAACAGGCAGUUUUGGCUGCUUCUGCCCAGAAUGAAUUGGGUAGACUAGCAGUCUUCAACAUAGCUCUUAUUCUUUCUAUAAGAGUUUUGUUCAUCCGCUCUGCUACUCCAUUUUGUUGAGGAGUGUAUGCUACCGUGAACUGCCUUUGAAUACCUUCUUGCUUACAGAAAGCAAGAAACUCACAGUCUGUAUACUCUCCACCAUUAUCCGUCCUCAAGCACUUGAUCUUUUUACCAGAUUCAAGUUCCACCUGCGCUUUGUAUUCUUUAAAUACUGGAAAUACAUCUGACUUUUUCUUAAUUGGAUACACCCAACAUCUUCUGGAAUAAUCAUCAAUGAAAGUCACCAUGUACUUUGCACCUCCCAUAGAUAUAUCCAGUGAUUCCCAAACAUCAGAAUGAAUCAAGUCUAAAAUGCAUUUACUUCUAGCAAUAGAUCUACUGAAUUUUAAUCUAUGCUGCUUACUUGUAACACAAUGCUCGCAAAAUGGUAAACUUACCGAUUUGAGCCCCGGAAGCAAUUUUCGCUCAGAGAGAAUCUUCAAACCUUGUUCUGACAUGUGGCCAAGUUUGAGAUGCCACAUCAUCGUUGAUUCUUCUCCAUUUGAUGCGACACAUGCAUCAGCCUCCUGUAGUGUUUCUCCUUUAAGCAUGAAUAAAUUAGCACCGAUCUUUUCUGCCUUCAUCAAUACAAGCGCACCUUUAACGAUCUUUAUAAUUCCAUUCUCCACAUGAGUUUUGUACCCAUGACUAUCCAUUUGUCCCAAAGACAAUAGAUUUUUCUUCAGGCCGUUGACAUGUCGUACUUCUCCAAUUGUGCGAAUUGUACCAUCAAACAUUUUUAUUUUGAUAGUACCAAUACCAGCGAUCUCUAAGGCAUGAUCAUUACCCAUAUAUACAGAUCCUCCUGAGAUAGGUUCAUAUGUGUGGAACCAUUCUCUCCGAGAGGUCAUGUGCCAGGUAGCUCCUGAGUCUAUAAGCCAGACAUCAGACAGUCAUUUUCUGCCUUCUGAAACAGUUGUUGCCUCGCUAUAGAGAAUUUCGCCAUCAUCUAAGGUACUUGCCACACACCCUUGAGCAUUUGAUGACUCAGGUUCUUUACCCUCUCUUCUCUUCUGGUUACUCCAACACUCUUUCUUGACGUGCCCUUUCUUGCCACAUUUGUAGUAUUUAACAUUCUUCUUACUUCUGGAUUUUGAUCUACCCUGAUUUUGACUCCCACUGGGGCCACGUUCCGUUAAUCUCCCUCUCGUCACCGAUAGCGCUUCUGCUUGCUGCGAACUUGCUUGUCUGUUUUCCUUAUUUUUUCGCCUGCUCUCCUCAUUUAAUACGGAGGCUGCAACAUCGUCGAAAACUAGACUCUCCACUGGAUUGUUGUUCGUCAGGUUGAUGAUGAGUUGAUCAUACGAAUCUGGUAGACUUUGAAGUAGAAGCUUUGCACGUUCAUUUUCCUCUAUAUUAUGACCCAACGUUGUGAGUUGUGAAAAUAGAGUCUUCAAUGUGUUGAUGUGGUCGGUCACCAUUGUAGAUUCCGCCAUUCGAAGAGUAUAGAGUUUUCUCUUCAAGAAGAUUUUGUUGUGUAGUGACUUGGCCUCAUACAAUUUUGUGAGAGUAUCCCAUAUUUCCUUUGCCGUAUUUUUCUCUGCCAUACUGGAUAAUACUCCAUCCGCAAGUGCCAAGUGUAGAUCAGAAAUGGCGUUGCCGUCUACCUCGUUCCACUUGUCAUCAGUUAUUUCCAUAGGCCUUUCUCCAAUUGCUGCCAAGCAAUUAUUUUUCCUCAAUACAGCUUUCAUCUUCAUUUUCCACAACGAAAAAUUAUUUCCGUUAAAUUUCUCAAUUUCAUACUUUGCCGCCAUUUUGUUGAUAAAUAUCGCACACAAGCUAGUGUACCACCUUGAAUAGUUGUGAGUAUGUGUGAGAAUGCACACCAGGAAAGUUCCCAGGAAAGACUGGAGGGGUCACAAUGGUCCUACUUAAAACCCAGACUCCUUAAGCUCUUAUCGCUUUUGUGACAGAACUUUCCUAGACAUGUACAAAACCACAAUUGUUUUACUCACACCACUAUUCCCUGCUUUGCAUCGCAAAAUUCUUGGAUCGCUCCCACCGCUUCUUGUGAAUAGUACCGUAUACGUGAACAGUACCGUAUACGUGAAUAGUACCCCUUACGUGAACAGUACCCGACUCCAAAAAAUACAACUAAUAGCUCUGAUACCACUGCUAGGAAAUUGGUGGGUGAAGCAGACACGUAGCUAAAAUAAAAUUGGAAGAAAAUAAAGAACAAGCACUCUAGAGGACACCAGAAAAUUACGUGGUUCGGCUUUUAGCCUACAUCCACGGGCGAAGACAGAAGAAAAUAUUUUACUAGUGAAAAGGAGUUACAAGUAUUGUAGUAUUUUAGCUCACUUCCCAAAACCCCAAUACACCUAAACUCUCUCAAUCACUGUAACAAGAGCUUAUAAAUGCAAGCUCUCUAAAUUCUCUCUAAAUACAAGAGAAAUCUUCUCAAAAUUGGAUGAUCAAAUGAGGGAAUGAGUCCCUCUAUUUAUAGCCAAAAUCUUGGCUACUAUUCACGUAUUUUUUUUAAUUAUUUAUUAUUGUUCAAAAUUCAAAAUUCAAAGUUUGAUAUUCAAACUUUGAAUAUCUAGAAUUUUGAAUUUGAUAUUCAAAGUUUGAAUAUCUAGAAGUUUGAUUUUGAUAUUCAAACUUUGAAUAUCAAGACACCCAAUCUUGACAUCGGAGGCUUCGUUUUAGAAGAGUGCAGAGCAGCUGCCUUGUCCAUUUGGCACGCCAACGACUUUCUAUUGACCAAUAAUUUUGAAAGCGAUAUUAGUAAUUUACCAUCUAAUAUUUUUUUUAUAUUAUCAUUUUACCAUAAAGUUUUUUAACAAUUAUUUUUUUCCUUAAUGUUUUAGUUUUUAUUAUAUUACUACCAAAAAUUGGCAAACGCACUCCUAGUGUAGGUUAUCCACAAAAUGGCUACCGAAUUGUCUUGUUUCUCAUUUUGUUUAAUUUUCAUAAAUUCGACUCACGAUUCAAAUGUGAGUGAAGAGUUUUUUUUUUGGGAAAAAAUCUGGUCUUCCAUUUACUAGAAUUAGGUAUGUGUGAUUUUAUUAUUUUUCUUUUGCUUUAUAUGUAUCUGGAAAAUUAUGAAUACUUUGCAGGAUUUAGAAGGAUUUGAAUGUUUGAACGCAUAUAGCUUUCUGUCCAUCAGCUAAUGCAUAUUCUGCAUUUUAUGAAUAUCAGAGCUGGUAGAUUGAAAAAUGGACCUUAUUACAUGUCAUAAGAUACUUUGCUCAAAGCUGCAAUUGGGCAACGUCGUGCUGUUCUUAUCCGCCAAUGCAAGCCAUUUACUAUUCUUUCUAAUGGAGCAAAAUAAGAUGAUUCUUACCUGCAUAGAGAAUUAGAAAAGAAAAGGAGGAUUACUGAUCCACAGAGCUGUCAUUUACUAGAAGCACAUAAAAUCUUACACUUAAUUCAUUAACCAUAUGUAUAUUCUAAUGAUACUUAAGUAUUACCUAAACUAGCCUUUCAAAAUUUCACUUCGAAAAAAUCCAAGGUUGUAAUGUGUCUAUUUGGUUGCUAAUACAAGUUCUCUCUAUUCCCAAUUUUUUAUGCUCUCACUUCGCUUGAUUCACCUUCUCCAUCUUUUAAAACAGUUGUAUAUGUCGGGGUAUCAAGUUCAUCACAAGGAUCAUAUUAUGGCCUAAGGAAGGAGCACAGUUUAUUGUCUGCACUCAAGCUUAGCAGAGUGUUUUGGGAUUCAAGAGUGUUAGUAGGCCGUUACAGAUGCCAUGCUGGCAAGCGUGCUAUGACUGAUUGCUAUUUGCACGCAAAAUUUGCCCAAAACAAAUAGAAUGAGAAUACUUGUACAAAAGGACAAGAUUAAUAAAGUGAAUAAAUUUUAUCUUUUAGUGAAUGCUUCUUGUCUUUUAGAAUUUUAGUGCAUUUUCGUGUGUAAUUUUAUGUGCAAAUAGCAUUACUCAUUAGUAAUUAGUCUCGAGUGUUCUAAUUUCUUCUAAUAAGUGGCUGAUUUGAGCUUAAGACUUGUAUUUUAAGUUUUUAUUACUUUCUAAUAAAGAUUUUCUCUGUUCUUUUUUACUUUCACUUUCUCUUCCAUUUUCCCGACUCCCAAACACCACCAAUCCUUGAUUUUCUAGAGUAUAGCUAUGCAGUUCUACAAACACGAAACUGCUGUUUGUCCAUUUACUUUCAAGAAACAACGUACUCUGUGGUUUAUUGACUUGUGACUUGUGACUUGUGACCGGGGCAAAUUAGUCACGGUCCGAUUGUCUCCUCUUCCACUGACUCUGUCAAUUCAUGACUUUGGCACACAGUAGACGCCAGCUGCCUGCUUCAUUUGACGUGCAAAAAACUUUCUUGAAUCGGGUUAAAAUCGAUUGAUUAUUUUGUUUGGUGAUGAUGAGUUAGUUGUCAAUUCAUGAGUUUGAUGCAGUGAAACGCUUAACGCUCUCUUGUGAUGCGCAGGAGAAAAGCCAGUGAUGAUGAAGAGGACGAAAAACAUUAUUUUGUUAUUUACAAUAAGGCUAUCAAUUAUAUAUUCCAAAAUAAUUGGGUUUGGAUGGUCAUUUUGUUUUCUAAAAUAUCCAAAUGGAAACAGAAUUUAUAAAGUGGGAAAAUCAAGAAAUUAAAUACUCUUCGUAUAGUGGAAGGAGAUUUGGUUGCCGUUAUGCUAAAUAAAAGAAAAAUAAAGUAAAAUUACAAUACUUUAAUAAUCUCAUUCCCAAUCAUACCGGAAAUAAAAAUUUUCUGUAUAGUUAUGAAAUAAUUAUUGAUUUUACUUUAGUGAUUUUUUUUUUAAAGUAAGGUAAGCAUCUUUAUUUUCUUUGCAAACGAGCCUUCUUUCUUUUGCUUUGGCCUUUACUCUAGACUGUAUUUCAUGGUCAUACUCAAUCUCAAUAUUUUGUAGGUUUGUGGCUGUUUUAUGAGUUACGAUUUUUUAUAGGGUUGCAUGUAGAUGAUACAUUUAUUUUUUUCUUUUUUCUUUUCUUCUUCGGUGAAGAUACUAAAAUUUAGUUUUUGUUAUCAUGUGAAAUGAAAAUAGUCCUCGUUUCAAGGAUUAAUGGGCCACUAAUUUCGUCUUCUUAGAAGAAAAUUUUUUGCAGCGAGGUAAUUCGAAGCUCGAAGAUUUCUAUAUUACAUAGCCAAACCUAAGUGAUAAGAAUUUCCAUAUGAGAUAUAAUUUGGAAAAAAAAAAAAAACCAAUUCAAGUUAAAGAUAAAAAAAUCUGUGUUCCUUAAAAAACAUAAUUCAAGCCACACAAUUUUUCUUGUUUCAUUUGAGAAAAAGAAAAUUGUGUUCCUCACAAAAACACUUUAACAUUUGUUGUCUCAUAGAGGGAAAUGUCCUUCAAAACAAUUGAAACGUUGUCCACAAACAUUGUCAUGUAGUUAAGAAAAACUUAAUUUUGAGAAGUGCAAGAGAUUGGUGGGACUCAUUUGAUUCAAGAAAAAUAAUCAGUCUCAUUUGAUACGCAAAGAGCUUUUCUACUCAUGCAGCCAAUAUUUUGAUGAAUGUGACAUUACUGGUUUGUAUAAUUUUUUGGAUAUUAUCUCAAUUUUACUUCUGUAGGUUUGUGGUUUGUAUAUUAUCUCAAUUUUUAAAAAAAUGUAAUGCAAUUAUCAAACACGACUAAUCCCAACAAUUUAUCCAAAAAUUUUUAUUUCAAGAAAUGUAGCAUUUAUGAUAGAAUGGCUAAUGUUUUCAAUCGACUUUCUGGAUAAAUGAUAAUUUUUUGAUAGAAAUGUUACUUAAGUAUUACAGGAAGAAAAUUAUAGAAUAAUUUUUUGAAUUAAUUGUAUUACUUUACGAUAACACUAUCACAAUCUAAUUUAAAAAAAAAAAGUUAUUCUUUAAAUUUCGCAUUACUAUUCCUACUUUUCUUGUUAUAGUACUUAAUGGCACUGGUGAAGCCUCAGAAUUAUCAAACAAAAGGCAAAAAUAGUUCAAUAUCUGCUGUCCCACUAAGCAUUGUUAAAUUCAUAUAAUAAAAUGAGUACUUAUAUUAAAAAAAAACAAUCGGUCUCAUUGCGUGCUCUUUCAUUGACAUAGGCAAUUUGCUGUCAACUUGUGGCACUUUUAUGAAUUUUCAAGAUUGGUGAAUUUUUCAAAUUUAAAAGAAAAAAAUACAGAAAUGUAAUUUCAAUUUAUCCAAAAAUUUGAGUUUCAAGGAAUACAGCAUUUAUUAUAUGUCAUGUUAAUAUAGAGAAGAAAAAUUAAAAAACUUCUUUUUGGAUGAAUAAAAGUAUUUUCUGAUAAAUAUUUCACAAUCAAAUUUAAAAAAAUUUCACUCCUCUUGGUACAUAAUUUAAGAAUUUAACAUUAUAAAUUAAUCUUUUUAAUCAAAGUAAUAAUCUCUCCUCGGUCUGCAAAUGCUAAAAUUUAAUAUUAUAUCCUUUGACAAUAUUUGCUCCAAAUUCACGAAAAUAAAAUUUCUAACAGAAUUAUGACAUUCGUUACUAGAAAUUUGUAUAAAAGUUGUGAGAAUAGAAGGUUUGAUCAUAGGAAAUUAAUAUAUCCCUAUCCGAUGCAAAAAUGAUUGUAAAGAAAAACAAAAGUCAUGGGCUUAUUUUGAAAAAAGAAAAAAUUACAUUCCUUUUUCCCGUUAUUAAAGUAAUUCUAAAAUCACUAGGCACACAAAGGAUAGGCUUUAGUUGACUGAGGUCAGCCUUAACGCAUGCCGGUCUUUUUCUCCUCUACAUUCUUAGAAAUUUUGGUUUCACUAUAAAUACUCGGUAUAUAGCAAACUUAUAAGUGUUCUUGCAUUACCAAUCCAACUAAGCACACGCUUACAAUAUAAAUACUCUCAUCUCAUGGAAAGACUUCAUUCUCUCAGGAUGAUGAGCAGAUUUCUCUUACUCCAUUGUUUGAUUCUUAUUUCCUUACUUAUCGCAGCUGCAACAGCCAACACAAGUACUAUUACCGCAGACCAAGAUGCUCUGCUUUCCCUGAAAGCUCACAUAACUCAUGAUCCAACCAAUUUCUUGGCCAAAAAUUGGAACACGAGUAUCUCUUUCUGUAAUUGGACAGGCGUCACUUGUGAUGUCCAUAGCCAUAGAGUCACAAUCUUGAAUAUUUCUGGCUUAAAUCUCACCGGCACCAUUCCUUCUCAGCUUGGGAAUCUUUCUUCUCUGCAAUCACUCAAAUCUCAGUUUUAACCAACUUUCUGGUUCCAUUCCCUCCGCUAUCUUCACCACGUAUACACUGACAUAUGUUAGUCUCUGUCAAAAUCAGCUCUCUGGGAAAAUUCCUGCAAAUAUUUGUAGCAAUCUUCCUUUCCUUGAAUUUCUUUCUUUGUCCAAAAACAUGUUGUAUGGCGGAAUACCGUCCACUCUAUCAAAUUGCACAUAUUUAAGAAUCUUAAGUUUGGCAUACAAUGAUUUCUCAGGAGCCGUACCUAGAGAAAUCGGGAACUUGACCAAACUUAAGGAAUUAUAUCUUGGCGUUAAUAGACUUCAAGGUGCGCAUGAUCACGAAGUUUAAUUAUAAGAAUUGUUCCCUGAGUUGUAGUAUGAAUAACGUUCCAUAAUACACUUUACACACGUUGAUUAAUUUGCAGGAGAAACUCCUCGAGAGUUUAGCAAUCUUGCCGACUUGGAGCAUAUGUCGUUGGCAGGCAACAAUCUCCAAGGCAUGAUUUUAAAGUUUUUGCAAUUUUAUUUUAGCGAUGCUUGCUUCUGUAUUCAUUCGCUUGUUCUUUGAUUAUGCGAUGAUUUAUUGUUUUUCUUUCAGAUAGAGAUAAAGCUCCAUGUCUCCCCUCACUCAUUUCAUUCUUUAAUUUAUGCAGAUAAAAAUUUAAAAAAAAUGUUUUGUAAUUUUCUUUUGUCAUAUUGCCACUUCCGUUUUGAAGCUCCCAAUCAAGUCGAUGAAAAUGAAUGAUGUUUCAUUCUUAUUCUUGUCAGCCUAAUUCUUAUAUAAUUGAAGAGUAAAUUGUUAUUAUGAUCAAAUUGUUUGCGCAUAUAUAAAUGUACUUUAUUUACAGGAGGUAUUCAACGGGAAUUGGGGAAUCUUACAAAAUUGGAGGGGUUACAGCUGUUCCAGAAUAACUUGAUCGGUAACUUUCUUUACAAUAUAUAUACGAGACAUCUUCCGCUUUUUAUUAGAAAUUAUAAAUUCAAGUUAAAUCUUAAUUAAAAGAUUUCAAGUCUCUCAUUAUAAAUUCUCAUAUGAUGAUGUGUCGUUACCACUAUCUAACAUUAUUCCCUUUUUUAUUAGAAAUUAGUUUGUGUUAAUUCAAAAUUCUGUAGCAUUUAAAAAAAUUAAAAACACGUGGAAUAAAUUGUUAAUCUUUCUUCUUUACUGAAUUUGGAUUUCUCAAAAAUAAUCAUGACAAGUAUGCUUCACUAAUGAUAAACAUGUGUGACAACUUCAUAAAAUAUUUUAUAUGGAAUCACUAAUUAUCUCUAAAGAUGCCAUCAGUGAUACAUAAUUUCUUAACAAGCACCGUACCAAAAGAAAUCAACAAUUUUAUUAAUCUUAAAGAGUUACAUCUUCACUGCAAUUAUGACAUAAAUUUUUAGUCAUCAAUCACAUAAUAUUUUAUCUUAACGGAUGAUGUUCAGUCUUGGAAUUUAUAAUAUCAUGAAGGUUAGUAGCAUUGAAAAUAAGAAAUUGUUCAUGUGCUAAAAAGUCAACUUAGUAUUUAAGUUUUUCACUUGAAAUUUUUGAAAAAAGUGUUGAGAACUAGCCCUCCUUAGUAUUUCAGCGGAUAAAUAUGAAAAAUGGGCUAGAAGAAAUUAUUUUAUUGUAAUAAGAGUUAGAAAGAGAGGAGAAGUACAGUACUCAUGACUUAGGCUUGCUGUGUGUGUGCUUAUUCUACUUGGGCUUUGGGCUUGAUUACACGGUCGAACGCUUACACCUGUUAAAAUAAUGGGCUUUUGCUUUCGCCGCACAUCUGAUAAUUUCCUAACCUUCCAAUUAGGUUAUAGCAAUUUAAAUAUAAAUAAUAAAGCAUGCUAAAGCUAGCAUUGGUGUAUGGCUGAGUGGUGUAAAAAGUGGAUCUGUUUUCAUGUAUUAUUUAUUCUCUAAAACAUAUUUGAAUACAAUUCUUUCAAAAUACCGAGGAAAUAGCACAUGAAAUCAGAAAUAUUUUAUUGUGAUGAGAAUUCAUAUACUCAUUGUAGUAGAACAUAUAAAAUAGACUAUAAAUUUAUUAUUCUUCGAAACAAACUUGAUUAUAAUUCCUUCAAAAUUAAGUUUGUCAUUAAAUGAUUUCUCAGGAGCCAUACCAAAAGAAAUCGGGAAUUUGACCAAACUCAAGGAAUUAUCUCUUGGCGGUAACAGGCUCCAAGGUGCGCAUGAUCACAAAGUUUAAUUAUGAAAAUUGUUGCAUAAGUUAUAUGGAUAUCCUUGAUAACCGCAGCAAGCAAACAAAAUCAAAUAAAAGCUAACUGAGACUCGAAUAUCCUAAACCCUGAAAAGGAAUGGUAAUGGUAUAAUAUGGAUUUUGAAGGCAUAUUUCACCGGACUCAACAUUUAUGGUUAAUUUACAACUCUUUGUUGGAAAGUCUGAGAAAUUGCUUUAUAUUAGGGGUGGGGAAAAUAAUGCUGGGCCACGAAUUUCAGGCAGAAUCCAGAUUGGGCCCAAUUAGACUUAUAGCUCAGCUCUGUGUAGAUAUCUGGGCCUUUACAAAUAAUUAAUGGGCCAAUUAAUAAUAAUAAAUAAAUUGAGAAGGGUGUGAGUGAAAUUAGAUAUGAAUGAAUCUGCCAAUGUAUGUACACAUUUUUAGCAAAAGAAAUCGGGAAUUUGACCAAACUCAAGGAAUUAUCUCUUGACCGUAACAGGCUCCAAGGUGCGCAUGAUCACGGAGUUUAAUUAUGAAAAUUGUUGCAUAAGUUGUAGUAUGAAUAAUGUUCCAUAAUACAGUUUAGACACGUUGAUUAAUUUGCAGGCGAAAUUCCUCGAGAGUUUGGCAAUCUUGCCGACUUGGAGCAGAUGUCGUUAUGGGAAAACAAUCUCCGAGGUAUGAUUCUAAACUUUUUGCGUUUUUUAUUAGAAAUUAAUUUGUAUUAACUAAAAAUUUUGUAGCAUCUGAAAAAAUUAAAAACACAUGGAAUAAAUCGUCAAUCUUCUAAUUUGGAUUUCUUAAAAAUUAUCUUGACAAGUAUGCUUCACUAAUGAUAUGCAUGUGUGACAACUUCAUAAAAUAUUUUACAUGGAAUCACCAAUUACCUUUAAAUAAUUGGAGAUGCCAUCAGUGAUACAUAAUUUCUUAACAAGCACCUUAUCAAAAGAAAUCAACAAUUUUAUUAAUCUUAAAAAGUUACAUCUUUACUGCAAUUAUGAAAUAAAUUUUUAGUCAUCAAUCGCAUAAUAUUUUAUCUUAACGGAUGAUGUUCAGUCUUGGAAUUUAUAAUACCUUGAAGGUUAGUAGCUUUGAAAAUAAGAAAUUGUUCAUUUGCUAAAAAGUUAACUUAGUAUUUAAGUUUUUCAAUUGAAAAUUUUGAAAAAAGUCUUGAGAACUAGCCCUCCUUAGUAUUUCAGCGGAUAAAUAAGAAAAACAGGCUUGAAGAAAUUAUUGUUGUGUGUGCUUAUUCUACUUGGGCUUUGGGCUUGAUUACACGGUUGAGCACUUACACCUGUUAUAAUAAUAGGCUUUUACUUUCACCACACGUUUGAUAAUUUCUUAACCUUCCCAAUUAGGUUAUAGCAAUUUAUAUAUAAAAAACGAAAGCAUACUAAAGCUAGCAAUUUUUUGACUGGUAUCAUUCCUUCAUCUAUUUCACGUCUUUCAUUAUAAAUUCUCAUAGGAUGAUAUCUCAUUUUUUAUUAGAAAUUAAUCUGUGUUUAUGCAAAAAAAUUUAGCAUCUAAAAAAAGUAUAAAAACACGUGGAAUAAAUCGAAAAUCUUUCUUCAUUACUGAAUUUGGAUUUCUCAAAAAUUAUCAUGACAGCUAUGUUAGUGUCUUACUAAUGAUAUGCAUGUGUGACAACUUCAUAAAAUAUUUUAUAUGGAAAAUAUUAAAAAUAGACUUGAAAAAAAUUAUUUUACUGAAAUAAUAGUUAAAAAGAGAGGAGAAGUAUUACCUAUUACACAUGGUCGAACACUUACACCUGUUAUAAUAAUAAUAGCAUCCGCCGGUCGACUAUGAGUGAUCAAAUUGUUUGCACAUGUGUAAUUUGCAGGAGCAAUUCCACGGGAGUUGGGAAAUCUUACAGGAUUGGGGUUCUUAGAGCUGGGUGAAAAUUUUUUAACCGGUAUCACUCCUUCAUCUCUCUCCAAAUUGCUUUUCUCUAUUAAAUUUGGAACUCUCAUUUAAUAACUUAACAGGUAACUUCCCUUACAACAUGUUUGUGUGACAUGUUUUGCUUCUCAAUUAAAAUAUUUCACUUCUCUCAUUAUAAAUUCUCAUAGGAGGAUGUGUUGUUAUUACUAUUUAACAUUAUCUCGUUUUUUAUUAGAAAUUAAUCUUUGUUUAUGCAAAAAAAUUUAGCAUCUAAAAAAAGUAUACAAACACGUGGAAUAAAUCGAAAAUCUUUCUUCGUUACUGAAUUUGAAUUUCUCAAAAAUUAUCAUGACAGCUAUGUUAGUGUCUUACUAAUGAUAUGCAUGUGUGACAGCUUCAUAAAUUAUUUUACAUGGAAAAUAUGAAAAAUAGACUUGAAAAAAAAUUAUUUUACUGAAAUAAUAGUUAAAAAGGGAGGAGAAGUACACUACUCAUGACUUAGGCUUGCUGUGUACUUAUUUUACUUGGGAUUCGAGCUUGAUUACACAUGGUCGAACACUUACAUCCCACGACAUAGGCUUUUAGGGACGAGUGGCGUCAAAUGUGUAUAUGCUUUUAUGUAUUAUUAUUCUUUGAAACAAAUCUGAUUAUAAUUCUUUUAAAAUACAGAUUAAAUGGCACGUGAAAUCGGAAAAUAUUUUACUGCAAUAAGAAUUCAUAUAUUCAUUGUACUAGCACAUAUAAAAUAAACUAUAAAUUUAGUUCCAAAAUACAUUCUUAUCUUCAUAUAAAUUUUACAUUAUUAAUUUAAAUUAAUAUUAAAAUAUGUUGUUUCUUUCACUAUGUUAUUUUAUUUACACAAUGAUGUGACUAUUGGAAUUAAUAAUACUUUUAAUUAUUUUGUAAAAAUAUAAAUUUAAUACUUUGUUAACAUUUUAACUACAUAUAAUAAUUAAACUGAAACUUGUAUUUAAAAAAUUCGAGUUACGCAUAUUCAUUUCAUGACAUAAAAGUGUAUAUUUAUGCUAAUUUACCAUUAUCAACAAAAAGAUUUGAGACAAAUAAUCUAAUUUAUAUUUUUAUAUUUAAAAUCUUGCAUUUAUUAUAUUUUGAAAAAAAUUUAUUUGCAAUUAUUUUAAACGGUUGGAUUCAAAUUUUCAUAGUUACUAAAGUCAAAGGGUAUAAAUGUAUAAUAGUCAAAAACAUAUUUGUAUGAUCAUUUUUCAAUGUAUAAAUUUUCUUAGUUAGUAGGAAAAUUAGAAAUUGUUGAUUUACUCAUAAAUAAAUUUAAUGUUUAGCAUUUCAAUUUUGGAAAACUUGAACUAAAUGUUGAUAACUUCGAAUCGGUCGAGCCGAGUUUCUCUUCCUUGACCCACGGACCCAUUGAAAGUUCUAUUCGAAUUGAGUUUCCUGGUGCUUAUAAAAAGCAUUUCUUUUCCUUGUUGCAGUAAUUUAUUCACAAAUGAGUUGAUUAGCAUCGAAGUUACCUGAGAGUCUGAGACCAUGCUAGUAGGAGAAAUUUGAUAAGAAAUUAUUUUACUGAAUUAAUUUAUUUUAUCUUGUUGCAACUGGAAUACUACUUUUUUUUUUGGGCCAUCACUUGGGCUUGAUUUACUUUAAUAGUAGCAUCCACCGACUUAGGCGUUUUUUACUUCUCACCACACAAUUUGAUCUUUUAAUUAGUUUUAACCACAUAAUCUAUCUAUUUCUCACCUAUUGCUUACUUAAAUCGCAUACAUAUUUUACCUACUAAUUUUUAUAAAUAUUAGUCAAAUAUAUUUUAUUACGUUUUUCUCGUAACUGCUCCAAAUGUGUACUAUUAAUACUUAACCCUCCCUUUUAAUUUACUGUGCAAUCUAUCUAUCACUUAAGUCAUAUAUAUUUGACCUAUAUUUUACCCCAAAAAAUAUAAAAAUAAAAGAAAAAGAAUGUGUAGCAAUUUGCAUAUAACUAACAAAGCAUUGAUGGUGUGUAGCCUUUCAAUACUUCACGACUGGCUUUUCUUGUGUGUUAGUACUUGUAAUAAUUGUGUAGUGUAUAAAUGGCAUUUUAUUAUUAAAGUGCGUCCAUUUUUAGAUAUUACUUAUUAUUUGAAAAAUAAUCUGAAUAUAAUUCUUUUAAAAAACAGGGGAGAUACCACUUGAAAUUGGUAAUCUCCAAAAUCUGGAGGAGUUGGACCUUCGUCAAAACAAAUUAGUUGGUAUUGUCCCCGCUGCAAUCUUUAAUGUGUCCACGCUCAAAUUACUUCAGCUUCAGAAUAAUUCUCUCUUGGGAUGUCUUUCGUCCAUCGCAGACGUCCGACUACCAAAUCUUGAAGAGCUUUCUUUAUGGGGUAAUAAUUUCAAUGGCACAAUUCCUCGUUUCAUCUUUAAUGCUUCUAAGCUCUCUAUACUAGAAUUGGUAGGCAACUCAUUCUCCGGUUUUAUUCCCAACACAUUUGGCAACUUAAGAAACCUUGAGCGGCUUAAUUUACAAGAUAAUUAUUUGACAUCUUCAACUCCAGAAUUGAGCUUUCUAUCCUCGUUGUCAAAUUGCAAGUCUUUAACACUUAUUGCCUUAUCAAAUAAUCCACUAGAUGGCAAUCUUCGUAAGACGUCUGUCGGUAAUCUUUCUCAUUCUUUGGAAAUCUUUCUCAUGUACAAUUGUAACAUUAGUGGCGGAAUCUCUGAAGAGAUUAGCAACUUGACCAACUUGACAACCAUUAAUUUAGGAGGCAAUAAAUUGAAUGGAUCAAUUCCGAUUGCCCUUGGCAAAUUACAAAAGCUACAAUAUUUGGGUCUUGAAGAUAACAAAUUAGAAGGAUCAAUCCCAGAUGAUAUUUGUCGUUUGGAUGAACUGUAUGAAUUGGAGUUGGGUGGCAAUAAGCUUUCAGGAUCAAUCCCUGCAUGCUUCGGUAAUCUGAUUGCUCUGAGGAUACUGUCGUUGGGUUCCAAUGAGUUAACUUCUAUUCCCUUAACUUUUUGGAACCUUAAGGAUAUCUUGCAACUCAACAUUUCAUCAAAUUAUUUUACUGGUCCACUCCCAUUAGAGAUUGGAAAUUUGAAGGUUUUAAUUGGAAUUGAUUUUUCGAUGAAUAAUUUUUCAGGCGUUAUCCCAACAGAAAUUGGAGGCCUAAAAAAUCUAGAAUAUCUCUUCUUAGGAUAUAAUAGAUUGCGAGGAUCGAUUCCUGAUUCAUUUGGGGAUUUGAUAAGUUUGAAAUUCUUGAAUUUGUCCAAUAAUAAUCUCUUUGGGGCUAUUCCUGCAUCUUUAGAGAAACUCUCAUAUCUUGAAGAUCUAAAUCUUUCUUUCAACAAGCUAGAAGGAGAAAUUCCUAGGGGAGGAUCUUUUGGAAACUUCUCAGCUGAAUCAUUUGAGGGAAAUGAAUUAUUAUGUGGUUCACCCAAUUUACAAGUCCCGCCAUGCAAAACUAGGAUCCACCACACAUCAUGGAAAAAAUCUCUUCUCCUGGGGAUUGUCUUGCCAUUGAGUACUACAUUAAUGAUAGUAGUCAUUUCGUUGAUCCUAAGAUAUCGACAGAGAGGAAAACAACCAUCGAAUGAUGCUAAUAUGCCACUAGUAGCAACGUGGAGAACAUUUUCAUACCUAGAACUUUGUCAAGCAACAGACGAAUUCAGUGAAAACAAUCUAAUCGGCAGAGGAGGUUUUGGCUCUGUUUAUAAGGCAAGACUUGGGGACGGGAUGGAGGUUGCAGUGAAAGUUUUCAAUUUGCAAUGUGGAAGAGCGUUCAAGAGUUUCGAUGUUGAAUGUGAAAUUAUGAAAAGUAUUCGCCAUCGAAACCUUAUCAAAGUUAUUAGCAGUUGUUCAAAUGAAGAGUUUAAAGCGUUGGUAUUAGAAUACAUGCCUCAUGGAAGUUUGGAGAAGUAUCUGUAUUCAAGUAAUUGCAUUUUGGAUAUUUUUCAAAGAUUGAACAUAAUGAUAGAUGUUGCAUCAGCUUUGGAAUAUCUGCACUUUGGUUGUUCAGCUCCAGUAAUUCAUUGUGACUUAAAGCCCGACAAUGUAUUGUUAGAUGAUAAUUUGGUUGCUUAUUUGAGUGAUUUUGGCAUCGCGAAGCUCUUAAUUGGAGAAGAUCAGUCUAUGACUCAAACGCAAACACUUGCCACAAUAGGUUAUAUGGCACCAGGUUUGUUCAAUAUAAACAUUUUCUAUUUCUUGUAAACUUCCUAAUAAGUUAUUUAUGUUUCAUGAUCUUCAUUAGAUCAGGAAAUUAUUGUUAAUGAUAUAUCUUACUAUGUAACUGUUGCAAUUCAUAGAGUAUGGAAGAGAAGGACGAGUAUCCACAAAUGGAGAUGUUUAUAGCUUUGGAAUUAUGUUAAUGGAAACUUUUACCGGGAAGAAACCCACAUAUGAAUUUUUUAAUGGAGAAAUGACAUUAAAGCAUUGGGUUAAUGAUUGGCUACCCAUUUCCACUAUGGAAGUUGUUGAUGCUAAUUUGCUAAGUCAGGAGGACAUACAUUUUGUUGCAAAGGAGCAAUGUGUGUCAUUUGUCUUCAAUUUGGCUAUGGCGUGCACUGUGGAAUCUCCUGAGCAGAGAAUCAAUGCAAAAGAAAUUGUAACAAAACUCUUAAAAAUUAGAGACUCAUUACUUAGAAAUGUUGGAGGCAGACGUAUAAGACAAUCAAAUUUAAAUUGAUUCUACCCCUCCACUACUUGCUAUCCUUUUCAGAGACUUGAACAAUUAUCCUUAAUACAAUUUUUGUUGAUGUGCUUUGUUAUUGCUCUUACUCAUGUUUAUUUCUCUAUUUCUUUAAUUUGCAUGCAUGUAUUUUUCGUUCUCUUUUAUGUUUUUGUUGGUUUGUAUGUAGUUUGUUUUUAGGUUGAUUAUGUCCUCCCCUAAUUAGACGCAUCCUUUUUAUGUUUAUUCAAUAAAGCUUCUCUAAUACUAUCGAGGUUCAUCAAAAGAAAAUUUUAAAUUAAUUUUCUUUUCUUUGACAGGUAAUGAAAUUCUAAUCUUCAUAGUGAAUAACUUCAAUAAUAGAGUGUAAGUGUAUUAGUAGUUAUGGUUGUUUUUUGAACCUGGAGUCAAAAGCAAUUUAAUAGCAACAAACAAGUCUCUUGUAUUAUAGGCAAAAUUAUUUUCAUUAAUCUUAUUUUUCUACAUGUUCUCCUAUUUUCUCCAUUUAUCUUCGCUCAAGGUUUCAUGCUUCCUCUUGGAUAAAGGAAAACUUACUUGCGAAUAUUUCAAUUUGACAUAAGAGACUGUUUUGCCAACCAUUUGAUAAAAUGGAUAUGAGCGGAGCUUUCAAUCAUCACCUCCACCAAAAUCCUUACUACGCCACUUUUAAAUUGUAUUUUUUAAAAUGCAUUCAGUUUAAUUUAUAAAAAAUAAAUUCAUUUGUUAAAAUUAAUCUUUUUCUCAUAAAUUUCAGCCUAAAAAAUAUAUUUCUUUUAAACUUUUAAUUAUAAAAUACAUACAAGUUCUAAACUGUUAUAUUAUUUUCUUCUUAUUAUAUAGUUCAUAUCUCCAUAACUCUAAACUCCUAUAAUUUUUUUUAAAAUAUUUUUAAUUUAAAAUAUAAAUAUAAAAUAUAAAAUGGAGUGGGUAUAAAAAAACUUGUUAAAAGAAUAAUUCAUUUAAGUAUUUAACUGAAUUUAAAUUAAAAUAAGAAAUAAAUAAAUUUAUUUUUAUUAGUUAAGUAAUUUUCAAUUGUAAAAGAGCUUUAUGAGUAAUAUUAUUGAAAUAUGAUUAAAAUUCUUAUGAAUUAAACAUUUUCGUAUAAAUACUAGUGAUAAUUAUAGAGAAAAUGUGAUGAACCAAAGAAAACUUGAGUAUAAAUACUCCAAUGUAAUUUUACACAUGCAAAUUAUGAACCAAUGAUCUUUAGAGCAUCAUAAAAUUAUUUUGACACAACUAUUUAUUUUGAAAAACUGGUAACAAUGUUUAAAGUGGGAUUGAAAAGAUUAUGCUACUUAUAUAAGACAUGAUAUCAUUUAAGACGGCUUACAGAUUAUGAGAAAUAUAUUCAUCUUACAAAUAUUUAAUAUGUUAAUUAGACGGGUCUAGCUGCCUUUCACCCGCUGGAAGGUACAGCUUAUUUUGUCCUCUAGUGUUGUGGCCGUUGGAUAUUUGAGAAGUUGAUCUAUCGGUUCUUGUUCGGCAGCGUGAAAUUGAAUUUCAAUCAGCAACCAUUUCAUGAACUUUCAGGAGACAAUUAUCUACAAAAAAAAUUUUUUAAAAAAUAAUUUUUCGCUUUCAUCAACCGCCGCUGCCACCCACAACCCCUUAAUAUCAUCACCACCAUCCCAAUCCUUAGCCGCCAUCCACAAACUCUAACAACCACCAUGACUGCCAUCACAACCGCCACUCCUCACAACCCUAGCCACCCCUACAAAUGACUGUAUUUUACGUUUGAGCAUUAAUUGCCGGCAUGAUCUCUUAGACUUCUCUUGCAUUGAAUGAAUGGAUGAGUGCUAAUCCAUGCAAAGACUUCCAUGCAUGCACAAUGAAUGCUAAAUCUAAGGUAUAGCAAAAUGUCAGCAACCUUGGCCCAAAUUAUCAAGAUGGUUUGGUGGCUGCUAGAUUUGUUCAUCCGGAUUUUGGACCAUUUUCCUUGACAAUGAGAAAAGCUCCAAGAUGUGUAAUGUUAGUGAAUCAGAUGAAGCUGGAGCAGAGCAUGAUGUUGCUGUGUAGCUGGAGCAGAGCAUGAUGUUGCUAUGUAGCUGGUUGUAUCAGAUCAAAUCAUUAAGCUGACUUGUCAAAGUUAGUUAACUGGUUGAGCUGAUGUGUCAAGUUAGUUAUACAGCAAAUGGUUAUGUGUUGCAACAAUCUCGUGUGUGUGUUAAGAGAUUGUAGCUCAAUAUAAAUAUCAAUUGGUAAUCAUUAAACUGUAAGCUUGGAAUAAUAAGAAGAUCUAACAGUUUUCUUUGCAAAGCUUUUCUUUUAUUUUCUUUCAUUUUCUAGCCUACCAAACAAUAUAGAACUAAGUUUCUUUCAUGGUAUCAGAGCCAUAAAUGGCAAAUAUAGUUCAAAACAACAACUCUUUUAGUUUUGUUACACCAGUAAAGCUAGAUCAAAACAACUUCAUUCUGUGGCGCACACAAAUUUUAACUUCAAUCAAAGGAAACGGUUUGGAAGGGUUUAUCAAUGGCGAUCGAGAAUGUCCUGAGCAAUUUCUUUCUUCUGGAAACAACAAUGGAGCUGAAGUUUUAACUGAGUCUGGAUCCAGAUCUGUUAAUCCAGAAUUCGAAGCUUGGAUGAAGACUGACCAACUCUUACUGAGUUGGAUGAUGUCAUCGAUACAGCAAAAUCUGCUUGCUACUGUGAUUGAUUCUACAACUUCAAAACAGCUUUGGGAGACUCUUGCUAGUAUGUUCAUCUCUCAAUCACAAGCUAGAAUUCAAACACUUAGAAUGCAGAUUCAAACUAUUAAGAAAGGUGCCAUGCAUAUUUCUGAUUAUUUUGUUAAAGUAAAACGCAUAGCUGAUACUUUAGCUCUAGCUGGAAAACCUAUUGAGUUAAAUGAUCUUGUGAUGCAUAUAUUAACUGGUCUUGAUUCAUCAGACUAUGAAUCUUUAGUCACAGCUAUGUUAGCUCGAGGUGAAAAGAUCACAUUAGAUGAACUAUAUUCUUUGUUGUUGAAUCAUGAAAAUAGAGUUGAGCAAAAGAAAGGGAAAAUUGCUAGUGAUGUGAUGCAUAACAUGACAGCAAAUAUUGCUCAGAAAAAUUCAUAUGCUGGAAAGAAUAAUGGAAAUUUUCAGAAAAAUUAUGGAAAUAACUAUCGAAGAGGUAAUAAUUCUGGAUAUGGAGGUUCUAAUGGAUAUGGAUAUGGUCAGUUUAAUACUAGCAGUAAUUCCUCUGAAGUUGUUUGUCAAAUUUGCUUUAUACCUGGUCAUGCAGCAAAUAGAUGUAGGAAUAGGUACAACUCAUCCUUUGUUCCACAGAGGAAUCAUGGUAGAGGAAAUAUGAAUGGUGGCAGAGGUUUUAAUCAAGGGCAAUAUGGCAGAGGAAGAGUCUAUAAUGGUAAUAGUGGAAGAGGAUUUGGAGGUUUUGGUUCAAAUGCUGGUUUUGGACAAAAUGCUAGUUUUGGUCAUGCACCCAGGGGUUUUGGCUAUUAAGGAAAUAUAGUGUAUCCAGAUAGCAAUCCUUCUGCCUAUUACUCUUUCACUCCUGGAUCAUCUAAUUUUGUUGCUGGUCAAGGAAACAACAAUCCUGGACAGUCAAGUGCUUCAUCUUCCUCAGCUAUGUCUUUUUCACUCCCAGAAUACAUUUAAGAUCCUUCCUGGUACAUUGACAGUGGAGCAACAAAUCACAUUACUAAUGAUCUAGGUAAACUUCUAGAUUCACAAGCUUAUACUGGUACUGAAAAGUUAUUUGUUGGGGAUGGAAAUGCAUUAGCUAUUACACAUAUAGGAUCAGUUGUGCUAAACACUUCCAAUUCUCAAUCUUUAUUUCUUAACCAUGUUCUUCAUGUCCCUUUUAUUACUAAGAAUUUGCUUAGUAUCUCAAAAUUAUUGGCUGACAAUCCAGUUACUGUUGAAUUUCUUGGUGAUUUCUGUUUUAUAAAGGCCAAGAACACAAGGAAAAUUUUACUUGAAGGUGUUGCUAAAGGUGGCUUGUAUAGAGUCUCUUCACAUGCUGCUGCUCACUCAGUCUUUCUCAGUUCAGUUGGUCAAAACAAAAUUUAGUCUCUCUUUGCUUGGUCUCCUGUUUUUACUUCUGAAAAACCUUCUGUUGUUAGUUCUUAUAAACUCAAUAAAAAGUCAUGUAUGUCAGUUGUUGCAAAGGGUUUAACUGAUGUAAAUCUUCUGCAUAGAAGAUUAGGACACCCAGCCCCUUAUACUCUCAAAAUUAUUCUCAAAGCUUGUAACAACUUUACUGCUCUUAAUAAAGUUGAAAGUUUGAAAUUUUGUUCAGCAUGUCAAUAUGGAAAAAUCAUAUGCUGCAUUUUAAUUCAGUUGAAACAAAAACUUCAGCACCUUUAGAAUUGAUAUAUGCAGAUUUGUGGGGUCCUUCUCAUGUUUGUUCUACCCAAGGAUAUAACUACUACCUAUCAAUCCUAGAUGAUUACAGUAGGUUUACCUGGAUAUUCCCUUUAUCAGCAAAAUCUGAUGCUCUUGAAGUGUUUAAAAAUUUCAAAACAUUCAUUGAAAAGCAUCUUCAACUUUCAAUCAAAACUGUCCAAACAGACUGGGGAGGGGAGUUCAAAUCUUUUUCCUCAUUACUCACUACUUCUGGUAUCCAUUUUAGACACCCUUGUCCACAUAUUCAUCACCAAAAUGGAAGAAUUGAGAGGAAGCAUAGACACAUAGUUGAUGUAGGUCUGACUUUAUUAGCUCAAGCACAUUUACCACUCAAAUUUUGGUGGAAUGCAUUCCACACAGCUGUCUAUUUGAUAAACAGACUUCUCACUCCAGUUCUAAAUAGCAUUUCUCCCUUUCAAAAGUUGUUUCAUUAUCAACCAGAUUAUUCAACACUUAAAACUUUCGACUGUGCUUGUUAUCUAACACUCAGACCAUACAAUAGAUAUAAGUUUGAUUUCAGAACUGCUAGAUGUAUAUUCAUUGGCUAUAGUUCACAACACAAGGGAUAUAUGUGUCUUCAUUCUUCUAGAAGGGUCUAUAUUUCUAAUCAUUUCACUUUUGAUGAAAAUUCCUUUCCUUAUGAGUCUGGGGUAGAUUUUUCUUUAACUUCUUUAAGUUGUCAGUCCACUUCACACUCUGAGUCCUCUUUUCAGUCUUCCCCUUCUUCUGUUACUCAGUUACAAGCACCUUUAGCAGCAUCAUCAGCACUUCAACCAACUCACCCUGCUGAUCAUCAAUCUAAUGCUUCUACUCCUGUUUAUUUUUCUGAUAACUCCAACUCAGCUUCUCAUUUCUCAUCUUCUCAUUCUUCACCUCCACAUACAUUACCCCAACCUGUACCAUCUGGUCAUCCAAUGGUAACCAGAUCAAAAGUAGGUAUUUUCAAGCCAAAAGUUUAUUUGUCAGCCUUGUUAGCCCAGCAAUCAGAACCAACUUCUGUUUCCAAAGCACUCUCUGAUCCUAUGUGGUAUAAGGCUAUACAAGAAGAGUAUCUAGCACUUAAAGCUAAUCACACCUGGGAUUUGGUUUUACAUACUACUCCAGUGAAGAUAGUUGGUAACAAGUGGGUGUUUCGAAUUAAGUAUAACUCAGAUGGCUCGGUUUCAAGGCACAAAGCCAGACUUGUUGCUAAGGGGUUUCACCAGACACAUGGGGUUGAUUACACAGAAACCUUCAGUCCAGUGGUUAAGUCUUCAACUAUCAGAGUUAUUCUUAGCUUAGCAAUAUUGAAUCACUGGGUUAUUCGGCAAGUGGAUGUUAAUAAUGCCUUCCUCAAUGGCAUUUUAAUUGAAGAUGUGUACAUGGCUCAGCCUCAAGGUUUUGUUGAUUCAACUAAACCUAAUCAUGUUUGCAAGCUGAAUAAGGCUUUAUAUGGUUUAAAACAGGCUCCUAGAGCCUGGUUUGAUAGAUUUAAGGAUGCAAUGCUCUCCUAGUGGCAUUUUCAGCAUUCAAGGUCUGAUAACUCUCUCUUUUAUACCUGGAACAAUGGUCAUGUAACUAUUGUUUUAGUCUAUGUUGAUGAUAUUAUCAUCACUGGCUCAAGUCCAUCACUAAUUCAGCAAGCUAUUCAGAAUAUGCAUCAAACUUUUGCUUUAAAAGAUCUGGGGGAACUUAACUAUUUUUUGGGGAUUGAAGUCAGCAAGUCCUCCACAGGGGUUUCUUUGACACAAGCAAAGUAUAUUGCUGAUGUUCUGGAAAAACAUGGCAUGAUUGAUUGCAGUCCCGUGCCAACUCCCAUGUCUACAGGUUAUUACUCACCAAAGACUCAGGGGAGCCAAUUGACAAUGUCUCUCAAUACAGGAGUGUUAUAAGAGCUCUUCAGUAUGUUACUCUUACCAGACCUGACAUUGUUUUUUCUGUCAAUAAGUUAAGUCAGUUCCUUUCCGAUCCUAGAACUCAACAUUGGGAAGCAUGCAAAAGGUUAUUGAGGUACUUAAAAGGUACUAUCCAUCUUGGGCUACAAUUCUACAACCAAGGAGCUCUGCAAAUCCAUUGUUUUUCAGACUCUGAUUGGGCUUGUGAUCAUGAUGAUAGGAAGUUAGUAGCUGGCUUUGCUGUUUAUCUAGGUCCUAAUCUUGUUUCUUGGUAGUCCAAGAAGCAAGCUAUUGUUUCUAGAUCCAGCACAGAGGCUGAGUACAGAUCUCUUGCUCAUGCUGCUUUAGAGGUUACCUGGAUUAAGUCUUUACUUGGUGAACUUAGCGUCAACUUGAGCUCUACUCCUAUGAUGUGGUGUGAUAAUCAAGGAGCUAUUGCUUUAGCUUAUAAUCCAGUCUAUCAUGCUAAAACUAAGCAUGUUGAAUUGGAUAUCCAUUUCAUCCGAGAUAAAGUUACUGCUAAAGAAGUUGCAGUCUGCUAUGUGCCUAGUCAAGAUCAAACAGCAGAUGUGUUGACUAAAGCUCUCUCUUUCAAACAGUUUAGUUACUUCCAAAGUAAGCUGAAUGUUCAUCCUAAACAUUUCAGCUUGAGGGGGGGUGUUAGUGAAUCAGAUGAAGCUGGAGCAGAGCAUGAUGUUGCUGUGUAGCUGGAGCAGAGCAUGAUGUUGCUAUGUAGCUGGUUGUAUCAGAUCAAAUCAUUAAGCUGACUUGUCAAAGUUAGUUAGCUGGUUGAGCUGAUGUGUCAAGUUAGUUAUACAGCAAAUGGUUAUGUGUUGCAACAAUCUCGUGUGUGUGUUAAGAGAUUGUAGCUCAAUAUAAAUAUUAAUUGGUAGUCAUUAAACUGUAAGCUUGGAAUAAUAAAAAGAUCUAACGGUUUUCUUUGCAAAGCUUUUCUUUUAUUUUCUUUCAUUUUCUAGCCUACCAAACAAUAUAGAACUAAGUUUCUUUCAUGUAAAUUGAAGACUCACUGAACGCUCCAAGUUUCAGGUAACUCUUGUGUUGUGUGCUCGGAGUAUUCUCUAUUGUAUUUUUUUUGUUUGUUAUUUAUUUGACGUAUUGCUAGCAGAGAUCUUGGGUGGGAACCAGAAAUUCCCAACAAUUGUCAAUUGUUUUAAACUCUAUUCUGAACAGAGCAUAAAGGGACUCACUUAUCUAAUUUUGUCUUUUAUGCUUUAACUUCACUUGAUUUCAUCUUUUCCGUCACCUUUGUUAAAGUUGUAUAUGUUGGAGUAUUAGGUUCAUCAUAAGGAUCAUUUUAUGGCUAAGGAAGGAGCACACUUUAUCAGCUACACUCAAGUGUAGCAGAGAAUUUGGAUUCAAGACUGUUAGAAGGUUGUUACAGAUGCAAGGCUAUUGCUGUGUAAUUGUAAUGCUGCGUAGCACCGUAAGUAAGAAGAAAAGUGUCUAAGGUUGCCACGUGUUGUCUCAACGUCUGUGUGAAAACCGAUUUGUUUAAUCAAAAUCAUAAACACCAUUUUGAAAAUCCAUGGCCAUGGUCGUGAUGUGUCUUUAUCAAUCACGGAUACCAAAUUUAAUCAAAAUUAUCGAUUGUUUUAAAUUCUGUUUUUAACAGAGCAUGAAGAUGUCGCUUAUCUAGAUUUACUUUUUAUGCUUUGACUUCACUUAAUACAGCUUCUUCCUCCUUUAUCUGUAUGCCAUGCCGGCAAGUGUAUUGUACAGAUUUCUAGAGUAUUACCUGUCUAUUUUUUUCACCGAUGACGAAGCUAAUUAUUAGUAAUCAAUCUAAAGUCUACCUAUAAAUACAAUAGGUUGCUUAGGUGGCACCAAUAUCCUAACUUUAUGCCAUGUUUCUGGUGUGUCUUCACAAAUUCACCGAUACAAAUUAAUUUCUACCAAUAUUACCAAAUGAUUGUAUUUUACGUUUCUAUUUACUUGUAAUAAAGAUCUUCAAUUUUAUUGGUUACAAAAUUCUCUAGGAUUGCAUGUACAUUAUACUUUUAUAUACAUAUUUUCUUCUUUCUCAUUCGUUUUCUGGGUGAACAUAUUAUUUUCGUCAUCAUCUCUAUAACAAUGAAGUGAAAAUAGUCCUCAUUUAAAGUAUUGACAGCAAUGUUAUACUCAAUAUAACGCAUAAAGCACGCAUAAUUUAAUUAAUGGGGUAGCUGCUAGUACCUUCUUUAGAAGAGAAUUAUUGCAGCAAGGUAAUUGGAAGCUCAAAGAGUUUCCGUAUUAGCCGAAUCUAAGCGAUAAGUGUUUCCAUGUGAGCCAUAAUUUGGGAAAAAGACCAAUUCGAGUUAAAGAUCAGAAAACAGACACUGUCAACAAGCAUUAAUAUCAUUUGAUGCAUGAAAGACAGUUAGUCCCAUUUUUUUGUCCUGUUUACUUGAGUUGGGCAAUUUGCCGUCAACUUUUCUCAUCCACGUCAGGUAAUGUGGCUUUUAUUUGGUAUGAAAAAGCCAAUGCUUUACGAUAAAACUGUCACACACAUAUUAUCCAUCUGUAAUGUUCAAAUGACACUGAAGUAUUACCUAAAUUAGGCUUUCAAAAAUUCAUUUUCAAAAACCCAUGGUUGUGAUGUGUCUCUAUAAAUUAAGAUCUAUCUGUUACCAACUGUUUUAACUCUGUUCUGAACAGAGCUUGAAAGGGUACAUUCACUUAUCUAGUUAUGUUUUUUAGGCUCUCACUUUACUUGAUUCACCUUAUCCCUCUUUUGAAACAAUUGUUCACUGGCUGCACUCAGUUGACAAAAUAUUUUGGGAUUCAAGACUGUAGGUUGUUACGGAUGCAACUUGCAAGGCUGUUGCCAUGCUGGCAAGUGUGCUGCUAUAACAGAUUGUUGAGAUGGCACCAAAGAUUGUAAACUAAUUAGUACUGGAAAAUCAUGAGUUUGGUGAUGAAGAGGACCAAAAACAUUAUUUUAUUAUUUAAAAUAAGACUAUCAAUUAUUUCCAUGGUCAUCUUUUUUUUUAUUUAUUAAUUGGCCUAAAUAUUGUAUUUUUUGUCAGGAGUCUUGCAAUGUUGCUUAACACCGUAAGUAAGAAGAAACGUGUCUAAGGUUGCCACGUGUUGUCUCAACAUAUGUGUGAAAACUGAAUUAACCAGUUUGCGUUCGACAACAAAGGAAAAUACUUCUUGUUGCUGACCGGUUGAUAAGUAUUUCAAUACCUCCACCAAAAUCUUUAUAACACCCUUUUUAAUUUUAUUUUCUGAAAUACACUUAGUUUUUUAAAAAAGAGCUUUAUGAGAAAUUUUCAGUGUGUCAAAAGGCCUACUUAAUGGACUGGAUCCCGACUCAUUAAUUUUAUAACCCGACUUACAAUCCGACUCAUUAUUCACAGAGAUUAAUUUUCUAUUGCUUAAGGCACAAUAUUUACUAAGCAAUUUAUCGGCAAUAAAACAUGUAUAUUAUUGUGGUUUGUAAUAAAAUUGGAAGAAGACAUCACGUACGAAUUGGAUUUAUCCAAUGAAAUUUGAUUAACGAAACUGUAUGAAAAUAUAUCAAGAAAAUAGUAAAAAAAAAUGUUGUGUAAAUGCUGUAUAGGUGAUAUAUUACUUUUAUAAUCCAUCAAGGUACAUUUGAUUUUAAUGAUGAAACAAAUACAAAUAAAUCUAUGUGCGUCAAUGCUAGAUGGCUCCAUAUUAAACUUGUGAAGUAUAGAAAAUAAGCAGGAUUCGUAACAAAUAUUUUAGAUAAUACCACUGAAAAGUUAUAAAAAUAUUUUUUAAAAAAAGAAAUACAUGCUCGAGACACCACGACCGACGCGCACAAACUCACAUAUUUAUAUAUUAAUUGAGGUAAAAAAUGAUAUUCUGAGUAAUAUUGUUGACAUAUGAUUAAAAUUCUUUUUGAUGAAACAUUUUCGUAUAAAUACUAGUGAUAUUUGUAGAGAAAGUAGAAUGAAGUGAAAAAAACUUGAAUAUAAAUGCUCCAAUAUAAUUUUUCCCAUACAAAUUAUGAACUAGUGAACUUUAAAGCAUCAUAAAAUUGUUUCAACAUAAGUAAUUAGUUUGAAAAAUUGCCAAUAAUGUUUAAAGUGGGAACGAAAAGAUUAUACUAUAUGAGACACGAUAUUAUUUAAGACAGCUUACAAAUUGUGGGAAAUAUAUCGAUCUUACAAAUAAUAUUUAAUAAGUACAAAUUUCAAAUUAAAUAAUAAACCCUUAAUUUCCUUUUAAUCAUAAUUAUGAUCUUAAUAAUUAAAGUCAUUCAAUCUUAAUCACUUUUUUAUUUUUUUAAACUAUCUAAAUGACAUCGAAAACUCUACUCAAUAUUAAUUUAUUCGAAUGUUUUGUUUCAAAAAAAUUGAAAACUGUAAAUGAAACAAAUGCUUGCAAUCACAAAUGGCCUAAAAUAGGAUUUUUAUUUUUUAAUAUUGCAAUGUCUUUGAUCUUGAUAUUGGAAAUUUAUUUGUAACUUAUACCAAGUCUUCAAUUUUAUCAUAAUUAGUUUCUAAAGAUGCAUUUGCCAUACUGUGUAGUUGUAUUGUAUGAUGAUAUAUUACAUUAGGGUGCAUUGUAUUGAGCUGUAAUGCAAUACUAUUUUAUAUUAAUGUUAAAACUAAAUCAACAUUAUUUAAAUUUAUUAAUAUUUUAGGAUUUUAUUAGUAAUUUCUUAAAUUAAGUAUUAAAUAAUUAUUUUUAUAAUAUACAAACUAUUUAAUAAUAUUUUACUAUUAAAUAAUAAAAUAUUACAAUAUUAUGUUAUAUUAUUAAUAAUUAUUCUGUUAUAAUAUAAUUUAUUUUUAUAUAUUAGUUAUUAUAAUUUAGUAGAAUCAUAUUAUAAUAAUAUUAUAUUUUAAAAAUAUAAUACUAUAUAACUGUAUAAUAUAAUAUGAAUUAAUUUAUAAUUUAACAUUAAAUUAUAAAUUUAUUUUAUUUAUUAAUGUCAAAUAUAAUUGUCUAAUUUAAAUUUAGUUUUAAAUUUAGUAUUUUUUUAAAAAUAAACUAUUUAGUAAAAUUUAAAAAUAUAUUUUUAUUUAUUAAAUAAAACUAAAAUAUACUUUUAUGCAUUUAAAGUAAAAUUACUAAAAUGAUUUUAUAUAAUAAAGUAAAAUAAUGUAUUAUUAUUUAUUAAUUAAAUAUUUAGGUUUAUUAAUAUAAUAUAUUAUUAAUUAAAUUAAUGAAUAUUAAUUAAUAAUUUAAAUUUAUUAAAUAAUAAAAGUUAAAUGAUUAUAUUUAAAAUAUAAAUAGUAUUUUAAUGCAAUAAAACCUAAAUCCCACAUGUAUGCCACAUUUGUUAUACAGUGUAAUGCAACUAUAAAUUAUAAUUAUAUAAAAAUAAUAUUUUAAUACAAUAUAAUACAAGUAUAAUGCCACUUGAGAAAUUGAUAUUUUAAUCAUAAAAACCAAUAUAAUACAAUGAUUCUGUCCUCUUUAUUAUUUUUCUAAAUGCUUCCAUGGCAUAAUCUCAUUGGUCCAUUUUGUUUCACAGCUUAGAUUCAACUGCAAGAUUUUCAAUUUGAAGCAAGCUGUGGUCCACUGGCCGUGGCCAAACAAACAUGCCUCAUGAAGUCAUGGUGACUGAAUCAUCUCUUAUGUCAGAAUUUGAACUUAAACAAUUUGAACAUAGACUGUUUUUUGAUUGUCGAAGAUUCGCUUCAAAAAUUAGUAUUUUUUAGUGGAGUUUGGUUGUCUCGUAUCCUUCAAUUGUUGUUUGGUUAUGAAAAUAAUUUUUGAUUUUAGGGAAUUUCGAUUAUCUGGUUUAGUUUGAGUGCAAUUUCCUCUAUUUACGGUUUCAGUGUGACGGAUAAAUUGCAAUUUCGAAUUUUUGAUAAAAUUAAAAUUAAAAUUGGGCGGUUAUUAAUUAAUUGAUGGCUAGUGAUACUGCAACGGCGGCCGAAGCUCCGGAAGAAGCGGAGGCGGUGGAGGAGUAUGAUAGCGAUCCAGAUGAAGUGAAACACUCUCUCGUGAUGCGCAGAAUGGAAGCAAGCGAUGAUGAGUGUUAAGGAAGCUCAUGUUGCAGUCAAAGGAGCAGCUCAGUUAGCACGUGUGAAUCAAAGCACUCAUUUAAUGGAAAUUUUUCUAGAUGCUUCAAUGGCAGAAUCUCGUUGGUCUAUAACUCUCACGCCUUUGACUCAAGAUUCAAUUUCAAACCAACGCCGAACAAACAGUAUAAACCUUAAUAAGUCUGUGGCUCACCGAAUAAUAUCUCUUACGUCAGAAUUUAAACUUAAACAAAGCUACAUCCCACGUGUCCCCAACUUUCUUCAUAUUCCCAGAAAACCCCUACCAGAUCCAGAUAAUUACCUUCACUCUUCUCGUAUAAAUAGAGAAGAUGAUGAUUCCUACAAAGCCACGUAAGUCAAGUGAACGUUACGGCCAUGGGACGUUGGAAUUGGAUCAAACCACCGGAAUGUAAAGCAAAAUUAACCGAAUAGACUAAAUUAGAUCCAACCAUUUGAAUCGGUUGAGUGUCACUCAAAAAACAAAUAAAUAUAUAAAACAACACAAUUAUCAUAUUAAUGGGGUUCAGUGGAUGCUUCUUUUUUUUCAUUUUCAAUGAAUGCUUAAUAUGCAUUCAAUAUGAAAAACAAUCUGUCCCAUUGAGCACUGUUGAAGUCAUUGAAUGAAAAUGAAUACUUCUAUAAGAAACAAUCAUUCCCCUAUUUAUUUGACACGCAAAGAACUUUCUUACUCAGCUCGGCGGCCAAACCUUUAACAUUUGUUGAAAUUCAGUUAAUUGGUGAAUGUGACAUAACUCGAUAAAUCGUUUAAUUUGUAUAAUUGAUAAAAAUUUGAACUUCAAAUAAUAUAUGUUUUCAAUUUUAGAUAAUGGAUAUAUGUCAUGAUACUAUGAGCAAAUGAAGCGUCUGAUAGAAAACAUAAUGUUUGUAUUAGAAAUUUUAAGUGUGAAUCUAUUUACUGUUGGUUUUAUAUAUAAAAAAUUAGUUACCAACUUGUCUUGUUUCUCAUUUUGUUCAAUUUUCAUAAAUUUGACUAACGAUUAAUUGUGAGCGAAGAGUUUGUUGUAAAAAUAUGGUCUUCCAUUUACUAUAAAAAGAUUAGUGUGAUUUAAUUAUUUUUUCCUUUUGCUUCAUUUCUAGAAAAUUAUGAAUACUUUGGCAAAUAAGAUAAUUAAUUAUAAACAUCGUUUUCAAAAUCCAUGACCAUGGUUGUGAUGCGUCUUUGUAAAUAGCUAAUACAAAAUUAAUUUCUAUCAAAAUUACGGUAAUUACCAUUUGUUUUAAACUCUGUUCUGAACAGAGCAUGAAAAUACCACUUAUCUAGAUUUGCUUUUCAUGCUUUCACUUCACUUAAUCCAGCUUGUCCCUCCUUUGACUGUAUGCCGUGCUGGCAAGUGUGCUAUGCAGAUUACUGAGCUGACUAAUCAAUUUGAAGUGUACCAAUAAUAGAUUGGUGCCAGCUACUAACCUUAUGCCAUGUUAGUGCACAAUAACAGAUUGCUUAAGUUGGCUGGCACCAAUCUACUAACCCUAUGCCAUGUUUCUAAUGUGUCUAUAAAUUCACUAACACGUAUUAAUUUCUGCCAACAUUACCGAAUGAUUGUAUCGAUUUUUAAGCACGUAAACAUACCAGCUUUCUUUCUUUUACUCUCUAUUUCAUGUUUAUUCAAUUUCAAUCUUCUGCAAGUUUCUUUUACAUGCAUUUUUUCUUCUCUCUUUUGUUUUUUUGGUAAACAUAUUAUUUUAUCAUCUAUUACUAUAAGAAUGAAAUGAAAAUAGUCCUCAUUUAAAGUUUUGACAGCAAUGUUAUACUCAAUAUAACGUAUAAAGCACGCAUAAUUUAAUUAAUGGGGCUGCUAAUAUCUUCUUUAAAAGAGAAUUAUCGCAGCCACGUAGUUGGAAGCUCAAAGAGUUUCCAUAUUAGCCGAACCUAAGUGAUAAGCGUUUCCUUAUGAGCCAUGAUUUGGGGAAAAAAACCAAUUCAAGUUAAAGAUCAGAAAAGUGUGUCCCUCACGAAUACAAUAAUUCAAGCCACACAUUUAUCAAACGCAUGGCAGGGACGCUUCAACAUGUUGUCUCAUGGAAAGAAAUCCUUGUCUUUGACUUAAUACAAUGUUACAGAAAAAAUAUUGGGUGCUCCCACUGGCUGCUUUUAUUGAGUGGCAGAAUCAGAAUUUUAUUUCGGGUAAAAUCUCGUUUAGUCCCUAUAUUUUGAGGUUAGUGUCCGUUCAGUCCCUAUAUUUUUAAAAAUAUCUCAAAACAUCCCUGACAUUAAAUUAUUAGCACAUUUCCUCUUAUUUUUUGUUGCUUUUGGCUUAAUUUUUACAAUAUUACCCUCUUAUAAUAUUUUUUUUGGACAUUAGUAAAAAGAAAAAAAUUAAUUAUCAAUUUAAUCUCAAAAAAUAAAAUAGUAACAAAAUUAAUAUAUCAUACUUUUUUGUAACACACUACUGAGGAAUUAAUAUAAUAAUUUUUUUAUUACUAAUGUCCAAAAAAAAGGUAAUUUAAUUAUUUUAUUUUUGGGGUUAAAUUGAUAAUUUAAAUUUUUUUCUUUUUAUUAAUUUUAUAACAAGAAACAUUAUUGUAAGAGGGUAAUAUUAUAAAAGGAAGUCAAAAGAAACAAAAAGUAACAGCAUGGAUGUCAAUAAUUUAAGGGUAAGGAUGUUUUGAGGUAUUUAUAAAAAUAUAGGGACUAAAUGGGCACUAAUCUUAAAUUAUAUGGAUGAAACGAGCCUUUACCCUUUUAUUUCCAUGGUGGCAAUAAUGAUUAAACUGUAAACUUAAUUUGGUUGUGACAUGAAAAUAACGUUGUAAAUACUGGCUCUGCAUUUUAUAAAAUGCAGAUAUCUGUACUAGAAAAGAACUAUGACACACACACACACACACACACACACACACACACAUAUAAUCAUUCUCAGGUGCAGACGUCCGGAUUUUUUUUAAUGCAAACAAAUUUUUAAACCGUGCAAUUUUAAAGAAUUAGUUGUUGAAUAAACUAUAAAAUCAUGCUGUUUAGAAGAGUUAAAAGCUAACUCUCUUAUACCAUGCAGUUUUAAAGUGUGUCCGCAUAAAAAAAAAUGAGGACGCUCACACUAGAGAAGACUAUAUAUAUAUAUAUAUAUAUAUAUAUAUAUAUAGGUAUUCUCAUUUUAUUUUCAUGCGGAUACACUGUAAAACCGUAGGGUUUAAAAGAGUUGGUUAAUUUUUAACUCUUUUAAACUGCAUGGAUUAAAAGUGUGUCCACAUUAAGAAAAAUAUGGACAUCCGCACCCGAUAAUGAUUAUAUAUAUAUAAUAGUUUUUUGGUCCGGAAUUUUAAAGUGCGGGAAAGGUUAGGGAAAUCUUUAAAACCACAGAAUUUUAAAGGCUUAAAACUUGAAGCACUUAAACUGCACAUUUUAUGCAUUUUCCCGGACGUCCCCGUAAUUUAAAAUUCUAGAUUAUAUAUAUAUAUAUAUAUAAAGUUUUUUUUUCAAUUAACUAUUAUACCAUAUGAUUAAUAGCUGAUCCACACGAAAUUUACAUUUAGGCAAUUACUAUCAAAUAUCGAUACGUGUUUGAAUAAACUCUUAAAAAUCGAUUUCCACCUUCAUUAUUACAGCCCUUGUAUAAACUAACGCGGCAACAUAUAAUCAGUUGGUAAAAGAAUAAAUAUAUGUCAAGUGGGUUCUACCAUGUUUUUAAUUCAACGAAUGACAAUAUGCCACCUCGAUUUAUACAAUAAUAUUUAUGACUAUAUCAUUACUCAUUAAUUAAUAGGAACACUAAUUUAUUUUCUUAAAAGAGAAUUCAUCAAUUUGUACAAUAGUAUUUUUACAAAAGUAUUUGUGACUGUAUCAAUACUUGUUAGCUAUUAAUAGACCACUAAUUUAUUCUUCUUAAAAGAGAAUUACUGCAGCAAGUUUGGAGGCACAAAGAUUUCCCAUAUUAGCCAAACAUAAGAGAUAAAGAGUUCAUAUGAGAGGUAAUUUGGAAAAUCAAUUCCAUGCAAUAGGUCUUAGUGGGUUCGACUCAGUAUACGAUUAUUUUCAAAUUUUUAACGUAUUAAAGAUUCCUAUAUCACAUUAUAAUUUUCAAACAAUCAAAAUGAGUCAAAUCAAAUUUAGAACUUUGAGGUCUACUAUAGACUUGGACGUAUUAAAUUUAAGACAAUUAAGCAAAUCCUAGACAAAAUCUAACUUGUAAAUAUACCUUACCACACGAUGAACGUACUGAUAAAUCUUAACUGAUUGCUCACCAAUUAAUUGUUAUUUUGCAAUUUUUAUGUAUCCUUUUUUUCCCUAAAACUUCUAGUUUCCUAACAUACGGUUCUCAAUUGGUCUAAUUAUACUGUAAAUUGUAUUUUAAAUAUAAAUAAAAUGAAUUUAUUUAAUGGAAAUUUGAAAAAGGGACACUUAUCUACGAAAGCAAAGUUGCAUUCUCUUUGUGGGGACCCUAAAAAAAAAAAACGAGCCAGAAUGAUACUCCGAUGACGAUAAUCCUUAAGCUUAAGCAUUAAUUUUCUUUGCUUACAAUUUGGUUUGAAGGGUUAAGUUCAAGUUCGAAUUGAUAGAAAGAAUGGGCUGGUCAGUAUGAUGAUGAUGAUGAAGAAGAAGAAGAGGGGGAUGUCUUUGAGGAUGAAGAGAAAGAAAGUUCUAAAAAAAAAAAUACAGAUUUGUGGAAAUUAAAUUAAAAGCAACUAAUUAAGCAUUAUAAAUUACUUAACAGAGUAAUGCUGAGCUAAUCAAGUUUGUUUUUGAAGAAGGUAUCUUUAAAUCUCUUGGAGUUAAAGAUAAUUAUCAUAUCGCCAUAUCAAACGGACCGAUUAAAAAAUAAACUUAAAUAUUAUUUAAAAUCAUUUAAAUUUAACUUAAUAUAAUCCAAUAUAGACAAUACUAUAUAUAAUCUAGUCUAAUCCAAUUCAAUUGUAAUAAAUAAUACAAUCCAAUCUUGCGAGACAAAAUUGGCCUAAGGGUACCAAUUGCGCAAUAAUCUUUAUAGCCCGUUUCCCAGCCACGCACCCUUUUGUAUUAGUAUUCUCACAGCCGUUGGAAAUAUGGUUCGUAAUCCAAUAAAUGACAUUUUAUGGCUGUUGCUUGCUAGUUUUUGUAAGGUGGCCAAGGCCUUUUAUCAAACACUAUAGGAUCAACUAGUACAAAAUGAAUUCAUUUGGGAUGCGUUUAACGUACUGUGUUAGCUAUAUGCCUAUUAUGAUGUAUUGCAUUAACAUGCAUUAUAUUAAGUUAUAAUGUUAUACUUUGAUAUAGUAUAAACUGUAUUAUAUAAGGUAAUGUUUUAUAUUAAUGUUAAAACUAAAUUAAUAUUAUUUAAAUUUAUUAAUAUUUUAGGAUUUUAUUAUUAAUUUUUUUAAUUAAGUAUUAAAAAUUAUUUUAUAGUAUAUAAAUGAGUUAAUAAUAUAUUAUUAUUAAAUGAUAAAAUACUAAAGUACUAUGUUAUAUUAUUAAAAAUUAUUAUAUUAUAAUAUAAUUUAUUUCUAGAUAUUAAUUAUUAUAAUAUAGUAUAAUCAUAUAAUAAUAUAAUAUAAGUUAAUAUUAUAUUGUAAAAAUAUAAUACUGUACAAUUAUUUAAUAUAAUGUAAAUUAAUUUAUAAUAUAAUAUUAAAUUAUAAAUUGAUUAAAUUAAAUUAAAAUACUUUUUACGUAUUUAAAGUAAAAUAAUUAAAAUAAUUUAUGUAAUAGAAGUAUGAUAAUGUAUUAUCAUUUUCUCAUUAAAUAUUUUAGGUUUGUUAAUUUGUUAAAUUAUUAUUGAAAUUAAAAUUAAUUGUUUAAAUGUAAAUAUAAAUAUAAAUGAAUGCUUAAUAAAAUCUACUCCUAUGGAUCUAUUUUAUACACUUUUUAUUCUAUGAACCACGCUUAUAAUGUAGUUGUAUAAUAGAAACUGGAUAUUUAAUGGAAGCAAAAUUGCGCACGGUUUGUGGGUCUGUCAAAAAAUGAUAAAAAGACCAAUAUGAUACACUGACUCUGUCCUCUUUAAUAUUUUUCUAGAUGCUUCCGUGGCAUAAUCUCAUUGGUCCAUUUUUCUUCACGGCUUAGAUUCAACUUCAAAAAUCAAUUUGAAGCAAACACAACAAUUCAACAAAUAUAAUUAGUGUAGAGUGUUCUGAUUUAUUCUAUAAGUAGCUCAUUUGUGCUUAAAACCUACAUGUAUUGCACGUUUCUAUCGGUAAUUUGAUUACCUUUCCGUACUUUAUCAAUUAUUGAAUGAUUUUACCGGUUUAAUCGCUUGAUUGUUUGAGUAUAAUCGGUAAUUUGAUCGUCUGUCAGCAAGUGAUUUACAAUUCACUCUCCAAUUUUCAUUAAUUUAGUGUAGCCAAGCUUUAACUAGAUAGGUAGAUAACGUGGUCAUGAAAACUUGAUUAAGAGUUUAAUGCAAUCAAAUCUACUUUAAUGAUUAUUUAAUGCACGGAGAUUUAACAUCAAUUAUCAUCACGUUAUUCUAACAACGAAAUUGUAGAGCUUGGAUCUUUACUCGAACAGUUUCACUGGCACUAUUUCUGACACAUUGGGCAAGCUGAAGGAAUUGCAAUUCCUGUAUGAUCAUUUCCCCAACUAUUAUUUGAAUAAUUAUUUAAUGCCGUUCAUUCCAGCUCUGUUUGGCUGUUAACUUUAUUUUGUUAUUUAUGAGGAGAUUCAUUUCUCACCUGAAGCUAGAAAAUUUAUUGUAAUACAUGGAAGUAUAUAUUGCAUUGAAUAAAAUGAAAUUGUUCAAAAAUUAACAAAUUCAGCUUUAUUAUAAUCUAAAACAAAGUAAAUAGAAUAAUACCCAUCAUGUGUAAAAAUAAAAAAUAAAAUUUUUUAUACCACUUGGAAUUUAUUUUAAAUGUUUUGGUCAAAUCUAAGAAGCACAAACUUUGAACAAUGAUAAUAGGUAAAAACUAAUAAUCUUAUAAUAAAAAGUAAGAAAAAAAAUCAAGUUGAUUUAGCAGCUAAGAAUAAAAAAAGAAAAAUAGAAAGAGAGAGAAAUUAGUUUAGUCUUUAACCAUUGUUAUACUAGAGAAAAAAAAUUAAUUAAGAGUAAUUUUAUGAAUUUUUAGAAAUGAGUGAAUUUAAAAUAAUAAAUUAUAAUUUAAUAAUUAUCUUAAUUAAAAAAAUGGGUGUUGAAAUAAAAUUAGUGAAUGACUCUUUAUUUUACGGAUCAAUGACUCUUUAUUUUUUCUUUUAUAUGAUAGCUUGCAAUCCCUGGUGUGUGUUGAUAGUGCCAUACAUAAAUACAAAAAUGAACAAUUUUUUUUUUUUUUUGGGGGGCCAAUUGCAGUUUUGAUAACUAAAAUCUGUGUGGUCCGGUUACCACAAAGGCUUGCCGCAGAUCCCUGCCAUUUUCUCCUCCACCUCCAUUUGGGGAAAUUACUACUUACUUUUUGCAAGUUUUUCUUGAAAUAUUUAUUCUGAUAAGAAAACCAAUAAUACAUUUUAAGAUUUGGGCUGUUUCAAAGAUCUUCCCUUGAUGUCUCUGCUACUGAUGAUAUAUUGGGAUCGACUUUUUUUAUGAAAUAGGAGUUAGACCGAACAACGUUAUAUUUUUUACGGACUCUCAUACCAUGGAAAAACUCAGCCUUAAAGAAUGGUAUGAUGCUUUGAUAUAUGAAGUAAUUGGUAUAUAUUUUGUACCUUCCAUACACGGUGUCUAGAAUUUUGAGAUUAAGAAGAGUAUAAAUGCUAUACAAAUACACUCCUUUCAUUUUAUACAACUUUGAUUGAUCAAGUUGUAUCUCUUUGAUAAUAUGUUCUAUCUUCUUUCAUUUUAAACUUCAAUUGAGUUGCUAUCUAUUUAACUUUGGCAAGUCAGAGAGAGGGAUGGGACUGUCCAAUUAAAAUUAAGUUCCAAUUGCCAAUCCCACCAUUGUUGUCUCAUGUUUGCCAAAUUCAAAUUUGAAAAUCUCACCAAGUCAGUAUGGUGAUGUUGUGGGAUUGUCUCGCCUAGGUUUUUAGCCUCAUGACCUCCUUUAUUAGAAAAAGUCUUAAGUGUUCUUACUCAAUGGUAGAAUCAUGAUUUUACUUCAAUGGAAGCCAUAAUGAUUAAAAUAUACUCUUUUGAUUAAUUACUUAUUUGAUGUUGCUCUCUCUACCAUCAUCUCCAUCUUUAUGAAAAAAUUUAUUGUAAUACAUGGAAGUAUAUAUUGCAUUGAAUAAAAUGAAAUUGUUCAAAAAUUAACAAAUUCAGCUUUAUUAUAAUCUAAAACAAAGUAAAUAGAAUAAUACCCAUCAUGUAAAAAUAAAAAAAAAUAAAAAUUUAUACCACUUUGAAUUUAUUUUAAAUGUUUGGUCAAAUCUCAGAAGCACAAACUUUCAACAAUGAUAAUAGGUAAAAACUGAUAAUCUUAUAAUAAAAAGCGAGAAAAAAAAUAAAGUUGAUUUAGCAGGUAAGAAUAAAAAAAGAAAAAUAGAAAGAGAGAGAAAUUAGUUUAGGCUCUAACCAUUGUUAUAGUAGAGAAAAAAAAAUUAAUCAAGAGUACUUUUAUGACUUUUUAGAAAAGAGUGAAUUAAAAUAAUAAGUUAUAAUUUGAUAAUUAUCUUAAUUAAAAAAAUAGGGGUUGAAAUAAAAUUAGUGAAUUUAAAUAGCCUGCCCAAAAUCCAAACUUGCAUAUCAAUUAUUUUCUAAUUUACAUAAAGUUUUUCUAUAUGUUUGAUAACAUUUGAUUCUCAAUUGGUCUAAUGGAGAAACAACCAGCAAAAAAAUAAAAUGAAUGAAAUUAAAUGGAAUUUUGAAAAGAGCAGUAGAUGACAUUUAUGUGCAAGCAAAAUGCAAAAUUGCAUUCUGUUUGUGGGAUCCUGGAAAAAAUAAAAGAAAGAAAACAGAGUAAGACGCUGGUACUGUGGGCUUUAAUAUUUUUCUAGAUGCUUCAAUGGCAGAUUCUCGUUGGUUCAUUUUUCUUUACGCCUUAGAUUCUAUGAUUCAAUUUCAAUCAAAUAAGACAAACAAAAGAAGCUUUUAAGCCUGCAGCUCAAAAAGAUGGCACUUUAAUUUUCGGCUGAACAUACAUAUGGCAAGAUUAUUAUUAUUGAGCUUGAUAAGUGGGGAUAGCAAAAUCCGAAUUCGGAUGUAGGUGCAUUCGGAUUUGGAUUCGGGAAAAAUUAUGUGGAUGUGGAUUUGGAUGCGGGUAAUAUCUGCACGAAUUGCGGGUGAAUAUUCUAAAUAUUUAGAUCCGCAUAAUAAUAAAUUUAAUUUUAAUUUUAAUAAUUUACAUAAUAAUAUUAAAUAUAAUAUAAUUAUACUUUAACAAUCAUUAAUUUAACAUCAAUUCAACAUAAAUACCAUACAACAACACCAUAAAUUCACAAACAAUAAUUUCACAAUAUAAAUCAAACAUAAAAAAUAAAAAUAAAAAUCUAUGGUAAACCGAUUUAUUACAAUAUUCUCUAAUUAUUAUUAUUAUUAUUAUUAUUUGUUUUUUAAUAUAUUCAUAGUUAAUGAAGAUUAUAGAGUUAAUUAUGCUUAUACAUUUAUAUAAAUAAUUUAAUUUAUAUAUUUUCAAUUGAAAUUUAAUUAAAUAAAUAAUUUAAUUAUAAAAUAAUGCAGAUCCGGAUAUCUAAUUUUUCGGAUGUAAAUGCAUCCGGAUCCGUACGGAUCUUAAUUUUUAAGAUUCGGAUUCUUUUUUUUUAACAUACAGAUUUAAAUUUUUUUGAAUUCGGAUCUUCUGAAUCUUUGCAGAUCCAGAGUUUAUUGCCAACCCUAAAUUGAUAAGGCUAUAGAAAAUUCAAUAUCCAGAUCGGAUAAGGAUCCAAUAAAUUAUAAAAUAUUGCGGCUCAAAGCCCAUAUGAUCAUGGGCCACCGCUUGCUCAUGCUUUGAAUCAAAAUUUUCUAAUGAAGUGAGGUUGGAAGCUAAAAGGGGCAAAUGAUGAAAUGGGGUUCAUCAUAUAUUGAGCCCAACGGGACAAGAUCAUCAUUUAAUUCCCUCCUCUUGUCGAUAGAUAUUUGCCGAAUUUUUUCAUUUAAAAAAUAUUAUAUUGGUUAAUAGAAUUUGAAGUUUUACAAAAUAUAAGUUUAAUUUAAAAAAAAAUUAUGUUUGUUAAUUUAAAAUUUUCAUUUGGUGGUUGUGUUUGAGAAAAAAUUUAGGUAUACUCGGAUAUACUCUCUUAUUAUUCAUUGAAUUUGGGUAUUUAAACAUACUAGUAUGUAGUAUUUUUAGGUAAUUAGCAGAGAAGUAUACGUGACAAAAAUAUAACACGUGAAACAAUACACAAUGAAAUUAUCUACAAUUUUCCAUUGACUUAGUCAACUCUUCAUUAAUUUCAUUGACUUGAUCAACUCAUGAUCUAACUUGACAACUUAAAAAUUAAAUUAUGCUAGUAAUUCCGUAAAAUUAAAAUUUAUCUCCCAAAAUUGAUAAAUACCAUGUCACUUUGUCAAAUUACUUAGGGUAAAAACUCUGUGGCUAAAAACUUUUAACAUUAGUUGUAUGCUAAUUGAGAAGGACAAGACACAAAAGAAUUAAAUUAAUGCCACAUCAUGCAACACUAACACUACUUACUCUUAACAAAUUCUUACAAACGUGAUUCAUGAAAUUAACUUGACUUUUUGUCUAAAAAAGGCCUAAAGAAUCAUGCCAAGCAACAAAUAAAGUAGUCCAAACGUGAUUCAUGAAACUUGAUAGGCACUAUCUAAAUAGUAUUAAUAUGGCCACCAAAAACAUGCGCGCAAAAUAGACUUUCUUGGACGAUCCAUGCCAAUCAGCAAAUAAAGUAGUCCGAACGUGAUUCGUGAAACUUGACUUCUUGUCUAAAAAUGCCUAAAGAAACAAGACCACAAUUUCCAUGCAAUAUCAAUAUGGUGGCCACAAUGCACUUUUUAAGCCAUUUUUCAAAACUAAGUUUCUUCGUUUCACAUGCACUAUUCAAGCAAUUUUUCAACAUUUUCUCCUUCCCCUAAAAGCUACAUGCAUGAAUCAUGUCCCAAUCAAUUUCUUGGCAAAAAUUGGAACGCAAGAACCGAUUGGAGCAUAAGGACAAUGUCACGAUUCAAGAUUCUCAGCAAGACCACGUCACAAUGCAUCACUUUUGGAAAGUAAUCUAGCAAUUUCCAAUGCCUUAGCUGAUUAAUGGCUUGACCAUGUCACGAUUGGUCCACAUUAUGCACAUGGCAAGAUCAAACAAAAUAUCACAGCUAGCUCGACGACUACUAGCCAAAAUAACAAGACAAUGACGGCCAGUUACAAACUCUUUACGAAGGAAAUACCGAAAUAUGAAUUUCCCUCCUAAUCACUUUCUUAUAUUAUCAUUAUUUUGUACAUAUAACAGAACACGUUCUCUCUUGUAAAGAAGUCAACAAAACGGUUUUAGUUUUCAUAUCAAUAAUAGAAUCCAAAAUCUUUCACAGCUUGCUUCUCCUUUGGACGCUUGAAAGACUUUCUUACCUGGCUAAAACUGUGAAAAUUGUUCAAACUAAUUUGAUUGAUAACUUUCUGACACUAUAAUGUAUUAUUUAUAUGAAGGCUACAUUUAAAUGUGAAAUAAAAAUGAGUGUUUAUAUUAAAAAACAAUCAGUCUCAUUGCGUCCUCUUUCAUUGACAUAGGCAGUUUGCGGUCAACCCUUUAUUAGGUCAUGACUGUCCGAUUGUCUUCGCUUUCAUUGACUUCGCAACUGUGAAUUCUAAGCCGGGUUAACGAUUGACAAAAUGUUAUAACCCAUAAAGCACGGAUAAUUAAUUAAUGGGCCACUGAUUUCUUCUUUAAAGGCUAAUUCUUGGUAAAGAUCAGAAAGUUCUCAAAUAAAAAUUCGGCUUUGUGGAAAUUAAAUUAAAAGCAAUUAAGCAUUAUAAAUUACUUAACAGCUUAAUCGAGUUUGGUUUUGAAAAAUAUAUCCUUAAAUCUCUUGUAAUUAAAGAUAAUUAUCAUAUUACCGUCUCAAAUGGACCGAUUUCAAUCAAAUGAAAUCUAGAAAAUUGAGCAGCUCAUUGAUGUAUUUGGUCGAAUUGUGACUUGUGUCAGAGUCUUCGUUUUAGAAGAGUGCACAGCAGCUGCCAGGUCCACUCGGCAGUUGGCAGCAAAUUAUCUAACACCACUUUACUAUCAAAAUUUUUUGACAAUAAUUUUUUGUCACUUAAUAUUUCAAUUUUUAUCAUUUUAUCAUCAAAAAAUAGUAAAUGCAUGUUUAGUGUAAGUUAUCCACAAACAUGGUUGUUGAAUUGUCUUGUUUCUCAUUUGGUUUAAUUUUCAUAAAUUCGACUCACACAAUUCAAUUAUGAGUGGAGUUUUUUUGGAAAAAAUCUGGUCUUCCAUUUACUAGAACCAGGUCUGAAUGAUUUUAUUAUUUUUCUUUUGUUUGAAAUAUACGUGGAAAAUGUUGAACACUUUGUAGGAUUUAGAAGAAUUUGAAAGUUUGAAUGCAUAUAGUUUACUAUCCAUCAGCUAGUGCAUAUUCUGUAUUUUAUGAAAUCAAAGCUGGUUGAUUGAGAAAUGGACCUUAUUACAUGUCAUAAGAUUUUACAGUGCUUUCUAAUGGGGCAAAAUAAAAUGAUUCUUAUCUGCACAGAAAAUUAGAAACGAAAAGGAGGGUUACUGAUCCACAGAGUUGUUAUUUACGAGAAGCACAUGGAUAUUACACUUAAUUUAUUAUCCAUCUGUAUUGUUUAGAUGACACUGAAGUAUUACCUAAAUUUAUUAUCCACAAAACUUCUUUUUCAAAAAUCUAUGGUUGUGAUGCGUCUCUAUAAACUCACUCGUACAAAUUCUAUCUAAUGCCAAUUGUUUUAAACCCUGCUCUGAAGAGAGCAUGAAAGGAUAUGUUCACUUAUCUAGUUAUGUUUUUUAUGCUUUCACUUCACUUGAUUAUAUCCAUCACAAGGAUCAUAUUAUAUCCUACGGAAGGAGCACAGUUCAUUGGCUGCACUCAGUUUACAGAGUAUUUCGGGAUUCAAGACUGUAGGUUGUUGCGGUUGCAACUUGCAAGGCUGUAGCUGUGUGACUGUAUGCCACGCUGGCAAGUGUGCUCUGACGGAUUGUGGAGAUGGCGCCAAAGAUUGUAAACUAAUUAGUACUGAAAAAUCCUAUUUGCACAUAAAAUUGCACAAAAUAAAUAGAAUGAGAAUAAUUGUACAAAGAAAUAAGAUUAAUAAAGUAAAUAAAUUUAUCUUUUAACAAAAUAUUUCUAGUCUUUUAGUGUUUUUGUGUACGUACAAGUAGCAUUACUCAUUCUAAUAAGUAGCUCACUUGAGCCUAGGACUUGUAACUAUGUUUUACCUUUCUGUAACUUUCUUAUAAAGAUUUUUUUUUUUUUUACAUUUUCAAUUUCUCUUCCAUUUUCCCGACUCCCAACACCACCAAUCCUCGGUUUUCUAGAGUAUCAGCUAUCUCUUUCUACAAACACAAAACUGCUAUUUACUUUCAAGAAACAACGUAUUCUGUGGUUUAUUGGCUUGAGCCUUGUGAACCGGGCUAAUGUUGGUCUAACUACUUUCACGAAACAACGUACUCCGUGGUUUAUUGACGCGCACGGUAGCUGCUAAGUGCUAACUGCCUUCUCCAUUUGACGUGCAAAACACUUUCUUGAGUCGGGUUAAAAUUAAUUGAUCAUUUUAUUUGGUGAUAAUGACUUAGUUGUCAAGUCAUGAGUUUGAUGAUGAAGAGGAUGAAAAAUAUUAUUUUAUUAUUUAAAAUAAGACUAUCAAUUAUUUCCAUGGUCAUCUUAUUUUCUAAAAUAACUAAAUGGAAUCUCACAGAAUUAAAGUGCUUGACUUCUUCAUACAGUGGUUGACUUCUUUUUACAGAAUUAUAAAGUGAAAAAGGAAAUUAAGAAAUUAAAUACUUUUCAUGCGAGUGGAGAAGAUUGGGUAGCGAUUACAUGAAAUAAAAGAAAAAUAAUUUAAAAGUACAACACUUUAAUAAUCUCAUUCCCAAUCAUAUCGGUAUAAAAAUUCUGUAGAUUUAUUGAAUAACUAUUGAUUUUACUUUGGUAAUUUCUUUCUAAAAGUGAGGUAAACAUUUUUAUUUUCUUUGCAUUCGAGCUUUCUUUCUUUUGCGCUGGCCUUCACACUCUUGACCGUAUUUCAUGGGGCACAUUCAAUCUCAAUCUACUGCAAGUUUGUGGCAGUUUUGUUAAUAACGAACAUUUGUAGGAUUUUAUGUAGAUGAUACUUUUACAUACAUUUUUCUUUUCUUUUUUUCUUCGGUGAACAAAUUAAAAAUUUAGUUUUUGUCAUCAUGACUAGUGAAAUGAAAAUUGUCCUCAUUUCAAGGAUUGACAAAAACGUUGUGCUCAUACCGAUUAAUGGGGAACUGAUUUCGUCUUCUUAAAAGAGAAUUAUUUGCAGCGCCGUAAUUCGGAGAUUUCUGUAUUAUAUAGCCAAACCUAAGUGAUAAGAAUUUCCAUAUGAGAUAUAAUUUGGAGGGAAACAAAAAACUAAUUCAAGUUAAAGACCAGGAAUUUGUGUUCCUCACAAAAACACUUCAACGUCUAUUCUCUCAUAGAGGGGAAUAUCCUUCACUCUUUGACGUAUCCCUGGGGCAAUGUAAGUUGACUUUACAUUAAAACAAAAAAUAAUUACAAUCACAUAAUUACAAUUAUCAUCACUGAUUUGUAUAAUUUUCAGGACUAGUAAAUUAUCUCAAUUUUUAAAAAACAUAAUUACAAUUAUCGAUCGAACACCACUAAUUCCAACAAUUCAUCCAAGUUUUUCAACUUUUUAGAUAUUUGAUAUAUGUCAUGUUUUAACUUAGUACGAGAAAAAAAAUAUAGAAUAAUUUUUUUUCAAAUUAGUGGAAUUAUUUUACGAUAAAACUAUCACAAUCACAUUGAAAAAUAUUCUUUAAAUUUUCACUAUUUCUACUGUUAUUCUUUAACCUUUUUUCUGAACAGAGCAUGGAGGGUUGCUUAUCUAAAUAUGUUUUCUGUGCUUUCACUUCACUUGAUUCAUCUUGUCCCUCUUUCAUAGCUUCUAUCUCGUGUGAGCUUAGAACCUGCAACUCGUAUUUUACGUUUCUGUUACUUUCUCUUUCAUUUUCCCGACUCCCAAACACCAUCAGUCCUUGAUGUUAUAGAGUAUUAGCUGUCUAUUUGUACAGACAUAGAGCUACUGUUCCCACUGUAGAUCUUCAGAUGGUUAGCUCACUAUUGUUUGAAUAUUAAAAUUAAUUUGUUAAAUAAAUAAAGAAAACAAGAGACAAUUGCCAUAUAUAUUCCAUAUUAAUUAGUCACCGUCCGAUUGUCUCCACUUCCAUUGACUCUGUUGAUUCAUGCUUUCAUGAAGUGAAACGUUUAACACUCUGUUCUGAUCCGCAGGAGAGGAGGAAAAACAUAAUUUUAUUAUUUCAUUCCUGACACGCGCAAAGAGCUUUCUUAAUUGAUGAAUGUGACAUGAAGCUCUAUAAAUAGUUUAAUUUGUAAAAUUGUUAAAAUUUGUUAAAUUUCAUUUAAUUGAUGAAUGUGACAUGAAGCUCUAUAAAUAGUUUAAUUUGAAAAAUUGUUAAAAAUUUAAAUUUCAAGUAAGGUAGAUAAAAUGAUUAAAUUUUUUCAAUAUUUAGAAAAUUAACAUGUGUCAUGUAACUAUGAGUGAAUGAAUGAAAUUUUUGAAGUGCGAAUCCAUUUACAAGUUACGACUUGUCUUGUUUCUCAUUUUACUUAAUUUUCAUAAAUUUGACUCACGAUCAAUUAUGAGUGAAGAGUUUGUUGGAAAAAUAUGGUCUUCCAUUUAUUGUAAUCAGAUGAGUGUGAUUUAAUUAUUUUUUCCUUUUGCUUGAUGUCCCGAAAAUUAUGAAUGCUUUUGUAGGAUGCAGAAGAUUAAAAAUUUUAAUGCAUAUCUAUAGUCAAAACUGAGGAAACAGAACAUUACUGCUUCUAUAAAUAGGUCAUUUCAACCUAAAACUUGUUACUUGUAUUUUACAUUUUUUUUUUUUAACUUUUUCUUCCAUUUUCCCAAACACCACCAAUCCUUGAUUCUUUUCCUAGAGUAUUAGCUGUCGAUUGUUACAAACAUAGACAUAUUGUUUGUCUAAUUACUAUCAAGAAACAACAUACUCUAUCCUGGGGUCUCUUCGUUUAUUUAAUAUUUAGGUUUAUUAAUAUACUAUAUUAUUAAUUAAUAAUUUAAAUUAAUUAAAUAAUAAAAGUUAAAUGAUUAUAUUGAAAAUCCAAGUAGUAUUUUAAUGUAAUGAAACCUAAAUCCCACCUCUAUACCACAUUUGUUAUACAAUGUAAUGCAACUAUAAAUUAUAAUUAUAUAAAAAUAAUAUUUUAAUACAAUAUAAUACAAAUUACAAGUGUAAGGCUGUAAUAUUAAUUAGCCUGUGUAAUAGUAUGCCAUGCUGGCAAGUGUGCUAUAACAGAUUGUCGAGCUGGCACCAAUUAUUUUAAACUAAUAUUAGUAAUUAGUCUAGAGUGUUCUGAUUUAUUCUAUUAAUAGCCCAUUUAAGCUUUGAACAUGUGAACUUGUAACGUGUACUGUACUUUUCUAUUACUUCUAAUAAAGAUUUUCUCUAUUCCUUUUUCUUCACUUUCUCUUCCGUUUUCCCGACCCUCAAACACCGUCAAUCCUUGAUUUGAACUGCUGUUUGUUUGUCUAAUUACUUUCAAGAACAAUACCCUCCAUCCCACGGUCUCUUCGUUUAUUGACUUGUUACUUGUGAACAGGGCUAAAUAAAGGGAAAAUACAACAAUUCAAGCCAGCCAUUUAUCAAACGCAUGACAGAGACGCUUCAACAGGUUGUCUCAUGGAAAGAAAUCCUUCAGUCUCUGACGUAAUACUUGGGGCAACGUAAAUUGACUUUACAUUGAACGAAACACUGGCCACAAACAUUAUCAAAAUUAAAUUGAUCGGUUUAACGUAAGUUUUUCUUCAAGAACGAAUGCCAAGAGCUCAAGAAAGUCCUAUCCUUUAGACACGUUAAGAAUUACUUUUCUUUUCAUAAUAAAUUAGAUUGAGUUAAUAAUAUUUGCCUGUGUGAAAUGAAUAAUCAGUUUAGUGUCACCCCAUUAUUAAUUUGUGACUGUCCGAUUGUCUCCUUUUUCAUUGACUUUGCAACUGUGACUUCUGAACCGGGUUAAGAGUUGACAAAAAUGUUAAUGUUAAUAUGUUAUAACUCAUAAAACACGCAUAAUUAAUUAAUGGCCCGCCAAUUUCUUCUUCUCAAAAGAGAAUUUUUGUAGGAGAUUGAAAAAAGGCUAAUUCAUGUUAAAUAUCUUAGAUGAGUGUCUAUCAGGGAUACAAGUCAAGCCACACGAUUUUUCUUGUUAUACUAUUUAUUGGCACUUGUGAAUCCUUGAAUUAUCAAAUGAAUAGCAACAACACUUCAAUAUCUAUUGUUACACGGAGAGAAAUCCGUUCUCUCUUUGAUGUACUACUUGGCAAUAUACAUUGAUCUUUCAUUAAAACAAGCAUUCUCAUAUUGUUGAGAAAAGCUCACGUUAAACUAUUCAAUUUAAUCAUUUAUUAAACAGAUAUUUGGUUUGAUUCAUUUAAUUCAUUUAGUAGAAUUAAUAAACGAAUCGGAUCGAAUCCAGAUUCAUUUAUUCUAUUACGAAUCCACAACGAAUUGAAUAGAAUCGAAUCAGAAUUCAUUUACAAUUCGUUUAGAAAAAUAUAAUUGAUUAACAAAAUUAAGCAAAAUAAAAUAUAAAAAAGCCGCAAAUUUAAUAUCCUACAACAAAAUACAAAUAACACAAACCAUAUUCUAGGAUUAAAUAUACAGUCAUCCAAAUUACAACAUUAACCUUCAAAUUUUAAAAUAAAUAAAUAAAUUUAAGGACAAAAAAAUAAUUUUAUUAAAUGAAUAAUAAACGAAUUUUAAACGAAUCGACAUGUAUUCGAUUUGUUUAUCACUUGUUUAUUAAACGAAUCCUAGACAAAUAUAACGAAUCAAUAUCUUCAAAGCUGGAUUUGAUUUGUUUAAUUAGCGAAUCGAAUCAAAUUAGCCCAUUUAUUAAACGAAUCAAUUUUUUCGAACCCAAACCCAUUUAAUUGGCAUCGAAUCAAAUAAACAAAUCCUGACCUAUAUUGUCACCCCUAGGCUUUUGGUGUUUCUUUGCGUAUUUUUGUGUACAAGUUUGUGUGCAAAUAGCAUUACUUAUCAAUAAUUAGUCUGGAGUGCUCUAAUUUCUUCUAAUAAGUAGCUCAUUUGGGCUUAGGACCUAUAACUAGUAUUUUACGUUUUUGUUAAUCUCUGAUAAAGAUUUUCUCUAUUCUUUUUUUUUUUCCUUUCACCUUCUCUUUCAUUUUCCGAGUCUCAAACACCACCAUUCCUUGAUUUUCUAGAGUAAUAGCUCUCUAUUUCGACAAUCGCAGAACUGUUGUUGAUCUAACUACUUUCAAGAAAUAACGUAUUCUGUGGCAUAUUGACUUGUGAACGGGCCUAAUUAGUCACGGUCCGAUUGUCUCCUCUUCCAUUGACUCGGUCAAUUCAUGACUUUGACCUGCACAGUUGAUACGAACUGACUUCUCCAUUUGACGUGCACAAAACUUUCUUUAGUCGGGUUCAAAUUAAUUGAUCACUUUGUUUGGUGAUGAUGAAUUGGAUGUCCAAUUCAUGAGUUUCAUGAUGAAGAGGACGAAAAACAUUAUUUUUUGAUUUAAAAAAGACAAACAAUUAUUUCGAUGGUCAUUUUAUUAUUAUUUUUUUAAAUAUCCAAAUGGUAGAAUCUUACAGAAUUAAGGUGCUUGACUUCUUUAUACAGAAUUACAAAGCGAAAAAAUAAAGAAAUAAAAUACUCAUCGUGCAAGUGAGAAGAGAUUGGGUUGUUGAUACAUUAAAUAAAAGAACAAUGAAUUAAAAGCAUAACAUUUCAAUAAUUUCAUUCUCAAUCAUAUCAAAAAUAAAAUUUACUGUACAUUGUUGUUCGGUUCUGCAAAAAAAAAAAAAAAAGGAUUUGCGGUUUUGCUUGAGUGUAAUUUUCGUUAAUUACAGUUUGAUUUGAAGGGUUAAGCGCACGUUCGGGUUUCUUUUAUGUAAUUUAAAUCAACAUUGAUAUAACAAAUGAGCUGAGUACGAUGAUGAAGAAGAGGAAGAGGGGUAUCAUCAAUUUAUUAUCAAAUCUUUUCUCAUACAUCACUUUAUCAUUAUAAGCUUUUGACAAUUAUUUUUAUCAAUCGGGGUUCUUGACUUUUUGUUUGAAGUCUAAAGCUUAAUAAUUUUAAAGCAUUUACCAUUUUUAUUUUGUUUUUUUAAUCACUUAUGUCUGAUUAUAAGAUGUUUAGGUAUGAAUAGAAAAAGUUAAAUAUUUUAACUUUUAUCUGAAUGACAAAAUAUAUAAAUGGAUUUUAAUAUUCUCUCUUGUUAAUACCCCUAUUCGAUAAAUUUAUUUCUUGUUAUAUAAAUUAUUGUUUUAUUUUUUUAUUUUUUUAUUUUUUUAUUUACCCCUCUCUUUUGUUAUAUACAUGCAUUCAACUAUCAUUUUUUUUUCUAUGAAUGAGAAUUUUAGACAUAAUAGAAAUUUAGGUGAGUAUGUUUUAUAAUAGAUCUAUCUCUUUGUAUUUACAUUUACUAUUUUAUAAUAAAAUUUUGAAUUUUAUUUACUACAUUAAUUUUAAUUCAAAUGAUAAAGCAAUUCUUGAUUGACUUAUAUAAUUAACAAGAAAAAAAUAUCAAUAUAAAAUACAAAAAAUAGCAUUAUAUUCAAUACUUUAAUAAUCUCAUUCCCAAUCAUACCGGAAAUAAAUUUUUCUGUAUAUUUAUGAAAUAACUAUUGAUUUUUUUUUUUAAAGGUAAACAUCUUUAUUUUCCUUGCACACGAGCCUUCUUUCUUUUGCUUUGGCCUUUACUGUUGAUUUCAAGGUCAUAUUCAAUCUCAAUCUUCUGUAGGUUUGUGGCUGUUUUAUGAGUUACGAUUUUUAUAGGAUUGCAUGUAAAUGACAUAUUUAUAUACAUUUUUUCUUUUCGGUGAAGAUAUUAAAAAUUUAGUAUUUGUUACCAUGUGAAAUGAAAAUAGUCCUCAUUUCAAGGAUUAAUGGGCCACUAAUUUCGUCUUCUUAAAAGAUAAUUAUUUGCAGCGAGAUAAUUGGAAGCUCGAAGAUUUCUAUAUUACAUAGCCAAACCUAAGUGAUAAGAAUUCCCAUAUGAGAUAUAAUUUUGGGAAAAAAAAAACCAAUUCUAGUUAAAGAUAAAAAAUUUGUGCUCCUCACAAAAACAAUAAUUCAAGCCACACAAUUUUUCUUGUUUUAUUUCAAAAACAAAAUUGUGUUCCUCACAAAAACACUUCAACAUCUGGAGAAAUUUUAGAAUAUAUCUGUUGUAACAUGUCAACCAUACAACAAACAAAUAAUUUCAUGACAUGUAUGUAUUUAUUUUAUAAGCUAUCAUUCAAGUGGUGGUUGUAUUAAACUCAAUUACACAUGUCAUGCAUGUAUUAAUUGGUUGUAAUACAACAGAUGUAUUAUAGAAUUAUUCCAACAUCUGUGGUCUAGUAAAGGGAAAAAUCCUUCACUCUUUGACGUGUCCCCAGGGCAAUGUAAGUUGACUUUACAUUAAAAAAAAAAAAAGAAACAUUGUCAUAUAGUUAAGAAAAACGUAAUUUUGACAAGUGCAAGAGAUGGGUAGGACUCAUUUGAUGCAAGAAAAACAAUGAGUAUACGCAAAGAGCUUUAUUACUCUGCAGCCAAUACUUUGAUGAAUGUGACAUUAUUGGUUUGUAUAAUUUUUUGGACUAAUAUUUUAUCUCAAUUUUUUUAAAAAAAUAUAAUUGCAAUUUUCAAACACGAUUAAUCCCAACAAUUUAUCCAAAAAUUUGAGUUUCAAUAAAUGUAGCAUUUAUGAUAGCAUGGCUAAUUUUUUUCAACCAACACUUUAGAUAAAUGAUAAAUCAAUAUUUGACAUGUUACUAACUUACUACAAGAAGGAAAUUAUAGAAUAAUUUUUUGAAUUAGCAGAAUUAUUUUACGAUAAACCUAACACAAUCUAAUUUAAAAAUAAAGUUAUUCUUUAAAUUUCCCGUUCCUAUUCCUACUUUUCUUGUUAUACUACUUUGGCACCGGUGAAGCCUUGAAUUAUCAAACAAAAAGCAAAAAACACUUCAACAACUGUUGUCCCACUAGGCAUUGUUAAAUUCAUACGAUAAAAUGAGUACUUGUAUUAAAAAACAAUGAGUCUCAUUGUGUCCUCUUUCAUUGAUAUAGGCAAUUUCCAGUCAAUUUGUGGCACCCUUACUGACACGUAAAAAACUUACUUACCCCUCACCCAAUACUUUUAUGAAUUUUCAGGACUAGCAAAAUUUUCAAAUUUAAAAGAAAAAAAAUGCAGAAAUAUAAUUUCAAUUUAUCCAGAUAUUUGGGUUUCAAGGAACAUAGCAUUUAUUAUAUGUCAUGUUAAUAUAGAGACUAAUUUUUUUUAAAAAAAAAUUGAAUGAAUAAAAGUAUUUUUUUGAUAAAAAUUUCACAAUCAUAUUUUUUUAAAAAAGUUUUUUUAAAAAAGAAAAUUCACUCCUCUUCUUACAUAAUUUAAUAAUUUAACAUUAUAAAUUAAUCUUUUUAAUCAAAGUAAUAAUCUCUCCUUCGGUGUGCGAAUGCUAAAAUUUAAUAUUAUAGUCGUUGAUGAUAUUUGCGUCAAAUUCACGUGAAUAAAAUUUCUAACAGAAUUAUGAAAUUCGUUACUAGAAAUUUGUAUAAAAGUAGUGAGAAUAGAAGGUUUGAUCAAAGGAAAUUAAUAUAUCCCUAUCCGAUGCAAAAAUUACAUUCUAUUUUCCAAUUACUAAGGUCAGCCUUAACGCAUGCCGGUCUUUUUCUCCUCUACUUUCUAGAAAUUUUGGUUUCACUAUAAAAACUCGGUAUAUAACAAACUUAUGAGUGUUCUUGCAUUACCAAUCCAAUUAAGCACACGCUUACAAUCUAAAAUACUCUCAUCUCAUGGAAAGAGUUCAUUCUCUCAGGAUGAUGAGCAUAUUUCUCCUACUCCAUUGUUUGAUUAUUAUUUCCUUAUUUAUCGCAGCAACAACAGCCACCACAAGUUCUACUAUCACAGACCGAGAUGCUCUGUUAGCCCUGAAAGCUCACAUAACUCAUGAUCCGACCAAUUUCUUGGCCAAGAAUUGGAACACAAGUACUCCUGUCUGUAAUUGGACAGGUGUCGCUUGUGACGUCCAUAGCCAUAGAGUCACAGUCUUGAAUAUUUCAAGCUUAAAUCUCAGAGGCACCAUCCCAUCUCAACUUGGGAAUCUUUCUUCUCUGCAAUCACUCAAUCUCAGUUGUAACCGACUUUCUGGUUCCAUUCCCUCCACCAUCUUCACCAUAUACACACUAAAAAAUGUUAGUCUCGGUAAAAAUAAGCUCUCUGGGCAAAUUCCUACAAAUAUUUGUAGUAAUCUUCCUUUUCUUGAAUUUCUUUCUUUGUCCCUAAACAUGUUCCAUGGCGGAAUACCGUCCACUCUAUCAAAUUGCACAUAUUUAAGAACCUUAAGUUUGGCAUACAAUGAUUUCUCGGGAGCCGUACCUAGAGAAAUCGGUAACUUGACCAAACUUAAGGUAUUAUAUAUUGGCGCGAAUAGACUCCAAGGUGCGUAUGAUGAUGGAGUUUAAUUAUAAAAAUUGUUCCAUGAGUUGUAAUAUGAAUAAUGUUCCAUAAUACACUUCUGAGCCCGAAGUCCUUUCUUUUCCUCCUUGACUCUUCUAUCGUCGAGCUAAGUGACUCUGUCAUGCCGCUUCAAGUAAUACACACGUUGAUUAAUUUGCAGGAGAAAUUCCUCGAGAGUUUGGCAAUCUUACCGAAUUGGAGCAGUUUUCGUUACCAACAAACAAUCUCCAAGUUAUGAUUUUAAACUUUUUGCAAUUUUAUUCUAGCUCUGCUUGAUUCUGUAUUCAUUCGUUUGUUCAUUAUUUAUGCUAUGAUUUAUUGUUUUUCUUUCAGAUAGAGAUAAAGCUCCAUGUCUCCCCUCACUCAUUUCGUUCUUUGAUUUAUGCACAUAAAAAUAAAAUAAAAAUGUUUUGUAAUUUUCUUUUGUCAUAUUGCCACUUCCCUUUUGAAGCUCCCAAUUAAGUCGAUGAAAAUGAAUGAUGUUUCAUUCGUAUUCUUGUCAGCCUAAUUCUUAUAUAAUUGAAGAGUAAAUUGUUAUUAUGAUAUUCGUCAGCCAAUAAAUUCUUUUUUUUUUUCAAAAUAUGAGUGAUCAAAUUGUUUGCGCAUAUAUAAUUUUACUUAAUUUGCAGGAGGUAUUCCACAGGAAUUGGGGAAUCUUGCAAAAUUGGAGAUUUUACAGCUGUUCCAGAAUAACUUGACCGGUAACCAUCUUUACUAUAUAUAUAUGAGACAUCUUCUGCUUCUUAAUUAAAAGAUUUCAAGUCUCUCAUUAUAAAUUCUCAUAUGAGGAUAUGUCAUUACUACAAUCUAACAUUAUUCCCUUUUUUUAUUAGAAAUUAGUUUGUGUUAAUUCAAAAUUUUGUAACAUGUAAAAAAAAUUAAAAACACGUGGAAUAAAUCAUCAAUCUUUCUUCUUUAUUGAAUUUGGAUUUCUAAAAAAUUAUCUUGACAAGUAUGCUUCACUAAUGAUAUGCAUGUGUGACAACUUCAUAAAAUAUUUUACAUGGAGUCAUCAAUUAUCUUUAAAUAAUUGGAGAUGCCAUCAGUGAUACAUAAUUUCUUAACAAGCACCAUAUCAAAAGAAAUCAACAAUUUUAUUAAUCUUAAAGAGUUACAUCUUCACCGCAAUUAUGAUAUAAAAUUUUAGUCAUCAAUCGCAUAAUAUUUUACCUUAACGGAUGAUGUUCAGUCUUGGAAUUUAUAAUACCUUGAAGGUUAGUAGCUUUGAAAAUAAGAACUGUUCAUUUGCUAAAAAGUUAACUUAGUAUUUAAGUUUUUCAAUUGAAAAUUUUGAAAAAAGUCUUGAGAACUGCCCUCCUUAGUAUUUCAGCUGAUAAAUAUGAAAAAUAGGCUAGAAGAAAUAUUGUUGUGUGUGCUUAUUUUACUUGGGCUUUGGGCUUGAUUACAAGGUCGAGCACUAACACCUGUCAUAAUAAUAGGCUUUUACUUUCACCACACGUUCAAUAAUUUCUUAACCUUCCGAAUUAAGUUAUAGCAAUUUAUAUAUAAAUAACUAAAGCAUACUAAAGCGAGCACAAAGUACUCAUGACUUAGGCUUACUGUGUUACCUAUUACACACGGUCGAACACUUACAUCUGUUAGAAUAACAAUAGCAUCCACGGAUCGACUAUCAGUGAUCAAAUUGAUUGCACAUAUGUAAUUUGCAGGAGCAAUUCCACGGGAGUAGGGAAAUAUUACAGGAUUGGGGAUCUUAGAGCUGCCUGAUAAUUUUUUAACCGGUAUCAUUCCUUCAUCUAUCUACGAAUUGCUUUUCUCUAUUAAAUUCGGAACUGUCAUUUAAUAACUUAACAGGUAACUUCCCUUACAACAUGUCUGUGUGACAUGUUUUGCUUUGAAAUUAAAAUAUUUCACGUCUCUCAUUAUAAAUUCUCAUAGGCGGAUGUAUUGUUACUACUAUUUAACAUUAUCUCAUUUUUUUAUUAGAAAUUAAUCUGUGUUUAUGCAAAAAAAUUUAGCAUCUAAAAAAAGUACAAAAACACAUGGAAUAAAUCGAAAAUCUUUCUUCAUUACUGAAUUCGGAUUUCUAAAAAAUUAUCAUGAGAACUUCAUAAAAUAUCUUACAUGGAAUCAAUAAUUAUCUUUAAAUAGUUGGGGAUGCCAUCACUAAUAAAUAGUUUCUUAAAAAGCAUCAUACUAAAAGAAUUCAAUAAUUUUAAUAAUCUUCAAGGGGUACAUCUUCGCUGCAAUUAUGACAUAAUUUUUUAUCUAAAUAUAUUUUUAGUCAUCAAUCGCAUAAUUUUUUAUCUUGACGGAUGAUGUUCAAUCUUGGAAUUUAAAAUAUCUUGAAGGUUAGUAGCUAUGAAAAUUAGAAAUUUUUUAUUUGCUAAAAAAUUAACUUAGUAUUUAAGCUUUUCAAUUGGAAAAUUUGAAAUAAAUGUUGAGAACUGGCCCUCCUUAGUAUUUCAGCGGAUAAAUAUGGAAAAUAGGCUAGAAAAAAUUAUUUUAUUGAAAUAAUAGUUAAAAAUAGAGACGUACAGUACUCAUGACUUAGGCUUGCUGUGUACUUUUUUUACUUGGGGUUCGGGCUUGAUUACACACGGUAGAAUACUUACACAACUCCCCCCAUAUAGGGUUUUACUUUCAUCCCACAUUUGAUAAUUUCUUAACCUUCCCAAUUAGAUUAUAGCAAUUUAUAAAUAAAUAAAUAACUAAAGCACACUAAAGCUAGCAUUGAUGGACAGAUGAGUGGUGUCAAAAGUGUAUCUGUUUUUAUUAGGGUUGGCAAUUUAAGGGCCUGGGCCGGGCUUUGCCAAGCCCAGGACCAGGCCCAUAUAAUGUUAAAUAAGUUCAGGGCCUCUCAAAGCCCAUCCAAGUUGGGCGGGCCGGGCCUUGACCGGCCUCGGGCCGGGCCCGGGCUUUUAUGAAUUUUCAAAUUUUUUUAAAAAAUAAAACUAUAAAUUUUCAAAACAUAAUUAUCCAAUACAUAAUACUACAAUAGGCUAAAAACUUAAAUAUAUUUCUCUAAUACAUGAUUAGCCAACACAAAAUAUAAAAAUACUAACAAUACAAGUACCGUACAUAACAUACAAAUCAACCACUAAUAUAAAAAAAAAAACUAAUAGAGAUUUACCAAUUUAGGAAUUUUGACAUUUUGUGACAAAACCUUUGCCCUUUCCCUUUGCCCCAUUUUUUUAUUGUUUUGUUUAAUUUUUUUUUUCAAUUUUAUAAUAUAUUAUACAUUUUUUUUAAAAUAUAUAUAUAUAUAUAUAAAGCCCUUAUCCAUAAUAUAUAAUAUAUAUAUUAUUUAUUAUAAAGCCCGGGCUUUUCAUUUAGGCCCUUGACUGAGCCCAUAUGUUAUGGGCUUUAUUAAUUAUGAGCCCUUACCCAUACUUUCAAGCCACGGGCCAGGCUUAAAGCCCGCGGGCCUGGGCCGGCCCGGGCUUUUCUGCCAACCCUAGUUUUUAUGUAUUAUUGUUCCCUGAUACAAAUUUGAAUAAUGGAAAAUAUAAAUUUAAUAUUUUAUUUAAUACUUUGUUAACAUUUUAUCUAUAUAUAAUAAAUAAACUGAAACUUGUACUUAAAAAAUUUUUUGGUUACGCAUAUUCAUUUCAUGAUAAAAAAAAUGUCUAUUUACACUAAUUUACCAUUAUCAAUAAAAUGCUUUGAGACAAAUAAUCUAAUUUAUAUUAGUAUAUUUAAAAUACUUGCAUUUAUUAUAUUUUGAAAAAACAUUAUUUGCAAUUAUUUUAAACCUUUGAAUUCAAAUUUUCUUAGUUAUUAAAGUCAAAGGGUAUAAAUGUAUAAUAGUCAAAAACAGAUUUGUAUGAUCAUUUUUCAAUGUAUAAAUUUUCUUAGUUAGUAGGCAAUUAAAAUUUGUUGAUUUACUCAUAAAUAAAUUUAGUGUUUAGCAUUUCAAUUUUGGAAAACUUGAACUAAAUGUUGAUAACUUCGAAUCCAUCGAGCCAAGUUUCGCUUCCUUGACACACAGACCCAUUCGAAGUUCUAUUCGAAUUGAGUUUCCAAGUGCUUAGAAAAAGCAGUUCUUUUCCAUGUCGCUAUAAUUUAUUCACAAAAGAGUUGAUUAGCGUCGAUGUUGCUUCAGAGUCUGAGACCAUGUUAAUUUAUUUUACUGAAUUAAUUUAUUUUAUCUUGCUGUAACUGAAAUACUACCUUUUUUUUUUUUUUGCUAUAACUGGGGCUUGAUUAACUUUAAUAAUAGCAGCCAUAGACUUAGGCUUUUUUACUUUUCACCACACAAUUUGAUCUUUUAAUUCGUUUUAACCACAUAAUCUAUCUAUCUCACACCUAUUGCUUACUUAAAUCGCAUACAUAUUUUACCUACUAAUUUUUACAAACAUUAGUGAAAUAUAUUUUAUUACAUUUUGCUCGUAACUGCUCUAGUUGUGCACUAUUAAUACUUAACUCUCCCUUUUAAUUUAUCGUGCAAUCUAUCAACCACUAAAAUUACAUAUAUAUUUUACCUAUAUUUUGCCCCAAAAAAUAUAAAAGUAAUAGAAAAAGAAUAUGUGUAGCAAUUUGUAUGUAACUAACAAAGCAUUGACGGUGUGUAGCCUUUCAAUACUUCAUGAGUGGCUGUUCUUGUGUGUUAGUACUGGUAAUAAUUGUGUAGUGUAUAAAUGACCUUUUAUUAUUAAAGCGCGUCUGUUGUUAGAUAUUAUUUAUUAUUUGAAAAAUAAUAUGAAUAUAAUUCUUUCAAAAUACAGGGGAGAUACCAACUGAAAUCAUAAUCUCCGUAAUCUGGAGGAGUUGGACCUUGCUCGAAACAAAUUAGUUGGUAUUGUCCCAGCUGCAAUCUUCAAUGUGUCAACACUCAAGCAUCUUGGUCUUCAAGAUAAUUCUCUCUUGGGAUGUCUUUCGUCCAUCGGAGACGUCCGACUUCCAAAUCUUGAAGGGCUUUAUUUGUCGGGUAAUAAUUUCAGUGGCACAAUUCCUAGUUUCAUCUUUAAUGCUUCUAAGCUCUUUAAGCUAUCGUUGCAAAGGAACUCAUUCUUUGGUUUUACUCCCAACACAUUUGGCAACUUAAGAAACCUUAAGUGGCUAUCUUUAUAUGAUUCUUAAGUGGCUAUCUUUAUAUGAUAAUUAUUUGACAUCUUCAACUCCAGAAUUGAGCUUUCUGUCCUCGUUGUCAAAUUGCAAGUGUUUAACAUUUAUUGACUUAUCAAAUAAUCCACUAGAUAGCGUUCUUCCAAAGACAUUUGUCGGUAAUGUUUCUCAUUCUUUGGAAUUCUUUGUCAUGUCCUAUUGUAACAUUAGUGGCGGCAUCCUUGAAGAGAUCACCAACUUGACCAAAUUGACAACCAUUAUUUUAGGAGGCAAUAAAUUGAAUGGAUCAAUUUCGAUUACUCUCGGCAGGUUACAAAAGCUUCAAUAUUUGGGUCUUGACGAUAACAAAUUAGAAGGAUCAAUCCCAGACAGUAUUUGUCGUUUAGCUUAACUGUAUGAUUUGGAGUUGGGUGGUAAUAAGCUUUCUGGAUCAAUCCCUGCAUGCUUCAGUAAUCUGGCUUCUCUGAGGAAACUGUCGUUGGAUUCCAAUGAGUUAACUUCUAUUCCCUUAACUUUUUGGAACCUUAAGGAUAUCUUGUACCUCAACUUUUCGUAAAAUUUUUUGAUUGGUCCACUCCCAUUAAAGGUUGGAAAUUUGAAGGUUUUAGUUGGAAUUGAUUUUUCGAUGAAUAAUUUUUCAAGCGUUAUCCCAAUAGAAAUUGGAGGCCUACCAAAUCUAGAAUAUCUCUUCUUAGGAUAUAACAGAUUGCAAGGAUCGAUUCCUGAUUCAUUCGGUGAUUUGAUAAGCUUGAAAUCCUUGAAUUUGUCUAAAAAUAAUCUCUCAGGGGCUAUUCCUGCAUCUUUAGAGAAACUCUUAUAUCUUAAAGAUCUAAAUCUUUCUUUCAACAAACUAGAAGGAGAAAUUCCUAGGGGAGGGUCUUUUGGAAACUUCUCAGCUGAAUCAUUUGAGGGAAAUGAAUUAUUAUGUGGUUCACCCAAUUUACAAGUCCAGCCAUGCAAAACUGGCAUCCACCACACAUCAUCAAAAAAUUCUCUUCUCUUGGGGAUUGUCUUGCCAUUGAGUACUACAUUUAUGAUAGUAGUCAUUUUGUUGAUCCUAAGAUAUCGACAGAGAGGGAAACGACUAUCGAAUGAUGCUAAUAUGCCAAUAGUAGCAACAUGGAGAAUGUUUUCAUACCUAGAACUCUGUCGAGCAACAUACAAAUUCAGUGAAAACAAUCUAAUCAGCAAAGGUGGUUUUGGCUCUGUUUACAAAGCAAGACUUGGGGACGGGAUGGAGGUUGCUGUGAAGGUUUUCAAUUUGCAAUGUAGAAGAGCAUUUAAGAGUUUCGAUAUUGAAUGUGAAAUGAUGAAAAGUAUUCGCCAUCAAAACCUUAUCAAAGUUAUUAGCAGUUGUUCAAAUGAAGAGUUUAAAGCGUUGGUAUUAGAAUACAUGCCUCAUGGAAGUUUGGAGAAGUAUCUGUAUUCAAGUAACUGCAUUUUGGAUAUUUUUCAAAGAUUGAACAUAAUGAUAGAUGUUGCAUCAGCUUUGGAAUAUUUGGACCUUGGUUAUUCAGCUCCAAUAAUUCAUUGUGACUUAAAGCCCAACAAUGUAUUGUUAGACGAUAAUAUGGUUGCUCAUUUGAGUGAUUUUAGCAUUGUAAAAUUGCUAACAGGAGAAGAUCAAUCUAUGACUCAUACACAAACACUUGCAACAAUAGGCUAUAUGGCACCAGGUUUGUUCAAUAUAAAUAUUUUCUAUUUCUCAUAAACUUCUGAUGGGUGUCGAAGCCAACAAAAAUAAAUUCCUACUCUAAAUAAAUUGUGUAUAGUGAUUGAGCAGGGUCGUGUCGACAGAGAUCGGUAAUUAUUUAAAUCCUUUUGAAACGUAAAACGUAAAAUGGGGGAAUUGUUGACAAUAAUAAAAAUCAAAUUAAAAUAACAAGAAUGCAAAUUAAAGUUGUAAUUCAAAUUAGAGAAAGCUCUGGUUGAAGGAAUUAACUCAGCUUGAUUCGACUACUGAUCAUUGAUUCAAAUAUAGAUUAUUAUUACUUAUGAAUAGACCGGUUAUAGCUACUGAGACCCUCUAAUAGCCAAUCUCUCCUUAACUAGUCGAUAACCAAGGUACGACCGUUGGUUAUUUCCCUAAUCAAUAGACAACCCUAGAUACGAUCAUAGGAUUUAAUCAAUUGACAGCCUAAAAGACCAGAGAGACCCAAAUCCUAAUCAACACAUACGAUGAUUCAUUUAAAUUAGAUUGUUUAUUCUCAUAACACAACUCACUGCUAUGUUAUUUGUCACAAACAUUAAAAUCUUCAUACGAUGAAUCCUUUAAUUAACAAUAGAUUAAGUUGAUAAUUAAAUAGUGGCCAAUUACCUAAUUAACAAACAUAAUCAUAAAAAUAAUUCAGAGAAUAAACAAAUACCCAAAAAGCAAUAAAACAAUUAAAGCAUAAGAAAGAUCUCACAGUAGUGAUGAAUCAAAGCUUCAUUAUCCUUCAACAAGAAAAAUAGAUUUAGUUCUUCACAGAGAGAAGAGAAAAGUUUAGAUCUAGGGUUUCUUUCCUUUUCUCCAAUCCCUUUUUUCACAAUAGAUUCCUCCUUAAAUACUUUCUCUCUCUUCUCAUUUAGAGUUCUAUUUAAAAUAAAAUACUAAUAUCUGAAAUAUUAAAUUCGUAAUUUCAAAAAUAACCAAAAAUACAAAACACGUUAAACUAAAAACUGCAGGUCCGCAGUUGACAGCACGCGCCCACACCUUAUCAAUAAAGUUCUUCUGACUCUCUAAAUUUCUCGAAGAGAACAAUCAUCUUUAAACAUCAUCUUAUAGCUCAAUUUUAUCACAAAUCAAUAGAAUUGCACCUACAAAAGUAAAACACAAGUAAAUCAUUAUUAUUAAGUGCAAAACAUCGAUAUUAAGGGAAGUAAACAAUGCAAAACUAGUGCAUAAAUUGCACUCUAACAAAUUCCCCUACACCAAGAUGAUGCUUGUCCUCAAGCAUAUAACUUAAGACUAAUCACAAAUCUCCACUCAAUUUUCAUCUCAACUCAUCCAAAAACAAUUUUAAGCAAGCAUACCUCAAGAAUUUAAGUCGAUCAACAUUCGAGAGCCAAGGAUUUUAAAGCAUAGAAUCUCAUAAGCUAGAAUAAAAACAUUCAACCAUCAAGAAGAUCCAUUCAAAAUUCAAGUGCAACAAGAUUUAAUAGCCCUCUCAUUGACUUCACUCGAUGCACUCAAAGUGUUUAGGGUGUCAUUUAUGCACUCAAAUCAAAUCAAAGAAUGCUAUUACCAUAAGCUUGCUUAUAUAUCAUAUCUCAAUCCACAAAACAUGAAUUAAAUGCAAAAAUCUAAGGGUCUUAAAAAGGUUGUAACGGGGUUAAAUGGGUUAAAUGAAAAAGAAAGGUCUAUGAAAGAAAAAAAGAUUAAAAUGAGAAGAAUGAACUCAUUGAAUGAACUUCUGAUAUCAAAAUGCUUAUUUCUACUCAAGUCACCAAGAAUGUAAACUUUUUUUUUCGAUUUUUCUUUUUCUUUUUUUUUUUUUAAUCAAACAAAAGAAACGAACCUUGCACAAUUUAAUUCAAGCAUAAUGCUUGUUGAUCUAAUUGAGAAACUUUAAUACAAGGUAGAAAAAGCAACAAAAUAUAUCCAUACAAUGAGUCCAAAAAUCUCCUUAAAUUGAGGCUCAAAAAGGAGAAAAAUGGUUAAGUAGACGGAGAGAAUUAGAUGGGUAAUGGUUAAGGCUCAAACAAAGAUAGCAAAUAAAGGUCUUCGAGUAGAGAAAAAAAAAUACGAGAAUAGAAAAUUGGAAAAUGGUUUGCCCUUAUCAUUUUAAUGCAUAAAAUCCCGUAAUGCGGCUUCAACAUGCAUAACAAAGCAAGUUCUAGAAUAAACAAACUAAGAUUGAUAUUCACAUAACAAAAAUAAUUAGAGCAAAGUGGCUGCUCAUAGGCUCAAAUCCUCACAAAGUUGGUAAAUUUUCCAUCAAAUCAUGUACACUCUUCAAAUGAAUCAACCAUCAAUAGUGGUGUAGAAUGAGAAGAAGGUAUGAGUGAGAUAUAAAAGGAAAGGUAAAAAGGAUAAUAAGCGAGAAAGAUGUAUGUAGUAAAAAAAAUGAAAGAUAAAAUGUGAGUGAUGAAAGAGUAUGAUAGAGAAAAAAAAUAGAUGUAAAUAAUUUGAGAUAGAUGGGAAAAGAGUAGUGAGAGAGAAGGGAAAAGAAAAUUAAUAAUAUAUGAAGCAUACUAACUCCAAAAUCAUUUAAGGAUGAGUAGAGUGAAAAUAGUACUUCUAGACAUCAAUAAUGUAAAAAUCCCUCCCCAACACCAAGAACUUACAUUGUCUCCAAUGUAAGAUAAUCAAAGCUCACAUAAAAAUUAAAGCGUAAGGAUAAAAGAUUAAAGGCAAAAAAAAUUCCCUGAAUUGUGAGCUUUGAUCCACAUAAUGUCUAUGGGCUUGGCAGAAAGGGUGGGGUAAAUCCCAUACUCUCGAAGUAUGCGGCCAAAUUCUGCUCCAUCUUGUUCAGCUUGUGCUCCAUCUUCUCUAACUGAAUGCUGGUAGUGCGGAUGUAGAAGGAAUAGUUGGCGGGCCAGCAGUGUCGUCUUCAAACUCGUCAUUAGAGGUAACACCACUCCUAGCAUAAAGCUUCUUUGGAGGUUGAGUGGGUCUUGGUUUAGUAAACUAAAAUCUCCCCUCCUUGAAUUCGACGACACCUGUUCUUUGAAACACAGACAUAUCCAAAAAUUCCUUUUUGCAAGCAGGAUGCAAAUCAUUAUUGUCAGGAUCAAGCACACAUAGGUUUAUAGCUAACAGAGUAAUGUAUGGACCAAGAAAGAAAGUCCGAUACCGUUUAAGCACACUUUGAAAUUUAUCCGCUAACCAAAAACCUAAAUUAGGCCUCACAUCAUUUAACAUGCACCAGAUAAAAUAAAAUUCAGUUUUAGAGAAAACUCCUGAGUGAUCUUUCUUUCCUAAAAAAUUAUAUGCUAAGAAUCGAUGCACACAUUUCAAAACAGGAUCACGUAAGAAAUAACUCUUUGAUUUACUCAGGUCAUAGGCAUUGUGAUCAACACAUAAAUUACGCCAAAGACCAUAAGGCUCAAAAUUGUCACUAAAGUCACAAGUUGUUCCUAAAUAUGCAUCACUAGAAGAAUAAUCAUCAUCAAGGAAUCCUAAAGCUAGGUUAAAAUCCGUGAUAGAGGUGAAAAAUUUUGUCCCAUUAACCUAAACUUUAUGACAUCUGGGGUAUGCAAAGUAAAAUCAUUCGGUAUAUUAAAUUGAAAAGUCGCAUAAGACUCCUUAAUCAACUCAACAUAACCCAAACAAUCAACAUCAACAAACUUACGCAACCCAAUCUUAUCUAUCAAAUAAUCAAAAUUAUCCUUAACAUUCAAUUUUUCAAGAGUCGGGUAAUUAAUAUACUUAGCUGGAAGUAUUUUGCACGUGGAAAUAUCUUUGUAUCUCUCUUUCUCUUGUUGAGUCGCGAAUGCAAGGCAUCCUCCGAGAUUGGAUUCCGCAAGUGGCAAAACACUCAUGCCUUUUUCAUGUUUCGAUCUUUGUCUCAUGGCUUGGCGUGAAUCUGAACUUGUGUUCCAUGGAACCGGAAUGCGAGCGACAAUCUUAGAUUUCUUUGUGACGGGUAUCUUUUUAGAUGACUUGGAAGUAGAUGCUUUCCUCUUCGGCAUUGUUACAAUAAUUGCACUCACGGAUUUCGAUUUACCCGGCUGGAAUACAGGGCGUAGGCUGGUUGCGUUGCACUUGCUGCUCGACUGGAGCUUGCUGCGCGGGUUGGGGUUGGUUGCGCGCGCAGCUGGUUUUGCAUGCUGGUGAUGCUAGUUGCGUUGCGUGCGCGAGCUGGAGACUCUGGAUCUGCGUUACGAGGCGUGCUCGUCUGCUGUUCGUUGGGACUGUGUUGCGCGCGCGGGAUUGAUGCGCUGCGUGAUGGUGAUGGCCAAAGCUUGCUGCGCGCGGGCUGGUUGUGUUGCAGGUGGGACUGAUACGACUGCUGCUGGUGAAAACAAUAAUCAACAGUGAAUUUUUUUUUUAAUUAGGGAAUUGUAAAUAGUGAUUUGUGGUUUUUGCUUUUUUUGUUUUUUUUCUUUUUUUUUUAAAUAAAUAAAUAAAAUAUAUAUAUAUAUAUAUAAAAGAAAGAAAAAAAGGAAAAAAAAAAUAAAUAAUUUUUUUUUAAGUGAUGAAUCACUUUGAGUCACUAAAAAUUUCAGACGUACUUUUCUAAUAAGCACGUGGGCACACCUUAAAACUAUUUUACUUUAAAAAUUAUAGAAGUACUUAUUAGUUAAGACGUGGGCACGCCUUAUCAAAAAUUUUCUUCUGACCAAAAUAAGCAAACACAUUAAUUUUUUUUUUAAAAAUCUGAAUCAAAACUAAAAGAAGACAUAACAAAAACCAAAAUAAAUAAAUCAUUUGGGUUGCCUCCCAAAAAGCGUCUUUGUUUUAUGUCUUUGGCUAAACACAUUUAUGCAACAAUCUCCAUAAUUGGGACUCUCGAGAGCCACAUCCUCCACAAUAUUCACCGAAAAACCUUCAUAAAAAGGUUUUAAGCGAUGACCAUUAACAUUCAAAACUUUGUCAGAGGUCGGACUCCGAAUCUCAACUACACCAUGAGGAAAAAUAUUAGUAACAAUAAAAGGUCCAACCCAGCAAGAACGUAAUUUACCCGGAAAAAGUUUAAGCUUAGAAUGAAAAAGAAGAACUUUUUGACCAAUAGAGAACUCCUUUCUCAAACUCAUUCUAUCAUGAAAUGUCUUCGUCUUUUCCUUGUAAAAAACUUCAUGCACUAUAGGGUUAAUAAUAUCCACAGAAAAUACUGAAUGUUCCUCACUAGGAUAUUUCAUGGCAUCAUUCAUAUUGAAUUUUAUAACCUCUCCAUCAAACUCCAUAGUGAGAGUCCCUUUAUGUACAUCUAUUUUAGUCCUAGCAGUCUUAAGAAAAGGUCAUCCUAACAAAAUUGGGACAUAAUUAGAGGAGUUAUCAUCUUCCAUAUCAAGUACAUAAAAAUCAGCAGGAAAAACCAACUCAUUAACUUGUACUAAGACAUCUUCUAAUACCCCAUCAGGAUAUGCAUUAGACCUAUCAGCUAGUUGAAUUAUCACGCUAGUUUCUUUUAAUGGACCAACAUUCAAAGAUGAAUAAGUGGAACGAGGCAUGACAUUAAUAUAAGCUCCUAGAUCUAACAUAGCCUUUUCAACUCUAACACUACCAAUUUUACAAGGAAUGGUAAACAUACCUGAAUCCUUGCACUUAGGAGGUAGUUUCUUUUGGAGAACUGCUGAAACAUUCUACCCCAUGUGAACUUUUUCAUCUCCUCUUAAUUUUCUCUUGGAGGUGCAUAGUUCCUUAAGGACUUUAGCAUAUCAAGGUAUUUGUUUUAUAGCAUCUAAUAAAUGAAUAUUUACCUCAACCUUGCAAAAUGUCUUAAAGAUGUCUUUCUCUUGUUCCUCCUUCUUGGAUUUUACAAACUAGCUUGGAAAAGGAGGAGGUAUCACAAUAGGUAGGGGUUUCGUUCUGGUGGGUUGCGCAUCUUGAGAUUUAGGCAUCAAUUCAUUCUUCCCAAGCUCAUCUUCUACAUGCUUUGUCACUUUCUUACUAGGCUCUUGUAACUCCUUCCCGCUUCUAAGGAUGACAGCACUAACGUUUUGCUUUGGAUUCACCUCAGAUUGUGAAGGCAAUCUCCUUAAUACUUGAGACUCCAGACGGCUCACUGUAGUCGCCAAUUGACUCAUUUGGUUCUCUAAAUUCUGAAUGCUUUCUGUAGUUGCCUGCUGAAAUUGUUGAGUGUUAGUCGCAAGUGAUUUAACAAUUUCUUCAAGAGAUAUACUUGACUUGGAGUUUGACUGUGGAGGUGCUGGUUGUCUUGGUGGAUACUGUUGUGGGAAUCCUGACGGUCUAACUCCAUAGCUGAAGUUGGGAUGAUCCUUCCAUCUCAGAUUGUAUGUUGUGCAUAAGGAUCAUACCUCCUCUGAGGCAUGCCUGGAAAUCCUCCAACUGCAUUGGCUUGUUCAACGGGUUCUUCUUGAAGUGUAGGACACAUAUCAGUUGAAUGACCCAUAUUGGAACAAAUGCCACAAGUCUUUACCUGUUGCAUAUUAUCUACAAUAAACUUUUCUACAAGAGAAGUAAGUUUAUCUAAACGUUGUUCAACAGAAGAAAUAUUUACCUCAUUCACCGUUCUUGAAGUGGCAUCUUGCCUGCUGCCAAAUUGUUGUGCAUUGGCAGCCAUAUUUGAGUUCAACUCCCUUGCUUGAGUAAGGGUCUUAUUCACCAACACACCUCCACUGGCAACAUCUAUCAUACUCCUAUCCAAUAAUGAUAGUCCUUCGUAAAAAUAUUGAAUAAGAAGUUGAUCAGAAAUCUGAUGCUGAGGACAGCUGGCACACAAUUGUUUGAAUCGCUCCCAAUACUCAUACAAAGUCUCCCCAGGAAGUUGUCUAAUCCUACAAAUAUCUUUUCUGAUGUUGGCAGCUCUUGAAGCAGGAAAGUACUUCUCGAGGAACUGCUUCUUUAAACCAUUCCACGUUGUAAUCGAUCCAGGAGGCAAGUAGUACAACCAAUCUUUAGCUAGCCCAUCUACAGAGAACGGAAAAGCACGCAACUUAAUCUGCUCUUCAGUCACGCCUUGUGGCCUCAUACUUGAACACACAACAUGAAACUCCUUAAGAUGUUUAUGAGGAUCUUCACCUGCAAAACCAUGAAACUUGGGUAAUAAAUGAAUAAGACCAGACUUUAAUUCAAAAUUUACCUCCAAGUCUACAUAUUGAAUGCAGAGUGGUUGUUGAUUCAAGUCUGGUUCAGCUAACUCUCUAAGAGUUCUUUCUACAGGUGCAGGUCUAUCCAUCACUUGUUCUUCUGAAUCGCUAGAUGAUUCAACUAAAUCAAGUAUUGUAUCAAUUUCAGAAAGCAAAGGCAACGAGGAUCGUUGCUUAGCUCGCUUUGUCUGCUGUCUCAACUGGCGAGCUGUCUUCUCAAUUUCAGGAUCAAACGAAAGUGUACCUGUACGAGAAGAACGAACCAUACACCAAGUAAAACGUAAAAAUGAUUAAAUAAACGACACCAAUCCCUGGCAACGGCGCCAAAAUUUGAUGGGUGUCGAAGCCAACAAAAAUAAAUUCCUACUCUAAAUAAAUUGUGUAUAGUGAUUGAGCAGGGUCGUGUCCACAGAGAUCGGUAAUUAUUUAAAUCCUUUUGAAACGUAAAACGUAAAAUGAGGGAAUUGUUGACAAUAAUAAAAAUCAAAUUAAAAUAACAAGAAUGCAAAUUAAAGUUGUAAUUCAAAUUAGAGAAAGCUCUGGUUGAAGGAAUUAACUCAGCUUGAUUCGACUACUGAUCAUUGAUUCAAAUGUAGAUUAUUAUUACUUAUGAAUAGACCGGUUAUAGCUACUGAGACCCUCUAAUAGUCAAUCUCUCCUUAACUAGUCGAUAACCAAGGUACGACCGUUGGUUAUUUCCCUAAUCAAUAGACAACCCUAGAUACGAUCAUAGGAUUUAAUCAAUUGACAUCCUGAAAGACCAGAGAGACCUAAAUCCUAAUCAACACAUACGAUGAUUCAUUUAAAUUAUAUUGUUUAUUCUCAUAACACAACUCACUGCUAUGUUAUUUGUCACAAACAUUAAAAUAUUCAUAUGAUGAAUCCUUUAAUUAACAAUAGAUUAAGUUGAUAAUUAAAUAGUGGCCAAUUACCUAAUUAACAAACAUAAUCAUAAAAAUAAUUUAGAGAAUAAACAAAUACCCAAAAAGCAAUAAAACAAUUAAAGCAUAAGAAAGAUCUCACAGUAGUGAUGAAUCAAAGUUUCAUUAUCCUUCAACCAGAAAAAUAGGUUUAGUUCUUUAUAGAGAGAAGAAAAAAGUUUAGAUCUAGGGUUUCUUUCCUUUUCUCUAAUCCCCUUUUUCACAAUAGAUUCCUCCCUUAAAUACUUUCUCUCUCUUCUCAUUUAGAGUUCUAUUUAAAAUAAAAUACUAAUAUCUGAAAUAUUAAAUUCGUAAUUUCAAAAAUAACCAAAAAUACAAAACACGUUAAACUAAAAACUGCAAGUCUGCAGUUGACAGCACGCGCCCACGCCUUAUCAACAAAGUUCUUCUGACUCUCUAAAUUUCUCGAAGAGAACAAUCAUCUUUAAACAUCAUCUUAUAGCUCAAUUUUAUCACAAAUCAAUAGAAUUGCACCUACAAAAGUAAAACACAAGUAAAUCAUUAUUAUUAAGUGCAAAACAUCGAUAUUAAGGGAAGUAAACAAUGCAAAACUAGUACAUAAAUUGCACUCUAACAACUUCCUAAUAAGUUAUUUAUAUUUCAUGAUCUUGAUUAGAUGAGGAAAUUAUUAUUAAUGAUAUAUCUUACUAUGUAAUUGUUGCAAUUCAUAAAGUAUGGAAGAGAAGGACGAGUAUCCGCAAAUGGAGAUGUUUAUAGUUUUGGGAUUAUGUUAAUGGAAACAUUUACUGGGAAGAAACCCACAGAUGAAAUGUUUAAUGGAGAAAUGACAUUAAAGCAUUGGGUUAAUGAUUGGCUACCCAUUUUCACUAUGGAAGUUGUUGAUGCUAAUUUGCUAAGUCAGGAGGACAUACAUUUUGUUGCAAAAGAGCAAUGUGUGUCAUUUGUCUUCAAUUUAGCUAUGGAGUGCAUUGUGGAAUCCCCUGAGCCAAGAAUCAAUCCAAAAGAAAUUGCAGCAAAACUCUUAAAAAUUAGAGACUCAUUACUUAGAAAUGUUGGAGGCAGAUGUAUAAGACAAUCAAAUUUAAAUUGAUUCUACCCCUCAUUCAUUGCUUGCUAUCCUUUUCAGAGACUUGAACAAUUAUCCUCCAUAGAAGUUUUGCUGAUAUGUUUUGUUAUUGCUCUUGCUCAUGUUUAUUUCUCUCUUUCUUUAAUUUGCAUGCGUGCAUUUUAGUUCUCUUCCAUGUUCGUGUUGGUUUAUAUGUAGUUUGUUUUUUGGGAUAUGGUUUAUUAUGGCCUCACCCUAAUUAGAUGUAUCCUUUUGAUUUUUAUCAAUAAAGCUUCGCUAGUACUAUCGAGGUUAAUCGAAAGAAAAUUUUCAAUUGAUUUUCUUUUCUUUGACUAGUACUGGAAAUUCUAAUCUUUAUAGUGAAUAACUUCAAUAAUAGAGUGUAAGAGUAUUAGUAGUUGUGGUUGUUUCUGAACCUAGAGUUAGAGUAGUUUAACAGCAACAAAUAGGUCUCUUGUAUUAUAGCCAAAAUUCUUUUCAUUAAUCUUAUUUGUCUACAUUUUCUCCUAUUUUCUUCUUUAAUCUUCGCUCAAGGUUUCAUGCUUCCAUUUUGAAAUGUGAGAUUGUUUGUCAUCCAUUUGAUAAAAUGGAUAUGAGAGGAGCUUUCAAUCAUUACCUCCACCAAAAUCCUUACAAUGCAACUUUUAAAUUUAUUUUUUAAAAUACGUUCAGUUUAAUUUAUAAAAAAUAAAUCCAUUUGUUAAAAUUAAUUUUUUUCUCAUAAAUUUCAACCUAAAAAAUAUAUUUCUUUUAAGUUUUUAUUAUAAAAUACAUACAAGUUCUAAACUAUUAAAUUAUUUUCUUCUUAUUAUAUAGUUUAUAUUUCCAUAACUCUAAACUCCUAUAAUUUUUAAAAAAUAUAUUUUUUAAUUUAAAAUAUGAAUAUAAAAUAUAGAAUGGAGUGGGUAUAAAAAGUUUUGUUAAAAGAAUAAUUCAUUCAAGUAUUUAGCUGAAUUUUAAUUUAAAAUAAGAAAUAAAUUAAUUUAUUUUUUAUUAGUUAAGUAAUUUCAAUUGAAAAAGAGCUUAUAUUAUGGACAUAUGAUUAAAAUUGUCAUGAAUUAAACAUUUUCAUAUAAAUACUAGUGAUAAUUACGGAGAAAGUACGAUGAACCAAAGAAAACUUGAAUAGAAAUACUCCAAUGUAAUUUUACACAUGCAAAUUAUGAACCAGUGAUCUUUAGAGCAUCAUAAAAUUAUUUUAACACAAUUAGUUAGUUUGGAAAAUUGCCAAUAAUGUUUAAAGUGGGAUUGAAAAGAUUAUACUACAAAUAUAAGACAUGAUAUCAUUUAAGAGCUUACAGAUUAUGAGAAAUAUAUUGAUCUUACAAAUAAUAUAAAAUAUGUCAAUUAGAUUGAGUCUAUGCAAUAAAAGUUUCAAAUUAAAAAAUAAACCUUUAUUUUCUUUUAAUCAUAAGUGUGAUCUUAAUUAUUAAAGUCAUUCAAUGUCCAUUACUUAUUCAUUUUUUUAAUUAUCUAAAUGACAUUGAAAACUCUACUCAAUAUUAAUUCAUUCUAGUGUUUUGUUUUAAAGUAAUCGAAAAUUGCAAAUGAAACAAAUGCUUGAAAUCACAAACUGCCUAAAAUUAGAUUUUUAUUUCUUAAUGUUUUAGUGACUUUGAUCUUGAUAUUGAAAAUUUAUUUGUAACUUAUAUAAAGGCCUCGAUUUUAUCAUAAUUGAUUAGUAAGGCUAUGUACGGGAGCAUGGAUAAAUUUUGAGAUUGGAUUAUAUUUUUGGAACUAAAAAAUUAAUUUCAUCCAAUGUUAUGUAUAGCUGUCGGGACUAGCAAAUUAGUCUAAAAUUAUUGAAAUUAUUAGUCUUUUACAUUAUAAUUUUUUCGUUCCCACUUUAAACGUUAUUGGUAACUUAAAUCAUUUUUUAAAUUAAAUAUAAAGUUAAUUUAAUUAAAUAUAAUUUAAUUAAAUAUAAAAAUUAAUUUUAUAAUUUUUUCACCUAGAAUUUUAUAGUAUAUUAAAUACUAAAAUUAUAUUCGAUAAUGUAUUAUCAUUUAUUUAAUAAAUAUUUAGGUUUAUUAGUGUAUCAUAUUAUUAUUUAAAUUAAUUUUUUAUUUUCAUAUAGACAUAAAUUAAUAUUUACUAAUUUAAAUUUAUUAUAAUUUAUUAAAUAAUAAAAGCUAAAUGAUUGUAUUUAAAAUAUAAAUUGUAUUUUAAUGUAUUAUAGCCUAAAUCUUACCCCUAUGAAUUUAUUUUAUCCAUCUUUUAUUGUAUUAACCACAUUUAUAAGGCAGUGCGAUGCAACCGAAAAUUAUAACCAAACAUGAGUUAGUAUGAAAAUAAUAUUUUAGUACAAUACAAUACAAUGUAAUAUAAGCAAACAAAUAGAUAUUUAAUUGAAGCAAAAAUUGCAUAUGGUUUGUCGUCUCUCAAAAGACAGCAAAGAAACCAAUAUGACACAUUGAUUUUGAAUUUGUUGUUUUUCGUGUUAUGAAAAGGAAAAUGCAGAAAACUUAUUUGGUGAGCUUAUUUUGGUGGAAAACUGUACAGUGAUUAAAAACAAAAAAAUUAUCAUUUUCCAAUGUUUACAAAGAAAACAAGAGACAUUUUAUUUCACUUUUACUCUCUGCCAAGGGUCUCACUAUCUUAACUUUUAUAAGAUAGUGUAAUAAAUUACGUGGGCCCAUUUAAUAAAGAAAUAAUCUAAUAAAUAAACUAAUAUAACAAAUAUUUAAAAAUAAUAGCAAUAGUUUAUUCCAUACCUUGCAGCUUAACUACUUAAUAGAUUACCCAAAUUGUUUUAAAUAAAAAGUAAUAUCAUAUAAUUAUUAUACUAAAUUAUUACAUUGUUCGACCCAAUAUGCAGUUAUUUAAAAAUUAUUACAAAUUUUCAUACACUAAUGAAAAUAUUUCAAUAAUAAAGUUACUUCUUGACAGCUAAUAUAAAUAAAUAUAUGAUAAUUAUGAAAUAAUUUAAAAUUUUCUCAAUUACUAUUAUCUUAUAAGUACAAUUUAUUUACAUAAUUAAAAGUUUUUAAGAAAUCAUUAAAAUAUCAUCGUACCUAUAUGCAUUUAUAAUAAUAUAUAAUACAUCAUAAUAUAAUAGCUAAAUAGAUAAAUUAUUUAAUGACAUAAAAUAUAUAUUUAUAUUCAUUGUAUUAUAUUAUUCUUUCAUAAUAAUUUCAUUAAAUAAUUCCCUAUUCUCUCUCUCUCUUUUUGUCUUCAUUUUUUCAGAUAAGCAACCAAACAUCUUUUCACCUUUUUUUAUUUUCAAGUACUGUUUUUAAACUAAGGUACCAAACAUGUUUUUAUUUUUAACAAAAACUAAUCAUUCUUAUUUCAUAAAAUAAAUUUAAAAACACUAUUUAAAAAAUAAUACCAAAUGCACCCUUAAAAACUAUGAGAAAUAUACUGAUUUUACAAAUAAUAUUUAAUAUGUCGAUUAGACUGAAUCUUUGGAAUAAAAAUUUCAAAUUAAAUACUAAACCCUUAGUUCCCUUUUAAUCGUAAUUAUAAUCUUAAUUAUUAAAGACAUUUUAUUUUGUGCUUGUCUUUUUUUAUUCACUUUUUUUUUAAUCAAAAAUAUUGCUCUGCAUGCAAGUCUUUGGUCGCGGGCCUAGGUGUCCCAAACAUCCAGCUGACAGCGACGUUUCCACUUUGAUUAUCCGCACUUCCCAGAAGUCGCAAGGAAAGACCGAUUGAGUAGUUUGAUUGGUUUGAAGAUUCAUGAGACUGCUUUUCACUAGAAUUCCACGGCCUCAUUCAUUUUUUUUUUUAAUAAUCUAAAUGACAUCGAACACUCUACUCAAUAUAAGUUUAUUCGAAUGUCCUGUUUCAACCUAAUCGAAAAUUGCAAAUGAAACAAAUGCUUGCUAUCACAAACAGCCAAAAUGGAAUUUUUGUUUUUCAUUGUUGUAAUGACUUUGAUCUUGAUGUUGAAAAUUUAUUUGUAACUUAUAUAAAGGCUCAAUUUUAUCAUAAUUGGUUACAUCCAUAUGCAGCUUAUAUAAUGUUUAUUACAUCCAUAUAAUCUUUCUUAUAUAAUGUUUUUGUUACAUCCAAGAGAAAGACAGUUACGCUUAGAUCAGUCUUAUUUAAUAGAAUUAUAGGAUAAUAAAAUUGGUUUAAAGAAAUGUGAUUCUUAACUCUUGUAAUUAAAGUUAGUGUUCUUUGAUUUUAGUGGUGUAGGGCUUAUAAGUCUAUGCAACAAUUCUUGGUGAGUUUGAUUCAAUAUACGAUCAUUUUCAGUUCUUUAAAGUCUCAUAAUUAAAAAUUCCGAAAUCAUAAUUAGAAUUUACAAACAAGUCAAAGUGAGUCAAAGCAAACCUAGAAAUUUAAGGUCUAUCAUAAACUUUUGACAAAUUAAAGUUAAGGUGAUUAAUUAAAUGCUAGACAAAACAAAACCUAUAAAUUUACCUUACCACAUGAUGAAGCUAUUUCAAAGAUCUCAAAUUACACACUAAUUAAUAAUUAAUCUACAUUUUUUUCCGUUGUAUAUCGUUGAAACUUCUAUCUUCACAACAUAUUGUUCUUAAUUGGCCAAAUGUAUUUUUGUCUAGAAAUUUGCUAUGAACAAAUUUCAGAAUUCAUCAGAGAUAAUACAAACAACUAAUGUAUUUAUAAUAUACAUAAUUAAACUUAAUAUAACCAUCACUUACAUGAUAGUUUUUCAAAAUAAAUAAACACAUAUUAUAACAUAUUUAUUUAUUAUAUAAUUAAUAUAGUACCUUUAAUAUAUUGUAGAAUUUCUUCUUCCUAUGUUACAGAAAAUGUAAGUAACGGACACUAAUUUAACAAGAAACGUAUAUAUAAGUUUGCCACGUGUAGUCUCAACAUGUGUGUAAAAACCGAAUUAACCGGUUUGCAUUCGACAACAAAGGAAAAUAUUACUUGUUGCUGAUCGAUUGCAUAAUAUUUUAAUUCGACAUGUCUGACUGCUUUGCCAGCUCGUGUGAUAAAAUGGAUAUGAGUGGAUCUUCAAUGCCUCCCGCAAAAUCCUUGUAACACCACUUCAAAAUUUUAUUUUCUAAAAUACACCGAGUUUAAAUUAUAAAAUAUAAAUCUGUUUAUAAAAAUUAAUCAUCUUUCCAUAAAAUUUCAACCUAAAAAUUAUUUUUCUUUUAAUUUUUAUUAUAAAAGGUAUACAAACUCUAUUAUUAAAUUGUUUUCUUCUUAUGAUAUAGUUUAUAUCUCUAUAACUCUAAACUUGUGUAAUUUUUUUUUAAAAAUAUUUUUCAAUUUAAAAUAUAAAAUGGCGUGGGUAUUAAAAAAUUUGUUAAAAGAAUAAUUUAUUUAAGUAUUUAACUGAAUUUAAAAUAAGAAAUAAAUUAAUUUAUUUUUGAUUAUUUAUGUAAGUUUCAAUUAAAAAAGAGUUUUAUGAGAAAUUGAGAGGGGAAAAUGAUAUUCUUAGUAAUAUUAUUAACAUAUGAUUAAAAUUCUUAUUAAUUAAACAUUUUCAUAUAAAAACUACUGAUAUUUAUAGAGAAAGCACAAUGAAGUGAAGAAAACUUGAAUAUACAUACUCCAAUAUAAUUUUACACAUGCAAAUUAUGAACCGAUGAUCUUUAAAUUAUCAUAAAAUUAUUUCAACAUAAGUAAUUAGUUUGAAAAUUUUCCAAUAAUGUUUAAAAUGGGAAUGAAAGGAUUAUACUAUAUAAGACACAAUAUCAUUUAAGGCGGCUUAGAAAUUAUGAGAAAUUUAUCGAUCUUACAAAUAAUAUUUAAUACGUCGAUUAGACUGAAUCUUUGGAAUAAAAAUUUCAAAUUAAAUAAUAAACCCUUAGUUUCCUUUUAAUCAUAAUUAUAAUCUUAAUUAUUAAGACAUCUUGUUUUUUGCUUGCCUAUUUUAUUAACUUUUUUUUAAUGAAAAAUAUUGCGCUGCAUGCAAGUCUUUGGUCGCCGGCCUACGCGUCCCAAGCAUCCAGUUGACAGCGAGGUUUCCACUUUGAUUAUCGGCACUCCCCAGAAGUCGCAAGGAAAGACUUGUUCGAGUAGUUUGAAGAUUCAUGAGACUGCUUUUCACUAGAAUUCCACGCCCUCAUUCCUUUUUUUCUUUUUUUUUUUUAAUUAUCUAAAUGACAUCGAACACUCUACUCAAUAUAAAUUUAUUCGAAUGUUCUGUUUCAACCUAAUCAGAAAUUGCAAACGAAACAAAUGCUUGCGAUCACAAACGGCCUAAAUGGGAUUUUUGUUUUUAAAUGUUGCAAUGACUUUGAUCCUGAUGUUGAAAAUUUAUUUGUAACUUAUAUAAUGGCUUCAAUUUUAUCAUAAUUGGUUUCUAAUGCUAUGUUAGAGGGCAUGGAUAAACUGUGGGAUUAGAUUAGAUUUUAGGACUAAAAAAUUAAUUUCAUCCAAUGUCAUAUUUAGCUGUCGUGACUAAUAAAUUAGUCCAAAAUUAGGAUAAGAUUUAUAAUAUUAAAUGAAAUAUUUUUGUUCUCUUUAUCACUCUUUUCUUUUUCAUUUAAAUUGAAUAUAAACAGUAAUUUCAUAAUUUUUUAUGUAGAAUUUUAUAUUAUACUAAAUAUCAAAAUUCUAUUCAAAAUUUAUUUUAAGUUGUAUUUACUUAAGAUUAAUUAUCUAAAUUUAAUCCAAUAAUUUAGUUGAUCUAGUAUUGAAUAUUAAACAUUAAAAAUUAUUCGAUUAUUUGUUUAAAAUAAAAUUGAAUAUUAAAUAUUGAAAUAAUUAUUUAAUAGCAUAUUAUAUUAUUAAUAUAAUUAUUAAUAAGAAACAUAUCAUUUAUUUGAUUACUAUUUAAAGAUAAACUUAAAUACUAUUUAAAAUCAUUUAAAUUUAACUUAAUAUAAUCCAAUCUAAAAUUGUACCAGACAUGCAUAAUACUAUAUAUAAUUCAGUCUAAUCCAAUUCAAUCUUAAUAAAUAAUACAAUCUAAUCUUGUGAGUCAAAAUUGGCCUAAGGUUACCAAUUGUGCAAUAAUCUUUAUAGCCCGUUUCCCAGCCACACACCCUUUUGUAUUAGUAUUCUCACAGCCGUUGGAAAUAUGGCUCGUAAUCUAACAAAUGACAUUAUACGGCUGUUACUUGCUAGUUUUUGUAAGGUGGCCAAGGCCUUUUAUCAAACACUAUAGGCCUUUUAGUGCUGAGCUAACAGAUUAGUGCUGUCUAUUUCUACAAACACAGAACUGCUAUUUGUUUGUCUAUCCCGUGGUCUCUUCGUUUAUUGACUUGAACUGUGAUAACUAAGGGGGCAUUCCUUUCUUCAAGAGAGUACUACCCAAUGGAGACGUUAAGUAUUAUUUUGUUUUUUUUUCGAAAUAAUAAUGAGUCAUAGUCAAUUGGAUUGAAUUAAUAAUGUUUGUGUCUGUGUGGUGUAAAUUGUAUAAGAAUGGAAUUUUUAUACAUAAAUAUAUUUCUCAUUCAAACUAACGCGACCAUAUUUUAACAAAUAAUUGUCUUGUAUUUCAUAUUAUUUAUUUUAUUAUAUUAUUUUCAUUUUAAUAUAUCAUCACGCUACUCUUCCCCAGUUUUCAUAUACACCAUAUCUGUUUGUGUGAGAUUAAUUUGUACACACUACAAAAAAGGCGGCCUGAUGCGAGGCCGGAUUUGACGAAUAUCUGAGCCGACGUAAAUGAUGAUCGUCUGUCGGUAAUUUGAUUACCUUUCCGUACUUUAUCAAUCAUUGAAUGAUUUUACUGGUUUAAUCGCUUGAUUGUUUGAGUAUGAUCGGUAAUUUGAUCGUCUGUCAGCAAGUGAUUCACCAUUCACUCUCCAAUUUUCAUUAAUUUAGUGUAGCAAAGCUUUAACUAGACAGGUAGAUAACGUGGUCAUGAAAACAUGAUUAAGAGUUUAAUGCAAUCAAAUCUACUUUAAUGAUUAUUUAAUGCACGGAGAUUUAACAUCAAUUAUCAUCACGUUAUUCUAACAACGAAAUUGCAGAGCUUGGAUCUUUACUCGAACAGUUUCACUGGCACUAUUUCUGACACAUUGGGCAAGCUGAAGGAAUUGCAAUUCCUGUAUGAUCAUUUCCCCAACUAUUAUUUGAAUAAUUAUUUAAUGCCGUUCAUUCCAGCUCUGUUUGGCUGUUAACUUUAUUUAGUUAUUUAUUUAUGAGGAGAUUCAUUUCUCACUUGAAUCUAGAAAUUUACGGAUCAAUGACAUUUUAUUUUUUCUUUUAUAUGACAGCUUGCAAUCCCUGGUGUGUACUCAUAGUGCCUUACAUGAAUAAAAAAAUGAUUUUUUUUUUUUUGGGGGGACAAUUGCAGUUCUGAUAACAACUAAAAUCUGUGUGGUCCGGUUACCAGAAAGCCUUGCCCCAGGUCUCUGCCAUUUUCUCCUCCACCUCCAUUUGGGGAAACUAAACUAUUUACUUUUUGCAAGUUUUUCUUGAAAUAUAUAUUUUUGAGAAGAAAACCAACAAUACAUUUUAUGAUUUGGGCUGUUUCAAAGAUCUUUGCUUGAUAUCUCUGCUACUGGUUUUCAGCAGAGCGCCCAAAAUAAUCAGUGCACGCACCAUAUGCUUUAUUAUUAUCAGCAAAAAUCACUGCUGAUAUGUUGGGAUCGACUUUUUUAUUUGGGAGAGGAAGCAUGCUUGAAAGAGUAGAGCGGUGCAUCUUGUUCAAACAUGCACCGUAGAGCCAAUUCCAUUUUAUGAAAUAGGAGUUAGACUGAACAACGUUAUGUCUUCAUUAUCAUUUCAGGAGGAAAUAGAUCAAAUACAGCAAUUGCUGUAGGAGUUGAUGUUUGUGCUGCUAUAUUUUCUUCAGACUCUCAUACCAAGGAAAAAUUUAGCUUCAAAGAAUGGUAUGAUGCUUUGAUUUAUGAAGUAAUUGUUAUACAUUUUGUACCUUCCAUACAUUUUGCUCUGUUAAUAUUAUUAUUUGAUAACAUGCUUGUCGAGUUGCACAGCGUUUAGAAUUUUGAGAUUAAAUAGAGUAUAAAUGCUAUCCAAAUGCACUCCUUUCAUUUUAUACAACUUUGAUUGAUCAUUGUUUCUAAUUUACCUCAGGCAUCAAUGGAGUCUGUCCGAGUCUCCUUUGCUGGGAAAUCAGUCAAAUGACAGCACAGGUGCAUAUAUUCCAAGAGCCAGUAAUGUAAUAGCUCACAAUUUAGCAAGACUAGCUUUGGAGCAAUCUGAAGUUGUACUUUGGAUGGAUAAUAUUCCAGCCCAACAUUUGUAUUUAUUCACUAGUUUUUUUUUUUUUUUUGAAGAGAAAGUAAAGCUUUCUAACUAAACAAACUUAGACAGUAACAAUAUGAUUUGAACUGGAAAGUCCUCCAGCCAAACUACAGGGCUUUCAAAAUCUAAGGCUACUUUGGCCAAUGAGUGAGCUGCUACAUUACAGUUUCUAGGAACGAAUUGAAUUGAUGCUCUGCUCUGGUUCUUUAGACAUGCUUGAAUCUCUUCCACUGCCCAGCAAAUUUCUGCCAUGCUGCUCUUCCUUUGCAGUGAUAGCUCCACCACUUCUAAAGAAUCUGACUCUAUAAUGAUUGGAUUACAUUUUGCUUGGCAGGCAACUUGAAUUCCAAACAACACGGCUUCCGCUUCCAUACAAGCCACAUCACCUCUGAAUCCAGUGCUCUGAACUGCUGCAGCCAAAAUUUUCCCGCUUGAAUCUCUAACCACUACACCUAGCCCAGCCUUCGAAUCUGCCAUUUGAAUUGCUGCAUCCACAUUCACUUUAUACCAACCAAUUGGAGGGGGAUUCCACACCUGUUGAUUAUUAUUGUGCUGACUUGGAACAACUUGGACAUUUGGACACUUAAUUCUCAAGUACGACUCUACAGUUGCUGCAGCCCCGGCUGCUGUCAUUUGGGGAUCUUCUUGCUUACCUUCAUUUACCACUCUAUUUCUUGCAUACCAGAUAGCCCAACAAGUUGCAAUUAUCAGCCCCAAAUCAUCUUUUUUCCUCUUCCCGGCUAAAUCUUGAAGAAUACUCAGCAUAUCCUGGUGAGCCAUUAGCUUUAUAUCCUCAUAAAAUUCUGUCAACUUCCACACCUUCCUAGUAGCUCUGCAUCCCACCAAUGCAUGAAAGACAUCACUAGUUGAAUGCUUAAAAGGGAGACAUUUUUAUCAAAAAAAGAAAAAAAACUUCAAUUGAGUUGCUAUCUAUUUAACUUUGGCAAGUGAGAGAGAGGGAUGGGACUGUCCAAUUAAAAUUAAGUUUCAAAUGGUAAUCCCAUCAUUGUCGUCUCAUGUUUGUCAAAUUCAAAUUUGAAAAUAUCACCAUGUUUGUAUGGUGAUGUUGUGGGAUUGUCUCGCCUAGGCUUUUAGCCUUACGACCUCCUUUAUUAGAAAAAAUCUUUGGUGUUCUUACUCAAUGGUAGAAUCAAAAUUUUACUUCAAUGGAAGCCAUAAUGAUUAAAAUAUAUUCUUAUUAAAUUUGAUCAAUUACUUAUUUGAUGUUGCUCUCUCUAUCUACAUCUCCUUCUUUAUGAAAAAAAUUAUUGUAAUACAUGAAAGUAAAUAUUGCAUUGAAUAAAAUGAAAUUGUUCAAAAAUUAACAAAUUCAGCUUUAUUAUAAUCUAAAACAAAGUAAAUAGAAUAAUAUCCAUCAUGUAAAAAUAAAAAAAAAUUGUACCACUUUGAAUCUAUUUUAAUUUUUUUGGUCAAAUCUCAAAAGCACAAACCUUGAACGAUAAUAAUAUGUAAAAGCUAAUAAUCUUAUAAUAAAAAGUAAGAAAAAAAUAAAAUUGAUUUAGCAUGUAAGAAUAAAAAAAGAAAAAUAGAAAGAGAGAGAAAUUAGUUUAGGCUUUAAGCAUUGUUAAGUUCGGAGAAAAAUAAUAAUUAACUAAGAGUAAUUUUAUGACUUUUUAGAAAUGAGUGAAUUAAAAUAAUAAGUUAAAAUUUAAUAAUUAUCUUAAUUAAAAAAAUAGGUAUUGAAAUAAAAUUAGUGGAUUCAAAUAGCCCACCCAAAAUCUAAACUUGCAUACCAAUUAUUUUCUAAUUUACAUAAAGUUUUUCUUUAUGUUUGAUAACACUUGUUUCUCAAUUGGUCUAACGGAGAAACAACCAGCUAAAAAAUAAAAUGAAUGCAAUUAAAUGGAAAUUUGAAAAAGAGCAGUAUGUCACGGGAUGAGUGUUUUGCGCAGCUAACCCGUGCGGCACUUAGACAACUUUGCCGAAUGUUGCUAAGUAAGCCUAGAGCUUCUCGAACUAGAGAAGAGAGCAAUUGAGCCAAAGAAGAAAACUUGUAUUGCACAAAGAGAGAAUACAAUGCUUGAGUUGCUUACAAAGCUUGUUGGAUACAAAUGCCUAAUGCCAUCCCAUAUUUAUAGGGGAGGCUUGCCAAGCUCUAGAGAUUCUAGAGAAUUCUACCACUUCCUAGCUAUUUACAUGUGCUGGAAUUCUAUGGAGAAUUCUAGAGUUGCUUAGAACUUUCCGGAAUUGAGCCAAGCUAACACUCUUGGCCUUGUGUUGGCUCUCUAGCCCAAAAUUGUGAGCAAUUGGGCUAGCGAUUUGGGCGGUCCGCAACAAGUAGGUGACAUUUUUGUGCAAGCAAAAUUGCAUUCUGUUUGUGGGAUCCUGGAAAAAGUAAAAGAGAAAACACAGAAUGACACUGAUAUUGUGUUCUUUAAUAUUUUUCUAGUUGCUUCCAUGGCAGAUUCUCAUUGGUCCAUUUUUCUUUACGCCUUAGAUUCUAUGAUUCAAUUUCAAUCAAAUACCACAACCAAAAGAAGCUUUUAAGCCUGCAGCUGAAAUAGAUGGCACUUUAAUUUUCAGCUGAACAUAUAUAUGGUAAGAUUAUUAUUAGUAUCGAGCUUGAUGAGGCUAUAGAAAAUUCAAUAUCGAGAUCGGAUAAGGGUCCAAUAAAUUAUAAAAAUAUUGCAGCUCAAAGCCCAUAUGAUCAUGGGCCACUACUUGCUCAUGCUUUGAAUUAAAAUUUUCUAACGAAGUGACGUUGGAAGCCGAAAUGGGCACAUGAUGAAAUGGUGUUCAUCAUAUAUUGAGCCCAACGGGACAAGAUCAUCAUUUAAUUGCCUCCUCCACUUGUCGAUAGAUAUUUGCCGAAUUUUUCUAUUUAAAAAAAUAUUAUACUGGUCAAUAUAAUUAGAAGUUUUACAAAAUAUAAAUAUAAUUUUAAAAAAAUUUAUAUUUGUUAAUUUAAAAUUUUCAUUUGGUGGUUAUGUUUGAGAAAAAUCUUAGAGAUACUAAGAUAUACUCUCUUAUUAUUUAUUAAAUUUAGGUAUUUUGACAUAUUAGUAUUCAGUAUUUUUUGGUAAUUAGCUGAGAAGUAUAUGUGACAAAAAUUUAACACAUGAAAGAAUACACAUCGAGAUUAUCUAAAAUUUUCCAUUGACUUAGUCAACUCUCCAUUAAUUUCAUUGACUUGGUCAACUUAUGAUCUAACUUGACAACUUGAAAAUUAAAUUAUGCUAGUACUUUUGUAAAAUUAAAAUUUAUCUUCCAAAAUUGAUAAAUACCGUGUCACUUUGUCAAAUUACUUAGGGUAAAAGUUCUAUAGCUAAAACAUUUAAGAUGAGUUAUAUGCUAAUUGAGAAGGACAAGACACAAAAGAAUUCAAUGGGGCAAAACUAUGUUACAACUGUGGUAUGGUACCACAGUUGCUUUCAGUCGGUAGAUCCACAGUUGUACAGUUACAUUAGUUAGAUCUAAUGGUUGAAAGUAACUGUGAUACCAUACCAUAGUUGCAACAUAGCUGGACCCAAUUCAAUGAAUGCCACGUUAAGUAACGUUGCUUACUCUUAACAAAUUAUUACAAACGUGAUUCAUGAAACUUGACUUUGUGUAUAAAGACGACCUAAAGAAACAUGCCAGGGCAACAAAUAAAGUAGUCCAAACGUGAUUCAUGAAAACUUGAUAGGCACUAUUUAAAUAGUAUUAAUAUGGCAACCAAAAACAUGCGAGCAAAGUAGACUUUCUUGGACGAUCCAUGCCAAUCAACAAAUAAAGUAGCCCAAACGUGAUUCGUGAAACUUGACUUUCUGUCUAAAAAGGCCUAAAGAAACAAGAUCAAAAUUCCAUGCAGAAGCAAUAUGGUGGGCACAAUGCACUAUUUAAGCCAUUUUUCAAAACUAAGUUUCUUCUUUUUCACAUGCACUAUUCAAGCAAUUUUUCAACAUUUUCUCAUUCCCCUAAAAGCUAACACGCAUGCGUGAAUCAUGUGCCAAUCAAUUUCUUGGCAAAAAUUGGAACGCAAGAACCGGUUCGAGCAUAGGGACAUUUUCACGAUUCAAGAUUCUCAGCAAGACGGCGAGACCAACGUGCAUCACUUUUGGAAAGUAAUUUAGCAAGUUCCAAUGCCUUAGCUGAUUAAUGGCUUGACCAUGUCACGAUUGGUCCCCUAAAAGCUAACACGCAUGCGUGAAUCAUGUGCCAAUCAAUUUCUUGGCAAAAAUUGGAACGCAAGAACCGGUUCGAGCAUAGGGACAUUUUCACGAUUCAAGAUUCUCAGCAAGACGGCGAGACCAACGUGCAUCACUUUUGGAAAGUAAUUUAGCAAGUUCCAAUGCCUUAGCUGAUUAAUGGCUUGACCAUGUCACGAUUGGUCCACAUUAUGCACAUGGCAAGAUCAAACAAAAUAUCACAGCUGGCUCGACGACUACCAGCCAAAAUAAGAAGACAAUUACGGCCAGUUACAUCAUUAUUGCUAGUAAACUCUUUACGAAGGAAAUGUGAAUAUCCCUCCUAAUCACUUUCUUAUAUUAUCAUUAUUUUGUACAUAUGACAGAACAUGUUCUCCCAUGUAAAGAAGUCAAGAAAAUGGUUUUAGUUUUCACAUCAAUAAUGGAAUCCAAAAUCUUUCACAGCUUGCUUCUCCUUUGGACGCUUGAAAAACUUUCUUACCUGGCUAAAACUGUGAGAAUUGUUCAAACUAAUUUGAUUGAUAACUUUCAGACACAAAAAUGUAUAUGAAUGCUACAUUUAAAUGUGAAACAAAAAGGAGUACUUAUAUUAAAAAACAAUCAGUCUCAUUGCGUCCUCUUCCAUUGACAUAGGCAAUUUGCGGUCAACUUGUGGCACCCUUAUUGACACGUAAAUAACUUACUUACCCUGCAGCCAAUACUUUUAUGAAUUUUUAGGGUUGGUAAAUUUUUCAAAUUUAAAAGAAAAAGUACAGAAAUAUAAUUUCCAUUUAUCCAGAAAUUUGAGUUUCAAGGAACAUAGCAUUUAUGUUAAUAUAGAGAAGAAAUUUUUUAAAAAAAAAUUGAAUGAAUAAAAGUAUUUUUUGAUAAAUAUUUGACAAUCAUAUUUAAAAAAAAAAGUUUUUUUAAAAAAAAAAAUUCACUCUUCCUACAUAAUUUAAUAAUUUAACAUUAUAAAUUAAUCUUUUUAUUCAAAGUAAUAAUCUCUCCUUCGGUCUGCAAAUGCUAAAAUUUAAUAUUAUACCAUAUGAUGUAAUAGCAAAUCUGCAUGAAAUCUGCAUUUAGUCAAUAACUAUGAAAUAUCGAUACGUGUUUGAAAAAACUCUUAAAAAUCGGUUUCCACCUUCAUUAUUAUAGCUCUUGUAUAAACCAACUUGGCAACAUAUGAUUGAUUAAUAUAAGAAUAAAUAUUUAUUAAGUGGGUUCUACCAUGUUUUUAAUUCACCUAAUGAUAAUAUGUCACAUCAAUUUGUACAACAAUAUUUGUGACUAUAUCAUUACUCGUUAAUUAAUAUGAACACUAAUUUAUUCUUCUUGAAAGAGAAUUACUGCAGCGAGGUUUGAGGCUCAAAGAGUUCUCAUUUAGCCAAACAUAAGAGAUGAGAGUUCACAGGAGACGUAAUUUGGAAAAUCAAUUCCAUCCAAUAGGCAAUAGGUCUCAGUGGGUUUGACUCAGUAUACGAUUAUUUUCAAUUUUUUAACGUCUUGUAAUUACAAAUUCCGAUAUCACAUUAUAAUUUUCGAACAAAUCAAAGUGAGUCAAAUCAAAUUUAGAAAAUUGAGAAAUUUAAGAUGAUUAAGUAAAUGCUAGACAAAAUCUAACUUGUAAAUAUACCUUACCACAUGAUGAACGUACUUAAAGAUCUUAACUGAUUGCUAACCAAUUAAUUGUUGUUUUACAAUUUUUAUAUAUCCUUUCUUUUCCCUAAAACUUCUAGUUUCCUAACAUAUUGUUCUCAAUUGGUCUAAUUAUAAUAUAAUUUUUUUAAAUAUAAAUAAAAUGAAUUUAUUUACUGGAAAUUUGAAAAAGAGGCACUUAUCUAUGCAAGCAAAGUUGCAUUCUGUUUGUGGGGACCUUAAAAAAAAGAAAAAAGAAAAAAGCAUAAUGACACACUGAUGACGACAAUCCUGAAGUAUUUGUUUUCUUUAGUUACAGUUUGGUUUGAAUGGUUAAGUUCAAGUUCGAAUUUUCUUUACGUAAUUUAAAUUAAAAUUGAUAGAACAAAUGGGCUGAUCAGUAAGAUGAUGAAGAAGAAGAAGAAGAAGAGGGGAUGUCUUUGAGGAUGAAGAGAAAGAAAGUUCUCGAAUAAAAAUCCGGCUUUAUGGAAAUUAAAUUAAAAGCUAUUAAGCAUUGUAAAUUACUUAACAGAUUAAUGCUGAGCUAAUCAAGUUUGUUUCUGAAGAUGAUACCUUUAAAUCUCUUGUAGUUAAAGAUAAUUAUCAUAUCACCAUAUCAAAUGGACCGAAUUCAAUCAAGUGAAAUCUAGAAAAUAGAGCAGCUCAUAGAUGUACGUGGCUAAGUCGGGGUUCAUUUGGAAGUACUUGGUCGAAUUGCGACUUGCAUCGGAGGCUUCGUUUUAGAAGAGUGCAGAGCAGCCGCCUUGUCCAUUUGGCACGCCAACGACUUUCUAUUGACCAAUAAUUUUGAAAGCGAUAUUAUUAAUUUACCAUCUAAUAUAUUUAUGAUAUUAUCAUUUUACUAUAAUAUUUUUUUGAUAUUAUCAUUUUACUAUCAAAGUUUUUUGACAAUUAUUUUGUUCACUUAAUGUUUUAGUUUUUGUUAUUUUACUAUCAAAAAAUGGUAAACGCACCCCUAGUAUCGGUUAUACACAAAAAUGGUUACCGAACUGUCUUGUUUCUCAUUUUGUUUAAUUUUCAUAAUUCGACUCACGAUUCAAACGUAGGUGAAGAGGUCUUUUGGGAAAAAUCUGGUCUUCCAUUUACUAGAAUAAGCUAUGUGUGAUUGUUUGACCGCAUAUGGCUUUCUGUCCAUCAGCUAAUGCAUAUUCUGCAUUUUAUGAAUAUCAGAGCUGGUAGAUUGAAAAAUGGACCUUAUUACAUGUCAUAAGAUACUUUGCUCAAAGCUGCAAUUGGGCAACGCCGUGCUGUUCGUAUCGGCCAAGGCAAGCCAUUUACUAUUCUUUCUAAUGGAGCAAAAUACGAUGAUUCUUACCUGCGUAGAGAAUUAGAAAAGAAAAGGAGGAUUACUGAUCCACAGAGCUGUCAUUUACUAGAAGCACAUAAAAUCUUACACUUAAUUCAUUAACCAUAUGUAAUGUUCUAAUGAUACUUAAGUAUUACAUAAAUUAGCCUUUCAAAAUUUCACUUCGAAAAAAUCCAAGGUUGUGAUGUGUCUGUAUAAAUUCGCUAAUACAAGUUCUCUCUAUUCCCAAUUGUUUUAAACUCUGUUCUGAACAGAGCAUGAAAGGAUAUAUUCGUUUAUCUAGUUAUAUUUUUUAUGCUCUCACUUCACUUGAUUCACCUUCUCCAUCUUUUAAAACAGUUGUAUAUGUCGGAGUAUCAAGUUCAUCACAAGGAUCAUAUUAUGGCCUAAGGAAGGAGCACAGUUUAUUGUCUGCACUCAAGCUUAGCAGAGUAUUUUGGGAUUCAAGAGUGUUAGUAGGCCGUUACAGAUGCCAUGCUGGCAAGCGUGCUAUGACUGAUUGCUAUUUGCACGUAAAAUUUGCCCAAAACAAAUAGAAUGAGAAUACUUGUACAAAAGGAUAAGAUUAAUAAAGUGAAUAAAUUUUAUCUUUUAGUGAAUGCUUCUUGUCUUUUAGAAUUUCAGUGCAUUUUCGUGUGUAAUUUUAUGUGCAAAUAGCAUUACUCAUUAGUAAUUAGUCUAGAGUGUUCUAAUUUCUUCUAAUAAGUAGCUGAUUUGAGCUUAAGACUUGUAUUUUAAGUUUUUAUUACUUUCUAAUAAAGAUUUUCUCCGUUCUUUUUUACUUUCACUUUCUCUUCCAUUUUCCCGACUCCCAAACACCACCAAUCCUUGAUUUUCUAGAGUAUAGCUAUGCAGUUCUACAAACACGAAACUGCUGUUGGUCCAAUUACUUUCAAGAAACAACGUACUCUGUGGUUUAUUGACUUGUGACAUGGGCAAAUUAGUCACGGUCCGAUUGUCUCCUCUUCCACUUACUGUCAAUUCAUGACUUUGGCACACAGUAGACGCCAGCUGCCUGCUCCAUUUGACGUGCAAAAAACUUUCUUGAGUCAUGUAGUUAAGAGAGACUUAAUUUUGAGAAGUGCAAGAGAUUGGUGGGACUCAUUUGAUUCAAGAAAAACAAUCAGUCUCAUUUGAUACGCAAAGAGCUUUUCAACUCUGCAGCCAAUAUUUUGAUGAAUGAGACAUUACUGGUUUGUAUAAUUUUUUGGAUAUUAUCUCAAUUUUACUUCUGUAGGUUUGUGGUUUGUAUAUUACCUCAAUUUUUAAAAAAAUGUAAUUGCAAUUAUCAAACACGACUAAUCCCAACAAUUUAUCCAAAAAAUUUUGUUUCAAGAAAUGUAGCAUUUAUGAUAGAAUGGCUAAUUUUUUCAAUCGACUUUCUGGAUAAAUGAUAAUUUUUUGAUAGAAAUGUUAAUUACUUAUUACAGGAAGAAAAUUAUAGAAUAAUUUUUUGAAUUAAUAGUAUUACUUUACGAUAACACUAUCACAAUCUAAUUUUUUUAAAAAUAAAGUUAUUCUUUAAAUUUCGCAUUACUAUUCCUACUUUUCUUGUUAUACUACUUAAUGGCAAAAAUAGUUCAUACGAUAAAAUGAGUACUUAUAUUAAAAAAAACAAUCGGUCUCAUUGCGUGCUCUUUCAUUGACAUAGGUAAUUGGCGGUCAACUUGUGGCACUUUUAUGAAUUUUCAAGACUGGUGAAUUUUUCAAAUUUAAAAGAAAAAAAUACAGAAAUGUAAUUUCAAUUUAUCCAAAAAUUUGAGUUUCAAGGAAUACAGCAUUUAUUAUAUGUCAUGUUAAUAUAGAGAAGAAAAAUUUAAAAACUUCUUUUUGGAUGAAUAAAAGUAUUUUCUGAUAAAUAUUUCACAAUCAAAUUUAAAAAAUUUCACUCCUCUUGGUACAUAAUUUAAGAAUUUAACAUUAUAAAUUAAUCUUUUUAAUCAAAGUAAUAAUCUCUCCUCGGUCUGCAAAUGCUAAAAUUUAAUAUUAUAUCCAUUGACAAUAUUUGCUCCCAAUUCACGAAAAUAAAAUUUCUAACAGAAUUAUGAAAUUCGUUACUAGAAAAUUGUAUAAAAGUUGUGAGAAUAGAAGGUUUGAUCAUAGGAAAUUAAUAUAUCCCUAUCCGAUGCAAAAAUGAUUGUAAAGAAAAAAUUACAUUCCAUUUUCCAGUUAUUAAAAUAAUUCUAAAAUUGCUAGGAUCACAAAGGAUAGGCUUUGGUUGACUGAGGUCAGCCUUAACGCAUGCCGGUCUUUUUCUCCUCUACAUUCUUAGAAAUUUUGGUUUCACUAUAAAUACACGGUAUAUAGCAAACUUAUAAGUGUUCUUGCAUUACCAAUCCAAUUAAGCACACACUUACAAUCUAAAAUACUCUCAUCUCAUGGAAAGGCUUCAUUCUCUAAGCAUUAUGAGCAGAUUUCUCUUACUCCAUUGUUUGAUUCUUAUUUCCUUAUUUAUCGCUGCAGCAACAGCCAACACAAGUUCUACUAUCACAGACCGAGAUGCUCUGUUAGCCCUGAAAGCUCGCAUAACUCAUGAUCCGACCAAUUUCUUGGCCCAGAAUUGGAACACAAGUACUCCUGUCUGUAAUUGGACAGGCGUCGCUUGUGAUGUCCAUAGCCAUAGAGUCACAGUCUUGAAUAUUUCAAGCUUAAAUCUCACAGGCACCAUCCCUUCUCAACUUGGGAAUCUUUCUUCUCUGCAAUCACUCAAUCUCAGUUUUAACCGACUUUCUAGUUCCAUUCCCUCCGCCAUCUUCACCAUAUACACACUUCAAAAUGUUAGUCUCCGUAAAAAUCAGCUCACCGGCACUUUCCCUUCUUUCAUCUUCAACAAGUCUUCUUUACAACAUCUUGAUUUUAGUUUCAAUACAUUGUCUGGUGAAAUUCCUGCCAAUAUUUGCAGUAAUUUUCCUUUUCUGGAAUAUCUUGCUUUGUCCAACAACAUGUUUCAUGGAGGAAUACUGUCCGCUCUAUCAAAUUGCACAUAUUUGCAAAAAUUAGAUUUGGUAUACAAUGAUUUCUCGGGAGCCGUACCUAGAGAAAUCGGUAAUUUGACCAAACUUAAGGAAUUACAUCUUGGCCGCAACAGAUUCCAAGGUGCGUAUGAUCACGGAGUUUAUGAAAAUUGUUCCACAAGUUGUAAUAUGUAUAAUGUUCCAUAAUACAAUUUACACACGUUGAUUAAUUUGCAGGAGAAAUUCCUCGAGAGUUUGGCAAUCUUGCCGAAUUGGAGCAGAUGUCGUUGGCAGAAAACAAUCUCCAAGGCAUGAUUUUAAACUUUUUGCAAUUUUAUUCUGUAUUCAUUCGUUUGUUCAUUAAUUAUGCUAUGAUUUAUUGUUUUUCUUUCAGAUAGAGAUAAAGCUCCAUGUCUCCCCUCACUCAUUUCAUUCUUUGAUUUAUGCAGAUAAAAAUAAAAAAAUGUUUUGCAAUUUUCUUUUGUCAUAUUGCCACUUCCAUUUUGAAGCUCCCAAUUAAGUCGAUGAAAAUGAAUGAUGUUUCAUUCUUAUUCUUGUCAGCCUAAUUCUUAUAUAAUUGAAGAGUAAAUUGUUAUUAUGAUAUUCGUCAGAAAAUAAAUUCUUUUUUUUUUCCACCCAAAUAUGAGUGAUCAAAUUGUUUGCGCAUAUAUAAAUGUACUUAAUUUGCAGGAGGUAUUCCACAGGAAUUGGGGAAUCUUGCAAAAUUGAAGACGUUACAGCUGUUCCAGAAUAACUUGACCGGUAACCAUCUUUACAAUAUAUAUAUGAGACAUCUUCCGCUUCUUAAUAAAUAGAUGUCAAGUCUCUCAUUAUAAAUUCUCACUAUCUAACAUCAUUCCGUUUUUUAUUAGAAAUUAGUUUAUGUUAAUUCAAAAUUCUGCAGCAUCUAAAAAUUAAAAACACGUGGAAUAAAUAAUCAAUCUUUCUUCUUUACUGAAUUUGGAUUUCUCAAAAAUUAUCUUGACAAGUAUGCUUCACUAAUGAUAUGCAUGUGUGACAACUUCAUAAAAUAUUUUACAUGAAAUCACUAAUUAUCUUUAAAUGUGUAUAUGCUUUUAUGUAUUAUUAUUCUUUGAAACAAAUCUGAUUAUAAUUCUUUUAAAAUACAGAUGAAAUAGCAAAUCGGAAAAUAUUUUACUGCGAUAAGAAUUCAUAUAUUCAUUGUAGUAGCACAUAUAAAAUAGACUAAAUUUUGUUCCAAAAUACAUUUUUAUCUUCAUAUAAAUUUUACAUUAUUAAUUUAAAUUAAUAUUAAACUAUGUUAUUUCUUUCACUAUAUUAUUUUAUUUACACAAUGAUGUGACUAUUGGAAUUAAUAAUACUUAUAAUUACUUUGUAAAAAUAUAAAUUUAAUACUUUGUUAACAUUUUAUCUACAUAUAACAAUUAAAUUGAAAAUUGUAUUUAAAAAUUUUUAGCUACGCAUAUUCAUUUCAUGAUAUAAAAGUGUAUAUUUAUACUAAUUUACCAUUAUCCAUAAAAUGUUUUGAGACAAAUAAUCUAAUUUAUAUUUGUAUAUUUAAAAUACUUGCAUUUAUUAUAUUUUUAAAAAAAAAAUAUUUGUAAUGAUUUUAAACCAUUGGAUUCAAAUUUUUGUAGUUAUUAAAGUCGAAGGGUAUAAAUGUAUAAUAGUUAAAAACAGAUUUGUAUGAUCAUUUUUCAAUGUAUAAAUUUUCUUUGUUAGUAGGAAAAUUACAAAUUGUUGAUUUACUCAUAAAUAAAUUUAAUGUUUAGCAUUUCAAUUUUGGAAAACUUGAACUAAAUGUUGAUAACUUCGAAUCGGUCGAGCCGAGUUUCACUUCCUUGACCCACGGACCCAUUGAAAGUUCUAUUCGAAUUGAGUUUCCCAGUGCUUAUAAAAAGCAUUUCUUUUCCUUGUCGCAGUAAUUUAUUCACAAAUGAGUUGAUUAGCAUCGAAGUUACCUAAGAGUCUGAGACCAUGCUAGUAGGAGAAAUUUGAAAAGAAAUUAUUUUACUGAAUUAAUUUAUUUUAUCUUGUUGUUGUAACUGAAAUACUACUUUUUUUUUUGGGCUAUCACUGGUACUUGAUUUACUUUAAUAGUAGCAGCCACCGACUUAGGCGUUUUUUACUUCUCACCACACAAUUUGAUCUUUUAAUUCGUUUUAACCACAUAAUCUAUCUAUUUCUCACCUAUUGCUUACUUAAAUUGCAUACAUAUUUUACCUAGUAAUUUUUAUAAAUAUUAGUCAAAUAUAUUUUAUUACGUUUCUCUCGUAACUGCUCCAAAUGUGUACUAUUAAUACUUAACCCUCCCUUUUAAUUUACCGUGCAAUCUAUCUACACUUAAAUCACAUAUAUAUUUUACCUAUAUUUUACCCAAAAAAAUAUAAAAAUUAAAGAAAAAGAAUAUGUGUAGCAAUUUGUAUAUAACUAACAAAGCAUUGACGGUGUGUAGCCUUCCAAUACUUCAUGAGUGGCUUUUCUUUUGUGUUAGUAUUUGUAAUAAUUGUGUAGCGUAUAAAGACUCUUUAUUGUAUAUGCGUGUCCGUUUAUAUAUAUCAUUUAUUAUUUGAAAAAUAAUCUGAAUAUAAUUCUUUCAAAAUACAGGGGAGAUACCACCUGAAAUCGGUAAUCUCCGAAAUUUAGAGGAGUUGGACCUUGGUCAUAACAAAUUAGUCGGUACUGUCCCAGCUGCAAUCUUCAAUUUGUCAACGCUCAAAGAAUUCUCCAUUCCAAAUAAUUCUCUCUCGGGAUGUCUUUCGUCCAUCGCAGACGUCCGACUACCAAAUCUUGAAGUGCUUAAUUUUUGGGGUAAUAAUUUCAGUGGCACAAUUCCUCGUUUCAUCUUUAAUGCUUCUAAGCUCUCUGCACUAGAUUUGGACGGCAACUCAUUCUCCGGUUUUAUUCCCAACACAUUUGGCAACUUAAGAAAUCUUAAGUGGCUCAUUUUAUCUGAUAAUUAUUUGACAUCUUCAACUCCAGAAUUGAGCUUUCUAUCCUCAUUGUCAAAUUGCAAGUCUUUAACAUAUAUUGACUUAUCAUAUAAUCCACUGGAUAGCAUUCUUCCAAGGACGUCUGUCGGUAAUCUUUCUCAUUCUUUGGAAGAUUUUGAAAUGAACAAUUGUAACGUUAGUGGUGGCAUUCCUGAAGAGAUCAGCAACUUGACCAACUUGACAACCAUUGAUUUAGGAGGCAAUAAAUUGAAUGGAUUGAUUCCAAUUACUCUCAGCAAAUUACAAAAGCUUCAAGGUUUGGUUCUUUAUGAUAACAAAUUAGAAGGAUCAAUCCCAGACGAUAUUUGUCGUUUGGCUGAACUGUAUGAAUUGGAGUUGGAUGGCAAUAAGCUUUCAGGAUCAAUCCCUGCAUGCUUAAGUAAUCUGAUUUCUCUGAGGAUACUAUCGUUGGGUUCCAAUGAGUUAACUUCUAUUCCCUUAAUUUUUUGGAACCUUGAGGAUAUCUUGUACCUUAACUUUUCUUCAAAUUUUUUGACUGGCCCACUCCCAUUAGAGAUUGGAAAAUUGAAGGUUUUGGUUGGAAUUGAUUUUUCGAUGAAUAAUUUUUCAGGCGUUAUCCCAACAAAAAUUGGAGGCCUAAAAAAUCUAGAAUAUCUCUUCUUAGGAUAUAACAGAUUGCAAGGAUCAAUUCCUGAUUCAUUUGGUGAUUUGACAAGUUUGAAAUCCUUGAAUUUGUCUAAUAAUAACCUCUCUGGGACUAUUCCUGCAUCUUUAGAGAAACUCUCAUAUCUUGAAAAUCUAAAUCUUUCUUUCAACAAGUUAGAAGGAGAAAUUCCUAGGGGAGGAUCUUUUGGAAAGUUCUCAGCUGAAUCAUUUAAGGGAAAUGAAUUAUUAUGUGGUUCACCUAAUUUACAAGUCCCACCAUGCAAAACUAGCAUCCACCACACAUCAUGGAAAAAUUCUCUUCUCCUAGGGAUUGUCUUGCCAUUGAGUACUACAUUUAUGAUAGUAGUUAUUUUGUUGAUCCUAAGAUAUCGACAGAGAGGAAAACAACCAUCGAAUGAUGCUAAUAUGCCACUAGUAGCAACGUGGAGAAUGUUUCCAUACCUAGAACUUUGUCGAGCAACAGAUGGAUUCAGUGAAAACAAUCUAAUUGGCAAAGGAGGUUUUGGCUCUGUUUACAAAGCAAGACUUGGGGACGGGAUGGAGGUUGCAGUGAAGGUUUUCAAUUUGGAAUGUGGAAGAGCAUUUAAGAGUUUCGAUGUUGAAUGUGACAUGAUGAAAAGUAUUCGCCAUCGAAACCUUAUCAAAGUUAUUAGCAGUUGUUCAAAUGAAGAGUUUAAAGCGUUGGUAUUAGAAUACAUGCCUCAUGGAAGUUUGGAGAAGUAUCUAUAUUCAAGCAACUGCAUUUUGGAUAUUUUUCAAAGAUUGAAUAUAAUGAUAGAUGUUGCAUCGGCUUUGGAAUAUCUGCACUUUGGUUAUUCAGCUCCAGUAAUUCACUGUGACUUAAAGCCCAGCAAUGUAUUGUUAGACGAUAAUAUGGUUGCUCAUUUGAGUGAUUUUAGCAUCGCAAAAUUGUUAACUGGAGAAGAUCAAUCUAUGACUCAAACACAAACACUUGCCACAAUCGGCUAUAUGGCACCAGGUUUGUUCAAUAUAAAUAUUUUCUAUUAUUUCUUGUAAACUUCCUAGUAAGUUCUUUAUGUUUCAUUAUCUUCAUUAGAUGAGGAAAUUAUUAUUAAUGAUAUAUCUUACUAUGUAAUCGUUGCAAUUCAUAGAGUAUGGAAGAGAAGGACGAGUAUCCGCAAAUGGAGAUGUUUAUAGCUUUGGGAUUAUGUUAAUGGAAACUUUUACUGGGAAGAAACCCACAGAUGAAAUUUUUAACGAAGAAAUGACAUUAAAGCAUUGGGUUAAUGAUUGGCUACCCAUUUCUACUAUGGAAGUUGUUGAUGUUAAUUUGCUAAGUCAGGAGGACAUACAUUUUGUUGCAAAAGAGCAAUGUGUGUCAUUUGUCUUCAAUUUGGCUAUGGCGUGCACUGUGGAAUCUCCGGAGCAGAGAAUCAAUGCAAAAGAAAUUGUAACAAAACUCUUAAAAAUUAGAGACUCGUUACUUAGGAAUGUUGGAGGCAGAUGUAUAAGACAAUCAAACUUAAAUUGAUUCUACCCCUCCUUCAUUGCUUGCUAUCAUUUUCAGAGACUUGAAUAGUUAUCCUUCAUACAAGUUUUGUUGAUAUGUUUUGUUAUUUCUCUUGCUCAUGUUUAUUUCUCUCUUUCUUUAAUUUGCAUGCAUGCAUUUUCGUUCUCUUCCAUGUUUGCAUUGGUUUGUAUUUAGCUUGUUUUUUGGGGUAAGGUUCUUUAUGCCCUCCCCUAAUUAGAUGUAUCCUUUUAAUUUUUAUUCAAAAAGUUUCGCUAGUACUAUCGAGGUUCAUCGAGGUUAAUCGAAAGAAAAUUUUCAAUUGAUUUUCUUUUCUUUGGCUACUAAUGGAAAUUCUAGUCUUUAUAGUUAAUAACUUUAGUAGUUAUGGCUGUUUUCUGAACUUGGAGUCAGAGUAGUUGAACAGCAACAAACAAGUCUCUUGUAUUAUAGGCAAAAUUCUUUUCAUUAAUCUUAUUUGUCUACAUUUUCUCCUAUUUUCUCCAUUAAUCUUCGCUCAAGGUUUCAAGCUUCCUCUUUGGCAAAGGAAAAUGUUAUUUGCUACUGACCGAUUGCGAGUAUUUCAAUUUGACAUGUGAGACUGUUUUGUCGGCCAUUUGAUAAAAUGGAUAUGAGUGGAGCUUUUAAUCAAUACCUCCACCAAAAUCCUUAUAACGCCACUUUGAAAUUUUAGUUUUUAAAAUACAUUCAGUUUAAUUUAAAAAAAAUAAAUUCAUUUGUUAAAAUUAAUCUUUUUCUCAUAAAUUUCAACCUAAAAAAUAUUUUUCUUUUAAGUUUUUAUUAUAAAAUACAUACAAGUUCUAAACUAUUAAAUUAUUUUCUUCUUAUUAUAUAGUUUAUAUCUUCAUAACUCUAAACUCCUAUAAUUUUUUUUAAAAAAUAUUUUUCAAUUUAAAAUAUGAAUAUAAAAUAUAGAAUGGACUGGGUAUAAAAAGUAUGUUAAACGAAUAAUUCAUUUAAGUAUUCAACUGAAUUUUAAUUUAAAAUAAGAAAUAAAUUAAUUUAUUUUUAUUAGUUAAGUAAUUUUCAAUUGAAAAAGAGCUUAUAUUAUGGACAUAUGAUUAAAAUUCCUAUGAAUUAAACAUUUUCGUAUAAAUACCAGUGAUAAUUAUAGAGAAAGUACGAUGAACCGAAGAAAACUUGAAUAUAAAUACUCCAAUGUAAUUUUACACGUACAAAUUAUGAACCAGUGAUCUUUAGAGCAUCAUAAGACAUGAUAUCAUUUAAGACGGCUUACAAAUUAUGAAAAAUACAUUGAUCUUAUAAAUAAUAUUUAAUAUGUCAAUUAGACUGAGGUGGCGUUUGUUUUUUAACUUAAUAACUUAAAGUGACUUAACUUAAUUAAUUAAGUUAAUUAGAGGUGUUUGUUUUAUAACUUAAUGAGACUUUUUAGAUAAUUUUGACUUAAUAAAAUAAGCCAAUUUUUUUGACUUUUUACUUAAUGGAGAAAUCUGAAUUAAGUCAAUUACUUGCUAAUGUCAAAAAUAUCCUUAUUUUAUAAUUUAUUUUUCAUGUCUAUCCCAAACUCACCCAUAGACAUUUACCUCAUAUAAAAAUAUCUCUAUUUUUUCUUUCUUAUAUUAUAUACAAUAAAAUUUAAAAUUUAUGGUAUUUUAUAUAUUAAAAUUCUAAAAUAAUUAUGUAUUCACUUGAAUAUAAUUUUACUUAUAAAUGUUAAAAUAUUGUGUUAUUUAAUAUAUUAUUUAUUUGACAUUCAAAUUUAAUAAGGAUACAAAUGUAAAAGUACAUAUUUUUAGUUUUUUAAGUCGAAAAAACAAACAACUUAAUAUUUAUUUUCCGAGAUUCAGACGAAAAAACAAACAUAUUAUUCAGAUUCAGACAUUCAGAUAUAUUCAGAAUUCAGACUAAUUCAGGUCUAUUCAGAUUUCAGAUAAAAAAAAAACGCCACCUGAGUCUCUGCAAUAAAAUUUUCAAAUUAAACAAUAAACCCUUUAUUUUCCUUUAAUUAUAAGUGUGAUCUUAAUUAUUAAAGUCAUUCAGAUGAAAAAUGAGAAGCUUGAAGCUUCUCUCGGUUAUUUACUAUAUUCUUAUCUCUUUUCUUUUGUUGCAUUUUUCUUCUGUCGUUAUAAAUUAUUUUUUUACAGAUAUACAAAUAGAAACUAUAUAAAUUUAUAACACCUUAUCAGGGGGUUUUUAAUUAAAUACCCUUUAAUAGUUUCAAAAUUAUUGAAAUACCCCCUCCCUUUUUGGUUUUCAUGGAUACCCUAACAAAUGUGAGUAAAGUCGGAAAUACCCUUAAUGAAUGCAUCAAAUUCACUCAAUGAAUUGUCUUCAUAUUCCUUUCCUCAUUUCUUUCACCCAACUCCAUUUUUGCUGCCGAUUCUUUCAAAAUCUCUUAGAAUCUCUCAAAAUCUCUCAUAAUUUCUUACACAAAUACAAUUAUGUAGUCAUUUCUUUAACACCCACUCUUUCUUUAAAGGUGCAUUGCUUAUUAAACAACCCAAUAAGGUAUGUUAAUGUUGUUGGGUUUUAAAUUUUUUAAUUUUUAGGAAAAUUUAGAAAUUUUCCUCACAUUACAAUGUUUUAUUUUCACCAUUUUUUCUUAUAUGUAGAAAUAUAUGCAAUGUAGGUUGUUUAAUUAUUUUUUUCAGCAAUAAAACUUAUUUAUGGCGAAAAUGUUUCGCGUCGUGCAUUCUUUUGAUACCGUGUACGUCAUAUAGUUAGUCAUGUAGGUCAUGUACUUACUUGUAUAUGAAAUUUGAUAUUAUUAUUUUUAUUGUAUCAUCAGAUAUGGUUUUGGUACGUGUGCCUAUUCUCUUCAAUGGUGAAUGAAUUGAGCAAAAUGACGAGUAUAAGUUCAAAGGUUUCAAGGCUAAAGGGAUAAUGAUACCACGAUCGACAAUAUAUGCCGAAUUGAUGGAGAAGAUAGUUGAAGUUAUUGAUAUAGAUACUUCGGAAUUCGAAAUCACAAUGAAGUUCAAACUUAAGACAUCUGAUCCUAUGCCACCAGUUACAAUUCAAACCAAUGAUGAUGUGGAAUUUUUCUUAGAGGAAGUAGCUAGUGGAAUGAAGUUUAGAAACCCGCUUUGCAUUACUUUUGAACGUAGAUCAAAUCGUGUGUUCAUAAAUUACAGCAAAAAAAAAAAAAAUUGCAUAUUCGACAAUUUGAGAAAUGAUGAGAUUAAUUAUUAUAAAUAAACAAAGUUAUCAGUUUACAAUGUCAAUAUUUGGAUAUGAUACACUAAUGGAUAUCGUAAUUAAACAUAUUACAACCAUUUAAAAAGUUUUUUUUUUUUUUUUAUCUUCAAACUGCUUUCUUCCUCUGCCGAAGCAUACAUGCAUACAUGAGGAAUGCCUGCAUAUAAUAAAUCCAUGAAAUCAAUUAGAAACAACUCUUAAAUCAAAGGCUAGUUGAAAACACAGUCGCAAGUGUGGCAAUACUCGGGUUAUCAUCAAAUGUUGUCAGAAUCUGCACAGCAGCAAAUAUUAAUAACUUUACACAAUUUGUACGUAGUUAAAAAUAAUAACAUACUUAGUUAAAAAUAAUAACAAAAUGAACCUUCACAUUAUUCUUAUUGGUUCUAACGAUGACAAAUUAGUAAUUUUCAGCUUUCGGUUUGCCACAUUUCAUUUUUUCCUGAAUACUUUUCGUUGACAUUUUCUGCAUAGCAACAAAUAUAAAUUCUUAGCAAAAAUUAAGUCUUUAAACAACUAAGUUAUUAUAAUGAAUUAACAACAGUGAAAAAAGUCGUGUAAUUUUGAGGUCGUGUAAUACAUGAAGGUCGUGCAAGUGCAAUACAUGAAGGUCGUGUAAUACACAACCUUGAAUCCUAAUAACCUGACACGACCAAAUCGUGUGUUACAUAAAAAAAUUAUAAUCGGCACAAUCCAUCAAUUUUUCACAAUUUGCAUGCAGCAAAACAACUAGAAAUUUGUUUUUGAACAUGUAAUGAGAGACCCGCAACUAAUUAAUCUAUUUUUUCUAUAUAAACCCUAACUUUUUUUUUCCCUGAAUAUCAACAAGAAAACUAUUUAUAGAGAAUUACUUACCUCAACUAGUUAAAUUAUGACCAUUUUGCAGUAAAGAAUCAGCUCUCGCCGCCGAUUAUGUGGCGACGAACUAGGCUUCUCUUUCUCAGUUGUGGUAGCUUCCCCUUCUCAAGGUUAGUUUGCUCGUGUUGAAGUUCGAUUUACCAUGUAUGGAGAAUGAAUAUUUGUUUCGGUAGAUGUGAUGCCGGUGAGUAGGGAUGGCAAUGGGGCGGGGUGGGGGUGGGGAUGCCUACCCCAUUCCCCACCCCAUUAAAAAUUUUUGCCUCCACUCCCCACUCCAUUCCCCAAUAAAUUUAGUGGGUUGGGGAUGGGGAAUCCCCACGUGGGGAAUGAUUCCCCCAUCCCCACCCCAUUCCCCAUUUACUUAUUUUAUAGUAGAUAUAAAAAUAUGAUUUCAGUAAAUUAAAAAUUAGAGACUUAAAAUAAAAUCAUUAUCAUAUUAUAAAGUAUUUAAUUUUUUUUUUAAAUCUCUAAAAGUUUGAAACAAUAUCUUAAACUGAUAUUAAAAGUGAAAAAUAUUUAAAGAGAGCAGCACCUUAAAAGAGAAAAGAAAAUAUAAUAAUAUUUUAAAAUUAAAAAAUAUUGUAGGGUUUUCUUUUACUAUCAUGUUUAUAUUACAUAAAAAUUAAAAAAUUAUUAAUUGACAUUAUAGUUGAUAAAAUAAAAAUUAUUAACAUAAUUAUAUAUAAUGGGGAUUGGGGUGGGAAUGGGGUGGGGAGUGCAAUACCAAACCCCACCCCGUUAACAAUUUGGGGAUUAUUUUUCUCCCACUCCCCACCCCAUUCUCUAAAAAUUAUUAAAAAUUUUUCCCAUUUGGGGUGGGGCUCCAUGGGGCCCCAAACCCGUGGAGGAUUUUGCCAUUCCUACCGGUGAGGGAAUUGCAGAGGUGAUGCCGAUGAGGGAAUUGCAGUGUUUAUUUGUUUGAGUUUGAUAAUGGAGGGAAUUGCAGCAGAUGAGUGUUUGUUUGCUUCAGUAGAGAAGGGAGAGGUGCUGUCCGUUGAGUUGAAAUGUUUUAAAAUGAGGAUACCUUAGUAAUUUCCUAUCAGUUUUUAAAGGGUAUCGAUGAAAAUUUUGGCAAAAACAGAUUUUUGGGUAUUAAGAUAAUUUUUGAAGUAUGGAGGUGUACCGGGCGCAAUUGGCUCCCUUAUCAGUGCGGUUAAGCCGAAUAAUAUAUCAAAACGAAGCUCUCCAUAAGCUGAGCUUUCUGCCACAAAAUUAUUGUUAUCGGAGUCCCUAGGCGUCGACAAUUGCCACCGAAAAACUUUGGUUUUAAGGGAUAGAAAUGCAUCACGAUCGGGUCGGGUCAAUCCGAAUUCCUACCCGAUUGUUGAGCCUGAUUCAGGCCACAUUACUGGCCGUGGAGGGUACCAAUCAAACCGCCAAAAGUCACCUGUCAUUCUCCAAGUCAUCAUGGUUGCCGGAAAUGACUGGAAAACCGCCGAACGAAGCUCGAAUAUCCGCAACAAAUCGACCCAAAUCGGCAUGAUAUCGCCGAUUUCAGGCCACGCCACCACCUGGGCUUUACUCCUCAUGUCGUCCUCUUUAAUAUUUGACUGAAAACCGGUGCCAAAAGCCACUGGUUUGCCACAAAUCAAGCCACCAAGUUUCACGAUCGUUGGGGCCCGAUCCACUGCCGUAGCAGCGCGUCGGAGCUCACUGUCGGUAUCUUUGGAUUCAGCACGACCUGAAGUCUCUAUCUCGAGCUUCUAAGCCACCGGGGCUUGAUUUCCGGGCACCGUUGAAUGGUUAGGGUAGUUUGGUAAUUUCGAAUUUUAAGGGCAUUCUGGUAAUUUCAAAUUUUCGAGGUUAAUAUCUUUUAGAUCCCUAAAAGUUAUUUAAAUUAUGAUAAAAUCCACAUAUAUUUUUAAUGGUGUUAAAAAAAAUUAGGGAAAUUAUCAGACAUAUACCUUUAAAUGACACUAGUAUCAAACGUGUUACAACACUUUUCAAGUGUAUAACUCGUAUAUCGUAAGUUGACAAAACACUUCUGCCGUCCACCAAUCCGUUAACUACCAUUUACAAGCGCUGACAUCAUAAGGGUAAUCUAUUUUUUUUAAAAAAUGACAUGACAUCUCAUUUACCUAGUAAAAAAUGACAUGUUAUAUGAUAUAUAUUGAUAAAAAUGACAUGUCAUAUGAUAUAUAUUGAUAAAAAUGACAUGUCAUAUGAUAUAUAUUGAUAAAAAUGACAUGUCAUCCCAUUUAUCGAAUAGUUGUUCAUAAUUGCUAAAAAAAAAAAAGCUACUUUACAACCGAAUCUACUCCUCCAAACUUAACCUAAAUUUUUGAAGAUUUACUCCUCCAAGCUCCAACUAAAAUUUUUUAUGGUAUAGUAUAUAUAAUUAUAAAUAAUAUGUUGUUAAUAUUUUUUUAUGGUAUAAUAUAGAUAUUUUUUACAAAUAAUUGUUAAUAAUAUGUACCAUUAAUAAUUCAUAUAUUUUUUAAUAAAAAAAUGUAUUGUUAUUAAAAAAAUUUAAAAAAAUUGUGUAUUGAAAAUUUAUAUUAAUUUUUUAGGUAAAUUUAUCUUUUUACCUCAUUUUGAGUUUUAAGGGCGAAAUAGUCAAUUUGCCAUAAUUCUGUUAACUUUCUAACGGAAGUUAACGGAUUGGUGGAUGGCAGAAGUGUUUUGUCAACUUAGGGUAUAUGAGUGAUACACUUGAAAAAUAUUGUAACACGUUUGAUACGAAUAUCAUUUAAGGAUAUAUGACUGAUAAUUUUCCUAAAAAUUAUUAAAGUCAUUCAAUGUACAUUACUUAUUCAUUUUUUUAAUUAUCAAAUGACAUUGAAAACUCUACUCAAUAUUAUUUCAUUCAAAUGUUUUGUUUUAAAGUAAUCGGAAACUGCAAAUGAAACAAAAUAACAAAUGCUUGAAAUCACAAACGGCCUAAAAUUAGAUUUUUUUUUUAAUGUUACAGUGACUUUGAUCCUGAUAUUAAAAUAAUCUGAAAAUAAUUUGGAAUUUUGGGGAUUUUGAAAUUUUUUGGUUUUGUUUGAGUGCAAUUUCCUCUAGUUACAGUUUCAGUAAGAAGGGUUAAGUGCAAUUUCGAAUUUUUUAUAAAAUUUAAAUUAAAAUUCAUAAAAAGAUUGGGCAUCUAAUCCUAAAUUGAUGGCUAGCGAUACUACAACGGCGGCUGCAGCUCCAGAAAAAGCAGAGGCGGUGGAGGAGUAUGAUAGGGAUCCAGAUGAAAUGAAACGCUCUCUUGUGAUGCGCAGAAGGGAAGCCACUGAUGAGGAGGAGGCGGAGGAUGAGAGAGAUUCAGAGCUUCCAAUCGCUCAAAGUGUGCAUAUUCCUGCGGGAGAGGCGGAGGCUGUGGAUAAGUAUGAGAACGAUCCAGAUGAAGUGAUACACUCUCUCGUUCUGCACAGAAGGGAAACAAGCGAUGAGGAGGAGGAGGAGACAGAAUUUGAGCGUCGAAUGAAUUGAAGGCUCCAGAUUCACUCUUACGAUGAAUCUGAUGGCCAAGGUGGUGCUUCAGCUGAGUAUGAUGAUGAUGAUGAUGAAGACGAAGAGGAACAUGACAGAAUUAGAAGAAGAUGAUGAAGAAGGGGAUGUUUAUGAGGAUGAAGAGGAAGAAGAAGUUUAUGAAGAAGAGGAGAGGAAUGACGGGGCGGUUAAAGUCAAAGGAAUAGAGGGUAAUGAUGCAAGAGGAGUACGAAGGGGGCAGUGGAAGUGAGUAAAAGGAAUAAUGAUAAUGGCAAUGGUGCUAAAAGAAUGAUGUAGUGGAGGGAAUGGAGGAAGAGAAGGAGAGUAAUGAGCCUUUUGUCUCACGUUAACCCUCACCUCUGUUUAUUUCUCUUUCUUUUCUUUUAACCCAAUUUUUACUUCAAUCUUCGUUUUUCUUCUUCCCCCAAAAUUAAACAGCGAUUACAUUCCUCAACAGCUACAAAGAAAAAAAGCCACGGCACUUUCAAGAUACCGAAACAUACCCACAUUUACUAAACAAAAGAGAUUUAAUUUAAAAAAAAUUGCAGAGCGGAUUAAGCACUGACCAAGUGAAAAGCUGACCAAGCGAAGUAAGAGCAAUAGAAUGAACUCCACCAAGAGCAAUACAACGAACAUGAUCAUCCAAAUAAGGAUUCAAAGUAGGCACAAACGCAGCAUCCUCAUGCCCAAAUCCAAGCCGCCCGCCAUCUCCUUUGCCCCAAAUCCACAACUUCCCGUUCACCACCAACCCAGAAUGAAACAACCCACAUGAUGAAGAAUUUGAAAAGCGCUCUGAAGAAGACGAAUCACGAGUUCUCAGAGGUAAAAUUCCUGAUCUUUCUAUGUGGUUAACUCCUGAAUCAGUCGAUUCUUGGUUUCAAUUGGUUCACUGAGUUAGGUGAUUUUGUCUUACGUCUGAUGCAGGGAAGGAGCUUGGCUGAAGGUCACAACUCACGAGUUCGAUUUUUGCUUUUGGCUGAAGGUCACGACGAGCAGCGGCCAGCGGGAACAGAAGAAGUUAUGACGAGCAGCGGCCAGCGGGAAGUCGGGAACCGAAGAAGACAGAAGUCAGAAGUUUAGAUUUAGAUUUUAGGCUUUUAGGUUUUAACUUUAGCUUUCAAAUCGGUUUAUUUGUGAUUUCGGUUCGGUUUUGCGGUUUUUUUUAAAUCAAAAACUGAACCGAUUGGUUUUACUGGACCCUUUUUUAUAUUACUAUUUCGGUUUUUUAGAGGUAAAAAAAUCGCACAAAAACCGAACCGAACCGAUCGAUUCGAUUUUUAAUUAAUCAAUUUUUUUUGCCCAUCUCUACAGCUAGGUACGUAUUGGUGUUUGUGGAUUUCUAAAUGCUUUCUGUCAAAUGUGACUAGAUUAUUAUUAGAAGUCUAUGGAUCUUACACUUAAUUAAUUAUAUAUCCAUUUAUAAUAUUCAAAAUGAUAAUGUACUAUUGCUUAAAAUUAUGCUUUCAAGACAUCAUUAUGAAAAUCCAUGGUUGUAAUGUGUUUCUAAAUUCAGUAAUACAAGUUCUGUCAAUUACUGUUGGAUGCAGUGACCUGAAUAGUUUAAUAUUCAUUUGCAGAAAAAAGUUGAGAAAGAAAACUAAAAAUUUCCAUGCGUUCUGCUAGAAAUUUAAUUAGCUUCAUUUGAGCAUUAAUUGCCGGCAUGAUCUCUUAGACUUCUCUUGCAUUGAAUGAAUGAAUGAGUGCUAAUCCAUGCAAAGACUUCCAUGCAUGCACAAUGAAUGCUAAAUCUAAGGUAUGGUAAAAUGUCAGCAAGCUUGGCCCAAAUUAUCAAGCUGGUUUGGUGGCUGCUAGAUUUGUUCAUCCGGAUUUUGGACCAUUUUCCUUGACAAUGAGAAAAGCUCCAAGAUCUGUAAAUUGAAGACUCACUGAAAGCUCCAAGUUUCAGGUAACUCUUGAGUUGUGUGCUGGAGUAUUCUCUAUUGUAUUUUGUUUGUUUGUUAUUUAUUUGAUGUAUUGCUAGCAGGGAUCUUAGGUGGGAACCAAAAAUUCUCAAUAAUUAUCAAUUGUUUUAAACUCUAUUCUGAACCGAGCGUGAAGGGAUUCACUUAUCUAAUUAUGUCUUUUAUGCUUUAAAUUCAGUUGAUUUCAUCUUUUCCGUCACCUUUAUUAAAGUUGUAUAUGUUGGAGUAUUAGGUUAAUCAUAAGGAUCAUAUUAUGGCUAAGGAAGGAGCACAGUUUAUCAGCUGCACUCAAGUGUAGCAGAGUAUUUGGGGCUGAUGCUACAAUACCUGCAUGUAUGUGAUACAUGCAUAAAAGAUGACCGUUGGAUUGAAUAUAAUGAAUCCAACGGUUGAGAUGAGUUUAAUUAACAAAUAAUUAAAAAUUUUCACAAAACCUGAAACCUAUAGAAACGGUAACAGGCACACAUCCCAACUGGCUAUAUAUAUUUGUGGGAAAAAAAAAAGAAAAAGAAAAAGAAAAAAGCUCUCACCUCACGCAAAGCUAGUUCUUCUCUUCUCUUCUUCUUCGACAAUGGUGAACGGCACGAUGAACGGCGGCAUAGCUAAUUAGUAAUUCCUCUCCUCUUCUGCUUCCACAACAGUCAACGGCGGCAUAGCUUCCACAACAGUCAGCGACGGAUUUGAUUUUCAGGUAUUUUGGUUAACUCUAAACUGAUUUCAUAGCCUUUCAAUUCUUUUUUUUGCUAAUUUUUUUCUUUUUUUGCCCACGCUGCAGAAUCCUUGUCAGUAAACAAACCCUCACAGCCACCAGCCACCACUGACAUGCAUGAACGUCCAAUCUCUUAGCCGCAAUCGCUAUUCUUUGUCGACGUCGCGAAGAAAUUGGGUAUGAUGUUGUUAAUCAAUUACACAUGCUACCAAAAAAUUGUAAGAACCAAUUUUUUAAAUUUUGUUAAUAUGAUUAUGAAAUUGGGCUUGCUUUUGUGUGAAAUUUUAGGGUUUGUUUGCUUUUGGAUGAAAAUUAAAAAUCAGAUUUUGAAAUUGUUUGUUCCUCAUUUUGUUGAGAUAUAUCUUGUCUUCGUUUAUUGAUUUGUGCAUGUCUGGAUAGAUAUGCCAACCUAAUCGAAUGCUUAUUAAAUUCAAUGAAAUGUGAUGCAUGGCCUUAAGCUUGCGGUGAAUAGCUUUAUUCGACAUAUAUAUUUUGGAAAUUAGUUUUCUUUUGUUUGAUUUAUUUUGCUUUAAAAAAAAGAGCCUAGUCAAAAUAAGUUUAUUUAAAAGUGGAUGGCAUUUGAUUAAAAGAAGAGGUAAGAUUUAAAGCCCUCCAAGUGUUUGAUAAAAUAUCUAAAUGAAACUUCAUGUUCUUAUUUUCCUUUCGCAACUGACUUAGGUUCUUCGUAAUCAAGGUGAAGGUGCUAUAGUGUUAGUAUUGGCACCUACUAGAGACUUAGCCGAUCAAAUUCAGGAAGAGGCUUUUAAAUUUUGGUCGUGCGCAAGUGUUAUAAAUACUUGUGUUUAUGGUACUGCUCCUAAAUGAUCUCAAAUAUUCGAAGAGGUGUUUUGAAUUCUUUUUUGGAGAAUUUAAUUGUUUUUAGAUUAAAAUUACAAGUCAAGUAUUUUUAUUUGGUGUAUCUUCCUCUUUAACUACAAUAUGAAAUUGGAGAAUUUGAUAGAACUUUAAUCAUUUGUCUAUACUUUACUAUUGCUUAAUUGUAUCAUAAGAGUGUGUUAAUUUGCUCUGUAAUUCUUUCAAGAUUCUUGAGCUAUAGUCUUUAUAUUUAUAAUUUGUUUUGAUAAAUUUCUCUUGGUUCUUUAAUUUUGAUCUAUUCCCCACUUUAAAGAUAUUUUAUUUUAAACAUAAGAUGUCAUUAAUUAUAUUGAUUUAAUCUUACAGGGUGAUGAGCUAAAUUAAUUAAUUAUAUUAUAUGUAGAUUUUAGUUUGCUCAAUAAUGGUAUACUAGGAAUGCAGUUUUAUUUUAAGCAUAAUAUGCAAUUUGUUUUGCUAUUGUUUAUGCAUAAAAACAGCACCUGAAAGUUUCCAGGUGCUGCUUAGCUGCUGUUAUGUAAUAAACAUAAACACAACACAUGGAAACUUUGGGGUGUUGUUUAUGCACAAAAAUAGCAUGUAGAAGCUUGAGGCGCUGCUUAGCUGCUGUUAUGUAGCAAAAACAAAACAUGGAAGUUUCUAGGUGCUGCUUAGCUGCUGUUAUGCAGCAAAAACAACAGCCGGAAGUUUCUAGGUGUUGUUUUGUUGCUGUUUGUGCAGAAAAACUACACUUGGAGAUUUCCAGGUGCUGGUUAGCUGUUGUUAUGCUGCAAAAACAACACCAGGAAAUUUACCGGUACUGUUUUACUAAUGUUUGUGUAGAAAGACUUUAACUGUUGCUUUAUAUACCUAUAAUUUGUAUUUCAAUAUGAUCUCCAUUUUGCUUUUAUUGUUUAAUUUUUAAAAUGGGAAGAUUCCCUUGUAUUUUAUCUCAAAUGCAAUUUUGUCUAGUAAUCGUUCUUGGGAUUAUAUCUUCUUUUACUUGUUUUUAGGGUGCGGCUCUCAGUUUCAAGUACUACCAACAUUGUUUCCCUUCCAUGAAAGAAUCUGUAGUUUUACCCAGUUAUGAACUGAGUUAGCCAUUGGUUAUUAGCAGUUUCUGGACAAGGAGCAAGAAGAUACCAAUGAGGACCUGGAUUUCAGAAGCAAUUCUCUUAUUUUUCUUUUAUUUUAAAUCAUUAGCAUUUUCUUUUUCUCGUUUGGUUUCAGAUAUUGGUGGUAUUGGGUAGUGGGUUUGUUUCUCGAAUCAUCAUGAUACCAAAUGUAAUUGCAAACAGCAGGGUCUAAAAUUUAUACGACCUGAUGAUUUGUCCUAUAUUUUUUUACUGAUGUUUGCUUAAUUUUCUUUUCCUUUUUGUUUUUUUAAGUGAUCUCCAUAAUUAAUCAAGAACCAAAAUAUCAAGUUUGUUAAUCUUUUAAUUUAAUAGUAUUUUGAGAAUUAUUGGCUUCCAUCUUACAUUAAAAUAAUCCCUCAAUGAAAAAUCAUUGUUUUAGCAUUAAAUUUAAUUUUGCAAUAUGUAAAUUACCAGAAUAAAAUUUUCAAAAUUAAAAAUUUUUUGUUAGAAGAAUUAUAAUGUUAUAUUUUAUAUAUCUAAAAAUUAACCAAAAAAAGUUUGUGUAUUUUAAAGUUAUAAUAAAUGUACCAUUAAAAAAAUCUAUAUCUAUCGUAAAAUACGAUUUUAUGAAAUGAGUUAUUAUGAAAGCUUAUGGACAAAAUAGAAAAUAUUUUAGAAAUUAACAAGUAUUAUUUGAAAUUUUGGAAAAUAGGUUUGAUUGAGUUUCAUAAUGUUUUUAAUAAAAUUGUAAUUUUUGGGGCACAAACGGCGAACUGCUAACACUUAAAUUGGCUAAUUGAUUCCAAUUUGGAGAGUUUUCAGAAUUAAAAAGGCGAACCACUAACUUUAAAUGGCAAAACGACUACGGUUGGGUGAGUUUAUUGUAUGGUGUGCGUUGAUCAUCCCCGAUCCUCCGAGUAAGAAAAUGUGCUAGUUCUUCCAUGUAAUAAGAAACUUAGUGGUAUUUGGGUUGGGUUUUUAAAGCAUUUAAUGUCACCAUUAAUGAAAGGAUUUGGUUGGUUUCUGAGUUGGUGUACAAAUAAAUUAACUGCGCUCAUAUGUUACGUAGAGCUAAAUCGACUAGUCUGUAGUGAAAAGGCGGUUAGCCAUUUGGAGUUGCAUGCUCUCUGGAAUGAAAGAGGCUAGCCUCUUUGUAGGAAACAAGUAGCCCUUUUCACGCCAGAGAGCAUGUUUCUCGAAAAGGGCUAGCCGUUUCCCACGAAGAGGCUAGUCCUUUCACUUCGCAUGCUCUCUGGAAUGAAAAAGGCUAGCCUCUUCGUGGGAAACAGCUAACCCUUUUCACUCCAGAGAGUAUGUUUCCCGAAAAUGGUUAGCCAUUUCAAUAAAGAGGAUGGGCGUUUGGAGUUGUAUGCUUUCUGGAUUGAAAAAGGUUAGACGCGAUAAAGCAAACGGCUAGCCCUUUUUACUCCAAAAAGCAUUUUGAUCGAAAACGGCUAGCCGCUUAUUUUAAAGAGGCUAGCCGUUUUCGAUCCAGAAUCUGUUACAUUUGUAAUGGCUAGCCUCUUUAACAAAAUGGCUACCUGUCUCCCUCACUAUUCAACUUCAACCCACGACCACCUCUCUCACCGUCGCAUGAAAUUCACGGCUUCUUCAGCCAUUAACGAGAAAAUAUACAACUCCUCAUCAUUUUCCUUCAUUUACGCAUCUAAAUUUCAUUAGCUAAAUACUCUUUAACCCUAUUUCACCGAAAAACCCAAUUAAAAACCCUAGGUUCGGCCGAGGUUGUUUCUCUAAAAUUGAGUCCUUGUUCACUUCUUAUUGCUGAAAUUACUCACCCACAUUGAUUUUAAACCCAUUUGCGUGCUAUUUAAUUGGUUCAUCUUGACCCAAAACACAAUAUUUGUUAUUCAAAGAAAGAUUUUGGUUUCCAUGGCAGGUGGUGAAACUUCUCGGGGGAAGCAAGGGAAACUAAAGGAACAUUACAUCAUUAACUUGAAACAAGAGAUAAUUUUCAUGGCAGGACCAUUAACUUGAUACCUGGACCACUAAACUUGAAACCUAGGGCAAUAAACAUGAAACAUGAGAUCAUUAACUUGCAACCUGAAAAUCAUUUACUUAAUGGACUAAUAAAUAUGAAAUCAUGACCAUUAACUUGAUACAUCGGCUAUUAAACAUGAAACCAAAAGAACUUGAAACUUAGGGCAAUAGACAUGAAACAUGUUAUCAUUAACUUGCAACCGUGAAAAUCAUUUAAUUAACGAACUUGAAACUUAGGGCAAUAAACAUGAAACAUGAGAUCAUUAACUUGGAACCUUGAAAAUUAUUUAAUUAAUGGACCAAUAAAUAUGAAAUCAUGACCAUUAACUUGAUAUCUAGACCAUUAAAGGUGAAACCAAUGGAACUUGAAAAUAAUGGCAAUAGACAUGAAACAUGUUAUCAUUAACUUGCAACCAUGAAAAUCAUUUAAUUAAUGAACUUGAAACUUAGAGUAAUAGACAUGAAACAUGAGAUCAUUAACUUGCAACCAUGAAAAUCAUUUAAUUGAUGGACCAAUAAACAUCAAACUGUGACCAUUAACUUGAUACCUCGACCGUUAAACUUGAAAUCAAAGGAACUUGAAACUGAGGGCAAUCAACAUGAAACAUGAGAUCAUUAACUUGCAACCAUGAAAAUCAUUUAAUUAAUGGACCAAUAAACAUGAAACCUUGACCAUUAACUUGACACCUGAACCAUUAAACUUGAAACCAAAAGAACUUGAAACUUAGGACAAUAGAUAUGAAACAUAUUAUCAUUAACUUGCAACCAUGAAAAUUAUUUAAUUAAUGAACUUGAAACUUAAGGCAAUAAAUAUGAAACAUGAGAUCAUUAACUUGCAACCAUGAAAAUUAUUUAAUUAAUGGACCAAUAAAUAUGAAAACAUGCCCAAUAACUUGAUAUCGGGAACAUUAAACUUGAAACCAAUGAAACUUGAAACUAAGGGCAAUAAGCAUGAAACAUAAGAUCAUUAACUUGCAACCAUAAAAAUCAUUUAAUUAAUGGACCAAUAAACAUGAAACUAUGACUAUUAACUUGAUACCUCGGCCAUUAAACGUGAAAUUAAAGGAACUUGAAACUUAGGACGAUAAAUAUGAAACAUGUUAUCAUUGACUUACAAUCAUGAAAAUCAUUUAAUUAAUGAACUUGAAACUUAGCGCAAUAAACAUGAAAAAUGAGAUCAUUAACUUGCAACCAUGAAAAUUAUUUAAUUAAUGGGCCAAUAAACAUGAAACCAUGACCACUAACUUGAUACCUAAACCAUUAAACUUGAAACCAGUGAACUUAAAACUUAAGGUAAUAAACAUGAAACAUGAGAUCAUUAACUUGCAACCAUGAAAAUUAUUUAAUUAAUGGACCAAUAAAUAUGAAACCAUAACCAUUAACUUGAUACCUGAACCAUUAAACGUGAAACCAAAGGAACUUAAAACUUACGGCAAUAAACAUGAAACAUGUUAUCAUUAAUUUGCAACCAUGAAAAUCAUUUAAUUAAUGAACUUGAAACUGAGGGCAAUAAACAUGAAACAUGAGAUCAUUAACUCGCAACCAUGAAAAUCAUUUAAUUAAUGGACCAAUAAACAUGAAACCAUGGCCAUUAACUUGAUACCUGAACCAUUAAACUGGAAACCAAAGGAACUUGAAAUUUAUGGCAAUGAAUAUGAAACUUGAGAUCAUUAAUUUGCAACCAUGAAAAUAAUGAAAUUAAUGGACCAAUAAACAUGAAAUCAAAACCAUUAACUUGAUACCUAUACCAUUAAACUUGAAAUUCUUUUUUUAUUAUUAUAAAAAUAAUUUUUUAUUUUUAUGUGUCCUUUAAUAUUAAAAUAAUAAUUAUUUUAUUAUUAUUUUAUUUAUUAUAAUUGAAUAUUAUUAUAUUUAUUAUUAUUUAAUUCAUUUAAGGGGCAAAAACCGGUUGCUCCCAGUUUUUUUUUUUUUUUCCAUUGCUCUAUUUUCUUUCUUUUUUUAUUGCUUGCAUGUAUCACAUACAUGCAUGUACUGUAGCCGUGCCCAGUAUUUGGUUGUUACAGAUGCAAGGUUGUUGCUGUGUAAUUGUCAUUUGAGCUUAGAACCUUUGAGCUUAGAACCUUUAAAGUGUAUCAUACGUUUCUGUUACUUCUAAUACAAAUUUUCUCUAUUCCUUUUUCUUUCACUUUCUCUUCCAUUUUCAUGAUCGCCAAACACCAUCAAUCCAUGAUUUUCUAGAGUAUUAGCCGUCUAUUUCUACAUACAUAGAAUCAUUGUUUUAAGAAAUAAAGUACUCUGUCCUGUCCCCGUGGUCUCCUCGUUUAUUGACUUCUGAACUAGGCUAAAUAAAGGGCAAAUAAGAUAUUAGACCAGUGGGCCUAACGUGACAAGUUCUGGAAUUGUUUGCCUCUUUCUUUUCUCCACAAAUCUUUGGUUAAUUUUUAUGUUCCCUCAACUUUUUUCCCCUUUAGCACUAGAAUUCAUUUUUGAUACUUUAUGCAAAAAUUAUGAGGAAAAUGAGUCACUUUAGAACAUCAAUAAAUUUUUUUUACAUCCAAGAUAAAGACAAUUACACUUAGAUCACUCUUAUUUAGUUGAAUUAUAUGUAAUAAAAUUAGUUCAACAAAAUCUAACCCGUCAAUAUUCCAUAUCAUAUGAUUAACGUAUUUAAAAAAUCUUUAUUGUUCGGUCGCUUGUUUUAUAAUUCUUUUAUAUAAUAUCUUUGAAACUCAUCAUAUUGUUCUCAAUUCGUCUAAAUUAUUUUUUUCUUCAAACACUGCGGCAACAACCGGUAUAAAAUAGAAUGAACUCAAUUAAUGGAACUUUUUCUAGAUGCUUUCAUGGCAGAAUCUCAUUGGUCUAUUUCUCUUCGCACCCUAGGUUCCUCUAACAAACCUGCCUCUUAACUCUCAUGUCCGAAUUUAAACUUAAAAGAUGUUCCCCAUCCCACGUGUCCCCGAAUCUUCGUAUUUCCAAACAAACCCCUGCCAAAUUGAGAAGAGGAUGAUUCCUACAAAGCCACGUAAGUCAAGUGAUAGGAUGGCUUUUAUUACAAACUGUAUGAACGUUAUGGCCAUGGGACAUUGGAUAAAGCCAAUGGAAUGAAAAGCAAAAUUACCGACUAGACUAAAAUGAAAAUCCAACCAAUUGAAUCGGUUCAGUGUCACUGUAUAUAUAUAUAUAUAUAUAUAUAUAUAACACAACACAACUAUCAUAUUAACGAGGCACUGUUAAAUUCAUUCCGUGAAUAUUUUUCUUUCUUUUCAAUGAAUGUUUAAUAUGACAAACAAUUUGUCCCAUUGAGCACUGUUUUAGUCAUCAAUGAAAAUGAAUACUUCUAUAACAAAACAAUAAUUCCCUUGUUUAUUUGACACGCAAAGAAUUUUCUUGCUCAGCUCGGCGGCCAAUCCUUUAAAAUUUGUUGAAAUUCAGUUAAUUGAUGAACGAGACAUAACCGGUAAAUCGUUUAAUUUGUAUAAUUGAUAAAAAUUUGAACUUCAAAUGAUAUAGAUAGAAUGAUUAAUUUUUUUAAUAUUUAGAUAAUUGAUAUAUGUCAUGUUACUAUGAGUAAAAGAAUCAAGUGUCUGAUAGAAAACACAAUGUUUAUAUUUGUAUUAAAAAUUUUAAGUGCGAAUCUAUUUAGUGUAAGUUAGACAUAAAAAUAGUUACCAACUUGUCUUGUUUCUCAUUUUGUUUAAUUUUCCUAAUUUGAAUAACGAUUAAUUACGAGUCAAGGGUUUAUUAGAAAAAUAUGGUCUUCCAUUUACUAUAAAAUUAUGAAUACUUUGGCAAAUAAGAUAAUUAUAAACACCAUUUUUGAAAAUUCAUGGCCAUGGUUGUGAUGUGUCUUUAUCAAUCACACAUACAAAAGUUAAUCAAAAUUAUCGAUUGUUUUAAAUUCUGUUUUUAACAGAGCAUGAAGAUGUCAAUUAUCUAGAUUUACUUUUUAUGCUUUGACUUCACUUAAUACAGGUUCUUCCUCCUUUAUCUGUAUGCCAUGCCGGCAAGUGUAUUGUACAGAUUUCUAGAGUAUUACCUGUCUAUUUUUUUCACCGAUGACGAAGCUAAUUAUUAGUAAUCAAUCUAAAGUCUACCUAUAAAUACAAUAGGUUGCUUAGGUGGCACCAAUAUCCUAACUUUAUGCCAUGUUUCUGGUGUGUCUUCACAAAUUCACCGAUACAAAUUAAUUUCCACCAAUAUUACCAAAUGAUUGUAUUUUACGUUUCUAUUUACUUGUAAUAAAGAUCUUCAAUUUUAUUGGUUACAAAAUUCUCUAGGAUUGCAUGUACAUUAUACUUUUAUAUACAUAUUUUCUUCUUUCUCAUUCGUUUUCUGGGUGAACAUAUUAUUUUCGUCAUCAUCUCUAUAACAAUGAAGUGAAAAUAGUCCUCAUUUAAAGUAUUGACAGCAAUGUUAUACUCAAUAUAACGCAUAAAGCACGCAUAAUUUAAUUAAUGGGGUAGCUGCUAGUACCUUCUUUAGAAGAGAAUUAUUGCAGCAAGGUAAUUGGAAGCUCAAAGAGUUUCCGUAUUAGCCGAAUCUAAGCGAUAAGUGUUUCCAUGUGAGCCAUAAUUUGGGAAAAAGACCAAUUCGAGUUAAAGAUCAGAAAACAGACACUGUCAACAAGCAUUAAUAUCAUUUGAUGCAUGAAAGACAGUUAGUCCCAUUUUUUUGUCCGGUUUACUUGAGUUGGGCAAUUUGCCGUCAACUUUUCUCAUCCACGUCAGGUAAUGUGGCUUUUAUUUGGUAUGAAAAAGCCAAUGCUUUACGAUAAAACUGUCACACACAUAUUAUCCAUCUGUAAUGUUCAAAUGACACUGAAGUAUUACCUAAAUUAGGCUUUCAAAAAUUCAUUUUCAAAAACCCAUGGUUGUGAUGUGUCUCUAUAAAUUAAGAUCUAUCUGUUACCUACUGUUUUAACUCUGUUCUGAACAGAGCUUGAAAGGGUACAUUCACUCUUUUAAAACAAUUGUACUAUAUGUUCUGAACAGAGCUUGAAAGGAUUAGCAAUAACUACUGUUUUAUCCCUCUUUUUAAAACAAUUGUUCACUAGCUGCACUCAGUUGACAGAAUAUUUUGGGAUUCAAGACUGUUGGUUGUUACGGAUGCAACUUGCAAGGCUGUUGCCAUGCUGGCAAGUGUGCUGGAAAAUCAUGAGUUUGAUGAUGAAGAGGACGAAAAAUAUUAUUUUAUUAUUUAAAAUAAGACUAUCAAUUAUUUCCAUGGUCAUCUUUUUUUUUUUUAAUUAAUUGGCCUAAAUAUUGUAUUUUUUGUCAGGAGUCUUGCAAUGUUGCGUAGCACCGUAAGUAAGAAGAACUAGUGAACUUUAAAGCAUCAUAAAAUUGUUUCAACAUAAGUAAUUAGUUUGAAAAAUUGCCAAUAAUGUUUAAAGUAGGAACGAAAAGGUUAUACUAUAUGAGACACGAUAUUAUUUAAGACAGCUUACAAAUUAUGGGAAAUGUAUUGAUCUUACAAAUAAUAUUUAAUAAGUACAAAUUUCAAAUUAAAUAAUAAACCUUAAUUUCCUUUUAAUCAUAAUUAUGAUCUUAAUAAUUAAAGUCAUUCAAUCUUAAUCACUUUUUCAUUUUUUUAAACUACCUAAAUGACGUUGAAACUUCUAAUCAACAUUAAUUUUUUUGAAUGUUCUGUUUCAAAAUAAUUGAAAACUAUAAAUGAAACAAAUGCUUGCAAUCACAAAAGGCCUAAAAUGGGAUUUUUAUUUUUUAAUAUUGCAAUGACUUUGAUCUUGAUAUUGGAAUUUAUUUGUAACUUAUACUAAGUCUUCAAUUUUAUCAAAAUUAGUUUCUAAAGAUGCAUUUGCCAUACUGUGUAGUUGUAUUGUAUGAUGAUAUAUUACAUUAGGGUGCAUUGUAUUGAGCUGUAAUGCAAUACUAUUUUAUAUUAAUGUUAAAACUAAAUCAACCUUAUUUAAAUUUAUUAAUAUUUUAGGUUUUUAUUAGUAAUAUCUGAAAUUAAGUAUUAAAUAAUUAUUUUUAUAAUAUACAAAUUAUUUAAUAAUAUUCUACUAUUAAAUAAUAAAAUAUUACAAUAUUAUGUUAUAUUAUUAACAAUUAUUCUGUUAUAAUAUAAUUUAUUUUUAUAUAUUAGUUAUUAUAAUUUAUUAUAAUCAUAUUAUAAUAAUAUUAUAUUGUAAAAAUAUAAUACUAUAUAAUUGUAUAACAGAAUAUGAAUUAAUUUAUAAUUUAACAAUAAAUUAUAAAUUUAUUUUAUUUAUUAAUGUCAAAUAUAAUUGUACAGGUGUAGAAUUAUGAGGAGGAGGUGGAGAAAGAAUUUGAGCGUCGAAUAGGAUCUACAUGUACUCUUAAGAUGAAUCUGAUGGCGAUGGUGCUCCUUCAGCUGAGUAUGCUGAUGAUGAAUUAGAACAUGACAUAUAAUUAGAAGAAGAAGAUGAAGAGGAAGAAGUUUAUGAACAAGAGGAGAGAAACGAUAGGACAGUUAAAGUCGUUGGCUGCAGACUAUUAGAAGGUUGUUACAGAUGUAACGCUGUUGCUGUGUAACAGUAUGCCAUGCUGGCAAGUUUGCUAUAACAGAUUGCCAAGCUGGCACUAAUUAUUUUAAACUAAUAUUAGUAAUUAGUCUAGAGUGCUCUAAUUUAUUUUAUUCUAUAAAUAGCUCAUUUGAGCUUUGAACCUGUAACGUGUACUGUACUUUUCUAUUACUUCUAAUAAAGAUUUUCUCUAUUCUUUUUUCUUUCACUUUCUCUUCCAUUUUCCCGACCCUCAAACAGCGUCAAUCCUUGAUUUUCUACAGUAUUAGCUGCCUGUUUCUAUAAACAUAGAACUGGUCGUUUUAAAGGGCAAAUAAGAUGUUGGGCCAAUGGGCCCAACGUCACAGAUCUUGAAUUGAUUGUCUCUUCUUUUCUCCAUAAAUCUUCACUUAAUUUUUAUGCUCCCUCAACUUUUUUCCCCUUUUUGUGCUAAAUUUAUUUUUUUGAUACUUUAUGCAAAAAUUAUGAUGAAAAUUAAUUAGUUUAGAACAUCAAUAAAUUUUUGUUACAUUCAAGAUAAGGACAAUUACACUUAGAUCACUCUUAUUUAGUUGAAUUAUAGGUAAUAAAAUUGGUUUUAACAAAAUAUGAUUCUUAACCCUCGUAAUUAAAGGCUCGUGUUAUUUAGUUUAGUUAUAACACCAUGCAACAGGUCGUCUUGGUGGGUUCAAAUUAAUAUACGAUCAUUCUCAAUUUUUAAUAGUUCGUAAUUACAAAGUCCUAUAUCACAAUUAAAAUUUGCAAACAUGUCAAAGUAAGUUAAAUCAAAAUCUAUAAAUUUGAGGUCUACUACAAACUUCUGACAAAUUAAAAUUUAAAAUGAUUAAUUAAAUGCUAGACAAAAUUUAGCUUAUAAAUGUUCCCGACCACAUGAUGAAUGUACUUAAAACAUCCUAAUUCGUCACUAAUUGAUUGGUUGUUAUUUUUUCAAUUUCUUUUUAUAUAUCUUUGAAACUUCUAGUUUCGUUACAUGUUAUUCUCAAUUCGUGUAAAUUAUUAUUUUUAAAUAUUAGAGCAACAACCAGUAUAAAAAUAAAAUGCACUCAUCUAAUGGAAAUUUUUCUAGAUGCUUCAAUGGCAGAAUCUCAUUGGUCUAUAACUCUCACACCUUAGAUUCAAGAUUCAAUUUCAAACCAACGCCGAACAAACAGUUUAAACCUUAAUAAGUCUGUGGCUGUAGCCCAACAAACCUACUUCCGGCUCACCGAAUAAUCAUCUCUUACGUCGGAAUUUAAACUUAAACAAAGCUGCGUCCCACAUGUCCCCAACUUUCUUCAUAUUUCCAUAAAACCCCUACCAGAUCCAGAUAAUUACCUUCACUCUUCUCGUAUAAAUAGAGAAGACAACGAUUCCCGCAAAGCCAGGUGAGUCACGUGAACGUUACGGCCAUGGGACAUACGGUUCUCAAUUGGUCUAAUUAUACUGUAAAUUGUUUUUUAAAUAUAAAUAAAAUGAAUUUAUUUAAUGGAAAUUUGAAAAAGGGACACUUAUCUACGAAAGCAAAGUUGCAUUCUCUUUGUGGGGACCCUAAAAAAAAAAAAAAAGAGAGCCAGAAUGAUACACCGAUGACGAUAAUCCUUAAGCUUAAGCAUUAAUUUUCUUUGCUUACAAUUUGGUUUGAAGGGUUAAGUUCAAGUUCGAAUUGGUACACUGAUGAUGAUGAUGAUGAAGAGGGGGAUGUCUUUGAGGAUGAAGAGAAAGAAAGUUCUAAAAAAAAAAUACAGCUUUGUGGAAAUUAAAUUAAAAGCAACUAAUUAAGCAUUAUAAAUUACUUAACAGAGUAAUGCUGAGCUAAUUAAAUUUGUUUUUGAAGAAGGUAUCUUUAAAUCUCUUGGAGUUAAAGAUAAAUAUCAUAUCACCAUAUCAAGCGGACCAAUUAAAAAAUAAAUUUAAAUAUUAUUUAAAAUCAUUUAAAUUUAACUUAAUAUAAUUCAAUCUAAUAUUGUACCAAACAUGCACAAUACUAUAUAUAAUCCAGUCUAAUCAAAUUCAAUCUUAAUAAAUAAUACAAUCCAAUCUUGCGAGACAAAAUUGGCCUAAGGGUACCAAUUGCGCAAUAAUCUUUGUAGCCCGUUUCCCAGCCACGCACCCUUUUGUAUUAGUAUUCUCACAGCCAUUGGAAUUAUGGCUCGUAAUCCAAUAAAUGACAUUAUAUGGCUGUUGCUUGCUAGUUUUUGUAAGGUGGCCAAGGCCUUUUAUCAAACACUAUAGGAUCAACAAGUACAAAAUGAAUUCAUUUGGGAUGAAUUAUGAUGUAUUGCAUUAACAUGCAUUAUAUUAAGUUAUAAUGUUAUAUUUUGAUAUAGUAUAAAUUGUAUUAUAUAAGGUAAUGUUUUAUAUUAAUGUUAAAACUAAAUUAAUAUUAUUUAAAUUUAUUAAUAUUUUAGGAUUUUAUUAUUAAUUUUUUAAUUAAGUAUUAAAAAUUAUUUUAUAGUAUAGAAAAAUUAUUUUAUAGUAUAUAGACUAUUAUUAAAUGAUAAAAUAUUAAAGUACUAUGUUAUAGACUAUUAUUAAAUAAUAAAAUAUUAAAGUACUAUGUUAUAUUAUUAAAAAUUAUUAUAUUAUAAUAUAAUUUAUUUCUAGAUAUUAAUUAUUAUAAUAUAGUAUAAUCAUAUAAUAAUAUAAUAUAAGUUAAUAUUAUAUUGUAAAAAUAUAAUACUGUACAAUUAUUUAAUAUAACGUAAAUUAAUUUAUAAUAUAAUAUUAAAUUAUAAAUUUAUUAAAUUAAAUUAAAAUACUUUUUAUGUAUUUAAAGUAAAAUAAUUAAAAUAAUUUAUGUAAUAGAAGUAUGAUAAUGUAUUAUCAUUUUCUCAUUAAAUAUUUUAGGUUUAUUAAUUUGUUAAAUUAUUAUUGAAAUUAAAAUUAAUUUUUUAAAUGUAAAUAUAAAUAUAAAUGAAUGUUUAAUAAAAUCUACUCCUAGGGAUCUAUUUUAUACACUUUUUAUUCUCUAAAUCACGCAUAAUGUAGUUGUAUAAUAGAAACUGGAUAUUUAAUGGAAGCAAAAUUGCGCACGGUUUGUGGGUCUGUCAAAAUAUGAUAAAAAGACCAACAUGAUACACUGACUCUGUCCUCUUUAAUAUUUUUCUAGAUGCUUCCGUGGCAUAAUCUCAUUGGUCCAUUUUACUUCACGGCUUAGAUUCAACUUCAAAAAUCAAUUUGAAGCACACACAACAAUUCAACAAAUAUAAUAAGCGUCGAUAAACUUGUAGCUGACUGGCUGUGGCCAAGCAAAAAUGUACCUCAUGGUUACCGAAGGGUAAUUAUUAGAAAUCUCCCCUAAGGUUUGGCGUAUUUUCAGUUUGAUAGAUUGUAUUCGUGUAUUUUCAAAAACCUCCCCUGACAUUGAUAUACUGUUAAUUUGACCGUUUGUUGCAUGAUAAAAUGACAAAUAUAACCCUAAUUCAAAAAAGGGUAAUUAUCAUAAAAUUCUGUUGUAGCCUUAUAGGAAUAGAAUUUAAAAUUCUGUUGCAUCUCCUGUACCAAAUACUAAUUUGCUGGCUAUAUAUAUGGGAAAUGGCAGCUUCAUCAUCUCAUUUCUUUGACGUGAGUAGUGUAACAUUAUCUAAAUUCAAAAGUAUUUCUAUCACUUGUGUAAAAAACAACCUACUAAAAAAAAAACAAAAUCUUCACCAAGAUUGAAAGAAGUUUGAUGAAGAAAGCUAAGCAAUGAGGCAAAGUGCAAAAAGCUUCCUUCUAAUUCUGCGAUAUUUGACUCAAAUCUUUUCUUUGUUUCAUUCAUCAAAGUCAUUUUGGAAAGUAACAGGGAUGAUUUGGUAUUUUCAUUCCUUGGUGCCAGAACAAACAUGCUAGUACGAACCAACAAUUUUUUAUUUUCAGUAUACAAACUAUGUUUUUUGAAUUAGGGGAGGCAUCUGAAUUAUCCUCACCAACCAAAUUAUACGAAACGGUAUACUAAUGUUAGGGGAGGCAUCUGAAAAUAGGUGAAUACAAUCUAUCAAACUGAGAAUAUGCUAAACUUCAGGGGAGGUUUAUGAUAAUUACCCGGUUACCGAAUCAUAUCUUACGUCAGAAUUUUGAACUUAAACAAUGUUCUCAUUCCACGUGUCACUCUCUAACCAGUCCCCAAACUUUUAUCAUAUUUCCAAAGAAACCCCUACCAAAUCAAGGUAAUUACCGUCACUCGGCUCAAAUGAAUAGUCUCCUCGAUUCAACUGAUGACGACAUAUCCUCAUAGCCUUUAUUUAGAAGGGGAAAUUAUAAAAAAAUCCCCUCGUUCUCUAAAAAUAUGGGGUUUCUCAAGAAUAGCUAAACCUACAUCCCAAUCCUGAAAAAUCUCAAUUUAACCUCUCUAGGGUUUCGAUUGUUGAUGAUUCGCUUCAAAAUUUUGUAUUCUUUUAGUGGAUUUUGCUUGUCUCGUAUCCUUCAAUUGUUAGUUCAGUUCUGAUAAUAAUUUCGAAAUUUUUUAUACAAUAUAAAUUAAUUUAAAUUAAAAUUGAUAGAACAAUUGGGCGGUUAAUAAUUAAUUGAUGGCUAGUGAUACUACAACGGCGCCCGCGCCCGCAGCUCCGGAAAAAGCGGAGGCGGUGGAGGAGUAUGAUAGCAAUCCAGAUGAAGUGAAACGCUGUCUUGCGACGCGCAGAAGGGAAGCCAGCGAUGACGAGGACGUGGAGGACGUGGUGGAGGAGUACGAGAGCGAUCCAGAUGAAGUGAAACACUCUCUCGUGAUGCGCAGAAUGGAAGCAAGCGAUGAUAAGGAGGAGGAGGAUAAAGAAUUCGAGCGUCGAAUGAACCGUAGGGUCCACAUUCAUUAUUACGAUGAAUCUGAUGGCCAAGGUGGUGUCCUGCUGAGAAUGAUGAUGAUCAUCUCUCUCGACCAGUUCAGGUUCAAGGGAAGGGUGCUCGAGGGGUACUUGUCUUGUUUAUCAUUUUUGUUUAAUUUUCAUAAAUUCAACGACCCACAAUUCAAUUAUGAGUGAAGAAUUUGUUAAAAAAAUGUGGUCUUCCAUUUACUAUAACUAAGUCCGUGUGAUGUAAUUAUUUUUCUGUCACUUAAUGUCUUGAAAAUUAUGAAUACAUUGUAGGAUUUAGAAGGAUUUUAAGUUUUAAUGCAUAUGGGUUUUUUAUGUCCGUCCACUUAUGCGUAUACUGCAUUUUAUGAUUAUCGUAGUUGGUAGAUUGACAAAUGGACCUUAAUUACAAGUCAAAUAACCUAAAUACUUAUCGGCCAAAGGAAACCAUUUAUAGUACUUUCUAGUGAAGCAAAGUAAAAUGAUUCAUACUGGCAAAGAAAAUUAGAAAGAAAAGGAGGAUUACUGAUCCACACAGUGUCGUUUACUAAAAGUACGUUGAUCUUACACUUAAUUUAUUAUAUAUCCAUUUAUAAUGUUCAAAAUGAUAAUGUACUAUUUCUUAAAUUAGGCUUUCAAAACAUCAUUUUGAUAAUGCAUAGUUGUAAUGUGUCUCUAAAUUCAGUAAUACAAGUUAUUUCUGUUACUAAUGGAUGAAGUGACUUGAAACUUGCGUGGUCAUUAAAUGCUGGCAUAAUCUCUUUGACUUCUCUUGCAUUUGAAUGAAUGGAUGAGCGUUGCAUUUGAAUGAAUGGAUCAGUGUUAAUGCAGGCAAAGAUUUUCUGGACUUUCAUGGAUGCACAAUAAAUGCUACGUCAAAGGCCUGGUAAGAUGUCAGCAAGCUGGUCGAAGAUAUCAACCUGAUUUGGUGGCUGCAAGAUUUGUUCAUCCAGGACCGUUUUCUUUGACAAUGAGAAAGCCCCAAUGUCUAUAAAUUGAGAACUCACUGAAUUGUAGAGAGAGAGAGGAAAGUGAAUAACGGGAGAGGCAGUGAAAAGAGAGUGUGGGAAGAUUUGGGCGUAAUUGGGGUUUGGGUGUGAGAUAAAAUAAUCAGAGAGUGGUUGUAAUAAUUUUUUAUACGGUGAAAUUUUUUUGUCUCGUUGUUUUUUGCAGUGGUGGUUUUUUACUCUAAUAAAAUAGUCUUCCAAGUAAAUUUUGUGUGUUAUGAUUGGGAUAUUCACCAUUUUAGUUUUCUAUUUAUUAUUUGUUUUACAUAUUGCUAGCAAAAAUCUGGGGCGGGAACCGAAAAUUCCCAACAAUUAUUAAUUAUUUUAAACUCUGUUCUGAACAGAGCAUGAAGGGUUUCACUUACCUAGUUACGUUUUUCAUUCUUUCACUUCACUUGAUUUCAUCACAAGGAUCAUAUUCUGGCUAACGAAGGAGCAAAGUUCAUUGGCUGCACUCAUGUGUAGCAGAGUAUUUGGAUUCAAGACUGUUAGAAGGUCGUUACAGAGUAUUUGGAUUCACUCUCCAAUUUUCAUUAAUUUAGUGUAGAUAACGUGGUCAUGAAAACUUGAUUAAGAGUUUAAUGCAAUCAAAUCUACUUUAAUGAUUAUUUAAUGCACGGAGAUUUAACAUCAAUUAUCAUCACGUUAGUCUAACAACGAAAUUGCAGAGCUUGGAUCUUUACUCGAACAGUUUCACUGGCUCUAUUUCUGACACAUUGGGCAAGCUGAUGGAAUUGCAAUUCCUGUAUGAUCAUUUCCCCAACUAUUAUUUGAAUAAUUAUUUAAUGCCGUUCAUUCCAGCUCUGUUUGGCUGUUAACUUUAUUUAGUUAUAUAUGAGGAGAUUCAUUUCUCACCUGAAGCUAGAAAUUUACGGAUCAAUGACUUUUUAUUUUUUCUUUUAUAUGAUAGCUUGCAAUCCCUGGUGUGUGUUGAUAGAGCCUUACAUGAUUACAAAAAUGAAUUUUUUUUUGGGGGCCAAUUGCAGUUUUGAUAACAACUAAAAUCUGUGUGGCCCAGUUACCACAAAGCCUUGCUCCAGAUCCCUGCCAUUUUCUCCUCCACCUCCAUUUGGGGAAAUUACCACUUACUUUUUGCAAGUUUUUCGUGAAAUAUUUAUUUUGAGAAGAAAACCAACAAUACAUUUUAUGAUUUGGGCUGUUUCAAAGAUCUUCGCUUGAUGUCUCUGCUACUGGUUUUCAGCAGAGUGCCCAAAAAUAAUCAGUGCACGCACUAUAGGCUCUAUUAUUAUCAGUAAAAAGCAUUAAUGAUAUAUUGGGAUCGACUUUUUUAUUUGGGAGUGGAAGGAUGCUUGAAAGAGUAGAGUGGUGCAUCUUGUUCAAACAUGCACCGUAGAGAAAUUAGUUUAGGCUCUAACCAUUGUUAUAGUAGAGAAAAAGAAAAUUAAUCAAGAGUAAUUUUAUGACUUUUUAGAAAAUAGUGAAUUAAAAUAAUAAGUUAUAAUUUCAUAAUUAUCUUAAUUAAAAAAAUGGGGGUUUGAAAUAAAAUUAGUGAAUUUAAAUAGCCUGCCCAAAAUCCAAACUUGCAUAUCAAUUAUUUUCUAAUUUACAUAAAGUUUUUCUAUAUGUUUGAUAACAUUUGAUUCUCAAUUGGUCUAAUGGAGAAACAACCAGCAAAAAAAUAAAAUGAAUGCAAUUAAAUGGAAAUUUGAAAAGAGCAGUAGAUGACAUUUAUGUGCAAGCAAAAUGCAAAAUUGCAUUCUGUUUGUGGGAUCCUGGAAAAAAUAAAAGAAAGGAAACAGAGUAAGACGCUGGUACUGUGGGCUUUAAUAUUUUUCUAGAUGCUUCAAUGGCAGAUUCUCGUUGGUUCAUUUUUCUUUACGCCUUAGAUUCUAUGAUUCAAUUUCAAUCAAAUACGACAAACAAAAGAAGCUUUUAAGCCUGCAGCUCAAAAAGAUGGCACUUUAAUUUUCGGCUGAACAUACAAAUGGCAAGAUUAUUAUUAUUGAGCUUGAUAAGUGGGAUAGCAAAAUCCGAAUUCGGAUGUGGGUGUAUUUGGAUUUGGAUCCGGAAAAAAAUAUGUAGAUGUGGAUUCGGAUGCGGGUAAUAUCUGCACGGAUUGCGGGUGAAUAUUCCGGAUAUUCAGAUCCGCAUAAUAAUAAAUUUGAUUUUAAUUUUAAAUUUAAUAAUUUACAUAAUAAUAUUAAAUAAAAUUCAAUUAUAAUUUAACAAUCAAUAAUUUAACAUCAAUUCAACAUAAAUAACAUACAACAACACCAUAAAUUCACAAACAAUAAUUUCACAAUAUAAAUCAAACAUAAAAAAUAAAAAAUAAUCUAUGGUAAACCGAUUUAUUAUAAUAUUCUCUAAUUAUUAUUAUUAUUUGUUUUUUAAUAUAUUCAUAGUUAAUGAAGAUUAUAGAGUUAAUUAUGCUUAUAAAUUUAAAUAAAUAAUUUAAUUUAUAUAUUUUCAAUUAAAAUUUAAUUACAUAAAUAAUUUAAUUAUAAAAUAAUUGAUAAGUGCAUAUUUUCCACAUAUUUUGCUUUUAAUUUCUCCAUCUUUUUCUUAUUUUGAUCUUAAAUAUUCUAGUUAUUUUAGUUAAUUUUUAAUUUAAUAGGGAAUUAAUUAAUAUACAUAUUUUAUUUUUUUAUAUAUUUGCUAGUUAUUUUUAUUUCUUAUUUUUAAUUCAUUGUAUUAUUUUAUUGAAUAGGAAAUUAAUUGGAGAUUGUGGAUAAUAAAAAGGCAUGAAGAAAUUCAAAUUGAGAAGGAAUGAAGAUUAAAUUGGAAGACAAAAAUCAAAGCAAUUAAUCCAAUUGAGAAAUGUUGAAUAAUUAAAAGAUUUAAUUUUUUCCAAUUGGCAAAUUGGAGUACACGUUCAUGGCAUUGCAAAAGUGGAAAGCAUUUAAACGGGCCCACAAUUGACUUUCAAAAGUUGGAAUUAAUGGCUUUGGGUGGCGUUAAAUUGGAAAAGGAUUUCAAUUAGAAUUGAAAAAGGAUUUCUUUGGAUUUGUUGGAGAAGAAUUCGGUCAACUAGCAUUAUAAAAAGAGAGCAGCUGCUGGACGGAAGAAAAAAAAAAGACAGGAGAGAGAGCAGGGGCUGAUCCAAUUCGGCAAGAAGAAGAAAAAAAUCAGCAGCCGGAAUUCAAUUGAAGAAAAACGCUGCCGCUUGAAUUAAUCUCCAUGAUUGGUUUUGUCAAUUCUCUUAUUCUCAAUUCAAUUAUGUUAGGCUAAAUUUUUAUUUGGUUGAGGGUGAAUUCAAAACCCUAAACAUGCUAUGCAAUUAAAUUUAAAUUCUAUCAUUCAAUUUAUUUAAUUGAGAUUGUCUAUAAUUAAUUUUCAUGGUUUAUUCUUGUUUUAUUUAAGUGGCCAAUUAGAUAGGACUUGAAUAAAUUUUAUUGCUAGAUUAAAAUUCUUGAUCCGUAAUUGUCUUGAUAUUUUAAUCAUUAGUAGCAGGUUGGAAUCAGUGAUUUCAAUUGAAGAACAUAACCUAGGUUAAAUAAUCCGAGCUUGUGUGUUUAUUGCCUAGAUCAACCUAAUAUCUUUCUCUGUUUAAUGCUUCCAUUAUCUUAAAUUUAAAGAGCUUGUUUUAAAUUAUUUAAUGGUUAGAGAUUAUGUGAAGAGCUUAUUUUGCCUAACGACACACUAAGGAAAGAUUGAGACUAACAGAGCUUAUUGUUGUCUACGGUUGAUAGUUUUAAUAUAAAUUGAUGGUAGAAUUGAUAUAUUAUGUGCAUGUUUGGUGGUGGCGAAUGAUCCUUUAACCAAAGUUUUCAUCAUUAUUAUUUCCUUCUCAUUUAAUUAGAGUUUUUAUUAAAUUCUUGUUCGUAGUUUUAAUUUCUUUAUUUCUUACUAUUUAGUUAAAAAUUCAUAAACCCCCAUUUUAUUUAUAAUUGGCAUUUUCUUUAGUUAGAUUAAUUUAUAUUAUUAUUACUAUUAUUAUUAUUACUAUUAUUUUAUUUUAAAUCUUGCUUUGGAGUUAAUAAUAAAUAUAACUAGCAUAGUCUCUGUGCGAUCGAUCCUUACUCGCUCUGUACUAAUUAUUUAUAUUAGUGGUAAGGUUUUAAAUUUGGUGCACCUUAACGACACUACCAAAUUUUUGGCGCCGUUGCCGGGGACUAGCGUCUAGUUUGUUUAUUAUCACUCGUUUUAUUUUUAUUUUUUUUUAUUUCUUUUCUCAUUUUAUUUAUUUAUUUUAUUUUAAUUAGUUAAUUUUUGUUCUAUAUUUAGAUUUUCAUGAGCAUAGAGGACAUUCGAUUGAAACUCGAACAACUUAGAGCAACCUCAUCAUAUUCAGAACUCGAUUUUGCCAUCCACAUUCCACUCCCGAAGACAGAACCAAGCAGCCCAGAACCCGAACCAAUGGCUCAGAAUAACAACCGAACACUUAAAGAGUUGGCAGCUCCUAACUUGGACCAGCAACCCUUAUGCAUUGAGAAUCCAAACCCUCAGGUAAACUUUGAACUCAAAUCUGGGAUGAUUCAUCUUCUUCCUACUUUUCAUGGUCUUGCAGGAGAGGAUCCAAAUAAGCACUUGAAGGAGUUCCAUGUGGUCUGCUCCACAAUGAAACCAGCCGGAGUUUCUGAAGAGCAAGUUAAGCUAAUGGCCUUCCCAUUCUCUUUGGCGGAUUCAGCCAAGGAAUGGUUGUACUAUCUUCCCUCCGGUACUAUCACUACAUGGAAUGAGAUGCGUCAGCUAUUUUUGGAGAAAUAUUUCCCAACAUCAAAAGCUGGCAGCAUUCGAAAAGAAAUUUGUGGAAUCCGACAGUAUAAUGGAGAGUCGCUCUACGACUAUUGGGAACGAUUCAAAAAGCUAUGUGCUAGUUGCCCUCACCAUCAGAUAAGUGAUCAACUUCUUAUUCAAUACUUUUAUGAGGGUCUACUACCUAUGGAUAGGAGUAUGAUUGAUGCCGCUAGUGGAGGAGCACUCGUGGAUAAGACACCAGAAGCAGCCCGAAAUCUCAUUGCUAACAUGGCUGCUAAUUCCCAACAGUUCAACACUAGGAACGAUCUACUGCCGCCACCUAAGCGAGUCAAUGAGGUAAGUACUACUUCUCUAGAAAAACAAGUUUCAAAUCUUACUUCUUUGGUGCAACAAUUAGCUCUAGGGCAACAAAUGAGACCGUGUGGCGUAUGUUCUAUGGUCGGGCAUGCAACUGAUAUGUGCCCUACUCUCCAAGAGGGUUCACAUGAGCAGACCAACGCAGUUGAGGGGUUCCUAGGCCAAUCAAGACAAAGGUAUAAUCCAUAUUCUAAUUUUUACAAUGAAGGGUGGAAGGAUCACCCUAAUUUUAGGUAUGGGAACCAACAACAAGGCAUUCCUAAUGUGGCACCAUCUCGACCACCGGGCUACCCCCAACAGCGGGUGCAACAACCUUAUCAAGAUCGGUCACCUCCACCUUCUCAAAAUCAAGGUACGUCUUUGGAAGAUCUUGUAAAAGCUCUCGCUACUAACUCUAUGCAAUUCCAACAGACUACCCAGACACAGCUCCAACAUUUAGAGAAUCAAAUUGGCCAAUUGGCCACAUCUAUGAGUAGGAUAGAGGCUAGAACUUCAGGAAAGCUACCUUCUCAACCAUAAAUUAAUCCAAAGGAGAAUGCUAGUGCUAUGUCUCUUAGGAGCGGAAAGCAAUUGGAACCAUUAUUAGCUAAGCCAUCAAAAGUGUCCACAACAUCAUCGCCCUCUGUGACAAUUCCUCCCCUGAGGCUCUUCCUUUAACAAGGAAAGACGAUUCCCACUCGGCAUUGCCAGUCGAUCCAUCUAGCCAGGUAAGUACCCCCUCACCUCGAAUUAAGACUCUUUCCAUUCCUCCACCAUUUCCUAGCAGAUUUAAACAAUCCAAGAAAGAGGAGCAAGAAAAAGAGAUCCUUGAGACCUUUCGUAAAGUAGAGGUAAAUAUUCCUCUACUUGAUGCUAUUAAACAAGUGCCACGUUAUGCAAAGUUUUUGAAGGAAUUAAGCAGCAACAAGCGAAAGUUGAGCGGUAACGAAAAAGUAAGUGUAGGAGAGAACAUUUCUGCUGUACUUCAAAGAAAACUUCCUCCUAAGUGCAAGGAUCCAGGUACUUUUACUAUCCCCUGCACUAUUGGCAAUACCAGAUUCGAAAGAUGUAUGCUAGAUUUAGGGGCCUCAAUUAAUGUUAUGCCAUAUUCGAUUUAUAACUCCUUGAAUUUAGGUCCAAUGGAAGAAACUGGUAUAAUUAUUCAAUUGGCUGAUAGAUCUAACGCUUACCCGAAGGGGGUUGUGGAAGAUGUUCUUGUGCAGGUCAAUGAAUUGGUCUUUCCAGCUGAUUUUUAUAUCCUUGAAAUGGACGAUGAAUCAUCGCCCAAUCCCACUCCUAUUCUGUUGGGGCGACCAUUCCUUAAGAUAGCCCGAACCAAGAUUGAUGUUCAUGAUGGAACCCUUACAAUGGAAUUUGAUGGUGAAGUGAUCCGCUUCAAUAUCUUUGAGGCAAUGAGGUAUCCUAGUGAUGUUCAUUCUGUUUUUGCCAUGGAUGAUAUUAAUACUUUGGUGCAAGAUUUCUUUGAAUUAUCCGGUAAUGACAGUUUUGAAAUUGCCAUAAGCAAAAAUCUUACGAAAGAUGAUUCUAAGGAACAUGCAAAUUUGAUAAAGUUGGAUGAUGAGGCACCUACCUUAGAACUUAAACCACUCCCAGAACACCUGCAAUAUAUUUACUUGGGUGAGAAUGAAACACUUCCAGUCAUAAUUGCUAAAACCCUCACCCCAGUUCAACAAGAAAAGUUAAUUAGGGUGCUUCGGGAUCACAAAACGGCGAUUGGCUGGACCAUUGCCGACAUUAAGGGAAUUAGUCCUUCCAUGUGCAUGCAUCGCAUUUUGCUAGAGGAAGGGUCUAAACCAACGAGAGAUGCACUUUGGGCAUGUAGGACCGCAUACAAAACUCCUAUUGGUAUGUCACCCUACAGGUUGGUAUAUGGUAAGCCUUGUCAUCUUCCAGUGGAACUUGAACAUAAAGCAUGGUGGGCUGUGAAACAAUGUAACAUGGAACUGGACGCCGCCGGCCAACACAGAAAGCUCCAAUUGCAAGAAUUAGAGGAAAUUCGAAAUGAUGCCUAUGAGAGUUCACGAAUCUAUAAGGAAAAGACUAAGGCUUUUCAUGAUAAGCAGAUCUUGAGAAAGAAUUUUGAAGUUGGACAGAAAGUUCUGCUAUUCCAUUCUCGCCUUAAGUUGUUUCCAGGUAAGUUAGGUUCUCGAUGGGUUGGGCCUUUUGUUGUUAUUAAUGUUUUUCAUCAUGGUGCAGUUGAGAUCAGGAGCUUAAAGACAGGUAAAGAGUUCAAAGUUAAUGGUCAUAGGUUGAAGCCUUACUAUGAAAAUUUUCAAACACUCAAUGUAGAGGAGGCUCCACUUUAUGAACCUGCGUACGUUGAUGAGUGAAACUUGAGAACCAGGUCAGGCUGAGGACAAUAAACCAAGCGCUUAUUGGGAGGCAACCCAAUGGUUGGAGAAAAGAAUUUGAGAGCACGCCAUAACAGAUUUGAUCUUUCUCCCUUUCAUUCUCAUUUACUUUAUCCACUAUGUUGAAUUUUGUUUGUUUCUGUUUGUGUGUCUCAUCUCCUUUCCCCAUGUUUAAUUCUUUUGUUAGUUUAGGCUUACAUUGAGGACAAUGUAAGAAUUAAGUGUGGGGGGGUGGAUUUCGAACUUAGUUUUUGUUGCUUUGUCUUUUUCUUUUUUAAAAAAAAAAAUUUGAAUAUUAGCCAGUGAUAAGAAUUUGAUUGACAAUAAAUAUGGUUCUUAGAAAGGGUUGAAUAUUACCUUAGUUUAUACUUGAUUCUUGUGUUGAUUUCCUCUUAAUUGAGAUUCUUUAAACCAUGAGCACUAAUAUCAAUUCUUUCAUAAUUUUGACUUAGAAUUUGAGAUUGACGCAGCCUGAGUUGAGAAUUUUAGAUUGAGUAAAUGACUGUUUGUCUUGAUUCUUAUCUCCACAAUACAGUGUAGUAUACACAGGCACCAUAGUCAGAAAUAGCUACCUAUAACCCUUAAGAGUGAAGCUAUCCUUGAGUAAUUUGGGCCUAUGUACCACCAGUAUGUAGAGGAUAAUCUACCAUGAGAAGAAGGCUACCUUAAGGGGUAGAGUGAAAGCUCCUGACUAAAAAAAAAAAAAAAAACCAAAAAAAAACCAAAAAAAAAAACAAAAAAAAAGAGAACUUCAAAAGAAAAUGCACACAAAUGCCUGUGAAAGAAAGAAAAUUUUUUUUUUGGAGAUCAAGAUGAUAAGAUUAGUUUGACCUACUCUUUUCUUUGUUCGAGGCAAAGGCUGUUGAUAUUGAAGAUUUUGGGAAUGGAUUUUAAUUGAAUUGAUUCACACACACACACAAUGAGAAUCAAAAGAGAGAUGUGAUUGAGUAUUGAAUUAAAGUUAGAACUUCGAUAAUAUUUGAAAUUUUCUUUGAGCUAUAUGAUUUAUGCAAUCUUUGAGGCUAGUUUUAUUUUAAAAUAAAAAAAAAAACAAAAAAAAAAAAAUUGCAAUGAUGUUUGUGGGUAUCAUCGUUGAAGCCCUCACGAGACUAUAACUCGUCCACUAGGGCCGCCUAGGGGUUUAAAGGCUUGUUGCAUACGCUAAAUGCAAUCGUGAUUUCCUACGAAAGUGGACUAGUUUAGGUUUUCUUUUUAUUUUUGUUCUAGGUUUACUCGAGGACGAGCAAAGGGUAAGUGUGGGGGAAUUUGAUAAGUGCAUAUUUUCCACAUAUUUUGCUUUUAAUUUCUCCAUCUUUUUCUUAUUUUGAUCUUAAAUAUUCUAGUUAUUUUAGUUAAUUUUUAAUUUAAUAGGGAAUUAAUUAAUAUACAUAUUUUAUUUUUUUAUAUAUUUGCUAGUUAUUUUUAUUUCUUAUUUUUAAUUCAUUGUAUUAUUUUAUUGAAUAGGAAAUUAAUUGGAGAUUGUGGAUAAUAAAAAGGCAUGAAGAAAUUCAAAUUGAGAAGGAAUGAAGAUUAAAUUGGAAGACAAAAAUCAAAGCAAUUAAUCCAAUUGAGAAAUGUUGAAUAAUUAAAAGAUUUAAUUUUUUCCAAUUGGCAAAUUGGAGUACACGUGCAUGGCAUUGCAAAAGUGGAAAGCAUUUAAACGGGCCCACAAUUGACUUUCAAAAGUUGGAAUUAAUGGCUUUGGGUGGCGUUAAAUUGGAAAAGGAUUUCAAUUAAAAUUGAAAAAGGAUUUCUUUGGAUUUGUUGGAGAAGAAUUCGGUCAACUAGCAUUAUAAAAAGAGAGCAGCUGCUGGACGGAAGAAAAAAAAAAAGACAGGAGAGAGAGCAGGGGCUGAUCCAAUUCGGCAAGAAGAAGAAAAAAAUCAGCAGCCGGAAUUCAAUUGAAGAAAAAGGCAGCCGCUUGAAUUAAUCUCCAUGAUUAGUUUUGUCAAUUCUCUUAUUCUCAAUUCAAUUAUGUUAGGCUAGAUUUUUAUUUGGUUGAGGGUGAAUUCAAAACCCUAAACAUGCUAUGCAAUUAAAUUUAAAUUCUAUCAUUCAAUUUAUUUAAUUGAGAUUGUUUAUGUUCUUCUAUAAUUAAUGUUCAUGGUUUAUUCUUGUUUUAUUUAAGUGGCCAAUUAGAUAGGACUUGAAUAAAUUUUAUUGCUAGAUUAAAAUUCUUAAUCCGUAAUUGUCUUGAUAUUUUAAUCAUUAGUAGCAGGUUGGAAUCAGUGAUUUCAAUUGAAGAACAUAACCUAGGUUAAAUAAUCCGAGCUUGUGUGUUUAUUGCCUAGAUCAACCUAAUAUCUUUCUCUGUUUAAUGCUUCCAUUAUCUUAAAUUUAAAGAGCUUGUUUUAAAUUAUUUAAUGGUUAGAGAUUAUGUGAAGAGCUUAUUUUGCCUAACGACACACUAAGGAAAGAUUGAGACUAACAGAGCUUAUUGUUGUCUACGGUUGAUAGUUUUAAUAUAAAUUGAUGGUAGAAUUGAUAUAUUAUGUGCAUGUUUGGUGGUGGCGAAUGAUCCUUUAACCAAAGUUUUCAUCAUUAUUAUUUCCUUCUCAUUUAAUUAGAGUUUUUAUUAAAUUCUUGUUCGUAGUUUUAAUUUCUUUAUUUCUUACUAUUUAGUUAAAAAUUCAUAAACCCCCAUUUUAUUUAUAAUUGGCAUUUUCUUUAGUUAGAUUAAUUUAUAUUAUUAUUACUAUUAUUAUUAUUACUAUUAUUUUAUUUUAAAUCUUGCUUUGGAGUUAAUAAUAAAUAUAACUAGCAUAGUCUCUGUGGGAUCGAUCCUUACUCGCUCUGUACUAAUUAUUUAUAUUAGUGGUAAGGUUUUAAAUUUGGUGCACCUUAACGACACUACCAAUAAUACAGAUCCGGAUAUCCGGUUUUCCGAAUGUAAGUGCAUCCGGAUCCGCAUGGAUCUUAAUUUUUAAGAUCCGGAUUCGCAUUUUUUAACGUACAGAUCUGAAUUUUUUGAAUUCGAAUCUUCUGAAUAUUUGCUGAUCCAGAGUUUAUUGCCAACCCUAAAUUGAUAAGGCUAUAGAAAAUUCAAUAUCCAGAUCGGAUAAGGAUCCAAUAAAUUAUAAAAUAUUGCGGCUCAAAGCCCAUAUGAUCAUGGGCCACCGCUUGCUCAUGCUUUGAAUCAAAAUUUUCUAAUGAAGUGAGGUUGGAAGCUAAAAGGGGCAAAUGAUGAAAUGGGGUUCAUCAUUUAUUGAGCCCAACGGGACAAGAUCAUCAUUUAAUUCCCUCCUCUUGUCGAUAGAUAUUUGCCGAAUUUUUUCAUUUAAAAAAUAUUAUAUUGGUUAAUAGAAUUUGAAGUUUUACAAAAUAUAAGUUUAAUUUUAGAAAAAAUUAUAUUUGUUAAUUUAAAAUUUUCAUUUGGUGGUUGUGUUUGAGAAAAAUUUUAGGUAUACUCGGAUAUACUCUCUUAUUAUUCAUUGAAUUUGGGCAUUUAAACAUACUAGUAUAGUAUGCAGUAUUUUUAGGUAAUUAGCGGAGAAGUAUACGUGACAAAAAUAUAACACGUGAAACAAUACACAAUGAAAUUAUCUACAAUUUUCCAUUGACUUAGUCAACUCUUCAUUAAUUUCAUUGACUUGAUCAACUCAUGAAUCAUGAUCUAACUUGACAACUUGAAAAUUAAAAUAUGCUAGUAAUUCCGUAAAAUUAAAAUUUAUCUCCCAAAAUUGAUAAAUACUGUGUCACUUUGUCAAAUUACUUAGGGUAAAAACUCUGUGGCUAAAAACUUUUAACAUUAGUUGUAUGCUAAUUGAGAAGGACAAGACACAAAAGAAUUCAAUGAAUGCGACAUCAUGUAACACUAACACUAUUUACUCUUAACAAAUUCUUACAAACGUGAUUCAUGAAAUUAACUUGACUUUUUGUCUAAAAAAGGCCUAAAGAAACAUGCCAAGCAACAAAUAAAGUAGUCCAAACGUGAUUCAUGAAACUUGAUAGGCACUAUCUAAAUAGUAUUAAUAUGGCAACCAAAAACAUCCGCGCAAAAUAGACUUUCUUGGACGAUCCAUGCCAAUCAACAAAUAAAGUAGUCCAAACGUGAUUCGUGAAACUUGACUUCUUGUCUAAAAAGGCCUAAAGAAACAAGACCAAAAUUUCCAUGCAAUAGCAAUAUGGUGGCCACAAUGCACUUUUUAAGCCAUUUUUCAAAACUAAGUUUCUUCGUAUCACAUGCACUAUUCAAGCAAUUUUUCAACAUUUUCUCCUUCCCCUAAAAGCUACAUGCAUGAAUCAUGUCCCAAUCAAUUUCUUGGCAAAAAUUGGAACGCAAGAACCGAUUGGAGCAUAAGGACAAUGUCACGAUUCAAGAUUCUCAGCAAGACCACGUCACAAUGCAUCACUUUUGGAAAGUAAUUUAGCAAUUUCCAAUGCCUUAGCUGAUUAAUGGCUUGAACAUGUCACGAUUGGUCCACAUUAUGCACAUGGCAAGAUCAAACAAAAUAUCACAGCUAGCUCGACGACUACUAGCCAAAAUAACAAGACAAUGACGGCCAGUUACAAACUCUUUACGAAGGAAAUACCGAAAUAUGAAUAUCCCUCCUAAUCACUUUCUUAUAUUAUAAUUAUUUUGUACAUAUAACAGAACACGUUCUCUCUUGUAAACAAGUCAAGAAAACGGUUUUAGUUUUCAUAUCAAUAAUGGAAUCCAAAAUCUUUCACAGCUUGCUUCUCCUUUGGACGCUUGAAAGACUUUCUUACCUGGCUAAGACUGAAAAUUGUUUGCGGUCAACUCGUGGCACCCUUAUUGACACGCAAAGAACUUACAUCGAGGAGUUGUUUGAUUUUAUGUUUCAAAUUAAGUACCAUAGCAUUACUACUUCUAUAAAUAACUCAUUUGAGCUUCCAGCCUGUUAUUUGUAUUUUACGUUUCUGUUUCUCUUCAUAAAUAUUUUUUUUUCCAUUCUCUUUUUCUUCCACUUUCCCGACUCCCAAACACCACCAGUCUUUGAUUUUCCUAGAGUAUUAACUGUCUGUUUACACGAACAUAGACCGACUGUUUGUCUAAUUACUGUCAAGAAACAGCAUACUCUGUCUCGGGGUCUCUUCGUUUAUUGACUUGUCACUUGUGAACGGGAUAAUUAAAGGGCAUUCCUUUCUUCAAGAAAGAUUGCCAAGAAAGUACCAUCCAUUAGACACGUUAAGAGUUAUUUUACAUUAAAAAUGAUAAUAAUCAUAAUAAUCGGUUUAGUGUUACCCCUUUAUUAGGUAAUGACUGUCCGAUUGUCUUCGCUUUCAUUGACUUCGCAACUGUGAAUUCUAAGCCGGGUUAAGGAUUGACAAAAUGUUAUAACCCAUAAAGCACGGAUAAUUAAUUAAUGGGCCACUGAUUUCUUCUUUAAAGGCUAAUUCUUGGUAAAGAUCAGAAAGUUCUCAAAUAAAAAUUCGGCUUUGUGGAAAUUAAAUUAAAAGCAAUUAAGCAUUAUAAAUUACUUAACAGCUUAAUCGAGUUUGGUUUUGAAAAAUAUAUCUUUAAAUCUCUUGUAAUUAAAGAUAAUUAUCAUAUUACCGUCUCAAAUGGACCGAUUUCAAUCAAAUGAAAUCUAGAAAAUUGAGCAGCUCAUUGAUGUAUUUGAUCGAACUUGUGUCAGAGUCUUCGUUUUAGAAGAGUGCACAGCAGCUGCCAGGUCCACUUGGCAGUUGGCACGCUAAAAAUUUUCUGUUGACCAAUAAUUUUGAAAGGGAUAUUAUUAAUUUACUAUCAAAUAUUUUCUAACACAUCACUUUACUAUCAAAAUUUUUUGACAAUAAUUUUUUGUCACUUAAUAUUUCAAUUUUUAUCAUUUUAUCAUCAAAAAAUAGUAAAUGCAUGCGUAGUGUCAGUUAUUCAUAAAAAUGGUUGUUGAAUUGUCCUGUUUCUCAUUUGGUUUAAUUUUCAUAAAUUCGACUCACACAAUUCAAUUAUGAGUGAAGAGUUUUUUUUUGGGAAAAAAUCUGGUCUUCCAUUUACUAGAAUCACGUCUGAAUGAUUUUGUUAUUUUUCUUUUGUUUGAAAUAUACGUGGAAAAUGUUGAACACUUUGUAGGAUUUAGAAGAAUUUGAAAGUUUGAAUGCAUAUAGUUUACUAUCCAUCAACUAGUGCAUAUUCUGUAUUUUAUGAAAUCAAAGCUGGUUGAUUGAGAAAUGGACCUUAUUACAUGUCAUAAGAUUUUACAGUGCUUUCUAAUGGAGCAAAAUAAAAUGAUUCUUACCUGCACAGAAAAUUAGAUGUUACACUUAAAUUUAUUAUCCAUCUCUAUUGUUUAUAUGACACUGAAGUAUUACCUAAAUUAGCCUUUCAAAACUUCAUUUUCAAAAAUCUAUGGUUGUGAUGCGUCUCUAUAAACUCACUCGUACAAAUUCUAUCUAAUGCCAAUCAUUUUAAACUCUGUUCUGAACAGAGCAUGAAAGGAUAUGUUCACUUAUCUAGUUAUGUUUUUUAUGCUUUCACUUCACUUGAUUCACCUUGUCCCUCUUUUAAAACAGCUGCAUAUGCUGGAGUGCCAAAUCCAUCACAAGGAUCAUAUUACAGAGUAUUUCGGGAUUCAAGACUGUAUGCCACGCUGGCAAGUGCGCUCUCACAGAUUGUGGAGAUGGCACCAAAGAUUGUAAACUAACUAGUACUGAAAAAUCCUAUUUGCACAUAAAAUUGCAUAAAAUAAAUAGACUGAGAAAUAAGAUUAAUAAAGUAAAUAAAUUUAUCUUUCUAGUGUUUUUGUGUACGUACAAGUAGCAUUACUCAUUAGCAAUUAGUCUAGAGUGUUCUGAUUUUUUCUAAUAAGUAGCUCACUUGAGCCUAGGACUUGUAACUAUGUUUUACGUUUCUGUAACUUUCUAAUAAAGAUUUUUUUUUUUUAAUUUUCAAUUUCUCUUCCAUUUUCCUGACUCCCAAACACCACCAAUCCUUGAUUUUCUAGAGUAUCAGCUAUCUAUUUCUACAAACACAAAACUACUAUUUACUUUCAAGAAACAACGUAUUCUGUGGUUUAUUGGCUUGUGCCUUGUGAACGGGGCUAAUGUUGGUCUAACUACUUUCACGAAACAACGUACUCCGUGGUUCAUUGACGCGCACGGGGCUAAUUGUCUCCUCUUCCAUUGACUCUGUCAAUUCAUGACUUUGACGCGCACGGUAGCUGCUAACUGCCUUCUCCAUUUGACGUGCAAAAAACUUUCUUGAGUCGGGUUAAAAUUAAUUGAUCAUUUUAUUUGGUGAUAAUGACUUAGUUGUCAAGUCAUGAGUUUGAUGAUGAAGAGGACGAAAAACAUUACUUUAUUAUUUAAAAUAAGACUAUCAAUUAAAUGGAAUCUUACGGAAUUAGAGUGCUUGACUUCUUUUUACAGAAUUAUGAAGUGAAAAAGGAAAUUAAGAAAUUAAAUACUUUUCAUGCGAGUGGAGAAGAUUGGGUAGCGAUUACAUGAAAUAAAAGAAAAAUAAUUUAAAAGUACAACACUUUAAUAAUCUCAUUCCCAAUCAUAUCGGUAUAAAAAUUAUGUAGAUUUAUUGAAUAACUAUUGAUUUUACUUUGGUAAUUUCUUUCUAAAAGUGAGGUAAACAUUUUUAUUUUCUUUGCAUUCGAGCUUUCUUUCUUUUGCGCUGGCCUUCACACUCUUGACCGUAUUUCAUGUAUUUAGUUUUUGUCAUCAUGACUGGUGAAAUAAAAAUAGUCCUCAUUUCAAGGAUUGACAAAAACGUUGUGCUCAUACCGAUUAAUGGGGAACUGAUUUCGUCUUCUUAAAAGAGAAUUAUUUGCAGCGCGGUAAUUAGAAGAUUUCUGUAUUAUAUAGCCAAACCUAAGUGAUAAGAAUUUCCAAAUGAGAUAUAAUUUGGAGGGAAACAAAAAACUAAUUCAAGUUAAAGACCAGCAAUUUCCAUAUGUGAUAUAUCCUUCACUCUUUGACGUAUCCCUGGGGCAAUGUAAGUUGACUUUAUAUUAAAACAAAACAUAAUUACAAUUAUCAUCACUGAUUUGUAUAAUUUUCAGGACUAGUAAAUUAUCUCAAUUUUUAAAAAACAUAAUUACAAUUAUCGAUCGAACACCACUAAUUCCAACAAUUCAUCCAAGUUUUUCAACUUUUUAGAUAUUUGAUAUAUGUCAUGUUUUAACUUAGUACGAGAAAAAAAUUAUAGAAUUUUUUUUUUUUCAAAUUAGUGGAAUUAUUUUACGAUAAAACUAUCACAAUCACAUUUAAAAAUAUUCUUUAAACUUUCACUAUUUCUACUGUUAUUCUUUAAACUUUUUUCUGAACAGAGCAUGGAGGGUCGCUUAUCUAAAUAUGUUUUCUGUGCUUUCACUUCACUUGAUUCAUCUUGUCCCUCUUUUAUAGCUUCUAUCUCGUGUGAGCUUAGAACCUGCAACUUGUAUUUUACGUUUCUGUUACUUUCUCUUUCAUUUUCCCGAUUCCCAAACACCAUCAGUCCUUGAUGUUAUAGAGUAUUAGCUGUCUAUUUGUUCAGACAUAGAGCUACUGUUCCCAGUCCCACUGUAGAUCUUCAGUGGUUAGCUCACUAUUGUUUGAAUAUUAAAAUUAAUUUGUUAAAUAAAUAAAGAAAACAAGAGACAAUUGCCAUAUAUAUUCCAUAUUAAUUAGUCACCGUCCGAUUGUCUCCACUUCCAUUGACUCUGUUGAUUCAUGCUUUCAUGAAGUGAAACGUUUAACACUCUGUUCUGAUCCGCAGGAGAGGAGGAAAAACAUAAUUUUAUUAUUUCAUUCCUGACACGCGCAAUGAGCUUUCUUAAUUGAUGAAUGUGACAUGAAGCUCUAUAAAUAGUUUAAUUUGUAAAAUUGUUAAAAUUUGUUAAAUUUCAUUUAAUUGAUGAAUGUGACAUGAAACUCUAUAAAUAGUUUAAUUUAUAAAAUUGUUAAAAAUUUAAAUUUCAAGUAAGGUAGAUAAAAUGAUUAACUUUUUUCAAUAUUUAGAUAAUUAACAUGUGUCAUGUAACUAUGAGUGAAUGAAUGAAAUUUUUGAAGUACGAAUCCAUUUACAAGUUACGACUUGUCUUGUUUCUCAUUUUACUUAAUUUUCAUAAAAUUGACUCAUGAUCAAUUAUGAGCGAAGAGUUUGUUGGUCUUCCAUUUAUUGUAAUCAGAUGAGUGUGAUUUAAUUAUUUUUUCCUUUUGCUUGAUGUCCCGAAAAUUAUGAAUGCUUUUGUAGGAUGCAGAAGAUUAAAAAUUUUAAUGCAUAUCUAUAGUCAAAACUGAGGAAACAGAACAUUAUUGCUUCUAUAAAUAGGUCAUUUCAGCUUAAAACUUGUUACUUGUAUUUUACAUUUUUGUUUUUUUAACUUUUUCUUCCAUUUUCCCAAACACCACCAAUCCUUGAUUCUUUUCCUAGAGUAUUAGCUGUCGAUUGUUACAAACAUAGACAUACUGUUUGUCUAAUUACUAUCAAGAAACAACAUACUCUAUCCUGGAGUCUCUUCGUUUAUUUAAUAUUUAGGUUUAUUAAUAUACUACAUUAUUAAUUAAAUUAAUUAAUAAUUUAAAUUAAUUAAAUAAUAAAAGUUAAAUGAUUAUAUUUAAAAUCCAAGUAGUAUUUUAAUGUAAUGAAACCUAAAUCCCACCUCUAUACCACAUUUGUUAUACAAUGUAAUGCAACUAUAAAUUAUAAUUAUAUGAAAAUAAUAUUUUAAUACAAUAUAAUACAAGUAUAAUAGUAUUACAAGUGUAAAGGCUGUAAUAUUAAUUAGCCUGUAUAAUAUUAUGCCGUGCUGGCAAGUGUGCUAUAACAGAUUGUCGAGCUGGCACCAGUUAUUUUAAACUAAUAUUAGUAAUUAGUCUAGAGUGUUCUGAUUUAUUCUAUAAAUAGCCCAUUUAAGCUUUUUUCUCUAUUCCUUUUUCUUUCACUUUCUCUUCCGUUUUCCCGACCCUCAAACACCGUCAAUCCUUGAUUUGAACUGCUGUUUGUUUGUCUAAUUACUUUCAAGAACAAUACCCUCCAUCCCGCGGUCUCUUCGUUUAUUGACUUGUGAAUAUCAAUAAAUUUUUAUUACAUUCAAGAUAAGGACUGACCAAAUUAUUAAAAUGUGAUGCCACGUGUGUGAGUAAUUGGAUUGGACUGACCAAUACUUUGACGUUCAUAUUGGUUUAGGACCAUUCAUAAUUAUGACUUAAAUAGUUUCCAUUAAUAUCGAUUUUUCUAGAUUCUAAUUUCUAAAUGGUUAGAAGUUUCAGCCACUUAAAGCAAAGGAAUAAUCGCCCUUCUUGCACGGAAGCACGGAUAUUCCAGGAUUAAAAUCCUAGCCUAACUCCAACGCCAGGGAUUGGCAUCUAUUCCUAAGACAAAUUAACUAAUUACAACCGCUUAAUAAUAAUAAUAAUAUAUUAUUGUUGAGAUGAUGCGCUGGCAAAUCAUACAGGUGUACGUCCUAACCAAUAUGCUACGUUUCCCCACAUUAUAUAUUGUUUGAGGGAAAUGCUUCGAUGAGACCAGAAGUGAUGAGCAGAUAUUUGGUGGCAGAGUUCUGCGAACAGGUGCGUCCUGUAAGAGCCUGGUAGCAGGGGAACAGGAGCAGGAAUAUUCUGCUCGUCCAAGAACAUGCCAUUCACGAGGACGAACUCCUGUUAGAGGCAUGAGGCCAUUCCUGCUAGGGGUCGAGGCAAGGAGGCCCGGUCAACGACAGUUGGUAAGGCGUGCAUUCCUCCCCGAGAAUCAAGGCGCGAAGUCCAUCUCCAUUUGCCCACAAUGGCGAUAAUGGGGCAUCCACAUCCGAGAGUGGGGAGAAUAACGGGCGUGGACUACAGAAGACUGGGAUUCAGAGGAAGCCUAUAAAAAGGUAGCCAACGAAGGUAAAAGGGUUGGACUUUUUGCUAUUAGAACUAAGAAAAGAAAACUCUAAGAACUGAGAUUGAAAAGACACCAUAGGAUUCGUGGCAAACAUUCCCAGAACCUUCAUAUCUGACUUGAGCGUCAGAUGGUUUACGCCGGGAAAACAACCGGCGUACUCUGACCUGCUUCUGUGUACGCAGGAACUUUUGGAGAAGAAACCUUACGAGGAGAGAUCCUGGUCGUGGUAGAGUUGAUCGAGCCGAGUUCCUGGUCUUGGUAGAGAAGGCAACCAGAAUCUCGCAUCAACAUUUUGGCGCCGUCUGUGGGGAGCUGAGAAAAAAGCUUCUGCUGAUAGCAAGAAGAGGAGUGAAGCAAGUGAAAAGCAAUGGAGACAGGAGGAAGUAGUGCACAAGGGGGUGAUAUAAGGCUUAAUGAUUCCGUGACGUUGAGGGAGAUAGCCAGUGAAGCGCGGGAAAAAGCCAUGUUCGACCGGAUGGAACGGAUGGAAAAGCAAAUGGAGACCCUGACAACCAUCCUGCAUGAGUUGCGGAGUGAACGAAGAGUAACCCAGGAGGAAAGGGUGAGAAGUGGUGGAGUGGCACCAGGUCCCGAUAGUACGAGGAGAAGUCGAACCACCGUGAGAUUUGGUGGUGAGAGAGGUAACAUACCUCUGCGGGGAGAAUUUCAUAGAGAGGAAGAGCAAUCCCCGGCGAGACAGAUUUUUGAGGAGGACGACGGGGUGGCGAAUGCAGAGGAAACAGAGUUGAGGCAACACUUGCAUGAUUUAGAGCAAGAGCGGGAUCAAGUUGCAGCACGUGACCCUGGUCGUGCAGUGCAGCUGGAGGAGGAAGUGCGCAGGCUAGCGCAGAUAAUUGACGACAUGCAAGGAAGGAGUAGAGCUCCUGGUUGGAGGAUAAUGCUGGACGGAGAAUCACCGCUCGCAGCAGAGAUCAUGAGGGCAGUUAUUCCGAGAGAUUUCCGCCUCCCAGAUCUUAGAUAUUCGGGACGAACUGAUCCGCUGGUGCACAUAGAGCGCUUCAAUGACAUAACUGGGGUACAAGGAUUAUCUCAAUCCCAAAGGUGCAGGGUGUUCCCACUAUCCCUUGAGGGACGUGCACGAGAGUGGUACAUGAAACUUCCUCGGGGGAGCAUUAAAACCUUCGAGCAGAUGUGCCAGGAAUUUGCAGAGCAGUUUCGUGGGGCAAUGGCACCAGAAGAUGACAUGAUGGAGUUGAAAAGCAUGAAGCAGAGGGAACAAGAAACACUUCGGGAAUUCAUCAAGAGGUUUCACCGUGCUGUCCUUGAUUUGGGAGCCUUCAACCAUCCUCAAGCAUUAAGGGGACUGAAAGAAGGGGUGAAGAUAGGAAGACUAUGGUACAAUUUGAGAAGCCCAGUUAUUCAGACGUAUACAGCCGCAUACGAGCAGGCUAAGAAGGACAUUGAGAUUGAAGAGGAAAAGACAGCACGAAUCAAGACAGACCAGUUAGAAGGGUUGGGGAAGAAAGAAAAGAAAGCAUUGCCAGGGAAUGGGCCGAUCAGGAGGAGGGACCACUAGGCCUCAGGUAGUGGAGCAGGAGGUCGGGUAACUACUUACCAGCCUCAUCAGAGGCCACCAUAAUAUCAGCGCAGCAGGGUGCAACCUCCUCGUUCCCCAGCUAGGGAACUUUGGAGAAGGCAUGACUCGGCAUAUGGUGGUCUUCAUCAACACUCCCACGGUAGUAGAGUGGGCAGACCAGAAGUGCUGCCACCGCCUCCAACUCAGAACGGAGCAAACAGAGAAAGGGCAGUGCACCUGAUCGACCAGAACCAAGACUAUGGGCGGUAUACUUCCUUGAAGAUGUCCCUGGACGAGGUGUACGAGGCCAUAAAGGAUCGAGGGUUGCUAUACCUCCUUGCCCCAAUAACAAAGCUACCCAGCAGGAGGGAUAAGGGACGCUAUUGUAAGUUCCAUGGCACUCAUGGCCACACCACAGUAGAUUGCAGGGAUCUCAAGACCCAGGUUGAAGAUUUGGUGAGAAAUCGGUACCUGCACGAGUUUAUAGAUGGGACCUUCCCAAUGGUAGCCUCGACAAGCGAAAGGGAGCAGAGUGACAGAAACUUGAGGCGCGAGCCGCCUGCAGUAAGGGUGAUAGCUGGGGGCCCAACAUUGGCUGGAGAUUCCAACAGGUCGAGGAAGAAUUAUGCUAGAUACGCCAUGACUAGCAAAGAUGUGUUCUUCAACACCCCAGCAGCCAAACGUGCAAGAGUCAGGCAAGUGCCAAUCAUGUGGACAGAUGAGGAUGAAGAAGGGAUUCUAUACCCCCACGAGGAUGCUUUGGUCAUCAAGGCCACUGUUGCCAGCAAGAAGUUUGACAGGAUACUGGUUGACAUAGGGAGCUCAGUUGAUGUGUUGUUUAAGUCAACCCUUGAGGAGAUGGGAAUAGCAGACCUGAAGUUGGAUUACACCAAUACCUCAUUGAAGGGGUUUGGAGGAGGAAAGUUGGUCCCUCUAGGCGUAGUCGAGCUGCCUAUCACGAUUGGGAGCUCCCCGACAGAAAGGACAAUGAUACUGGACUUUGUGGUAGUGGAUGAGGAAGGUCCUUACCAGAUGAUCCUAGGCCGGCCAUUUCUGAGGAUGAGCAAAGCGGUGCUGUCCAACCAUUAUCUAGCUCUCAAGUACCGGGUGAAUGGGGUAGUUGGACUGGUACGAGGAGACCAGAGGAUCGCAAGAAGCUGCUACUCCUCGGCAACAAGGGAAGCAAUGCAGAUAACAUCGCUUGAUACCCGAGUGGAAAACAAGAAUGGCAGACAAGAACCUGUGGAGGAUCUAGAGACAGUAAGCCUGGGACUAGAGAAUCCGGGAAAGACGAUCAGAAUCGGGUCGAAGCUUAAGGAAGAGCAAAAGCAGGAGUUGGUGAAAUGCUUACAGGCUCAUGCAGAUGUGUUUGCUUGGACACAUGAAGACAUGCCAGGGAUUAAUCCUGAGGUAGCAUGUCAUAAGCUGGCAAUAAAGAAAGGUGCUCGGGCAGUAAGGCAGAAGAGGAGGUGCUUUAACCAGGAGAGGUAUGAGGCUAUAAAUGGCGAGGUGGAAAAGCUCUUGAGAGCAGGAUUCAUUCGAGAAGUCAAUUAUCCCGAGUGGAUUUCGAAUGUGGUGUUGGUAAAGAAGGCAAAUGGCAAGUGGAGGAUGUGUGUGGAUUUUACAGAUCUCAAUAAAGCAUGCCCGAAAGACAGCUUCCCUUUGCCAAAAAUCGACCAGCUAGUAGAUUCAACAGCUGGGCACGGCCUGCUUAGCUUCAUGGACGCGUUCUCGGGAUAUAACCAAAUCCCCAUGUACGAGCAGGAUGAGGAGAGCACUGCUUUUAUCACUAACCAGGGUUUAUUCUGUUACAGGGUAAUGCCAUUUGGUCUCAAAAAUGCUGGGGCCACCUAUCAGAGGCUGGUGAAUAAAGUCUUUAAGCCGUUGAUCGGGAAAACCAUGGAGGUGUACGUGGAUGACAUGAUCACCAAGUCCAAAAUCCCGAAGGAACAUGUCGGACACCUCGAGGAGACAUUCGGGCUUUUGAGGAAGUAUAAAAUGAAGCUUAACCCGGAGAAGUGUGCUUUUGGGGUCAAGUCAGGGAAAUUCCUUGGAUUCAUUGUGAGCCAUAGGGGAAUUGAGGCAAAUCCCGAGAAGAUCCAGGCGAUCGUGCAGAUGAGGUCUCCUCAUAGCCUAAAGGAGAUGCAGAGCCUCACGGGGAGGUUGGCGACAUUGAGCAGAUUCAUAUCUAAGGCUACAGGUAAGUGUCAGCCGUUCUUUCAAGUGAUAAGGAGGGGAAAGAAAAUAGAAUGGACUCCAGAAUGCGAGGAAGCCUUCUAGAACUUGAAGCAAUACUUGCAGCAAGCACUUCUGCUGUCCACACCGAGGGUUGGGGACAAGUUAUUUCUGUAUUUGGCGGUAUCAGAUCGGGCCACAAGUUCUGUUCUGGUGAGAGAGGAAGAAAGGGUUCAAUAUCCGAUAUAUUACACUAGCAAGGCCCUGCUCGACGCUGAGACCAGAUACCCACCGUUGGAAAAAUGGGCACUUGCCCUUGUGGUUGCUGCUCGGAAGCUGAGACCAUACUUCCAAGCAUUCCCAGUCUCGGUAAUAACAAACCAGCCAUUGCGUCAAACUCUGCACAAGCCAGACGCCUCUGGUCGGCUCGUCAAGUGGGCUGUAGAGCUGAGCGAGUUCGACAUAGACUACAAACCCCGAGCAGCGAUAAAGGCUCAGGCAAUGGCCGAUUUCGUAGCAGAAUUCACAGAGCCCGAAGUAUGUUUGGACCAACGAGAGGUAGCUACAGACAGUGGCGAAGCCCAAGUAUGGCAAAUGUUUGUAGAUGGGUCAUCAGGGGAGCAGGGAUUGUCUUGGAAGGACCGGAGGGGGAGCAGAUCUCUUAUGCUGUAAAGUUAGAAUUCGCAGCCACAAAUAACCAGGCAGAGUAUGAAGCCUUGAUAGCAGGUUUGGAAUUGGCUAAGGCCGUGAAAGCAGACAGAGUGAAGAUCAGAACUGAUUCCCAGCUGGUUGCAAAUCAUGUCAGUGAAAGAUUUCAACCAAGAGAGGAGAAGAUGGAGCAGUACCUGAAGAUAGUCAGGCAGAUGAUGGGGAAAUUUGAAGCAGUGGAGGUGGUACAAAUCCCCAAGGAGCAGAAUAGUCAAGCAGAUAUUUGGCCAGGAUGGCAGCGGUAGCAGACCCAAAAAUGCCAAAGUCGAUCCCUCUGGAGGUGAAGUCCAGCCCGAGCAUCGAACAGAAUUUGGGGGUGCUACGGAUAGAACAAAAAUGCUCGUGGAUGGACCCAAUAAUUUCGUACCUUAGAGACGGGGUAUUACCACCAGAUAAACUGCGAGCUCGGAAGGUUAGAGCCCAGGCCUCGAGAUACACGAUGAUUGAUGGGGUACUGUAUCGGCGAGGAUAUACACUACCUUUCCUUCGAUGUUUGGAUGAGGACGACGCGGAUUACGUACUAAGAGAAGUACAUGAAGGGAUUUGCGGAAAUCAUUCUGGUGGGAGGUCCCUGGCCCACAAGGUUCUAAGACAGGGAUAUUUCUGGCCAACAAUGCACCAGGAUGCGCAAGGGAAGACCAGGAGCUGUGUAAGCUGCCAGAGUUUUGCAAGUUUCUCCAACCAACCACCAGAGAAGCUCACCUCUAUGGCCUCCCCAUGGCCAUUUGCUCAAUGGGGAAUUGAUCUGAUCGGCCCGUUGCCAAAGGGACGAGGAGCAGCAACGCAUGCAAUAGUUGCUAUAGACUACUUCACGAAGUGGAUAGAGGUAGAAGCCCUUAGCAGGAUCACAGAGAAGAAAACAACAGACUUUGUGUGGAGAAACCUGGUUUGUCGAUACGGGAUCCCUUAUGCCUUGAUAACGGAUAAUGGUAGGCAGUUCGAUAAUCACAGCUUCAGGGAUUUCUGCUAGAACCUCGGGAUAGAGUUGAAGUAUUGCUCGCCGGCUCACCCUCAAUCUAACGAACAAGUAGAAGCAACCAACAAGACAAUCAAGAGGCUUUUGAAAACCAGGCUUGGAGCAAAGAAGGGUGCUUGGGUUGAUGAGCUAUCAGGCGUACUAUGGGCAUACAGGACAACCCAUAAGACAGCAACGGGGGAGACACCGUUCGCCUUGGCUUUCGGACAUGAAGCGGUCAUACCAGCUGAGAUAGGAACCACCACAUACCGAACAGAUCAUUUCAACGAGCAGGACAACGACGAGCAGAUGUGUUUGAAUUUGGACUUGCUAACGGAAAAAAUGGAGCAAGCAACCGAGCGAUAAGUCAUUUACCAGCAGAGGGUUGCCCGAUAUUAUAACCAGAAGGUGAAUGUACGGCAGUUCAAGGUCAGAGAUUGGGUGUUAAAGAGAGUGAAUCAGAACACCAAAGACUCAACUCAAGGAGUGCUCGGACCGAAUUGGGAGGGGCCAUACAGGGUCAAGCAGCUAGUUGGACCAGGAGCUUACAAGUUGGUUCGCAUAGAUGGCCACGAGGUGAAGCGCCCAUGGAACGCAGCACAUCUCAAGAAAUAUUUCCAGUAAGAGUCGUUCAUAUUUUCAAGUUCUUUCUGUUCGUGUUCGUUGUUAUUUAUUUUAUGUCAAAACGAUCUCAUGUAAGCCGAAUUCAACAAUAAAGGGAUCAAUGAGGAAUUUCAGUCAGCUAUACUGUCAUCGAAGAAUUUUCUAAGGCAUGCAAAGGCUCAUCAAGUCUCAAAGCCUGUUUUAUGGCGAGACAGAAGCCAAGCGUGCCAGGGUUUGCUCGACCGCGCGAAGGUGAGCAGAACCCCCAAACAUCGAAAUAUUUUCUAAGGCAUGCAAAGGCUCACAAAGUCUCAAAGCCUGUUUAUGGCGAGACCAGAAGCAAGCGUGCCAGGAUCUGCUCGACCGCGCGAAGGCGAGCAGAAUCCCAAGCAUUGAAGAAUUUUCUAAGGCAUGCAAAGGCUCAUCAAGUCUCAAAGCCUGUCUAUGGCGAGACAGAAGCCAAGCGUGCCAGGGUCUGCUCGACCGCGCGAAGGUGAGCAGAACCCCCAAACAUCGAAAUAUUUUCUAAGGCAUGCAAAGGCUCACCAAGUCUCAAAGCCUGUUUAUGGCGAGACCAGAAGCAAGCGUGCCAGGAUCUGCUCGACCGCGCGAAGGCAAGCAGAAUCCCAAGCAUUGAAGAAUUUUCUAAGGCAUGCAAAAGGCUCACUAAGUCUCAAAGCCUGUCUAUGGCGAGACCGGAAGCCAAGCAUGCCACGAUUUGCUCGAUCGAGCAAAGGCGAGCAAAAUCCCAAGUCAUGUAGAAAGACCAUAUUCUAAGCCAAAGCCUGCUCGACCAAGUGAAGGCGAGCAAACCUUCAAAUGGAAAAAUAACUUGUAAAUACAAACGCAAGAAAGUAAUCAAAAACAGUUUUUAUUAAUUUAUCAAUAACCAACAAAGUUGUUCAUUACAACGCAAGAAAUAUGUUCAAGAAGAUGGCGGAUCAGUAAGCCGAGCAGCUUCGGUUGGCUGGACCUCCUCAGGUGCAGGGGGGUAUCACCAGUUGCGUCCGGUGGGGUGCUCGCCUCGCCAACAUCAGCAGGGAUUGUACGAGGAGGAGAGUUUUCCUCCUCAAUCACGAUUGGCUCCACCCCUUCGGCAUCUUCCUUGGCCGCCUCCUCGUCUAUAUGUUGAGCAACACCAGCUGCUAGGUCAUCCAUCUUCAUAUCAGGAUACUGCUUCCCGAGGACGGCCAUGAUGUAACGAUAGGAAUGCCGAAGUCCCUGGUCGUAUUGAUUGUCGGCCUCCUUCUCCAAGUUCUCGACCUGAACUCGGUGGGAAUCGCGGAGAGAUUCGAGCUGAGCCUCAUACAUAGCCUUCUGCCUUUGAAGAUCCUCCUUGACCUUGGUCAACUCCUCCUCGAGGGUAAUGGCUUUUGCUUGAGCAAGAGAUUCUUGCUCUAUCAGCUUCAGGUUCUCGACAUUCAGCUCCCCUGCUUUCUUCUCGGCAUGGUCAGCUCUGGUCAUCGCCGACUGAAUGUCCUCCUUCAUCUUCCUGUCAUAACGGCCAACCUUGGCCUUAUAGUAAGUGGUCAUGCAGUUGAGAUGGAAAGCGCUAUACUGCAUGGCUCCUACCAGCUCGCCCAGGGUGUAGCCAUCAAAGUCCUCCAGGUCCUUCUUGCUCACGAGUUUAGAUAACUCAUUGAGAUAGAGGACCAAGUGUUCUGCUCGGUUGUCAGGUAAGCGAGACCGAGGCCGACAGGAGGAGAAGAGGACGCAGGAUCUAUGGCUGCUCCACUAGUUUCCCCGACUUUGGCAGGAGCAGAAGGUAAAGUCUUCAAGGGAGAGACCUGCUGUACGAUGUUGGCCCGCUUUGCAGUAGGGGCGUCCUUGUUCUGGUCCGUCUUCGUGGUUUGAGGUCGAGAACGUUUCCUGUUCAGAGCCCCAAUCACAGCGUCCUCCAUCUUAUGGCCAGGGAGUAUCAAGCGAGACUCGAGCAAGUUGUAAGUAGUUAUCAGUUCUCGGCUCGAGCAGGAAUUGACUAGUACAGCCUCAACCCGUUUGAGCUGGUCAGGUUUGAGCGGGAAGUGAACACCCCACGAACCUGCAAUACAAACAGACACUUGGUUAGAGACAAACCAAUAAAGCGAGAACAAUUAUGGAUACAAGACAUCUAAAGCGAGCAGGCAACCUGGGACCGUGAAACGGGAUGGGACACGAUAAUCCUUCCCGUCCAUUUGUGCAACCUGACCCCAAGGACCCCCAGCAAAAAAGAAUUUUCUCUUCCAAGCCCCACCACCACCAGUUGGAAGAUCAGUUAUGGGUUUCAUGCUCUUGGUGCUAGAUUGGAAGUAGUACCAGCCGGCAUCUUUGGGGCUGCUCUUUAGUUGGUACAGAUGCUUAGUCAUCUGAAGUACAUGUUUUUAGGAGAUGAUGAGACACUUCCGGUGAUCAUCUCUUCAAAGCUUAGUACUUUAGAGGAAGAGAAACUUAUUAGAGUGCUAAAGGAUUACAAAAAGGCUAUUGGGUGGACAAUUGCAGAUAUUAAAGGGAUAAGUCCGUCCACGUGCAUGCAUAGAAUACUACUGGAGGAAGAUGCCAAACCUUCAAUUCAAGCUCAAUGCCGUUUGAAUCCACUCAUGAUGGAAGUAGUGAAGAAAGAAAUUCUAAAACUUCUUGAUGCAGGUAUAAUCUAUCCAAUUUCGGAUAGUAAAUGGGUAAGUCCGGUACAAGUGGUACCGAAGAAAACUGGUAUAACAAUUGUUGAGAAUUCUUAUGGUGAGUUAGUACCUACCCGAGUUCAGAAUGGGUGGAGGGUUUGUAUUGAUUUUAGAAAGCUUAAUUCACUCACUAGGAAUGAUCAUUUUCCUAUUCCUUUUAUUGAUCAGAUGCUCGAUAGGUUGGCAAGAAAAUCUCACUUGUGUUGUCUUGAUGGCUAUUCAGGUUUUCAUCAGAUACCAGUUGCGCCCGAGGAUCAGGAGAAGACUACCUUCACAUGUCCUUUUGGAACCUUUGUGUACCGACGUAUGCCAUUUGGUCUUUGUAAUGCUCCCGCCACUUUUCAGAGGUGCAUGGUCAGUAUUUUUUCAGACUAUGUAGAAAACACUAUAGAGGUAUUUAUGGACGAUUUUACGGUCUAUGCUGAUUCUUUCGAUGAUUGUCUCUAUAAUCUGAAGAAAGUGCUUGAAAGAUGCAUUGAAACAAACCUUGUCUUAAAUUAUGAAAAAUGUCAUUUUAUGGUAGAUCAAGGCAUUAUUUUGGGUCAUGUAGUCUCUGCUAGAGGAAUUGAGGUAGAUAAAGCUAAAAUAGAUGUUAUUAAAUCUUUACCUUAUCCCACAUGUGUGCGGGAAGUUCGUUCUUUCCUUGGUCAUGCAGGUUUCUAUAGACGAUUUAUCAAGGAUUUUUCGAAGAUAGCUCAGCCUUUAUGCAAGCUUCUUCAGAAAGAUGUGACAUUUGAUUUUAAUGAAGCAUGCAAGGUAGCAUUUGAUAAACUUAAGGAGUUAUUGACUUCAGCUCCAAUUAUACAGCCACCAAACUGGAGCCUCCCUUUUAAGAUAAUGUGCGACGCCAGUAAUUAUGCUGUUGGUGCUGUUCUCGGACAAAGGGUUGGAAAAGCUGCUCAUGUGAUAUAUUACGCAUCAAGGACACUUGAUAGUGCUUAGUACAAUUACUCAACAACGGAAAAAGAACUUUUAGCUAUUGUUUUUGCUUUAGAAAAAUUCCGUUCAUAUUUAUUGGGUACCAAAGUGAUUGUUUUUUCUGACCAUGCAGCUCUUAGAUAUUUGCUCGCCAAGAAGGAAGCGAAACUGAGACUUAUCCGCUGGAUCCUACUGCUUCAAGAAUUCAACUUGGAGAUCCGUGACAAGAAAGGAACAUAAAACUUAGUUGCAGACCACCUUAGUAGAUUGACCACGAGUGAAGAAGCAGCACUUUUGAAAGAUGAUUUUCCAGAUGAGCAUCUCUUUGUAACUCAAGGUAUGGUUCCUUGGUACGCUGACAAGGACACUACCUAGUGAUCUGACGAGGGCUCAAAAAGAUAAAAUUAAGAGCGAUGCUAAAUACUAUGUUUGGGAUGACCCUUACUUGUGGAAACAUUGCUCUGACCAAGUCAUCAGAAGGUGUGUAUCUGAGUUUGAAAUUCCUUCUAUUCUUCAAUUUUGUCACUCAUAUGCAUGUGGUGGUCAUUUUGGUCUCAAAAUGACAGCAUCCAAGGUGUUAGAAUGUGGUUUAUUUUGGCCUACUUUAUUUCGUGAUUCAUAUAUGUUUUGUAAGUCGUGUGAGAAUUGUCAAAAGACUGGUAAUUUAAGUCAUAGAAAUCAAAUGCCACUUACCCCUAUUCUUGUAUGUGAAAUAUUCGAUGUGUGGGGCAUUGGUUUUAUGGGACCUUUUCCCUAAUCUUUUGGCAAUGCUUACAUUCUUUUAGCAAUGGAUUACGUUUCUAAGUGGGUAGAGGCUAAGGCCACCCGGACUGACAAUGCUAAAGUUGUUGUAGAUUUUGUCAAGUCUAAUAUUUUUGCCAGGUUUGGUGUACCGAGAGCGAUGAUAAGUGAUAGAGGCACUCAUUUCUGUAAUCGAGUGGUGGAAGCUUUGUUCAAAAGAUAUCAUGUUACCCACCGAGUGUCUACCGCUUAUCAUCCACAGACAAGUGGACAAGCUGAGAUAUCAAACAGAGAAAUCAAGUCUAUUCUUGAAAAGACAGUUAGUCCAAAUCGAAAGGAUUGGAGUUUGCGAUUAGAUGAUGCAUUAUGGGCGUAUCGCACCGCUUACAAAACUCCCAUAGGUAUGUCUCCUUAUCGUUUGGUAUUUGGUAAGCCUUGCCAUUUACCUGUAGAACUUAAGCACAGAGCAUACUGGGCGGUUAAGCAAUGCAAUAUGCGGAUGGAUGAAGCGGGAAAGCAGAGGAAGUUGCAGCUGCAAGAGUUGGAGGAGAUUAGAAAUGAAUCCUACGAGAGUUCGUGAUUUUACAAGGAAAAGACGAAGACAUUUCAUGACAGAAUGAUUUUCAGAAAGGAGUUAUCUGUUGGUCAAAACGUUCUUCUUUUUCAUUCUAAACUUAAACUUUUUCCUUGUAAAUUACGUUCUCGUUGGGUAGGACCUUUUAUUGUUACUAAUGUUUUUCCUCAUGGUGCAGUUGAGAUUCGGAGUCCAACCUCUGAUAAAGCCUUUAAGGUAAAUGGUCAUCGUUUAAAACCUUUUUAUGAAGGUUUUUCGGUGAAUAUUGUAGAGGAAAUGGCUCUCGAGAGUCCUAUUUAUGGAGAUUGAUGCAUAAAUGUGUCUAGCCAAAGACAUAAAACAAAAGCGCUUUUUGGGAGGCAACCCAAAUGAUUUGUUUAUUUUGGUUUUUGUUUUAUCUUCUUUUAGUUUUGAUUCAGAUUUUUUUUAAAAUAAUGUGUUUGCUUAUUUUGGCCAGAAGAAAAUUUUUGAUAAGGCGUGCCCACGUUUUAACUAAUAAGUACUUCUGUAAUUUUUAAAGUAAAAUAGUUUUAAGGCGUGCCCACGUACUUAUUAGAAAAGUACUUCUGAAAUUUUUAGUUCUCAAAGUGAAAAAAAAAAAAAUUAAUGUGUUUGCUUAUUUUGGUCAGAAGAAAAUUUUUGAUAAGGCGUGCCCACGUCAUAACUAAUAAGUACUUCUGUGAUUUUUAAAGUAAAAUGGUUUAAAGGCGUGUCCACGUGCUUAUUAGAAAAGUACUUCUGAAAUUUUUAGAGUCUCAAAGUGAUUCAUUAAAAAAAUAUAUAUUUUUUAAAAAAAAUAAUUUUAUUUUAUUUUUUAAAAAACAAAAAAUGAAAAAAAGAGCUUUUCUUUUGUUCUUCUUUUAUAUAUUUAUUUAUUUAUUUAUAAUAAAAAAAUCAUCAUUGUUCAAAAAAAAAAAAUUUACUGUUCACAAAAUCCCUAAUUUUCCAGAUCUUGUUUUCUUCUCCAGCCGCUUGCAGCACACCAGCAGCAAACCAGCCCGCCGGAAAAUGCAAGCCCCGCAACGCAGCGCGAACCAGCAACGCAAACCACCAGAGCGCAACGCAAGCCCCCGCGCGCGCAGCACCAACAGCCCACGAAGCAGCCGCAGCAACACGAAGCAUCUCUCACGCACAACAGCCCCGCAGCGCAACGAACCAGCAACGCGAACCAGCUCUCGCGUGCAACAGUCCCGCAGCAACAAGCCGCCCCGCGCGCGCAACACAGCCACGCACCAGCAUCCCGCACGCAACCAGCAGUGCGCAACCAGCCCCAAGCUGCGCAGCAAGCUCAAGCCGAGCAGCAAUGCAACGCAACUAGCCUACGCCCUGUAUUCCAGCCGGGUAAAUUGAAAUCCGUGAGUGCAAUUAUUGUAACAAUGCCAAAGAGGAAAGCAUCUACUUCCAAGUCAUCGAAAAAGACACCCGUCGCAAAGAAAUCUAAGAUUGCCGCUCCCACUACGGUUCCAUGGAACACAAUUUCAUAUUCACGCCAAGCCGUGAGACAAAGAUCGAAACAUGGAAAAGGCAUGAGUGUUUUGCCACUUACGGAAUCCAAUCUCGGAGGGUGCCUCGCAUUCGCGACUCAACAAGAGAAAGAGAGGUACAAAGAUAUUUCCACGCGCAAAAUACUUCCAGCUAAGUAUAUUCAUUACCCGACUCUUGAAAAAUUGAAUGUUAAGGAUAAUUUUGAUUCUUUGAUAGAUAAGAUUGGGUUGCGUAAAUUUUUUGAUGUUGAUUGUUUGGGUUAUGUUGAGUUGAUUAGGGAGUUUUAUGCUACUUUUCAAUUUAAUAUGCCGAAUGAUUUUACUUUGCAUACCCUGGAUGUCAUUAAGUUUAGGUUAAUGGGAUGAAAUUUUUCACUCUAUCACGGAUUUUAACUAGCUUUAGGAUUCAUUGAUGAUGAUUAUUCUUCUAGUGAUGCAUAUUUAGGAACAACUUGUGACUUUAGCGAAAAUUUUGAGCCUUAUGGUCUUUGGCGUAAUUUAUCUGUUGAUCACAAUGCCUAUGACCCGAGCAAAUCAAAGAGUUCUUUCUAACGUGAUCCUGUUUUGAAAUGUGUGCAUCGAUUCUUAGCAUAUAAUUUUUUAGGCAAGAAAGAUCACUCAUGAGUUUUCUCUAAAACUGAAUUUUAUUUUAUCUGGUGCAUGUUAAAUGAUGUGAGGCCUAAUUUAGGUUUUUGGUUAGCGGAUCAAUUUCAAAGUGUGCUUAAACGGUAUAGGACUUUAUUUCUUGGUCCAUACAUUACUCUGUUAGCUAUAAACCUAUGUGUGCUUGAUCCCAAUAAUAAUGAUUUGCAUCCUGCUUGCAAAAAGGAAUUUUUUGAUAUGUCUGUGUUUGAAAGAACAGGUGUGGUCGAAUUCAAGGAGGGGAGAUUUCAAUUUACUGAACCAGGACCCACUCAAAUUCCAAAGAAGCUUUAUGCUAGGAGUGCUGCUACCUCUAAUGACGAGUUUGACGACGACACUGCUGCCCCGCCAACUAUUCCUUCUACAUCCGCACCACCUUUGAGCAUUCAGUUAGAGAAAAUGGAGCACAAGCUGAACAAGAUGGAGCAUAAUUUGGCCGCAUACUUCGAGAGUGUGGGAUUUACCCCACCAUUUCCGCCAAGCCCAUAAACGUUAUGUGGAUCAAAGCUCACAAUUCAGGGAAGUUUCUUUUUGCCUUUAAUCUUUUAUCCUUACGCUUUAAUUUUUAUGUGAGCUUUGAUUAUCUUACAUUAGGGACAAUGUAAGUUCUUGGUGUGGGGGAGGGAUUUUUGCAUUAUUGAUGUCUAGAAGUAGUAUUUUCACUCUACUCAUCCUUAAAUGAUUUUGGAGUUAGUAUGCUUCAUAUAUUAUUAUUUUUUUUCUUUUCUUUUCUUUCUCACUACUCUUUUCCCAUCUAUCUCAAAUUAUUUACAUCUAUUUUUAUUCUAUCAUGCUCUUUCAUCACUCACAUUUUAUCUUUCACUUUUCAUAUUACUACAUACAUCUUUCUCACUUCUUAUCAUUUUUACAUUUUUUUUUAUAUAUCACUCAUACCUUCUUCUCAUUCUACACCACUAUUGAUGGUUGAUUCAUUUGAAGAGUGUACAUGAUUUGAUGGCAAAUUUACCAACUUUGUGAGGAUUUGAGCCUAUGAGCAACCACUUUGCUCUAAUAUUUUUGUUAUGUGAAUAUCAAUCUUAGUUUGUUUAUUCUAGAACUUGCUUUGUUAUGCAUGUUGAAGCCGCAUUACGGGAUUUUAUGCAUUAAAAUGAUAAGGGCAAACCCUUUUCCAUUUUUCUAUUCUCGCAUUUUUUUUUUCUCUACCCGAAGACCUUUAUUUGCUAUCUUUGUUUGAGCCUUAACCAUUACCCAUCUAAUUUUCUCCGUCUACUUAACCAUUUUUCUUCUUUUUUAGCCUCAAUUUAAGGAGAUUUUUGGACUCAUUGUGUGGAUAUAUUUUGUUGCUUUUUCUACCUUGUAAUAAAGUUUCUCAAUUAGAUCAACAAGCAUUAUGCUUGAAUUAAAUUGUGCAAGGUUCGUUUCUUUUGUUUGAUUCAAAAACAACAAAAAAAAGAAAAAAAAUUGAAAAAAAAAGAGAAAAAAAAUGUUUACAUUCUUGGUGACUUGAGUAGAAAUAAGCAUUUUGAUAUCAUAAGUUCAUUCAAUGAGUUCAUUCUUCUCAUUUUGAUCUCUUUUUCUUUCGUAAACCUUUCUUUUUCAUUCAACCUAUUUAACCCCAUUACAACCCUUUUAAGACCCUUAGAUUUUUGCAUUUUAUUCAUGUUUUGUGGAUUGAGAUGUGAUAUAUGAGCAAGCUUAUGGUAAUAGCAUUCUUUGAUUUGAUUUGAGUGAAUAAAUGACACCUUAAACACUUUGAGUGCAUGGAGUGAAGUUAUUGAGAGGGCUAUUAAAUCUUGUUGCACUUGAAUUUUGAAUGGAUCUUCUUGGUGGUUGAAUGUUCUUAUUCUAUCUUAUGAAAUUCUAUGCUUUAAAAUCCUUGUCUCUCGAAUGUUGAUCGACUUAAUUUCUUGAGGUAUGCUUGCUUAAAAUUGUUUUUGGAUGAGUUGAGAUGAGAAUUGAGUGGAGAUUUGAGAUUAAUCUUGAGUUAUAUGCUUGAGGACAAGCAUCAUCUUGGUGUGGGGGAAUUUGUUAGAGUGCAAUUUAUGCACUAGUUUUGCAUUGUUUACUUCUUUUAAUAUCGAUGUUUUGCACUUAAUAAUAGUGAUUUACUUGUGUUUUACUUUUGUAGGUGCAAUUCUAUUGAUUAGUGAUAAAAUUGAGCUACAAGAUGAUGUUUAAGGAUGAUUGUUCUCUUGGAGAAAUUAUGAGCGGCAGAAGAACUUUGUUGAUAAGGCGUGGGCGCAUGCUGUCAACUGUAAACCUGCAGUUUUUAGUUUAACGUGUUUUGUAUUUUUGGUUAUUUUUGUAAUUACGGAUUUAAUAUUUCAGAUAUUAGUAUUUUAUUUUAAAUAGAAUUCUAGAGGAGAAGAGAGAGAGAGUAUUUAAGGGAGUAAUCUAUUGUGAAAAAGGGGGGAUUUUGAUUGGAGAAAAAGAAAGAAACCCUAGAUCUAAUUUUUCUCUUCUCUCUAUAAAGAACUAAACUUAUUUUUCUAGUUGAAGGUUAAUGAAGCUUUGAUUCAUCACUACUGUGAGAUCUUUCUUAUGCUUUAAUUAUUUUAUUACUUUUUGGGUAUUUGUUUAUUCUCUGAAUUAGUUUCAUGAUUAUGUUUGUUAAUUAGGUAAUUGGCCACUAUUUAAUUAUCAACUUAAUCUAUUGUCAAUUAAAGGAUUCAUCGUAUGAAGAUUUUAAUGUUUGUGACAAAUAACAUAGCAGAGAGUUGUGUUGUGAGAAUAAACAAUCUAAUUUAAAUGAAUCAUCAUAUGUGUUGAUUAGGAUUUGGGUCUCUCUGGUUUUUCAGGCUGUCAAUUGAUUAAUUCCUAUGAUCGUAUCUAGGGUUGUCUAUUGAUUAGGGAAAUAACCAACGGUCGUACCUUGGUUAUCGACUAGUUAAGGAGAGAUUGGCUAUUAGAGGGUCUCAAUAGCUAUAACCGGUCUAUUCAUAAGUAAUAAUAAUCUAUAUUUGAAUCAAUGAUCAGUAGUCGAAUCAAGCUGAGUUAAUUCCUUCAACCAGAGCUUUCUUCAAUUUGAAUUACAACUUUAAUUUGCAUUCUUGUUAUUUUAAUUUGAUUUUUAUUAUUGUCAACAAUUCCCCCAUUUUAUGUUUUGCGUUUCAAAAGGAUUUAAAUAAUUACCAAUCUCUGUGGACACGACCCUGCUCAAUCACUAUACACAAUUUAUUUAGAGUAGGAAUUUAUUUUUGUUGGCUUCAACAACCAUCAGGCAUUCCCUUCUUGAAGAAAGAAUGCAAAGAGCCCAAGAAAGCACUAUCCAUUAGACACGUUAAGAAUUAUUUUGCUUUUCAUUAAAAAUGAUAAUAAUUAUAAUAAAUUAGAUUGAAUUAAUAAUAUUUGCAUGUGGUAUAUAAAUAAUCAGUUUAGUCACUAAUUAGUCACUGUCCGAUUAUCUUCUCUUUCAUCGACUUCGAAACUGGGACUUCUGAGUUGGAUUAAGAAUUGAAAAAAAUGUUGCAACCCAUAAAGCGCGUAAAAUUAAUUAAAGGGCGCGUAAACUAAUUCUUCUUCUUAAAAGAAAAGUUUUGCAGGGAGAUUGAAAAAAGGCUAAUUCGUAUUGAAGAUCAUAAAUGAGUAUCUGUCACAAAUAGAUCCUUCUGGGCAAAAAUAUUAUUUUAUCAUCUAUCACUAUAAGAAUGAGAUGAAAAUUGUCCUCAUUUAAAGUAUUGACAACAAUGUUAUACUCAAUAUAAUGUAUAAAGCACGCAUAAUUUAAUAAUUGGGGCUGCUAAUAUCUUCCACGUAAUUGGAAGCUCAAAGAGUUUCCGUAUUAGCCGAAUCUAAGCGAUAAGUGUUUCCAUGUGAGCCAUAAUUUGGGAAAAAGACCAAUUCAAGUUAAAGAUCAUGGAAAGAGAUCCUUCUGUCUUUGGCGUAAUGCUUGGGCAACGUAAAUUGACUUUACAUUAAAACAAAACAAAACAAACACUGUCAACAAGCAUUAAUGUCAUUUGAUGCAUGAAAGACAAUUAGUCCCAUUUUUUGUCCUGUUUACUUGACUUGGGCAAUUUACCGUCAACUUUUCUCAUCUACGUCAGGUAAUGUGGCUUUUAUUUGGAAUGAAGAAGCCAAUACUUGGACCGAGUGUAGCAUCACUGAUUUGUAUAUUUUUCAGGACUAAGUAAAUUAUCUCAAUUUAAAAAAAUAUAUAAUUACAAUUAUCGAUCGAACACCACUGAUUCCAACAAUUUAUCCAAAACUAUCUUUGAGUUUUAAGGAAUGUAACAUUUAUGAUAGAAUGGUCAAGUCUUUCAACUUUUUAGAUAUUUGAUAUAUGCCAUGUUCUAACUUACAAUGAGAAUAAAAUUAUAGUAUAAUUUUUUUAAAUUAGUGGAAUUAUUUUACGAUAAAACUAUCACAACAACAUUUAAAUAUAAAGUUAUUCUUUAAUUUUUCACUACUUUUAGUGAUAUUCUUAAACUCUUUUCUGAAUGGAGCAUGAAAGGACUACUUAUCUAGAUACGUUUUUUAUGCUUUCACUUCGCUUGAGCCUAGAACUUACAACUCGUAUUUUACGUUUCUCUUACUUUCUCUUCCAUUUUCCCGACUCCCAAACACCAUCAAUCCUUGAUGUUGUAGAGUAUUGGCUGUCUAGUUCUACAAACAUAAUAAAGAAAACAAGAGACAGCUGCCAUAUAUAUUCCAUAUUAAUUAGUCACCGUCCGAUUGUUUCCACUCCCACUGACUCUGUCGAUUCAUGCUCUGAUGAAGUGAAACGCUUAACGCACUAUUGUGAUGCGGAGGAGAGGAGGAAAAACACAAUUUUAUUAUUGCAAUCCUGACACGCGCAAAGAGCUUUCUUACUCGGCUCGGCGGCUAAUUCUUUAUAAUUUGUUAAAACUCAUUUAAUUGAUGAAUGUGACAUGAAGCUCUAUAAAUAGUUUAAUUUGUAAAAUUGUUAAAAUUUUAAAUUUCAAGUAAAGUAGAUAAAAUUAUUAACGUUUUUCAAUAUUUAGAUAAUUGAUAUACGUCAUUUACUGUGAGCGAAUGGCUGAAAUUUUUCAUAGAAAACACAAUGCUUGUAUUAAAAAUUUUAAGUGCGAAUCCAUUUAUUGUAAUCAGAUGAUGUGAUUUAAUUAUUUUUUCCUUUUGCUUGAUGUCCUGAAAAUUAUGAAUGCUUUGCAGGAUGUGGAAUAUUAAAAUUUUUAAUGCAUAUUCAUAUUGAAAACUGAGUAAACAUAACAUUAUUGCUUCUAUAAAUAGAUCAUUUCAACUUAAAACCUGUUACUUGUAUUUUACAUUUCUGUUCCUUAUCAUAAAGUUUUUCUCUGUUUUUUUUUUUUUUGGGUUUCACUUUUUCUUCCACUUUCCCGACCCACAAACACCACCAAUCCUUGAUUCUUUUCCUAGAGUAUUAGCCGUCUAUUGUUACAAACAUAGACAUACUGUUUGUCUAAUUACUAUUAAGAAACAACAUACUCUGUUCUGGGGUCUCUUCGUUUACUGACUUAUGUGACACGUUAAGAAUUAUUUUGCUUUUCAUUAAAAAUGAUAAUGAAAGAAUGCAAAGAGCCCAAGAAAGUACUAUCCAUUAGACACGUUAAGAAUUAUUUUGCUUUUCACUAAAAAUGAUAAUAAUUUUAAUAAAUUGGAUUGAAUUAAUAAUAUUUGCCUGUGUGAUAUAAAUAAUCGCUUUAGUGUCGCCCCAUCAUUAAUGAGUGACUGUCCGAUUGUCUUCUCUUUCAUUGACUUUGAAACUGUGACUUCUGAGUUGGAUUAAGAAUUGACAAAAACUGUGACUUCUGAGUUGGAGAUCAAUAAUUUUGUAAACAAGCCACCGUCUACGACCGUGGGUUGAAAGGAAAGAGGAUUAUGUUUUCAUUGUUUUGUACUUUGUUUCUGUUAAAGUAAGGUAAACAUCUUUCUUUUGCUUUGGCCUUUACUCUUGACUGUAUUUCAUGGUCAUAUUCAAUCUCAAUCUUCUGUAGGUUUGUGGCUGUUUUAUGAGUUACGAUUUUUUAUAGGGUUGCAUGUAGAUGAUACAUUUAUAUACAUUUUUUCUUUUUUCUUUUCUUCUUCGGUGAAGAUACUAAAAUUUAGUUUUUGUUAUCAUGUGAAAUGAAAAUAGUCCUCAUUUCAAGGAUUAAUGGGCCACUAAUUUCGUCUUCUUAAAAGAAAAUUUUUUGCUGCGAGGUAAUUGGAAGCUCGAAGAUUUCUAUAUUACAUAGCCAAACCUAAGUGAUAAGAAUUUCCGUAUGAGAUAUAAUUUGGAGAAAAAAAAAAACCAAUUCAAGUUAAAGAUAAAAAAAUCUGUGUUCCUUAAAAAACAUAAUUCAAGCCACACAAUUUUUCUUGUUUUAUUUGAAAAAAAGAAAAUUGUGUUCCUCACAAAAACACUUUAACAUUUGUUGUCUCAUAGAGGGAAAUGUCCUUCACUCUUUGACGUGUCCCUGGGGCAAUGUAAACAUUAAAACAUUGUCAUGUAGUUAAAACAUUGUCCACAAACAUUGUCAUGUAGUUAAGAAAAAUUUAAAUUUGACAAGUGCAAGAGAUUGGUGGGACUCAUUUGAUUCAAGAAAAACAAUCAGUCUCAUUUGAUACGCAAAGGGCUUUUUUACUCUGCAGCCAAUAUUUUGAUGAAUGUCACAUUACUGGUUUGUAUAAUUUUUCGGACUAAUAUAUUAUCUCAAUUUUAAAAAAAAAAUGCAAUUGCGAUUAUCAAACACGACUAAUCCCAACAAUUUAUCCAAAAAUUUGAGUGUCAAGAAAUGUAGUAUUUAUGAUAGCAUGGCUAGUUUUUUCAAUCAAACUUUUUAGAUAAAUGAUAAAUCAAUAUAUGACAUGUUACUAUCUUACUAUAGGAAGAAAAUUAUGGAAUAAUUUUUUGAAUUAAUAGAAUUAUUUUACGACAAAACUUUCACAAUCUAUUUUUAAAAAUAAACUUAUUCUUUAAAUUUCUCGUUACUACUCCUACUUGUCCUGUUAUACUACUUAAUGGCACUGGUGAAGCCUUGAAUUAUCAAACAAAAAGCAAAAACACUUCAACAUCUGUUCCACUGAGCACUGUUAAAAUCAUACGAUAAAAUGAGUACUUAUGUUAAAAAAAAAAAAAAGAAAAACAAUCAGUCUCAUUGCGUCCUCUUUCAUUGACAUAGGCAAUUUGCGGUCAACUUGUGGUACCCUUAUUGACACAUAAAGAUCUUUCUUACACUACGGCCAACACUUACUUUCAGGACUGGUAAAUUUUUCAAAUGUAACAGAAAAAAAUACAGAAAUAUAAUUUCAAUUUAUCCAAAAAUUUGAGUUUCAAGGAAUAUAGCAUUUCUUAUGUGUCAUGUUAAUAUAGAGAAGAAAAUUUUAAAAUUUAUUUUUUGAUAAAAAAACUCACAAUCAUAUUUACAAAAAAAAAGUUUUAUUUAAAAAAAAUUCACUCCUCUUCCUACAUAAUUUAAGAAUUUAACAUUAUAAAUUAAGCUUUUUAAUCAAAGUAAUAAUCUCUCCUUCGGUGCGCAAAUGCUAAAAUUUAAUAUUAUAUCCGUUGACGAUAUUUGAUCCAAAUUCAGAGAAUAAAAAUUCUAACAGAAUUAUGAAAUUCGUUACUAGAAAUUUGUAUAAAAGUCACGAGAAUAGAAGGUUUGAUCAUAGGAAAUUAAUAUGUCCCUAUCCGAUGCAAAAAUGAUUAAAAAGAAAAACAAAAGUCAUGGGCUUAUUUAGAAAAAAGAAAAAAUUACAUUUCAGCUUAACGCAUGCCAGUCUUUUUCUCCUCUACUUUCUUAGAAAUUUUGGUUUCACUAUAAAUUCUUGGUAUAUAGCAAUCUUAAGAGUGUCUUGCAUUACCAAUCCAAUUAAGCACACACUUACAAUCUAAAAUACUCUCAUCUCAUGGAAAAGCGUCAUUCACUCAGCAUUAUGAGCAGAUUUCUCUUACUCCGUUGUUUGAUUCUUAUUUCCUUAUUUAUCGCAGCUGCAACAGCCAACACAAGUACUAUUACCACAGACCGAGAUGCUCUGCUUGCCCUGAAAGCUCACAUAACUCAUGAUCCAACCAAUUUCUUCGCCAAAAAUUGGAAUACAAGUACUCCGGUCUGCAACUGGACAGGCGUCACUUGUGAUGUCCAUAGCCAUAGAGUCACAGUUUUGAAUAUUUCUCGCUUAAAUCUCACCGGCACCAUCCCUUCUCAGCUUGGGAAUCUUUCUUCUCUGCAAUCACUCAAUCUCAGUUGUAACCGACUUUCUGGUUCCAUUCCCUCUGCCAUUUUCACCACGUACACACUGAAAUAUGUUAGUUUCCGUAAAAAUCAGCUCUCCGGCGCUUUUCCUUCUUUCGCCUUCAACACGUCCUCUUUACAAUAUCUUGAUUUUGGUUUCAAUACACUGUCUGGUGAAAUUCCUGCAAAUAUUUGCAGUAACCUUCCUUUUCUGGAAUACCUUGCUUUGUCCCAAAACAUGUUUCAUGGAGGAAUACCGUCCGCUCUAUCAAAUUGCGCAUAUUUGCAACGAUUAGGUUUGUCAAGCAAUGAUUUCUCGGGGGUCGUACCUAAAGAAAUCUGCAAUUUGACCAAACUUAAGGGAUUAUAUCUUGGCGGUAACAGACUCCAAGGUGAGAAUAAUCACGGAGUUUAAUUAUGAAAAUUGUUCCAUAAGUUGUGAUAUGAAUAAUGUUCCAUACGACAAUUUGCACGCGUUGAUUAAUUUGCAGGAGAAAUUCCUCGAGAGUCUGGCAAUCUUGCCGAAUUGGAGCUGAUGUCGUUAUCAGAAAACGAACUCCAAGGUAUGAUAAUGAACUUUUUGCAAUUUCAUUCUAGCCUCUGGUUGCUUCUGUAUUCAUUCGUUUGUUCGUCAAUUAUGCUCCAUGUUUUAUUGCUCAGUCUAGUGGAUAAUGUUCAGUCUCAGAAUUUAUAAUACCUUGAAGGUUAGUAGCUUUGAAAAUAAGAAACUGCUCAUCUGCUAAAAAGUUAACUUAGUAUUUAAGUUUUUGAAUUGAACAUUUUGAAAAAAGUCUUGAGAACUGGCCCUCCUUAGUAUUUCAGCUGAUAAAUAUGAAAAAUAGGCUAGAAGAAAUUAUUGCUGUGUGUGCUUAACUGCUUAUUCUACUUGGGCUUCUGGCUUGAUUACAUGGUCGAGCACUUACACCUGUUAUAAUAAUAGGCUUUUACUCUCACCACACGUUCGAUAAUUUCUUAACCUUCCCAAUUAGGUUAUAGCAAUUUAUAUAUAAAUAAUUAAAGCAUACUAAAGCUAGCAUACAAUACUCAUGACUUAGGCUUGCUGCGUUACCCAUUACACACGGUCGAACACUUACACCUGUUAUAAUAAUAAUAGCAUCCGCCGAUCGACUAUGAGUGAUCAAAUUGUUUGCACAUAUGUAAUUUGCAGGAGCAAUUCCACGGGAG
rnacentral:lncRNA from 1 species